rnacentral:lncRNA from 1 species
UUUCGCAGUCUAUCUUAGCAUUAACAGUGUUCAAGAAGGGUCUACCAAAUAUAAUGGGACAAAAGCUAUCUUGUGGGGAACCAAGAACAAGAAAAUCAGCAGGAUAUUUAGCCUUCCCACACAAGACCUCAACAUCUCUAACAAUCCCAAUUGGUAAAAUAGUAUCUCUAUUGGCAACCUUAAUGGUAACAUCGAUAUCUUCUAUCUCAGCCGGUGCAAUAUCAUGCAUAAUUUCUUUGUAUAAGUAAAUAGGUAUUGCACUAGCACUAGCACCCAUAUCACACAAGCCAUGAUAACAAUGAUCUCCUAUUUUAACAGAAAUAACAGGCAUGCCUACCACAGGUCUAUGUUUAUCUUUAGCACCAGGUUUAGCAAUUCUAGCAGUAUCAUCACAGAAGUAUAUAACAUGCCCAUCGAUAUUAUCAGACAAGAGAUCUUUAACAAUAGCAAUAUUAGGUUCAACUUUAACUUGCUCAGGAGGUGUAUAAGUUCUAAUAUUACUUUUACGAACCACAGUUGAAGCUUUAGCAUGAUCCUUUAUACUAACAGGAAAAGGUGGUUUCUCAACUUAAGCAGUAGGAACAAUAGGAUCAUUAUAAGUGAUAGUCUUUUCUUCAACUUUAAUAGGUUCAACUACUUUUACUUCUAUGGGAGGAUGAUAUUUAAACCACUCUCCUUAGGGAGAUCAACAUGAGCAGCAAAAGAUUCACAGAAAGAAGCUACUAUCUCAUAGUCAAGUCCAUAUUUAGUGCUAAUAAAUUUACGGAAAACAUCGGUAUCCAUAAAAGAUUUAACACAAUCAAACUUAGGUGUUAUACCCGACUCCUUACCUUCGUCGAGAUCCCAAUCUUCAGAGUUGCGUUUAAUUCUUUCCAGUAAAUUCCAUUUGAAUUCAAUAGUCUUCAUCAUAAAAGAGCCAGUACAUGAAGUAUUGAGCAUGGAGCGAUUAUUGUGAGAAAGCCGAGCAUAAAAAUUAAUAAUCAUUUCUCUUGAGAGUACAUGAUUGGGGCAUGAAUAUUACAUUGACUUAAGCCUCCCCCAAGCUUGAGCGAUGCUUUCUCCUUCGCGAGGCCAAAAAUUAUAUAUAUAAUUACGAUCACGAUGAACAAGAUGCAUAGGAUAAAACUUCUGAUGGAAUUCCAAUUUCAACCGUUUGUAGUCCCAUGAUCCCAUAUCAUCACAUAGCCGAUACCAUGUCAAUGCAUCUCCCUUCAAAUAUAAAGGGAAGACCUUCUUAUUGAUAACAUCAUCGGGCACACCUGCAAGCUUAAAUAAUCCACGAACUUCAUCCACAUAGAUUAAGUGUAAAUCGGGACGCAAUGUUCCAUCUCCUGCAAAAGGAUUAGCCAGUAGUUUCUCUAUCAUACCCGAAGGAAUUUAGAAGUAAACAUUUUCAUUUUCAGUAGGUUCAGUAGGUUGAGGAGCAACUCUUUGCUCUACUGGUCGAGGUGAAGAUACCCCGAACAAGCCCCUCAAAUGAUUACUUUCCAUAGUAACAAGUGACAGUAAAUUUCAGCACACUAUAUAAAAUUUUCAUUACCAAAUUCCACCUACCAAAGGCGCUUCACUCCCCGGCAACGGCGCCAGAAAAGAGUCUUGAUGACCCACAAGUUUAGGGGAUCUCUCGUAGUCCUUUCGGUUAGUAAGAGUGUUGAACCCAACGAGGAGCAAAAGGAAAUGACAAGCGGUUUUCAGCAAGGUAUUCUCUGCAAGCACUGAAAUAUAGGUAACAGAUAGUUUUGUGAUAAGAUAAUUUGUAACGGGUAACAAGUAAUGAAAGUAAAUAAGGUGCAGAAAGGUAACAAGUAAUAGAGAAAAGCGCUCCCUGAGGACACAUGGGAAUUAUCGUCAAGCUAGUUUUCAUCACGUUCAUAUGAUUCGCGUUCGGUACUUUGAUAAUUUGAUAUGUGGGUGGACCGGUGCUUGGGUGCUGUCCUUACUUGGAAAAAUAUCCCACUUAUGAUUAACUCCUAUUGCAAGCAUCCGCAACUACAAAAGAAGUAUUAAGGUAAGCCUAACCAUAGCAUGAAACAUAUGGAUCCAAAUCAGCCCCUUACGAACCAACGCAUAAACUAGGGUUUAAGCUUCUGUCACUCUAGCAACCCAUCAUCUACUUAUUACUUCCCAAUGCCUUCCUCUAGGCCCAAACAAUGGUGAAGUGUCAUGUAGUCGACGUUCACAUGACACCACUAGAGGAGAGACAACAUACAUCUCAUCAAAAUAUCGAACAAAUACCAAAUUCACAUGACUACUAAUAGCAAGGCUUCUCCCAUGUCCUCAGGAACAAACGUAACUACUCACAAAGCAUAUUCAUGUUCAUAAUCAGAGGGGUAUUAAUAUGCAUAAUGGAUCUGAACAUAUGAUCUUCCACCAAGUAAACCAACUAGCAUCAACUACAGGAGUAAUCAACACUACUAGUAAUCCCAGGCUAUGAGAAAAAGAUUGGAUACAAGAGAUAAACUAGGGUUUGAGAGGAGAUGGUGCUUGUGAAGAUGUUGAUGGAGAUUGGCCCCCUCCCGAUGAGAGGAGCGUUGGUGAUGACGAUGGCGAUGAUUUCCCCCUCCUGGAGGGAAGUGUCCCCGGCAGAACAGCUCUGCCAGAGCCCUAGAUUGGUUCCGCCAAGGUUCCGCCUCGUGGCGGUGGAGUCUCGUCUUGAAAGCUUGCUUAUGAUUUUUUCUCGGACAAAAGACUUCAUAUAGUAGAAGAUGGGCACCGGAGGGCCACCAGGGGGCCCACGAGGCAGGGGCGCGCCCAGGGGGUAGGGCGCGCCCCCCACCCUCGUGGCCAGGGUGUGGGCCCCCUCUGGUAUUUUCUUCACUCAGUAUUUUUUAUUAUUUCCAAAAAUAACUUCCGUGGAGUUUCAGGACUUUUGGAGUUGUGCAAAAUAGGUCUCUAAUAUUUGCUCCUUUUCCAGCCCAGAAUUCCAGCUGCCGACAUUCUCCCUCUUUAUGUAAACCUUGUCAAAUAAGAGAGAAUAAGCAUAAGUAUUGUGACAUAAUGUGUAAUAACAGCCCAUAAUGCAAUAAAUAUCGAUAUAAAAGCAUGAUGCAAAAUGGGCGUAUCAACGACCGCCCGUCCCCGUCGGCCCGCCGCCACCCAUUGCUUCCCCUUUCCCCAUUCUUCCUCUUCUCUGGCGAGCUGGUGCAGAUGUCCACCUCCUCCGCCACGCACUGAAAAUGGCGUCAGUAUGGUCCAGUGCCGCUCACAAGGUGCCCUGACUGCCCACGCCCAGAGCCUCUAAAACGGUGGGUCAGUAGAACUGAUGAGAAUGGAAAUCUUGGGCGGGAAUUUGUGAAGUGCUUGAGCAAAACAAUGGCAGAAAGGGAUGGCAAGGUUAGAUCUCAGUUCUUAGCCCAUUCUUUCACUGUCGUUUGCUCUGAUUUAUCCAUAUUUUGUUUUUUUCCUCGAAUUUGGAAUUUAGGGUUCAUGUUGUUGUUUUUUCCUCGAAUUUGGAAUUUAGGGUUCAUGUUGUUGAUUUAUCCAUAUUUCAUGUUGUUGAGAGGAUUCAGUUCGAGGGCUACAUUGAUUCGAGCGGGGCCGCAACCUGGGAGCUCAAUUUGGGGGGAGGGGUGCCGCAGAUGGAGAAUUUGGGGUCGAGCUUGGACAGAGGGGCGGGCAGAGUCGUGUCGAUGGCUAGGUAUGCGCGCAAUGCUGAACUGCACUUGGAGUCUGAACUAACCGAGGAACUGAAGAUAAUCAAGAAAUCAAAUGGAGAUGAUCAAUCUGCAGAAGCAAGCAAAUAUCAUGGCAGGGGGGGUUCUAUUGUUGUGUCAUUGCUCUGUUUUUGUUUUACUUGUUGUUCAUCCGUCAUUAGAGGGAGCAUUUAGGUCUAUCAGGGCAGAGGAUGCGAUCUGUGCGCCAUGCCAAGUUCAUGUAACUGAAUCGAAGCAGAAAUAUUCUAUGUUGAUGCUUUGUUCUUGUUCUUCAGUUAACAGAGUGCACACCCCCCAAAUUCAGUUUCUAGUAAGAAAAUCUUGCUGCCGAAUAGAUGUUGGGCCAUGAAAAAACAACGAGGCCCAAAUAGAGACAAGCCCACCCGCGUAGGGGCACCAGCCCAGUUUUAUAGCAUAGAGGCACCCAUGUUUAAAAAAAAUGUUCGACUAAAAACUCAAAAUAAAAUAUUGCUUCGGCAAAUAAACCUUUAACAAACAUAUACUUCUUUACAUAUUUGUUGCUUGUCCACGCUUGCACAAAAUAUUGGCCAGAGGUAAAAUUCAAACUAAUAUUUUUAGGAGCACAGAAAUAUUUCUUUUGUGACCAAUAAUUGUUUGCAUGAACUAAAAUAGUUGCAUUUCCAUGGUUGCAAAAAAAAUUGCACCGUACACCUAAUAGCUAGGGUGAUCCUAUUUGCAUGAACUAAAUUAGUUGCAUGUCCAUGGUUGCACAAAAAUUAUCACCGUACACCUACUAGCCAGGGCCUAGAUACAUGCAAGCACACAUGCAUCACACCAAGAUAUGAAAAAAAAUUGCAAAAAAAUUUGGGUACCCAUACACUUGCAUGUCCGUAGUGGAAGCUACCUUUUAUUAGUAAGACAUAGAUCAAAUAGGGAUCCAAUCAACUAGAUAUAACAUGGGUACCCAUAGAACAUCAAGCACCAUAUAUAUCAACUAACCAAUAUCAACUAGAUAGAAAAAAAUAACAGAUAGAACAUAGUAGCAUAAGUAGUAGCAUUGCAUAGAUAAGGGUAGCACGACAUAUAUAGUACCACUACAACAUAGAUAAUUCAUAGUUCAACCCAACACGACAAUAAUAAAACACCACCAGCUUGUUUGCUUGCUUGCUCAAAGGCCAAAUCCUCCAUGGCCAACUCCUUCACUCGUCGCCGUUGGUGGGGUACGGGAGGGUGUGCAUGCGCUCAUCGGCGGGGAAGGCACUGUCGAAGUCCGUGAAGAUGUUGUACAUGGUGAAUGCGAUGAACUCGCAUCCACAUCAAAAAACACGACCGAGGAGGUAGUAGGCGUCGAAGGGGUUGGUGAACCUCACGAUGAGCCCGAUAGGAUGGCCACUGCUACUGACCUCUUUGACACGGAACAUGGCCGGAGAGCCCCUCGGGAGGUGCCGGUAGCCGGCGGAGAGGAAGAACUCGGUCAGCCCCCUUGCCCCCCUCCACCUCGAGAUCGCCCACACCCGUAGGGUGUUCUCCACCCGGACUCCGGUAGGGUAGAGCCUCUCAGGGAAGGUGCGCGGCACACGGUAGGUAGCCCCGGUGAACUGCAUCUUGCUUGCUAGCUUUGAGUGGAUCUUGGAAGAUGGGAGAUGAAGGAGAGUGAGAGGAAGAUGUGGGUAGAGGAAGAUGUAGGCUUGGGUGUGCUUAAAUAGCCGAGGUGCAGUGUUUUAACGUUUUGUUUUCCUCUCCCUCGUAAUGGCAUGGGAAACGAGCAAUGUGGCAUCGAGUCACCCGAGCCAACCCGUGUGUACACGCGCAUGCAUUGUGGUAGUAAUGCCAAUGACCCGCGUAGCACUCUAGCAAUAAAAAUGCGUCGAGAGAUGAGCUCGAUGCCAUGCAUGCAGCGGCUAGCGGUCGGGCAUCUAGACCCAUCUAGAAUGGGUAAAUAGCCAUAAUGCUACGAGGGUGUCGGCGGGCAUGCUCGCCCGCGAUGCCAUCCAUGCAACGUCGAACGCUGAGAGGGCGGCCGCAGGAGGGCUACACGCGCGUGCAUGCUUUUCAGGCCGAAUGCAGCGUCGUGUCCAUCGGUCCAAUGGGUGGGCCGCUUUAAUUAAGCCCAACAACACAUGGCAGGCCUGCUUAGUCUUACAAUGUAAAAAAUGGGCUAAAACGACCAGCCAAUGAAAGCGCAACACGCGGAUCUGUGACGUGGCUCCUAAUCCAGACUGUUGCUUAUGUUCACAUCCAUCCAAUGGUCCAGAAUGCUACGUGUUAUAAUAUUCAGCAUCUUCGAAUCAGCCAAUCAGAGUGCUGCCUGCAGAUCGCUGACGUAGCCCUGGUGCCUGAUCCAGACCGUCCAUUCAUAGCGAUCCAAUGGCCGAGAGGAGUGUGGGGUUUCAAUGGGGUUUUGAGUGGUUUUCAGCGGUUAGGGUUGAGCAUAACUAAUUCAAAAAAAUCAAAAAAACUAUAAAACUUGUGUCGAUCAUCGUUCUAUGUGACUAAGUAUCUAGGAAAAAUAAGAAACUUGUACUACGGAUAUUUUCAUGAAAAAACCUUCACAAAAGAUGGCUAUCAAGAACGACCUUGUAGGGUUUUGAAGAGAAGUGAGCUAGGGUUUAGUGUCAAACAUGUCAUACUUUAUCGAAACAAUCCAAUAUCAGGAAGGACUCUUAUAUACACACACUAGAUGUCAAGUUUCCUUUUUGGGCUCAUUUAGAGAAGGUCGAAAAAAGCUUGCUUACAAAUGGGUCUGUUUUCCCUAGCUUUGGAGGGGUUUUGGAGGUCAUGUGGAGCACAUUUUUCAUGUCCAGAGUUUUACAUAAUAAAAGUGCUCCGAUUAAUCAACUAACAUGCAUAAUAGUCCAGAAAUCAUUGUAACACCAACACCACAGACCAAAUAACUUCAAAUUUGAAUUUUGUCUCAAAUUUGAAUUUUGUCUCAAAUUUGAAUAGUAUUACACAAAUACACAUCAUAUCAAAGUACAAAUAUCAUUACACAAAUUCAGGCAAGGUUUUAUUACUACAACAUACUAGCAAUACACAAGUUUCAACAAAUUUUCACUUCUGCUUCUUCCUACCACUCGAUUUGUUCUUCUUCUUUUUACCAAUGCUUGUUUUUGGUUGUACAACACCCAGUUCACUCAAGCUCUUGAUUUUCUUCACUGGACUUCCUGGAACACAAGCUUCAUUUCGCACCACAACAGUUGCAGUAUCAUCGGACCCAAUAUCACCAGUUGGCAACACAACUUCCAAUAUAGGCUCAGUUGGCACCACAUCAACUGGAAUAUCUUUAGUUGGCAACUCAACUUCCAACAUAGGCUCAGCUUGCACAGCAUCAGCUGGAAUAUCUUCAGAGGUACCCAUAGCUUCAGUUGGCACCAGAACAUCAAAAUCUUGCUCAUCUUGCAGCAGCACAUCCAAGUCUUGCUCAUUUUGCACCACACCAUCCAAGUCUGGUUGAAUGUGUAUUGUUUCACCAAAACUUCUCUUUCUUCUAGAGCCAUUGCCUCUUGCUUUUUUCUUUGGCCAGCACACUUCAACAACAAGGGGCUCACCUGCACGCUUCCUCCUAAAAAGAUAAAGCAUGUCAACUGGUUAGUAAUUGAAAAAUGCAACAAAAUAGUAAACAAUGCAAACAUAUGCCCACAUACUUUGGCCAUUCAUGAGUGUAACAACAUUUGGGAGAUCCAACUCGGUGCCCAAGUUCCUGGCACAACUUGCCUCUAUUUUUUUUUACCUUUUUGGGACCUUUUUGGCUUUGCAUUCUUCUUUCCCUUGCCCUUUUUACUACUCCCACCUUUCUCAAACCAUGCCUUGAAUCUACUUUCUUUAGGCCUGCCAGCCUUUCUUUUUGUUAGGGGAGGACCCAUGGAAAAUUCAAUUUCAACUUCAGGCCACUGAGACUGAUCUGUAAGUGCUAGAAUUGGAGUUGCAUAUGCAGCCUUGAAUCUUGCUACUAAGUAAUAUUCGUGCAAAUAUGGGUGCAUGUUUAUCUUCGGUCGGGAGGCCAAGAAAAGUAUGGCAUGACUCACAUGGUUUCCCAGUGUGCUGCCACUCCAAACAAGUGCAAUCAUGCAUUUCAGUGUUAACAACAUGCCUUCUACCAGUUUUGGUAUCUCUAACUUCAACACCCCACACAGAAGAUUUUUCAACAGAUAAAUGUGUAAGAUUUAUGCUCCUGUUGACCACCUGGUGUACCACUGCAGGAAGCUUAUCCCCUUGUAGACAAUCACCAAUCCUUCUUCUCAAUUCCCACAAGCGCAUGAUCAUGAUCCUGAUUUGGUCAACCAUGUCAUGCACAGGAAAAAAAUUUAACUGCUUCACCCUGUUGUUAAAACUUUCUGCCAAGUUGUUGUUGAUAUGAUCACACUUGAUGGCAGUGUUAAAUCCCGACCUAUACCAUAAUAGAGAAUGGUACGUGUUCACCCAUGGACCAAACUCAGGACAUGAUGUCAUUAUCAUACCAAGAUGAUAUUAAUGUGUUUGUUUAGUGUAAGAUCUUGCUGCUGGCCACAUACGACCAAAUUCUUCCCCUUUGAAUUUUUUGAUCAAAUUCAUCCACAUAUGGCCGAAGCACUCCCUCUGCUCACAAUGGGGGAAAACAUUCUUCACUGCGUUUUCUAGCCCUUUGCAUGCAUCUGUGUGGACUGCCAAAGGUGACACUGGACCUAUGCAUCUUUUCAACUGCACCAUGAACCAUGUCCACGAGACCUCUAUCUGUGACUGAAAUAAGCCAAUAGCAAUAGGGAACAUCCAGUUGUAUCGAUCCAAAGCAUUGCAAGCUGCCAAUUGACCAAUUGAAAGUGCACCUAUGCCUAGGUGGUUUUGGUAAUUCCUAACAACAUAUAGCUCAUUGAGCUAAUGAUAUCUCAAGAUAAAUAUUUCAGGAAAGCACAAUGAUUGGCAUGGCAUGGAUUAGAAAUGUGACCCCUCAGAAUACCAAGGACAAAAGAAUGGCUCAAGCUCUAAAGCUCAAGACUCUACAUUUUACUUUUAGUGAUCCAAGAUCACAUUGAGUCCAUAGGAAAAGCAAAUACUAUUAAAAGGGGAUGAGGUGUUGCUUAAUGGGUUGCUUGCUCAAAAUGCUUAGUGAUAUGCUCCAAAAACCCUCAACUACUUUCUCAUAUCCACAUAUGUCCCAAACCAGAAGUCAAACUCGGCCCCACCAAAACAUCCUAUCUGGCACCACCGAGUUCUCUUGACAUAGCCACUGCCACAAACCCUAGUCACUUUGGUCUCACCGAUAGGGAUCUCGGUAUCACCGAGAUGGGAUUGCAAACAUCUGUUUCCCUUCCUAACGUUUCGGUCCAACCGAGAUGAGCGAUCGGUCCCACCGAGUUUGCAAUGCAAACUCUCUGUUUCCCCUUCGUAACGUUUCGGUCUCACCGAGAUGAGCAAAUCGGUCCCACCGAGUCUGCCUCAUCAACUCUCUGGUUAGCUUAUCACCAAAAUCAGUCCCACCGAGUUUGUGUAAUCAGUCUCACCGAGAUUACGUUAUGCCCUAACCCUAAUGAAAUCGGUCCCACCGAGUUGACAUGUCGGUCCCAUCGAAUAUCCUAACGUUCACAUUUUGAACUAAAUCGGUCCGACCGAGUUUCAUUAUUCGGUCCCACCGAGUUUGAUGAUUUGUGUGUAACGGUUAGAUUUUGUGUGGAGGCUAUAUAUACCCCUCCACCCACUCUUUAUUCGUGGAGAGAGCCAUCAUAACAUGCCUACACUUCCAGCAUACAUUUUCUGAGAGAGAACCACCUACUCAUGUGUUGAGGUCAAGAUAUUCCAUUCCAACCACAUAAAUCUUGAUCUCUAGCCUUCUCCAAGUUGCUUUCCACUCAAAUCGUCUUUCCACCAAAUCCAAAUCUGUGAGAGAGAGUUGAGUGUUGGGGAGACUAUCAUUUGAAGCACAAGAGCAAGGAGUUCAUCAUCAACACACCAUCUAUUACCUUUUGGAGAGUGGUGUCUCCUAGAUUGGUUAGGUGUCACUUGGGAGCCUCCGUCAAGAUUGUGGAGUUGAACCAAGGAGUUUGUACGGGCAAGGAGAUCGCCUACUUCGUGAAGAUCUACCCUAGUGAGGCAAGUCCUUCGUGGGCGAUGGCCAUGGUGGGAUAGACAAGGUUGCUUCUUCGUGGAACCUUCAUGGGUGGAGCCCUCCGUGGACUCGCGCAACCGUUACCCUUCGUGGGUUGAAGUCUCCAUCAACGUGGAUGUACGAUAGCACCACCUAUCAGAACCACGCCAAAAAUCUCCGUGUUUAUAUUGCGUUUGCUCCCUCCAAACUCCUCCCUUUACCUUCAUGUGCAAUGUUUUACAUUCCGCUACUAUACUCUUAGACUUGCAUGUGUAGGUUGAUUUCUUGACUAGUGCUAAGUUGCUAAAAUCUGCCAAGACUUAAAAUUGGGGAAAGGCUAGAUUUUUAUUUGGUCAAGUAGUCUAAUCACCCCCCCUCUAGACAUAAUUUCGAUCCUACAAGUGGUAUCAGAGCUACGGUCUCCAUUUGCCUUGAUUUCCAUAGCUUUUGGUGAUCAUAGCCUUGGUUUCACAACCUAGGAGACUAUGGCGUCUAGCAAGGGAAAUUACCACCAUAGAGGUCCUUACUUUGAUGGUACUAAUUUUGCUACUUGGAAGCACAAGAUGAAAAUGCAUAUUCUUGGACAUAACCCCGCCGUUUGGGCUAUUGUGUGUAUUGUCUUGCAAGGUGAAUUCUUUGAUGGGAGAGAACCGAACCGUGAAGCUACUGCGGAAGAGUUGAAGAUGCUACAAUACAAUGCUCAAGCUUGUGAUAUUCUCUUCAACGGAUUGUGCCUCGAAGAAUUCAACAAAAUCAGCCGUCUUGAGAAUGCAAAGGAAAUUUGGGAUACUUUGAUUGAUAUGCAUGAGGGUACCGACUCCGUCAAGGAAUCCAAAUUGGAUGUGCUUCAAAGUCAAAUUGAGAAGUUCAAAAUGAAGGAUGGUGAAGGUGUCACUGAAAUGUACUCUAGGCUUGCUCUCAUCACAAAUGAGAUUGCCGGCUUAGGAAGUGAAGAGAUGACCGAUAGAUUCAUCAUCAAGAAGAUCCUAAGAGCCUUGGAUGGAAAAUAUGAUACCGUGUGCACAUUGAUCCAAAUGAUGCCCAAUUACAAAGAUCUCAAGCCAAAGGAAGUCAUUGGAAGAAUUGUUGCUCAUGAGAUGUCACUUAAGGAUAAGGAAGAGCUCCACAACAAGUCAAGUGGUGCUUACAAAGCCUCAUGUGAUGCUCCUACACCAUCAAGUGAGAAACAAACCUUUAAUGAAGAAUUGAGCCUAAUGGUGAAGAAUUUCAGCAAGUUCUACAAGAGUAGAAGCAAGGAAAGAAGUUCCAAGUCAAGAUCCUACAAUGACAAAAGAUCUUCAAGUCGUGAACGAAAUUGCUACAAUUGUGGAAGACCCGGACACUACUCCAAUGAGUGUACGGCUCCCUACAAAAGAAGAGGAGAUUCUCCCAAAAGACGAAGUAGAAGAGAAGAAUCAGCACCAAGAGAGAGAAGGAGUAGAGAUGAUUGUUAUGAACGAAGAACCUCUCGGAGAAGCAAGGAUUCGGAAAGGAAGGACAAAUCAUCAAAGAGCUACACAAAACGAAGACAUCAAUCUCACGUUGGUGAAUGGGUAUCCGGCUCCGACUCCGACCAUUACUCCGAAAGAAGUUAUCACUCCGACUCCGACUAUACUCAAGAAGAAGGUGUUGCCGGUCUAGCACUUGCGUCAACCAACUCCUACAACAUAUUUGACUCACCAAAUGAAGGAAUUGGAAGAUGCUUCAUGGCUAAAGGCCCCAAGGUAUCACACCCCGAGUUUGUUGAUUUCAAUAGUGAUGAAGAUGAUUUGCUAGGAGAUGAUGAUUUACUUGUUGACAACUCCAGUUAUGAAAACUAUGAUGAACUUGCUAUUAGUCAUGCUAAUCAAGAUAAAACGAAUGACGAUGAUAAGAAGGAGAUUGAGCGUCUAACUAAAGAAUUAAACACUCUUAAAUUAGCUCAUGAAACUACCAUGGAAGAUCAUCGAGAACUUUUAAAGACUCAUGAGAAGCUACGCUUUGAAAGGCUCAACCUUGAGCAAGAGCAUGGGUUCUUAAAAGCAAUCAAUGAUGAUCUUCGCAGGAAAAAUUCUUCUUACAUUGCCAAGCGUUUACUCUUGUCUACUUACAUGCCACAAGUAGAAUCUAGCAACAAGAGUAAGAAAGAUUCUUCAUCUAGUAGUAACAAUAAUCAUGCUAAAUCCAAUGUUGUUGCUUCUAGUAGUUCUCUUGAUUCCACUAAUGAUUCUCUUAGCCAAGUUACAAUUGAGCAAGAAAAUAGCUUAUUGAAGGGAAUUAUAGAGAAAGGUGUUUACAAGAGCCUUGUCGGAAGUAAGCAAUUUGAGGAAAUUGUACGCAACCAAGGAAGGCACCGGAAAAAUCAAGGUGUUGGUUUUGAACGAAAGUUCAAUGCCAAUGGAGUUGAGUGGGAAGAAGAUCAAUACCCCAAGACGAAGUUUGUUCCUCAACAAGAGAAGUAUGAUCCUACUUCCUUCCAAGGAACACAAGCUCAAGAUGAUCUUCCACCACAAGACCACAAGCAAAAAGGCAAGGACAAGCUUCAAGAGGAGAUUGAUGCAUUUUAAGAAGCUCCCAAGGCCUUGGUCGAGUGGGUUCCCAAGACUACAUCAAAUACGACUACAACUCCAAGGAUUCCCAUCAAGAUGAUGUGGAUCCCGAAGAAGAAGAACUAGAGAGUUCUUGAGGGUGACUCCGCCAACAUACUUCACUCAUAUCUUUUGGCAAGGACAUGUGAGAACAACUUCCACAUAUUGCACUAGUUCAAGGAGUCACAAACCCUCUUGUUUGUAAGACAAGGGACAAGGUAACCUAAUGCUUUCAUGGACAUCAUCUUGUGUGUACAUCACUCUAUGUCUAUGGAUAUCCUUGUUUGUUCCUUGUGGGACUAACCAGUGUAGGUAUUGGAAGUGCAACUCACUCCAAUGGAUUGCUCCGAAUGAUCUACAUCAACAUUGAGCAUCCACAUCUUCAACACCUACAUGAAGUCAUCAUCGACAAAACCCAAGGUUAGUUCAUCCCUCUUAGGGGGAUAUCACAUCUAGGGGGAGCUUUACUCUAAUAAAUUGAGCUAAAGCAACUCUAAUGGUGUGAACACAACAAUGCUUUAUGUGAAAGUGGUAACCCCACUUAUGCUUAAACGAUGAGUAUGACCUAUGAUCAAAUGUUCUCAUUUGACUCCUAAGUCAAUAUACUCAUAUAUAGAUGACCUAGUCAUCGCCAAUUGCUUGAUAGAUGCUAGAGUCUUUGUGCAUGCUUUGUCACAUAUUUCGUUUGCCAUUUUAUUGUGUGAGCAUGUUAAUUGCAUAUUUUACUCAUUCGAGGACAUCCAUUUGUUGCUUUGAUUGUUUGGCUUUUUCUCUUUUGCCAAAUGGAUGGACAAGAAUGCCUAAGAACUCCCUCUAGCUAUCUAUGCUUUUCUCGUCUCAAACUCUAUUCAUGCUACAUCACAAAGUUUGAUCAAGUCAGGUUCGAACCACUCUGUGUGAGGAGCACUCGGAGUCCCCGAUUCGUCAUAGACUUAAACUUCCAAAACCUCUUUGUGCAUUUCGGUAUGACCGAUUCAUCCAUUUUGGUCACACUGAGUUCACUAAGUUGAUCUAGGUUUUCCAUCUCGGUGCAACCAAUUUGAACUUUUCGGUCACAUCGAGUUGCAGUAACCGCUUGCGAUUCUGCAUCUCGGUGCCACCGAGUUGUUCCACUCGGUAACAUCGAUAGGGUCGGGAUAUAUAAACCCACAGGUGAGAUUUUGGAAAUUUCUUCAAACUCCUCAGCCCGCGUGUGUCCUGCUCUGCCUCCUCGGGUCUCCGGAUCGUCUCCUCGCCGCCAGCGACCUCCCGCCGCUGGUUUCCGUUGCUGUCAACGGAAUUCUCCUCUGCCGUUGUCGCCAUAGCGAACUCCCGCCGAACUAGGGUAUGGGUUCGACUCUUUGUGCUAUUUCCCUACUCCAAUUUGUAGCACAUUUCUUUUCCAUGAUCUUUACCACGUAUGAAAAUAAUCUAUCGAGAGAAAACAUCCUUUAGGUUAGAUUUGAUUCAAAAAUUUAGGGUUAGGUCUCCGCCGAACUCAUCUCAGACCAACCGAGUUGUAGAAAUCGGUCUCACCGAUUUGGCUUAGGCCAUUGCACAUGCUUUUUGGUCUGACUGAAAACGGCAAAUUGGUGCGACCGAUUUCGAAUCUCUGUGAAACCCUAGCAAUCUCGGUGCCACCGAACUGUGACUCGGUCUGACCAAGUUCACUAGUUUAGGUUCCAAAAGUUGCUUCGGUAUCACCGAGUUUAACAAAUCGGUAGCUCCGAAAUGCUUUCUGUGGAGAACUAUAACUAAGUUUUUGAGUCAUCUGUUUUGCAAAAGCUCUGCACUUUGUGAUGCUCAUCCACUCUACCUCAUCUAUAUCUAUUCACAGGGUUUGCUGUCAGUGUGAUUGCCAAGAUGUCUGAUCAAAGUGACAGCCAGAACAGAUCUGAAGAGCAAGUGCAUAUGAGUGAGGGCACUAAUCCCUCAAGCAGCUAUGAUGAGGGCAGCAGAAGCACACCAAGUAACUUGCCCAAGGUAGCCACUAGAACAAGGAAGAAGAGAACCUCAGACUCCGAGGAUGAGGACUAUGUGGCCAUUGAGGAUGAGGCCACCUCAAGGAAGAAAGUGCUGAAGAAAGAGUAUGGCAUAGCUGCUGCAACUAAGCCAGGGUUGCAUAAGAAGGCAACAGCAAAGAGAGUCCCAAUGUCAAAGCCAACGAAAGUUCCAACAGGAGAAACCAUGAAAUUCACAAUAUAAUCAGAUGAUGGUGAGGCAGUUGGUGAUGGCAAGAAGAAGAAGAGGGCAAGAACCACAUCUGCAAAAGUUCUUGGAAAAUCAACUAUGGUAAGAGAUUCAGAAGAAGAGGAAGAGGAAGAGGAUGCUGCACCAGCACCCAAGUCUCAGAAGCUUAUGGGAGAUGCUAUCAAGUCAGGGGCUGCUCCAUCAAAGCCCAAGACUGCUCCCAAAGCAACAGCUCAAACUCAGAAGCCCUCUAAGCCCAAGAGAAGCACCAGAAACAUUCCUGCAGAAGAGAGGAACAAGGCCUCAGUGCCUAAGGUUGAAGAAGAGGAUGAUGAAGCCCUAGUGCUAAGAAAACUGAAACCCAAGAUUCCAGACCACAAUGACACUCAUCCAGUGGCUGAGGACAUGCACAUCAGGAAAGAUGCAGGAUUGAGACUUUGGAGACAGUCUGAUCCUUAUGCUGCGACAAGGAGAACUGUUGUGGACUACAUGUUCCACACCAAAGAACAACAAGACUUCUAUGAGACUAUUCUGCUUGACAAGAAGCCAAUUGUCUGUGAAAUGAGAUGGGUUGAUUGGGAAUACAUCAAAGAGAAUGAAGAUCACUUCCCAGGUGUACCAGACAGCUUCAAAGCAAGUGGAGUUGAUAAGUUUGUAGGUCAGAAGCCCACCAAAUGGAAUGAUGAGCUAAUCAUGCAGUUUUACUCCACUGCUCAUUUCUAUCCAGAUGGGAGAUAGUGGGGAUGUCUGAAGGUACAAGGUACCAAUCAACUGUAGAAAAAUGGGCCAAGUUGAUCAAUGCCCCAGAAGAGUAUGAGGAUGAUUUGGAUGUGUAUGCCAAGAAGAAGAAAGACCACAACUCUAUGGCAAAUAUGUACAAAGAGAUCCCUGAUAAAGCUUUGGAGACACACAAGCUUGGAUCUGUGCACUAUUUGUUGUCUGGUCUACCCACUAUCAACACUAUCUUAAGGCAUACUCUGGUACCCAAAUCUGGAGAUCACAAGAUGAUCAGAGGACAUUCCAUCAACUUGCUGCAAAUCUUUGAUGUCCCUUAAAAAUUCAAGGUCGUGAGUCUGAUUGUUGAGACAAUCAAGAGGACAGCUGCUGACCAGAAGAGAUCUUGUGGGUAUGCUCCACACAUUCAGGUGGUCAUCAACUCAAAGAUGGGCACAGGGACUUACAUGUUGGACAAAGAACAUUUACCCUUGUAUCCAGAUUUUGAAGAUAAUGAAGUUGUCAUGAAUGAGAAUGAACCUUCAUCAGCACAAGCACAAGAGAAGAGAGCUAAAGCAAAGGCAGAAAAGGCUGCAAGGAUGCCAAGUGCCGAGGAAGCAUCUCAGGUGUCCCUGAAGAGCAAGAAAGAUCAGCUUAUAUCUGAUUCAAGCUACAUUGAGGAUUGAGAAGGGCUUGGCCACCCUGACUCAGAAUCAGGAGAGCUUGGAGAGGAUCAUAGAGACAAAAUAUUAUGAUCUUGAUCUGAAGGUCACUGAGAUACAGAGAGCAGUUGAGCAGCUCCAGGAGGAAGCAGGAGAGAGGAAAGGGAAGGCAACUACAGAUGCUUUUCGGCGAGUGCCAAGAGGUCAGAGGUCUGCUGCAGUGCCAGUAUCAGAUACUAGAGCUACAUCGUCAGCACCAAUAGCUACAGCUUCAGUGCCACCUCCAGCAGCCACUCCACCAGCUCCAGCUACAUCCACUGAUGCCUUCGUCCUUGGAGUUCUCUCUACUCCACCUCCUGAAGACCAAGCCUGAGAGACGCAUAGCACUAUGCAUUUUCGAACUUUUUGAUAACUUGUUGCCAAAGGGGGAGAAAUGUAUAGAUCAUAGGCUUCGAGAGAGAGUGUUUUGCUUCUUUGUCUCUCUUGAUUUUGGUUGAACUUUAUGGUGUUCUUGGUUGAUACUCUAUGUCUGUGUGAGAUACUUGUUUGAUCAUGGGUUUGAUCAUAUGCUACUUUAAUGCUUGCUUGGAUGGUAUUAUCUCUUAUAUCCCAUAUAUGUUCAUUCACUUUGCUUGGUGAUGAAUGCUUUCUUUUAAUUUCCACGAUCCUAAUUGAUUGUGCAUUUGCAUUCAAAAGAUGUAUGUGACAUGGAAGAGUAACCCAUGAUCCUAAUCGAUUGUGCAUUUGCAUUCAAAAGCCUAUUUUUAAUAAUGCACAAAUUUAGGGGGAGCUCUUGCUUAUCACAUACUUCUCAAAGCGACGAUGUAUUUCAAUCUUAUGAUCAUUUGUCAAAGCUUUGAUCUAUAUGUUUUCAUCAAUUAUCAAAAAGGGGGAGAUUGAAAGUGCAACUAUCCCUGGGUGGUUUUGGUAAUUCCUAACAACAUAUAGCUCAUUGAGCUAAUGAUAUCUCAACAUAAAUAUUUCAGGAAAGCUCAAUGAUUAGCAUCGCAUGGAUUAGAAAUGUGGACCCCUCAAAAUGCUAAGGACAAAAUAUUGGCUCAAGCUCUAAAGCUCAAGACUCUACAUUUUACUUUUAGUGAUCCAAGAUCACAUUGAGUCCAUAGGAAAAGCCAAUACUAUUAAAAGGGGAUGAGGUGUUGCUUAAUGGGUUGCUUGCUCAAAAUGCUUAGUGAUAUGCUCCAAACCAAAAGUCAAACUCGGCCCCACCGAAACAUUCUAUCCGGCGCCACCGAGUUCUCUUGACAUAGCCACUGUCACAAACCCUAGUCACUUCCGGUCUCACCGAUAGGGACUCGGUCUCACCGAGAUGGGAUUGCAAAAUCUUUGUUUCCCUUCGUACAUUUCGGUCCAACCGAGAUGAGCGAUCGGUCCCACCGAGUUUGCAAUGCAAACUCUCUGUUUCCCCUUCGUAACGUUUCGGUCUCACCGAGAUGAGUGAAUCGGUCCCACCGAGUUUGCCUGACCAACUCUCUGGUUAGCUUAUUACCAAAAUCAGUCCCACCGAGUUCGUGUAAUCGGUCUCAUCGAGAUUACGUUAUGCCCUAACCCUAACGAAAUCGGUCCCACCGAGUUGAAAUGUCGAUCCCACCGAAUAUCCUAACAUUCACAUUUUGAACUAAAUCGGUCUGACCGAGUUUCAUUAUUCGGUCCCACCGAGUUUGAUGAUUUGUGUGUAACAGUUAGAUUUUUUGUGGAGGCUAUAUAUACCCCUCCACCCACUCUUCAUUUGUGGAGAGAGCCAUCAGAACAUGCCUACACUUCCAGCAUACAUUUUCUAAGAGAGAACCACCUACUCAUGUGUUGAGGUCAAGAUAUUCCAUUCCAACCACAUAAAUCUUGAUCUCUAGCCUUCUCCAAGUUGUUUUCCACUCAAAUCAUCUUUCCACCAAAUCCAAAUCUGUGAGAUAGAGUUGAGUGUUGGGGAGACUAUCAUUUGAAGCACAAGAGCAAGGAGUUCAUCAUGAACACACCAUCUAUUACCUUUUGGAGAAUGGUGUCUCCUAGAUUGGUUAGGUGUCACUUGGGAGCCUCCGUCAAGAUUGUGGAGUUGAACCAAGGAGUUUGUACGGGCAAGGAGAUAGCCUACUUCGUGUAGAUCUACCCUAGUGAGGCAAGUCCUUCGUGGGCGAUGGCCAUGGUGGGAUAGACAAGGUUGCUUCUUCGUGGACCCUUCGAGGGUGGAGCCCUCCGUGGACUCGCGCAACCGUUACCCUUCGUGGGUUGAAGUCUCCAUCAACGUGGAUGUAUGAUAGCACCAUCUAUCGGAACCACGCCAAAAAUCUCCAUGUCUACAUUGCGUUUGCUCCCUCCAAACUCCUCCAUUUACCUUCAUGUGCAAUGUUUUACAUUCCGCUGCUAUACUCUUAGACUUGCAUGUGUAGGUUGAUUGCUUGACUAGUGCUAAGUUGCUAAAAUCUGCCAAGACUUAAAAUUGGGAAAAGGCUUGAUUUUUAUUUGGUCAAGUAGUCUAAUUACCCCCCCCCCUCUAGACAUACUUUCGAUCCUACACCAUUCCACUUGCCAGUCAAAAAUGAUGAGUCUAUGCUCAAAUAUGGACGACACCCUACCUUGAAGCCAUCAAUGCUAGGCUUCAAAGCCAUAAUAAACGUAUAGAAAAGUACUCUUCCAUCCUCUGUUACCUCAGUAUCUAUCUCCACAACACUCCCAGGUGACCUCUUCUCCACCUCUGCUUUGAAAUUAUAAAGCAUCCUAAAAGUAUUUGCCCAGUCACCAUAUAAUUGUUUCAUUGCCCUUUGUUUUGCCUUCCACACCGUGUUAUACUUCUCCUUAAUGGGGUAUUGCUUUCCAAGUAUACUUUAAGUUUCUUUGCAGUGGUGUUUGGUUUCUUGGCUAGAAUAGGAGUGAUCUUUUCUGCAAUCCAAAGCUGUGAUGUCAUGGUUGAUACUCUCGGUGAACUUGUAAUACAAGUAUGUUGGUGAGGGAUUUGAUUCACCCUAAUGGUACUUCCAUCAGGUUGGCGUCUAGCAGAUAUGUACUACUUGCAAGGCUUGACACUUCCAUCAAAACCUCUACACCUUGCAUAAAACUUCUUUCUAUCAGUCCACUUAGUCUUGGCACCAAACUCAUGUUUGACUGCAUAUGUCUUGAAACACAUCCUAAACUCAUCCAUGUUUGGGAACAACAUCCCCACUUCAAUAACAGGGUUUUCCUUGUCAUACACAUUUACCAACUCAUCAUCAUGUGCAUCAUCUACAUCAUCUGCAGCAUCUUCCAUCAGCUAUCCAUCCAGAUCUUCAGUUCUAUCUUUGUUAGCAUCAGUAUCAGUAGGCAUACUAGAUUCACCAUCCUUCUCCUCCUUAUCUUCAUCAGCUACUGGAAUGCCAAAUUUUUUGGCCAUCUCAGUGUCAUCCAUUGGUGCAAUGACUAAAUCAGUUGGGUCAUUUAAUUCUACUGAAUUCCAAUCAACAUAAACAACCCUUCCAACACCCUCAGAGCCAUCUUCUGCAUCACCCCCCUCAGGUAAUACUGUCACUUCACCUGUACACAUGGGCAUUAUCUGCCUCUCUGAAGCCCAAUCAUCAUCUACCAUUUGUGAAGCUAACUUUGAGGGCACAUAUCCAACCUUAGAAUCUGAUUUCAGAUCAACAAGCUAUGCAUGAAACAUAGUUUGUUUGGUUGUCCAGCCAUCUUGUUGAUCAAUUUCAUCAACCAUGUCUUCACCAUCCUCAAUUCUCACAUACUCUCCUUUCCAAUUAUCAAACCGUAACAAUGCUACCUCUUGCUCUGGACCCCAAAAAAUGCUCUCCCCAAUUUUUUUCCACCACAUUCUUCAUGGCCUUCUCUUCCAUGCUCUGUAGUUCUUGUGGAUCAAUCUCUGCAAAAUCAAUCUCCGGAUGCUACCAUCACCUAUGUCCCGCAUGCUACCAUCACCUAGCUUCGCCUUAGAAGGAAGGAAUUCCGCAGUGAAUUUGAACGUCCGAGCAACAUCCCCCCUAUUUCGGGGCAGUGUGAGGUGAGCUACCGGAAGCAGACGAGGCACAAAUCGCAUUCCUUGGAAAGGAUGCACAUUAAGGGAUUACCUUCUAGAUGUUGUUGUCUCUGGCGGCUCCAUCGCGUGCAGGCCCCCCUCCCACCCACCCAAAUCUGGAUCAAAUUGACCAAAAACACCAAAAAACAGAGGGAAAGAGAGGCGGUGAGAUCUAGCUCGACACGGAGGGGAACGGGAUAGGGUUCCUGAUUCACUCAACACAGCCGCCGCCGUCGCCGAGAACGAAAGCUCCUCUGCGCUGCUAUCACCGAGAACAAAAUCUCCGGCGCCGGCGCCGGCUCACCGCCAAGAACAAAGAGGGGGGGUACACGUUCAGAUAGGCAUGGGGACACGUUUCACCUGAUGCACUGCCAAGUGGGGCCCGCAACUAGAUGCACUGCCAAGUGGGAUCCACAUGUCUUAAACAUAACCUCACUCCCGUUGACGACCAGUUUAAUCGCCCGAGUGGACCUUGGCUAUUUGGGCCUCUGAAACAUAGUACUACAGUUAUUUUCGUCAACUAUGUCGCUUUCCUUCCAUUGCACCUCAAAUAUGUCGCACAGGAGCUAUUGACCCCUUGACUUGUUGCAGCUGGCCAUUUUCUACUACGAAACCAAUUUUCUAGGAGUAAAUAAAUAAAUGAACAACUACAGCAUACAUCAUAUGAGUUUCAGACUUUAUGAAGCCUGAAUGUUGAAAAAAUAAGAAAAAGAGACAACGUAAGGACCUCUGCUCUGUCGUGCCGAUGGAUGACAGAAGCUAAUUGCAGAUGGCCGGAGUUGCGACAUCAGCCUCUUCGAGACACGCGGAGACCUCCGUAUCUCCUCGAGCUCUCCUGCCGCGCGGGGCCGUCAGCGCCCAACAACCUAUGCGGUGCCGCCGCCGUCUGUCUCAUAGGGAACAGCAGAAAGGCCAUUUUCUUUCGGGUGCUUUGAUAAAAAAAAUCAUAUAUUACAGGUGGGUCCAGGACUACUUAUCAACAAUACAUCUCCUUCUCAAUGUAUCCGAAAUGGGGAUUUUGAAAUAUAUUAACCGGAGUCUCUGAAAUCUAACACACUAAAAUUCAGGAACCUAUGAAAACUGGUACAUUUCUUCAUCAACCAUCCUUCGAACCUCAUGUGGCAACGCAGAUAUCAGAGCAUGUGUGUCUUCCUUCUAAGACUUUUGCAUGUUGCCCCUCUAUGCUCCUUUUUUACGGCCAAUGUGUGGAAGGUCAUGUCCAUAACCUCAUUGAUAGUCAAAACAUAGACGAUGAUGAUUGUGAACAUCCGCUGUGGCUUCAGAUUGCGAUGAUGUUGCCUCAUCCCCCAAUUGUGUAGACACAGGCUCCCAUUACACAAAGGGAAUGGUGGGGCGAAUAGACUCGUACCUCUGAAGAGCGAGGAGAAGAUACAUGUAUUUGUUUUCCUCCAAUAUUUUAGAUGGGCCUAGGACAGAUUGAGAGGGGAGCAAAUCCGAAUUUAUACCACACUCACAUUGACAUCCCAAGAUGGUGGAGUAUAUAUAGAACUUCUAUACAUCUUGUUUUUAAUAGCUCAUUUUUAGGAAGGAAAAAAAUAAAUUGUUAUCAUGGGAUAUGUGUUGAGCAGGUCAUUCAAAAAUGUUUAUUUAAUCAUGUGACUGAAUACACCAGAAUCAUGUGAUCAUCCUACUUGCAUGUUUAUGUUAGUCUCCAACUUCCAAAGUAGAACCUAGUAUACAUGGUAUUCUAGUUCUCUCCUGUGUACCAUCACUCCAAGUCCAUUGCAUCAUGAAAGACGUGUGAAACGUGAGAACUGGCAUUGCAUGAUUCUUCUCCAUCUCUAUGUUUCAUCUGGAUAAAGGGUGUCAGAGUAGAUGAUGGGUUUAAUGGCAGAGAGGGGGGGGAGAGGGAGAGGGAGAGAUCUCAUUCUUGUAAAAUGUAAAAAAAAGGAAUGGAAGGAAAGGUCCACACUUAGACAAACUGAUUAGAUCCGUAAACUAAUUAGACCCGCAAAAAAAGAUGACGCUAUAAAUAUCUCAUAACAACAGAGGGAGAGGAAGGCCAUAGCUUUUAUUGUGUAUGGUGAGACCGGCUUUUCAACACCCGGGUGUCAGACACCCGGCUAUCAGGCCGUUCAGGCAAUACCUCUCAUUGGGAUAUGUGUCUGGUCCUGCACCACCAUUUUCAUUAGCAGGCAAGGUGAAUAGUAAAUGGAUGUGACAACAGAGAACGGCCAUAGAGCGGACGAGCUCGCCUGUGUUGAACAGCCUGUCACGUUACACAAGGUGCACCGAAGCAGGAGUAUUGAGCCGCACCAGAAGUCCCAAUAUAUUGGUAGAGAUAAGCUAGGUAGUUAGUUCAUAUCUAUCCUUUGUAACCUAUUCUAUCUCUUCUCCUUCAAGUCUCCUGUAAUAUCUCAACUUCUAACUUGUAUGUGCUUCAGGGAUUGCGCCCCUGCCUAUAACAUGCAACGCGUCCCCUCGCACCGAGGUAAAGACGUUUCCGCAUCUCGCACAUGGUAAUCAGAGCCAUCCUACUUCCCAUCUAGUUUUCUCUCGAUUCCAAUCGUGUCCAAAAAUCAUGUCUUCCUCCUCCGGCAUCUCUCACCCUAGCCUCAGUGGGCAGGUCAUUGAGAAACUCUCCCGCACGAACUACGUGCUAUGGCGCACACAGAUCACGCCACAAUUGCGUGGCGCCGAUGUCUUCAGCUAUGUUCAUGGCACCUCGCCGGAGCCGGCCAAGCUCCUCGCCGCCAAGGACAAGGACGGCAAGGAGACCUUCCAGCCCAACCCUCUCCACCCCAUCUGGGUCAGGGAGGACCAGCAGGUUCUCGGCUACCUGCUGAGCAACCUCUCCAAAGAGGUGCUCCUCAUGGUGACCACGAUCACCACGGCGCAGCCGCUCUGGACGACGCUGGCGGGCAUGUACUCGUCGCAGUCGCUUAGCCGCAUCAACAACAUCCGUACCUCGCUCAUCAAUGCGCAGAAGGGCAACCAGUCCGCCACCGCCUACUUUGCCUCCAUGCGCGGUCUCGCGGACGAGCUGGCAGCGGCCCGCAAACCCAUCCAGGAUGACGAACUCAUCUCGUACAUCCUCCACGGGAUGGAUCUGGAGUACCAGCCCCUCGUCUCCGCCCUCGACACCCGUGUUAGCCCCGCCUCCCUCGACGAAAUCUUCUCCAUGCUCAGCAACUUUGACCAGCGCAUGGCGCGGUUCCAUAGCUCGGGCGGCGGCAGAUUCAAGUCCUCCGCAAACGUCGCUACCCGUGGACGUGGCGACGGCUCUCGCUACCGCGGUCCUUCCCGUGGCAAGGGGAGGUCUGGUGGCGCCAGGACUAGCAGCGGUGGUGGGAUCAGUGGCGGUGGCAGGCGUGGCAACAAGGGUCGCCGUGGUGGCGACUCUGGUAGAACCCGCCCGGACACGCCGCGCUGUCAGAUUUGUGGCAAGCCGGGGCACACUGCCAAAGACUGUUGGUACCGCUAUGAUGAAGACGAGGACGACUCUCAAGAUGAUGGAAAGGUCGCUACGGCGGCUGAUGGCUCCUACGGUGUUGAUACCAACUGGUACCUCAACAGCAGCGCCACUAAUCAUCUCACCGGUGAGCUUGAAAAGGUGACUCUCCGUGAGAAGUACCACGGCAAGGAUGAGAUUCACACCGCCGAUGGUGCAGGUAUGAGAAUCAGUCACAUUGGUCAUUCGGUUAUACAUACCCCUCGUCGUAAAAUUCAUCUUAGGAAAAUUUUGCAUGUUCCUAGUGCCAACAAAAACCUCCUUUCCGUUCAUAGAAUUGCACUUGACAACCAUGUCUUCAUUGAAUUUCAUCCCUUUUUCUUCUUGAUCAAGGAUCAGGCCACGAGGAAAACCCUAUAUCGAGGUAGAUGUGUUCGAGGACUCUACCCGUUGCUUCCGGAGUUUAGAAGACACAAUAAACAAGCCUAUGCUGUUGUCAAGCUUUCUUCAACAUGGUGGCAUGAUCGUCUAGGAUAUGCUUCUUUUUCUUUAGUUGAACAUUUGCUUAGGAAGAAUAAGCUCAUGUUUGUUGGUGAGCGUCAUGUUGAAACUGUUUGUGAUUCAUGCCAAAGAGCAAAAAGUCAUCAAUUGCCUUAUCCUGUUUCUACUAGUGUUUCUACUCAACCUUUGUAAUUAAUCUUUUCGGAUGUCUGGGGUCCUGCUCCUUGUUCGGUUGGUAGACACACAUAUUACGUAAGCUUCAUUGAUGACUAUACCAAGUUCUCAUGGAUCUACCUUCUCAAGAAACGAUCCGAUGUUUUUCAAGUUUUUCAAAACUUCCAAGCACUCGUUGAAAGAAAUUUGACAGCAAGAUCAUUGCAGUCCAAUCUGACUGGGGGGGAUACGAAAAAUUAAAUUCCUUCUUCCAAACCCUUGGCAUACCCCAUCAUGUUUCAUGCCCUCACCCUCACCAACAAAACGGCUCUGCCGAACGCAAGCACCAACACAUAGUUGAAGUUGGUCUAGCUCUCCUAGCCGGUGCUUCCAUGCCCCUCAAGUUUCGGGACAAAGCCUUUCUUACCAUCGUCCACAUAAUCAACAUGCUUCCUAGUCGUGUCAUCAACAACGAAACUCCCAUGGAAAAACUCCUUCACAUCAAACCAGACUACAAGUCUCUCCGUGUGUUUGGUUGUGCUUGUUGGCCCAACCUUCGUCCAUACAACAAUUGAAAGCUCAUAUUUCGAUAAAAACAGUGUGUUUUUCUUGGGUAUAGUGCCCAACACAAGGGUGUCAAAUGUCUAUAUGUAUCCACUGGUCGCAUCUAUAUUUCACGUGAUGUUGUUUUUUACGAGACCAAGUUCCCAUUUGUUGACCUUCACCCCAAUGCUGGUGCACUCCUUCGCAAAGAGAUCCUACUUCUCCCUUCUCAUCUCACUAGUUUUGAUCAAGGGGGCGAUAAUUGUAAUGAUCAAGUGUUGACUGGCCCUCUUAAUACCACAUAUGAGCCUGGUGAUGAUGCAGGAGAAGGCACAGAAAAAAACAGCAGUCAAGAUGGUGAAGAAAUGCGCUCUACAGAGCCAUAUUUCAUGUGUCCAGGUGAAGGGAACAAGUCCCCUUCGGGAUCCGUGCUGCCAGGCGUGUCAGCCGCAUCAUCCUCAGGAGACCGCGCAGACGCGUCAGGGCGGCCACGCGAAUCUGCACCAGAAUCCGCGCCAGCCUCGUCAGGCGUGGUCGGGAGCGAGCCAUCGAGCGGCGACUCCGAGCCAGCCACGCGGCGCCCUGUGGCUGGGGAACACGCCUCCUCUGCUCCGCGCCAAUCACGCAUUUGAAUAUUCAAGCGUUUGAAUAUUUUUAAUAAAGUAUUGCAAAUGUUAAUCAAGCAAUUGAAACUUGUUAAGGCCUUGUUCGGUUUGGCAGGGUUUGAAGAGGUUUGAAAGGAUUGAAGGGGAUUAAAUCUCUUGCAAGUCAAAAUCCUUCUCAAACCUCGCCAAUCCCCUUCAAUCCAUGUGGCAAGGGGAUUAACCGAACAUGGCCUCAAUGUGUAUAGAAAAAAUGGUUGCCAUGUAAACAAAUAAUUAAUAAAAAAUAUACAAUGUGUAGGAAACGAAUGUUGAUGGUGUAUUUAAAAAUGUUGAUAAAUAAUUAUAAAUUUAUCAAUGUAACAAAAUAAAUUUCUCAUGUGUUCAACAUUUGUUAGUGGUCAUAAUACUUUUUGCGCGCACAAUGCACAUUUCUUUUAUAAAUCAAGAACAUUUUUUUACAUUCUUAAUAUUAUAAAAAUACAUAAUUACCUUUCUUAAAUACAUUUUUAUGGUGUCUACUUUUACUUAAUGUGCAUAUUACAUUUUUGUAUAACUGAUCAGCAUUUUUAUAUACACGUUUAACAUUUUAAAAAAUAUGAUCAAUAUUUUUCCAUAUGAACAAAGCAAAGGCAAUAAAAACCAACUAAAACCUAAAUAGAAACAAAUGAAAUAAAAAUAAAAAAUAAAAAAACACCGCAGAAAGAAUAGAAAACAGCAAAAAUCGAGAAAAAAGGAAAAAUGAAAAAAGAAAGACACAAAUAGAAAAUAAAGAAGAAGAAGAAGAAGAAGAAGAGAAAUAAAAGAAAAAACAUCUAAAAACCAAUAAAGAAACAGAAACAGAUCAAAGAAAACAAAGAAAGCUAAAAGAAAUGAAGAAAUACACAUUCACCAGUGACGCGAUCAUGAGCGGGCAUUUUUUUGUUUUGUUUUGAGAAAUGGACCUCCUAGUUGCUACACGAGAGAGUUAUUCCUUCCGGGUAAAGAAGCUACGAACUCGGGUGAAGCAAGACAUAGCUCUCGCGGGAAAAGAGAGCUCCUCGUUGGCGCGUUAAGCGAGGCGCACCUAUGUAUCGCUUGAUACGAGAUGAAACAUGCGACCGCUUAGGGGUCGCAAUACAUGGUUCGGCCCAGAUAGGUUCCAGGUUAGGUCAUCCUUUUUCAUGUGUUUCUACUUUUUUCGAAAAUAUUGUAAACAAAUAUAUACAAAAACAUAAAAAUUGUUACUAAAAAUAGGAGCUGCAAUUUGAAAAUGUUAAUGAAAUGUAUGUUAGCUUAAUUAAAAGAAAUAUUGGUAGCGUACAAAAAAUAUGACAUUUAACAAAUAUUCACGUGUUUCAAAAGUAGUAUGUGACUUUAUAACCAUGUAUUUCAAAAAUCUUAAAUUUGUAUGUAGACUCUUCUUUAUUUACACAAAAAAUGUACAAAUGUGUACGUAAAAAGUAGACAUAAAUGACAUAUAUUUGGAAAAUGACACUUCUGUAUUAGAAAAAUAUUAAAUAUGCAUCCAAAAUGUUCUUGAUGUAUAAUAAAUUGUACAAUACGUAUAAAAAUCUACAUAUAAACAAUUAUUUGAAACAAAAAAAUUAAUCAUGUAAAUUUGCCCGUCUCCGCGAGAUCAAUUUGUGGUUCCGAACAACGAGCUCGCUCAACGCAGAAGCCAUGGCGGUGGUUGAGGCGCUAGACAAGGAGGUAGUGUCAAGGUGUUUCCCUGGUAACAAGAGCAACCAUGGUGGUUCUCUAAAUAAUGGAGGAGGCAGAGUCAACAGAUCCCUCCAAGCAAUUCAAGUGGGCGGUGUUCAGGUCCCUUACCACAAUUUUCCUUGCGUCUGUGGAGGUGGUAAGGGUGUUACCGACAUCAAGAAGCAGUUCGAUGCUGAUUGUGAUUUCAGAUGAGGAGCUUGAGCUGCAGCGGGUGAAGAAGAAGGGCAUGGUGGUGAGUUUCCCACACGGCUCCGCCAGGCUCCAUGCCCUCUCCGCGCAGAGUAGGUGUCUCCCCGGAUGGUAGCUGCUUCUAGUUGGUGGCCGCGGAGGAUUGCGACUAGGCUGAUGCUGGAGAGGGUUGCCCGCCGGAUAUCUCAGGCAUAUUUCUAUCUGCUAAAUAUUUGCAUUCUGCUUCACAUAUUAGUGAUGGUAGAAAUGUUUUGGGUUGGAAUAAAAUUCAAUUGAAACUGAAAAAGAAACAACAUAAAUAAACACGUCCAGCUACAUGAUUCUAGAGUUUGUGAUUGGGAAAAUAAAGUUGAUGAAAAUUCGUCUUCUGUUUGUUAACCAUGUAUAAAAAUAUGCUUAUCAUGUGUAAAACAUUAUUUAGUGGCGCUAAUUGCUUUUGCACGCACAAUGCACAUUUUUUGUACAUCAAGUACAUUUUUUCUUAACAUUUUAUAAAUACAGAAUCAAUUGUUUAAAAAAUAUGCCGUCUACUUUUAUUUAAUGUACAUAGUAUAUUUUUGGUGCAAAUGAUCAGCAUUUUAAUAUAUACAUUUAACAUUUUUUAAACAUGUUCAAUGUUUUCCAUAAGGACGAAAAAGACAAAGAAACCACCUAAAACUGAAAAAGAAUCAAAUGAAAAAAUAAAAAUAAAAAAGAAAGAAAACCACCUCAAAAAGCAUAGAAAACAGGGAAAACCAUGAAAAAAAUGAAAACAGUGAAAACGAAAGAUACACAAAAAAUGAAAAAAAGGAUGAAUAAAUAAAAUAAAAAACAACUGAAAACCAAGAAAGAAACAAAAAAACAUGAAAGAAAACAAACAAGAAUAAUAAUAAAUCGAAUGGAGAAAAAAAUAAAAAUCGAUGGAAAAUAAAUAAACAAGGAAAACAGGCGAAGAAACAAAGAAAAAAAGAAGUAAACGGACCUUGCCAGUUGCUACGCGAGAGAUCUAUUUGUUCAGGCAAGAGAAGCUACGAACUGAAGUGAAGCGAGAUAUAGCUCUCGUCGCACACGAGAGUUCUUGGUCGGCGGAUUAAGCAAGACGGAGCGUGCAAUAGCUUUGGUGUCAGCUAUACAUGGUUCGGCCCAGAUAAGUUCCAGGUUAGUUCGUCCUUUUUAUGUGUUUCUCCUUUCUUUUGUUCUUAUUUUGAAAAAUGUUGUAAAUAAAUAUAUACCAGAACAUAAAAUUUAUUUAAAAAUAUAAAAAUGUUGAAUGUGAAUGUACUAAAUAUGUUAGCUUAAUUCAAAAAAAUAUAGGUAGCGCACAAAACAAUUGUGACAUUUAACAGAUAUUCACGCGGUUCAAAAAAAGUAUGCAACUUUAUAACCAUGUAUUUCCUAAAUGUUAAACGUCUAUAAAAAAACUCUUCUUUAGUUACGCAAAAAAUGUAGAAUUGUGUAUGAAAAAAGUAGACAUCAAUAACAUAUAUUUGAAUUAUGUUACUUUUGCAUUUAAAAAAUGUUAAACAUGCCUAAAAUAUGUUCGUGAUGCCUAAAAAAUGUUGCGAUGAGGAUGGCUGUCAUCUCGCACCCGCCGACUGCUUGAACAGCUAGCGUCGCUGAGCUUGAGGAACCCCUUGUAGGGACCAAAGCAGACAACCUUGACGUUGCUGGCCUCCGUCGGCAUAUCAACAAAGCGCGACGCUUUCACUGUCGGACCAAAUCAGAGAUGGAUUAGGUCUAAAAUAUAUAUUUCUUGGUUAAAGGAAAAACAUGUAAUAACUGAACUCGCACUUAAGAAUUAAUCAACAUGUUGAUUCCACCGAAGCAUGCAUGCCUCCUGGAUGCUGAAACACGACUCACUGACUAUAAAAGCAGAGGACUCACUGACUAAGUACAGGAGCGAGUGACCGACUCUCGGCUCGGGUGAGGAUAAAAAAGAUCACCUGCUGCUGCUGGUUAUUGGUAAAAUCCAUGUGAGUGCUUGAUAAAAAAUUAUGGAACAUUGUAUAUGUUGUUACACAUAAAUGUUGGGAUAAAAAGAAUCAUCUUGGUACACUGCCUAGUCUUUUGGUGGACAGAAGAUUGUAUGGUGCAAGAAGCUAUUCAGAUACAACAACACUGGGCUACAUGACAGGAAUGGUGUACACGCCCCAAGGGCCAGCAGGCAGCAGCAAACCAGGUCAAGAUGAGAUGGUCUGGGCCUAGGAUGUUGAUUCAGAGAUGCCUGACUCGACGCCAAGCAGCAGCCACCCUACACCGCAGGCCCCGGCAGUUCUCGACCGAGAGCGACUGCGGCACAGUUCAGUUGUAGAAGCAAUCACAUGCCAUUCCCCCAGCAGAGCAGAACAGAGCAGAGCAACAAUCAGGGAUCAGGCCUGUCAUUGAAUAGAAGCUGAAUGACCUUCAGCUUCAGCUCCGGCAGGCCUGCCUCCGCUCACGGACUAGCCUCGGUAUUUCCUUCCAUGUCUUCGGUUUCAAUGGUUUGAAUUCCGUUACUGCACAUACCAAAAACGAUGUCAGAAAAAGCUUGCACAAAUUAAUGUGUUAUAUCAAAAUAUAUAGCAUGAUGGCAUUCAAAUAAUGGAGAAGAAACUUCUGCAAACGUGUUAGACCAUUAUGUACAAGGGAUGGAACGGAUGACUGCAUCUGUUUGUUAAAUGUGGCAAAGAUAGAAGGACGUGCUGCAAGCAUACCUUCAUAGCAGGCAUCUAGUCGUUUGCGGCUGAUGCUGCCCAGUUGCUGCUGCAGGCAUCUAGGGAGCUUCUUUAUAGCAGGGCAGCCUCUAAUUUGAAGAUACACGAGAGACCUGUAUACUUGCAGCUCAUUCGGCAGGGAUGCCAGGGUACUGCAUCUGUCAAGAUAAAGGACAUCCAGCGAUGGGGGGUGCUCUCCCGACAGACACUCCAGCGAUGUCAGCCCACUGUUUCCCAUAAUCUGCGGUCCCUUGAGGGGUGCAGGUAGACGGAGAGUCCCACCCAACAUGCCAGCACAGUCCACUAUUACUAGAGAUUCGAGAUGGGGAGGAAGUAAAUGCUCUCUUGCAGUUGGUGUUGCUGCUGCUGGUGGCUGUGGCAUGAUAGGACUUCUGCUUAUGGAGGUAGUGACUUCUGGUUUCUGGAGCCCACCCAGCUGGCAUGAUAGGACUUGAAUACUACUACAGCUAGCAAUACGAAUGUACUUUAAAGACGGAGGAAGGUUCAGAACCGCUGGUAAGCUUCCACAUCCAGAUAAAAGUAGAUCUUCUAGGCAUGGACAAAAGUGAUUCAUGGGUGAGGAUGGCAACUCUGAUACAGCUGCAGCCCUGAUUGCCUCACUGCUAGAAGAUACUUGGACUAACUCUGCCAUGCCCUGCUGCUUGCUGAAUAUGGAGUCAAGCUUAAUGCACCUAUCAAAAUUCAUUUUCUUGAGAGAUGCCGGGACGUUGAACAUCUCUACUAAACUUGGGCAGUUUUCUAAGCAAAGAGACUCUAGACCUCUCAGGUGCUGACUCCUUUCGGACGCCAAUGGCUCAAGAGGAGCUUGUGCAUAUCCAAUCAGAUUUUCACAGUUUGUAAUCGCCAAGCUCCUCAAGGACACCAAGCUUUGGAACACUUUCUCUGGCCAGUGGACGAGCACAUCGCAUCUAUCAAUUUCCAACUUUUCAAGAUCUACAAAAUACUCACACGGCUCUAAUGCACCCGAUCCAAAGAACAAGUUGCAGCAUCUUAGCUCCAUAACUGUAAGAGGGGAUUUCUGGUUCCAUUUCUCCUUGCUGUCCACCAAUACAAUUGAAGUGCACUCAACCUCUGAUGUUGUUUCUGUGUUUUCUAGCUUCAGUAUCAGAUUGGUCAAUGAGGGCAAAUAUCUAUCUACAGAAUCGGAGAUCUCUUGCUUGCCAUCUUCAAUUUCUAAUACACUGAGUUUUGGUGCUUCAGGCAAUGCUACCAGUUUUGGGCAUUUCUGGACUGACAAUUUCUCAAGGUGGGGAAACAAUGUACCUUCGACUGCAUCCCAUCUCUGAAAGCUCCCCAACCAUUUCAUUUUGAGCACCUUUAAGGCAGGAAAGGCUGAACGUACCAAUCUAUAACCACCUUCACUACAUGGUUCUUGAAGCAAUGGUGCUUCAGGUAACGCUGUCAGCUUUGGACAUUUCUCAAUUGAUAGUUCCUCCAGACAAGGAAACACUAUCUGUUCUCCUUGAGUCUCUUCGACUGCAUCCCAUCUCCGAAAGCUCUCCAACUCUUUCAUUUUGAGUACCUUUAGGGCAGGAAACGCUGAGCGUACCAAUGUAUAACCACCUUCACCACAAGGUCCUUGCAGCAAUGGUGCUUCAGGUAAUGCUACCAACUUUCCACAAUUACUAAUAAACAACUUCUCAAGCACAGGAAAUAUUGUUUGUUCUUCUUGCCUCUCAUCUAUUUCCCACCAUCUUACAAAACCCAACAAACGUUCUAGCAUUAGUACCUUCAGUUUUGGAAAAGUGAAGCUUGCACUGCAUCUGAACAAAACUUGCAAUCUUUCACAAUGGAAAAGAUGGAUCUCAACCAUGUUUUGCAGCAUACCCAUGCACUCUCCUCCAUAGGAAUAUAUCUUCAGAACCUGCAACCCACCAUGUGGUUCGAAAUUGUCGAGCACCAUGCUGUCACAAACAGAAUUCCAUCUUAAUGUCAGUUCUCUGAGAUCCUUCUUGUUUCCAAGGUUUGCCACUUUUGCCUCUGCCUCUAUAACAUUCUCUAUCUGACAUAGCUCUAACUGACCACCAAGGUUUAAAUGCUGCAGCUCUGCAACAUCACUGCAAUCAGUGCCAGUAACUGCUGCUGCAAAAAAUGUAAGCGUCUGCAGCUUAGUGAGUUUUCCUAGUUCUGGUGGCAUGCUCUUCAAGUUGCGACAUCCAAGAGUGUAGAGGUGACGGAGGGAAGUCAUAUACUUCAUUUGCCUCGGAAGUCGAUCAAGAUGAUAGCAGUUGGAAAGGUCUAACGUUUGCAGGUUAUAUAGAAUACUUAUAUCUUCAGGAAGUGCUUUGAUAUCACUGUCUGAGAGAUCAAGGUACCUCAGGUGAUACAGAUACAUUGAUUUCAGAAGAAAUGAUUCUGUGCCUCUAAUACAGAGCUUUAAGGCAUGCAAAGAGCUAUAUUUUGAUAGAUGCUUCAAUGAGCUUCGCACAUGGCUAUCACAUAUCAGUGUUUGAAUGGCAGGGGAUUUUUUCUCCAGAGCAUCAUUCAAAAUACCUUCUGUUUCUUCACAUGACAAGAACAAAUGCCGAGCAGUAUCUGGAAGCCACUCGGUUUGCCUUGGUUCCAUAGUUGCAACAACUCAUUCCUCUUCCAUAACAGACAUUGCAAUAUCAUGCAUAAGAUCAUGGAUUUUACAUGUAUUUCUGGAAUAAUACUCCCAGUCUUCUUUACUCUUCUCUAUAUCCAGAAAGAAUGACCUUGAAGCAAGCUCAUCAAAAAUAAGUUGUCCAAUGGUUUCAAGACUAUCUUCCUUGUGUUCAGGGAUAAAGCCAUUUGUGAUCCAUAGUUGGAUCAGCUUUGCUACAUCAAUCUUGUAAUCCUUUGGAAAUACAGCACAAAAAGCAAAGCACUGCUUCAUGUGCGAUGACAAGUCAUUGUAGCUAAGCUUCAAUAUUGGCAAGAUUCCAGUUUCCUCAGUGCAAAUGCUGCUUCUAGAUGCUAUAGCCUUCCAUUCUUUCACGGUGGUCUUGGUACGAAGUACAGAGCCCAGUGCACUUGCAGCUAAAGGAGAGCCACGACAUCUGUUCACAAUCUGAUCAACCAUCUUGACUAGCUCAACAGGCUUUUUUUUUCCGGAACUGAAUGCUCGAGCCUCAAUAAUUUCCUUUAAGAAUAUAUCAUCCAAACGACCGAGAAUGUGGGUAUCUGCACCCAUAAUUUCAGCAACUCCUUUAUCACGAGUUGUUGUCAGCACCGCACUACCCAUGACACCAUGCUUAAGAUGGUCCUUCAGCCUUUCCCACUUAUGGACUUCUCUGUUCCAGACAUCAUCUAAUACAAGGAGAUACCUCUGCCCGGUGACCAAUUUCUGAAGUCUCUCUAGUUGUGGUUUGUUUGUAUGAUAAUUUUUCUUGGGAGAUGCUUCAACUAUACUCUUGGCUAGGGAGUUCACAUCAAAGAUAUCCGAGACACAGACCCACAGCAACAACUGGAAAUGCUUCUGAAUUCUAGGUUCAUUGUAUAUGAGCUGUGCUAAUGUGGUCUUACCAAAGCCCCCCAUUCCAACGAUGGCAACCACUGCGAGAUCAGCACUAUUAGCUUGGCGAAGUAGUCUACCAACAACUUCCACCUUAUCUUUGUCUCUGGAUCUGCUAGCAAUGUCUUGCAGGUCGGUGAUAACAGAAUCCGUCUGCCUCCACUGCUUGGACACGGGUGGCUGUGGUCGGUACUUGAACCUAAAGGCAUGCAUCUCUGCUAUGAGCACAUCAAUGGCCUUCAGGAUCCGGCAAAGCUUGCGACCCAUUUUGUAACGGAACACAAUACAGUUGUGAGUAGGGAAGAGUUUAAUUACAUCGAAGCCGAGCUUGCUGUAGUGCCCCUUCUUCCUGGCUUCACGACGGAGUGCUUCGUACUUGAAUUCGUCAAACACUUCAUUUGCCUCAUAUGCCACCGUCUUGAGCUCCUGGAGCCAGGUUUUGGCCCCAUCUCUAUGCUCCGUCGCCUGCUUCUCGGCGUCGGUCAUGACGUCGAGGAUGGCCGGAAGCUUGCGUUUGAGAAUCUUGUGCUGCUCCUCCAUUCCCUCCAUCACCUUGUACUGGUCCAGGAGGGAGUUGCCCGCCUUGUUCACCAGCAUGGACACCAGCGGCCGGAUGGCCAUGGCGGCCACCACCUCCGCCAUUGGAACGCCCACACGAUUGGCACAGCAACACGAAGCAGUGUGGAAUGGAGAAUGGAAUGGUGUGAGCAAGACGUGCUUGCUUUGCUAGUAAUGAAACUGGAAGCCAAGGUGAGUAUUGACUUUCUGGGAGCGAAGUGGAUGAGCUCGCGUUACGGGAACCAAUCACAACUAUCCAAUCCUGAACAGCUCAGCACUGGGCAUUGUUUUUGGGCUGAUGCAUAAUAGGACAAUCAGCAUACCACAUUAACAGCUGGGGGCAUCUUCAUUUCUUAAUGAGACACAACCAGAGUGCAAGACGACGCGGGCAACCAUAAUAUUGCAAGUAGAUCAUUGUAUUAGGUAUUUGUGUCAGUACAUCCAAUCCAGUUUUUCAAAAGUGACGUUUCACUGGCUGUGACCUUAGCAGAUGGUACGAAUUUCCUUAACAAAUACAAAGAGUUGCAGGAAUGCAAAUUAAAUAAUUACUUCCACUGGCUAGACGUGUGACAGCACACCUACUGCCUAACUACAGCAUAUACUUAUCUCAAGUGCCUGCCGCCCAGGGAGACCAGAAUAAUGGUGUUCUUGGAUUAGUUGAACCUUCAAUGCAUCACUACUUAUCACCGAAGCAUUAUUUUAUUGUUCUUUUUUUUUUGGAAUGGCCUCUAAGUAUGAUUGAGUACAGGAUUGAUCUCAGAGCAAACAUAAUCGGCUGGCAGAGAAUUAUGUCUUGUUCAUAUAGUCUGAUGCAAUUUUGUGGUUACACACUCCUCAGUUUUUAUAACUAAAUACAGAAUUUUAAUCUGUUGACAGAUCAGACAAACGUAGAAACAGUUAGCAAGAGCCCCAAUGAGAUUAUAUGCAGCAUCAUUUUAAUCGGAAAGCAAUUGCCCUCAUGAGAUCAGCAACCAUACACAGUGCCAAUAAAAAAAGGUGGCUCGUACUAACGACGCAGGUUUCAAAUUAAUCAAGUGGCUAAACCGAGGCAUCGACAGCCAUAUGGGACAAUGUGCACUUCAGUUAGAAAAUGAACACUUGCAGGCAGUAAAAUAAUUUAUGUCAGUACACCCACGAUAUUGCAAAUAGAGUAUUAAUUACGUAUUUGUGUCAGUACAUCCAAUGCAGUUUUUCAAAAGUGACGUCCCAUUGGCUGUGACCUUAGCAAAUGGUACGAAUUUUCGUUCUAAGUACUACAAAAAGUUGCAGGAAUGCAAAUUAAACAAUUACCUCCCAUGUCUAGACGUGUGAGAGCACACCUACUGUGCAACAACAAAAUAUAUUUCAUCUCGGGCACUUACCGCACAGGGAGGACCACAAUAUUGGUUUUCGUGAAUCUAAAAUACAUCACAUGCUUCCUGCUGAAGAGGGAAGACCCGGUGGCAAGUGGUUAAUUUCUUGUCCUUUUUUAAUGACACCUCUAACUAACAUUGAAGGGGCAUGAUUGAUCUCAGAGAUGAGCAUAAUAAGCUGGCAGAUGACCAUCCCUUGCUCAUAUGGACAAAUGAUACACUUAAUAUACUGAUAUGAUAAAAUACAACUUGACAAUCUCCUGAUAUUCGACGAUGAAAGAUAUGUAUGAGUAUGCGAUUCAAUUUGGUGGGCUUAAUAUGUUCCGUUAUUGAGAGACAGUGAAAAGCGGAAUAAAGGGCAGGGUGGAAUUCUCUAUAUCAGGUUAAGGAGAUCGUCUUAACUAACUAAAAUCAGAUGAAGCCUAACUUUGCAACCAUACGACGGAAGCAACAAAAAUAAAGACAGGGAGCCAGAACAGAACAAAGAUAAAUUCCAGUGCCCUUUUAUUGAUCACUGCCUAUGGCCAUAUAGAUGAGAUCUGGGACUCGGCCAGCUGAAACAUUCCUCUAGAAAGCACAUUUCCGCUGAUGCACAUAUGAAAUACGACAGUACAAAGCAGAAUAAACACUGAGAUUAUACAGAUGAUUGGACGCUGUAACUAAGUUGGAUAUCGCGGCGCGCAUAGGCGGAAAUGAGAGAGAAACGGAAUGUCCAAAGCCACAAAUGUACAUCGCUGUCAGGCUACCCAGCUGAAUCCUGCUUCCUGCUGACCCUCCUGAUUCACGCAGACGCAGCUAGCAUGGAGAUGGGCACGCCUCUCGAAUUCAUGUGAAUCGAAUCGCUGGAAGAGACGGACGGACAGGAUCAAUACCUUUGUGUCGACGGGGAGGGGAGGCCGGAGUGGCUGCCGUCGACGUACGGCGCGCAGCCGACGGGGGAGCUCCGGGACCUUCUUGUCGACACCAUCUGCAAUGGAAGUAAAAAAGAGCUGUUAGAAGAGGAUACGAGAGAGGCUCACGGUAGGAAGGAAUGGGGAAGGGGGAUGAGUGAGUACCUCGAGCGGCCGCGGUGGUGGUGGGCGGGCGGAUGCGGAGGGUGGGAGGGAGGCUGACACCUCCGCCGCCACAGACGUACGUGGAGCGGCCACGGGCGUUGCGUUCUGGUAGAGGCCACGGGCAGUGGGGUCCGGGAGACGUCGUGCGCCGGCGAGGAGGACGGGGAAGGGGAGACGAAGACGACGCGGAUCGGCGGAGUGUGGGCUGGGCUUGUGACGUUGGGGCCUCCGAAAACUAUAGCCCAGUUCGAAUUGGUGCCCUAACACACACAGCGCUUACGUCGGCUAAAUCCUAUUUGGCGCCUUCAGCGCCCGCUAUAGGUCUUUCGGCCGGCCCAGUUUCGACAUUUUUUCUGUGUUUCCAAAAGGCAAAAAGGGCGCUAGAGCUGGGUAUCGAAAACGCUACAACCACUCAACCACACCCCUUGGUGUGAUUGGUUACAUGUUUUCUCGUCUUUUCUUAUGCUUCUUUUCCUUUUUAUUCCUUUUUUUCUUUCUUUUUUCAAAUUCGCAAAACUGUUUCUUCAUGAAUAUUUUCUGCAAAUCGAUGAACUUUUCUCUUUGAAUUUGAUGAUUUUUUUCGAAAAAUUUGAUGAACGUUUUUUCAGAUCCGAUGAACUUUUUUUUGAAUUCCAUGAACUUUUUUCAAAUUCGAUGAACUAUUUUUCGAAUUCAAUGAACUUUUUCUGAAUUCGAUGAACUUUAUUUCGAAUUCAAUGAACUUUUGAUCGAAUUCGAUGAACUUUUUUAAAUUUGAUGAACUUUUUCAAAUUCUGAUGAACUUUUUGAAAGGACAAGAGUACAUACCGUAGCAAAACGGUUUGUUUUUUCCAAGAAAAUCAGUACACACUGUAGCAUUUUUUGAGCGAGAGAAAUAAAAAAGUGAUCGAGCGGUAGCUAGCGACCGAGCGGCGACAGCAGCGAGCGUUGCUGGGCCAGGCCCAUGCAAGCGACGCAGUGGGCGCCGUGUUCACUCGCUCCACCUCUGCAUUGAUGUCUCUAGCUUGUAGCAAUUGCCAUCCUUUACAUGUAAAGAGGAUUUGAUGAGUCAUGUCAUGCUCUAUAGGCGUCAGUUCAUCUUAUCACCUUAGAGGAAAAUACAAAGUUAGUUUUUCGAAAAGCAACCGAGCCUAGAAGAACCGUACCCUCGACACGCAAGGCUUUAGCAUAUCUUAAUAGCCGAGACACGAUUGCGACUUGGUUCCACACAAGUUUCGUCUUUCUUGUUAAUGGCUGACAGCCCAUACAAGAUUCCAAACUCGGUUGCAAAAGUGAUACUAUCCUGAUAAGUGCGUGACAUGUAAAGUGAAUAAGGUGAUUCAUCUAUAGCAAACUUUAGGAUUUCUAUACUUUGUGUAUAAUCAUAUGCACAACUAAAAAGCAACUUUGAUGAUCAAUCCAAAAGUACGCUUGUAGCUAGUGCAACCUAACACAAUGUACCAAAAAUCCAUUUCAGAAACAUCCAAACAUAAUUAUUAAAGCUGAUGGAAAGAAGGAAAGAGAUGGUGCCCGGGCUACUAUAAAUAGGCAUGAAGUAUCAAGAUCAUCACAGGCACAAUCAUCAAAACCAAGCAAUACUAGUUAACACCAAUCCACCAUGAAGACCUUCCUCAUCUUUGCUCUCCUUGCCAUUGCGGCGACAAGUGCCAUUGCACAAAUGGAGACUAGCCGCGUCCCUGGUUUGGAGAAACCAUGGCAGCAACAACCAUUACCACCACAACAACAACCACCAUGUUCACAGCAACAACAACCAUUUCCACAGCAACAACAACCAAUUAUUAUACUGCAACAAUCACCAUUUUCGCAGCAACAACAACCAGUUCUGCCGCAACAGCAACCAGUUAUUAUACUGCAACAACCACCAUUUUCGCAGCAACAACAACCAGUUCUACCACAACAACCACCAUUUUCACAACAACAACAACAACAACAACAACAACAACCACCAUUUUCGCAGCAACAACAACCAGUUCUACCACAACAACCACCAUUUUCACAACAACAACAACCACCAUUUUCGCAGCAGCAACAACCAUCUUCACAACAACCACCUUUUCCACAACAACACCAACAGUUUCCACAACAACAAAUCCCUGUUGUUCAACCAUCCGUUUUGCAGCAGCUAAACCCAUGCAAGGUGUUCCUCCAACAGCAGUGUAGCCAUGUGGCAAUGUCGCAACGUCUUGCUAGGUCACAAAUGUGGCAACAGAGUAGUUGCCAUGUGAUGCAACAACAAUGUUGCCAACAGCUGCCGCAAAUCCCCGAACAAUCCCGCUCUGAGGCAAUCCGUGCCAUCGUCUACUCCAUCAUCCUGCAAGAACAACAACAGGGUUUUGUCCAACCUCAGCAGCAACAACCCCAACAGUCGGGCCAAGGUGUCUCCCAACACCAACAGCAGUCGCAGCAGCAGCAGCAACUCGGACAGUGUUCUUUCCAACAACCUCAACAACUACAACAAUUGGGUCAGCAGCCUCAACAACAACAGAUACCACAGGGUAUAUUCUUGCAGCCACACCAGAUAUCUCAACUUGAGGUGAUGACUUCCAUUGCACUCCGUACCUUGCCAACGAUGUGCGGUGUCAACGUGCCGUUGUACAGCUCGACCACUAUUAUGCCAUUCAGCAUUGGCACUGGAGUUGGUGGCUACUGAUAAGAAAAGAUUUCUAGUAAUAUAUAGUCGUUAGAUCACCGUUGUUUAGUCGAUGGAUAUGUCGAUGUAGCGGUGACAAAUAAAGUGUCACACAAACGUCAUGUGUGACCCGCAAACUAGUAGUUAAAUUCUGGAAUAAAAUACAAAUAAAGUUUUCUCUAGACAAUGUUCAUACCGGCGUUCUGUGGACGUCGAUGUGACUACCAUGCUUGCAAGUUCAUAAGUUCGUCUUGUCUGGUCACAAACCUGGUGCGUUAAUUUAUUAUUCAUGUAUAGAAAUAAUCAAAAUUUAAAUAUAAUAGUGUUAUUGUAAAAUUUUGGUUGAGUUGAAGCAAGGACUAACAUACAACUCUUUAAUGGUUGGAGAUUCAAGAUCUUAUUUUUAUUGGUUUGUAUCUGGUUCCAACUACCACCAUGGUCUACAGUGACAACCACAACUGGUUUGAUCGUUAACUCUCUUUGCUUGGUUUUUUUGCAAAUAUGUUCAUUGAUUCUUUGCACAAUUUUUUUGUCAAGAAAAAGGUCAGCUUUUGCUUGAACUUCACACACACACACCACUACAUAGUUAAUUCGAAAUAAGUUGCUGGUGAUGUCCUAGACCAGCUAGCACAGUCAGUGUGUGUGGGGAGGGGGAGUUGUUGCAUGCGUAUUCUUCGCGCAUUAUUUUAUUUUGUUCUUUUGAUGCUCUUACACCAUACCACAUUUUUACUUGAUGGAAAGCAAAAUAAACAACGCAGCUAGAAACCAUAGAACUUGAUACUGGGUGUGUGUCAACUUCACAUCCUCCUCCUUACGUCAUUUCAAUUGGAAAGCAAUAGCCCUCAUGAGAUCAGAUAUCCAUACAUAAUGCCAAAAUAAACAAGGUGAUGGCAUUAACGAUGCAAGUUUUAAAUUAGUCAAAUGGCUAAACUGAGGCACCGGCAGCCAUAUGAGACAUCCACGAGCAUGUAAUCCAUCUUAUUGCAAGUAGAGCACUGUAUUAUGUAUUUAUGUCAGAACAUCCAGUGCAGUUUUUCAAAAUGACGUUCCAUUGGCUGCAACUAGCAAAUGAUACGAAUUUUCUUUCCAAAUACUACAAAAAGUUGCAGGAUUGCAAAUUAAACAAUUACCUCGACUGACUAGACGUGAAACAACACACCUGCUGUGCAGCAACAACAGAUAAUUCAUCUCAAGCACCUACCCAGCAGGGAUUAGUUCUCGUGAAUUCAUGGAAUUUAGAAUGCAUCACAUGCUUACUGCUGAAGAGACAAGACCCAGAAGCAAGUGGUCACUUUCUUGUCCUCUUUAAAUGACACCUGUAAUUAAGAUUGAGUACAUCAUCGAACUCAGAAGUGACCAUAAUCUGCUGGUAGACCAUUAUUUCUUGUUCAUAUGAACAUACAUAAUACUUAAUAUACUGACAUGAUACAAGGCAACUUGACAAUCUCCUGUUAUUCGAAGAUGAAAGAUAUAUAUGAGUAUGCGAUUCAAUUUGGUGAGCUUAAUAUGUGCCGUUAUUGUGAAACAGUGAAAGACUGAAUAAAGGGACAUAUGGAAUUCUUUUUAUCAUAAUAACGAGUUUCUAAACACAGAACGAAAGCAACAAAAAAUAAAGACAGAGCGCUAAAAUUUCAGAGAAGUUUUUGAAGAUAUAAAAUGCAGUGCCCUUUUAUUGAUCACUGCCUAUAGCCAUAUAAAUAAGGUCUGGGACUCGGUUCGCUGCAACAAGCCUCUAGAAAGCACAUUUCCUCUGAUGCACAUAUGAAAUUUGAGAGUAAAACAUAAAAACGCCGAGAUAUACGGAUGAUUUAAUGAUGUAACUAACUUGGAUAUCCUUCUAGUGACCACGGAAUGGACAAAUUUUCUUCCGAGACGUCGAAAAGGGAUGGAACCUCCACACCCACUGCUUCUCCUUCACCUGCAUAGCGUGCGUAGGCGGAAAUUUGAUGAGUAUUUGAAGUGACAUCCACAUAGAGCAGGAGUUAUUCGGCUAGCAAAGUGCAAAUGUACAUCACUCUCAGGCUACAAGACUGAAUUCUGCUCGAUGAUCUUCCUGAUUCAUGCAGCGGAUAUGCAAAUGGGCGUGCCCCUUAAAUUCAUGUGAAUCAAAUUGCAGAAGAGACGGACAAACAGGGUUAAUAUAUACCUUAUUUCUUGUGUUGACGGGAUGGCUGGAGUGGCUGUCGUCGAUGUACGGCCCGCACUCGACGAAGAGCUUGAAGACCCUCUUGCGAAGACCAUCUGCGAGAGGAAGCAAGAGUUGAGGUCAGAAGAGGGUACAGUAGAGGUUGAGGGUGGGAAGGAAGGCAUCAACACUAGUAGAAAAAGGGCCUAAUGUGAAGCACAUUAGUCCCGGUUUGUAACAAAACCGGCACUAAUGUGUCCAUUAGUGCCGGUUCCAACGGCUAGGCGGGUGGAGCUAAAUUAGACUGAAUUGAACUUGUUCUUUAUAACUAGCUUGGGACAGAAAAAUUACUAUGAAAUGCACUUGAUUAUACUUGAUUUUAUGGGCUACAAAAAAUAUCAUCCAAAAAUGCUCUAAAAAACACGUUCUAAAGUAGGUUUGGCAGGAGAUGCGGCACAUUAUCAUUCAGAAAUUAGACCAAGAUAAAUGUGGAGUUGGCGGCUCAACACUCUAUAAGACUGUAACAGGUUGUCCCAGUGUCUCAGUCCUUUAGGACAUAGAUCCAGAAAAUGUAGAACUAACAUAUUAGCGGUUAGGAUCAUAUUUGCAAUGUGGGAACUUGGUGCGCUCGCUCCAACAUGCCUAGUGGAAGCAUGUGUCCUCUGAUGCACAUAUGAAAUAUGACUGGUACAAAACAUAAGAAACACUGAGAUUAUACGGAUGAUUGGAUGCUGUGGCUAACUUGUGCGUCGCUCCAGUCAACUGAGUGGACGAACUCGCUAAGAGCUUUCUUCUCGGAGAUCAAAGGGGACGGAACUUCCUAAGAGCUUUUGAUUCAACCUCCAUGCUAACUAACUACUUCUCCACCUGUUUAGUGGGCGUAGGAGAAAAUUUGAUGAGUAUUUGAAGUGACGUCCACAUAGAGCACAUAGCUAUAUUCAGUUAGAAAAGCCACAAAUGUACAUCACAUCCAGAUUAAUGGAGGUGGAAUGUGAAUGUGUGUGCCCUUAAAUUCAGGUGAAUCAAAUCGCAGAAGAGCCAGACGAAUAGGAUAGAUACCUUGAGUGGACGUGGAGGACGGAGUGUCUGCAGACAAUGUAUGGCCCACACCUGAAGGAGACCUUCUUGCCGAAAGCAUCUGCAAGAGGAAGUAAGAACAUGGUUGUUGACAUCAGAUUUUGGCAUGGUACAAAAAGCAAUUAAGAUUGCCCCAAAUGGAGAAGUGAUUUACAUGAAAAAGUUCCAUUUUGUCGACCUGAACAUCUUUGAAGUUUGUGCCAUCGCCAUCUAAUCUCAUCUCGAAGGCCAAAGUUAUGUUCGAAAUACUGAGAUUUUGUAUCCAGAGCACUGUUCGGCCGAUUAUGCCUCAAGGGAUGGUCACUUUCUACAUGAAUUGUCUUCGUCUCAUCAAAACGGUCGAUUUUGAUAAAAAUUCAUGUCAAUCCGAGGUUGUAUGUAAAAGUUAGAGCCACCCGAGUGCGGUCAUGAGCCAAAAGUGGCGAGUAAUAGUCUAUUUUGCACGAGCAAUUCGUCCCUGAAGUUGGCAUCUAUUCGAAACAUGUUUAACAUGAAUGUUGUUCGUCUCGGUGAAACGGUUAAAUUUGGUUCUUACACGAUUUUGAUCUGAGGUCAUUUACUACCCAAAAAAUGACCCGCAAGGUGAAGCCAAUUUUUAGAUCGAAUAGUUUUGGGAAGUUCGGAUCGAACAAUCCGAAUAGGAAUCAAAUUAGGGUUUUGGACAUGAAUUCUAACCUUUCCUUGCACGGGAAGUCCAUCCACCUCUUAUAUACAUGAGGGGUGACGGCCGAUUGAGAAACAACACACAAUCGCAAAACCCAUCUACAAACUUUCAUCUCCUAUCCUACUUUUCUGCUUCUCGUUCAUCAGUGUUCUUUGCUUCGGAGAGCUCUGAUCUAUGAAGUCCUAGGGGUGGGCGAACCAACCUAGGGCAGCCCAGCACUGUCGUGCGGCCAGACAGGGUCUCUUCCGACCGCGUGGGGUUUCGGGUCUUCAAAAGCGCUCGCCGGAUUGUAUUGCGUACCACUCUUCCGGUGAGCCUCCUUCGGCGAUGUGUCUUGCGUAUCGCGCUCGACGCCGAGGGUACACGGUGACGUGUUUGUGUGUGAACACACUUUUUGGCGACUCCGCUGGGGACCAAAGAGCAAUCAUCAUCAUCCAUCAUGGUCAAUCUUCCCAAGCCAUCUGAAGUGGAUGCCGAUAACAUCAACAAGCCCAAUUUUGAGGAAUUAUCGGCAGAACAUCGCCAAGCUUGUGAGUAGUACAAGAAGGCACGUGAAGGGAAGGAGAUGCAGGAGUUCCUUGCUAAGUUCAAAAAGGAUCGCCAAGGCAACAUCACUUCAAUUGAAGAAAUCAAGUUUCCUCCUCUUCACAAUGAGUAGGUAGAGUCGGCUGAAAUCACUACUCUUAUUGCUCAGAAUAAUGAUCGAAAAAAUACUCCUCAAUCAUCUAAUGGUAGAAAAUAAUACUGAUCGAAAAAAUACUCCUCAAUCAUCUAAUGGUAGUGGUAGUAUGUCUGCUGGUGUGGAAAACUUUAGUCCAAAUUUACCUAUUCCAGCGGUGCUGCCCAUGCCAUUGAAUUCUUAUCCCAGUCAGACAAACCAACUUGUUGCUCCACCAUUUAAUCCAGCCAGGAAUAUGCCAAGUUCAGUGAAUCCAACUGCAUUGCUAGGUUAUGGUUCGGCAAGUCCAAGUGGAUUGCUGCCGAACUAUGGUAUAACAUACACACCACCAUCUCUUCCGACUAGCACUAUACCAACUAGUAGAAAUCAUAUUCACCAUGCGCCACAACCACACGCAACGCCGCUCAAUACGAGUGAUAUUUUGGCUAAUGUCAGAGAGGAGAUGUCGAGGGUGUUCCGAGAGCAUUGCGGGAUUGAACUACCUCAACCACGAAUUUCUAGGAAACCAUAGCUAGAAAUUUUUGAUGUCGUGCCAUGUCCUCCCGGAUAUAAAGUUCCAGAUUUUGUUAAAUUUAGCGUAGAGGGAAGAAAGACUACAUGGGAGCAUGUUAGUCGGUACUUGGCACAAUUAGGUGAGGCAAGUUCACGAGACGAGUGGAAAGUACGUUAUUUUCCUUUAUCUUUAACCGGUACUGCUUUCCCGUGGUUUUCUGCAUUACCACCCGGUUCUAUUACUGCAUGGUUUCACUUGGAGCAAAAGUUUCAUGACCACUUCCAGAGUGGUGACAAUGAGCUUAAACUAUCCCAUCUUACAUCGGUUAAGCAAAAGCAUGAUGAAUCAGUCUUCGAUUAUGUCAAAAGAUUUAGAGAUACAAAAAACCGGUGCUAUAGUUUGGUGAUAACCGAGAGAGAUGUGGCUGAUCUCGUGCUUAGUAGUUUGAGAACUCACAUUAGAGAGAAGCUGGAAGGCUAUGAGUUUUCAAGUAUCAACCAUGUCUUAGAAAAGGGCUUUGGCUCAAGAAAGCCAAAGCAAAGAGUUUAAAGAGGUGCAUAGGUAUAACACUGAUCAUCCUAAGAUAAAUAUGAUUGAGUAUGAUGGUGAGCACUCGGAUGAUGAGGGUGAUAUUUAUGAUACUGAAUUUGUUUGGCCAUCUAAGGCCAAACCAUUUACUUGCAAUGAUAUAAAGCCAAUUUCAUAAGAAUCGUGAUGAAGAGAUGAAAAUUACUUUCAACAUUACUAAGUGUGAUAGAAUAUUUGAUGCUUUGUUGCAAGCGAACAUUAUUAGAAUAUCUCAUACUUUACCGCCGUUUCAAGAGCUGAAACGGCGUGCUUAUUGCAAGUAUCAUAAUUCUUUUUCUCAUGCCACUAACGAUUGUAAUGUUUUUCAACGACAAAUACAGCCGGCCAUUAAUAACGGACGAUUGAAAUUUUCUCAGAUUCCACUUGAUAAGCAGCCCUUUCCAAUGAACACCAUGGAUUUGGAGGGAAAAAGAUGUUAAUUCGGCCCGAUAUAGCCGAAUCAGCUAAUAAAAAUAAGAUUGUCAUUGGUGAGCCUCAGAAAAGCAAGGAAGACGACAAGGCCUUGGGGAGACAAGUUGUGCUUGACAAGCGACCCGGUGGCAAGGAGAUCAUUAAGAUCACCAUCAAGAANNNNNNNNNNNNNNNNNNNNNNNNNNNNNNNNNNNNNNNNNNNNNNNNNNNNNNNNNNNNNNNNNNNNNNNNNNNNNNNNNNNNNNNNNNNNNNNNNNNNNNNNNNNNNNNNNNNNNNNNNNNNNNNNNNNNNNNNNNNNNNNNNNNNNNNNNNNNNNNNNNNNNNNNNNNNNNNNNNNNNNNNNNNNNNNNNNNNNNNNNNNNNNNNNNNNNNNNNNNNNNNNNNNNNNNNNNNNNNNNNNNNNNNNNNNNNNNNNNNNNNNAAAUUUGUUAAACCAAAGAAUCCAGAGGUUGGCAAGUGGAAGACGAAUGAAGCUAAAGUACAACGCAAGAGAAUCAAGCCAACUUUUGUUAUGUUGCUAUGCAAAUGUGCCAAUCAAGCGGCCAAUUCUAGCUCUAACCGGUCAUCAAAUUUAAAGCUCUCCAGGUCACCUCCUCGACAAGAAUUUCAUCAUCAUGCAAGGCCAUAUGGGUCUUGGGCACCUUGACCAUCGAUGGCACCACCCCCCCUAUGUGUCAUACUACAUGGGAAACUUUAAUGGAGGAUGGGGGCAACCUCCAAUGACCCCUUAUGCUUUUCAUCCGGGUUGGGUAGAACCAAGGAGGCCCGUUUGUGAGAGGCUUUCUUACCCUAUACAUGGCCGUUUGAACAAUGGUGUCAAUCGGCCAAUGCAGGAUAAUCAAAAAAGGUUCAGCAAUCAAGUGUGGCGAGCUAAAUCACCAAGUGCUGAAAUUUCAGAGGCUAGCAACCAAAAGGAGAAGAGUACUAGUGCUGAAACUAUUAUUGUAGGCACUAAAGAAUUAACAAUCAAAUAGCCGAUUAUUGUUGAUAAUGCAGCUAUUUCUAACAAGGAUGUGGCUGCUGUCCAACAAGGUCCCGUGGCUAAUGAUCAUGAAGCUAGCACAAGCAAGGCCAAGCUGAGGGAUCCAAAAUAUACUUAGCCUAAGUGGUGUCCCUCCGGUCUGACCAAGGCACAAAAAAGUAGGUUGCAGCACAUGAGAAGCCACGAGAAGGAGGGAUAAGAAGCGGAGAGGCAAAGGGAUAAACUGUUCAAUGAAACCCGUCCCAUGAUGUCCGCAAAACAAGUGUGGAGGCCUAAGCAAAAGGAAAACAUAGUAGCUUCUGCAUUGGUAAUAACAGCACCUACACCACCAAUGGAGGACGAUGCGACUGCUAUUACAUCGUCCACUUCACCUAUUACUUCCUCUUCACUAGGAGAUAUUUCGGAGUCGAUGGACAUGCUUCAGGAUGGAGAUGGUAUUUUGGAUUAUGAGUCUACACCGGUUCAUGAAGGUAUUGAUAUUAAUAUGGUGCACUACUUACCCGCUGAAUUCCGUGCUAUAUAUGAAGAAGGGCAAGUACCUCAGUUGGAUUUUGGUCCUAAAAAUGCUAUAAUCGAGAAGCCAAAAGAAUGGGUGACGCACCUGAAGCCAUUGUUCCUUAAAGGUCAUAUUAAUGGAUCGCCGAUUGCUAGAAUGCUUGUUGAUGGUGGUCCUGUGGUGAAUCUUAUCCCAUAUUCAGUCUUAUAAAAAAUGAGGCUGCGUGAUGAAGAGUUGAUAAAGACCAACAUGGUGCUCAACGGAUUUGAAGGUAAAGAGAAAAUUGAAGCCAAAGGUGUGAUGUAUGUGGAGCUUACGGUGGGAAGCAAAACUUUGGCUACCGCAUUCUUUGUCGCCGAGGUGCAAGGUAACUCCAAUGUGAUAUUAAGCCAUGAUUGGGUUCAUGCAAACCAAUGUGUGCUAUCUACUAUGCACCAGUUUUUGAAUCAAUGAGUUGAUGAUGAAGUGGAAGUCAUUCAUGCGGAUAAUUCGAUCGGCUUGUGUUGCUUUGGCCGAUGAAUCGGUGGAUUGGCAACAUCCCAAUGCUACUUGCUUGACGGGGCGCGACUUAUCAGAAUUUGAUUUUCUUAGCGCUACAAAAUUGGUUUCGUGCCCCUUUCUAUAAAGCCGGUUGGCGAUAAUCGGCUCCAAGGUAUGAUGUAUUUAAAUGGAUCCUAUCUCAGAGUGGUUUCAAAAGCGUCUUGUAGAAUAUCGGUCCAAUGAGAAUGAUAUGUAUGAGUCCAUAGAAGAGUUAGAUGAUAUGGAUAAAUUAGGACAAGGUUUUACAUCGGCGAUCCAUUAGAAGAGAUAGAUAUAGCAGAUGGUUCAUUUCUUAGGCCGACAUUUGUAAAUAAAAAUUUAAGAGUCGAUCAUAAACUUAAGUUGAUCGAGCUGUUAAAAGAAUAUAUUUGUUGCUUGGCAUGGGAAUAUCAUGAGAUGCCCGGUUUAAGCCGAGAGCUAGUGGAGCAUCGAUUACCUAUAAAGGCUGGUUUUUGACCGUAUAAGCAAUCGACCAGAAAGUUUAAUCCAAAAACAUAUGACCGGAUCAAGGAAGAGAUCGGUCGUUUGCUGAAAGCUAAUUUUAUUAGACCUUGCAAGUAUGCCGAGUGGAUUUCUAACAUUGUACCAGUGAAGAAGAAAGGCUCGGGCAAGUUGAGGGUGUGUAUUGAUUUUAGAGAUUUGAAUAGAGCUACACCCAAAGAUGAGUAUCCCAUGCCCAUAGCCGAUAUGCUUAUUAAUGAUGCCUCUGGACAUAAGGUCAUUAGCUUUCUUGAUGGUAAUGUGGGGUAUAAUCAAAUUUUUAUGGCCGACGAUGAUAUGACCAAAUUAGCUUUUCGAUGUCCCAGUUUCCUUGGUUUAUUUGAGUGGACAGUGAUGACCUUUGGUUUAGAGAAUGCCGACACCACGUAUCAAAGGGCUAUGAAUUUAAGUUUUCAUGAUUUACUUGGUGUUAUACUUGAAGUCUAUAUUGAUGAUAUUGUUGUCAAAUCGGAUGCUUUUGAAUCUCAUCUAGCUGAUUUGUGCUUAGAUUUUGAGAGAAUGAAAAAAUAUUGACUAAAGAUGAAUCCUUUGAAAUGUGCUUUUGGUGUAUCGGCUGGUAAGUUUUUGGGUUUCAUUAUUCAUCAACAUGGCAUAGAAAUUGACCCAAAAAGAUAGAGGCUAUACAAAAGGUGUGGGCUCGAACAUGCAAGAGAGAUAUGCAAAAAUUCCUUGGCAAAGUCAAUUAUUUGAGGAGAUACAUAGCCAAAUUGUCAGGGAAGGUUGAUACAUAGCCAAUUAUUUGUGCACUUCUCUAGUGUUGAAAGCCCCCAAGCAUAGAGAGCCCUUUAGGCUUUAUAUUGCGGAGGAGAAAGCCCCCAGGCAUAGAAAGUCCCCUCAAGAGACCGAAGGAAAGGAGCAUGCUAUUCUUAUUUGAGUCGACGCUUAUUGGAUGUCGAGAUAAGGUAUACAUUGAGAAAUUAUGCUUAUGCUUAUAUUAUGCUUGCACAAAAUUGAGACAUUACCUAGUGCCUAGUACAUGCAUUAUAGCUUUUCAAACUGAUGUCAUCAAAUACAUGUUGCAUAGGCCAAUUCUUAGUGGUAGAAUUGGCAAGUGAGCUUAUGCUUUAAUUGAAUAUGAUUUGGUUUAUGAAUCUCUGAAAUUCAUGAAUGGGCAAAUCGUUGUUAAUUUUGUUGUUGAGCAUCGGAUUGAUGACAAGCAUGAUAUUGAUCUUAAACUUGUCUAUUAGUACCAUGGAGAUUAUAUUUUGAUGGUUCCGUUUGUAGCAAUGGACAAGGUGUUGGUAUUGUUUAUAUAUCUCCUCAUGGAGCUAUUUUUCAAGCCUCAUGCCGCUUAGAGUAUUUUUGUACAAAUAAUUAGGCCGAAUAUGAAGCAUUUUUACUCGGUUUAGAGAUGUUGCUUGCCAUAGGCGCUACACAUAUUGAGGCUUUUGGUGAUUCGUUAUUAGUAGUGCAACAAAUAUCCAGAGUAUUUCAAUGUUUUCAUGAAUCACUUAAUGUUUAUCUUGAUAAAUGUCUAGAUAUAAUUUCUACUUUGGAUUAUUUUAGCAUUCCUCAUAUAUCUAGACAUGACAAUUGGAGAGCAAAUCAGUUGGCACAACAAGCAUCUGGCUAUCAUGUUAAUCAUGACAUGUUUCAUAUUUACCAAAGGCCGAUGUCUAUUCUUGCCAACGUAGGGGAGGCUGAACCGGAGCCCACCGUUUCGGUCACAAAUGAAAAUUUUAAUGUAGAAAAUCUGGACUAGAGGAAAGCCAUUAUUGAUUAUUUGCGUGAUUCUAAUAAAAUUUUGGAUGAGGACCAAGCAAGAGUUGCUAUGAGAGAGGUUCAUGAAGGAAUUUGUGGGACUCAUCAGUCGGCUCCCACUAUGAAAUGGUUAUUGCGACAGGCUGGGUUUGAUUGACCAACGAUGAUUAAUGAUUGCUUCAGGUAUUAUAAAGGAUGUGCAGCUUGUAAAAUGUCUGGUGAUAUUCAGCUAGCUUCUGCUGCUAUGUUACAUCCUAUUAUUAAGCCGCGGCCUUUUAGAGGUUGGGGAUUAUACUUUAUUGGAGAGAUUCAUCCUUCUUCUUCAAAGGGGCAUCAGUUUGUGUUGGUGGCAACUGAUUAUUUCACUAAAUGGUCUGAAGCAAUACCGCUAACAAAUAUGACGCAUACGGAGGUAAUUCAAUUCAUAACUUAGCACAAUAUUCAUAGAUUUGACAUUCCUCAAAUGUUAACUACGGACCAAGGUUCAUCUUUUAUGUCAGAUCAAGUUAGAGAAUUUCCCGAAUCAUAUAAGAUAAAGUUGCUCAAUUCAUCUCCGUAUUAUGCCCAAGCCAAUGGACAAGCUGAGUCUAGCAAUAAAAUAUUAACCAACCUCAUCAAGAAGAAGAUUGAGGAUAAUUCAAGGAGAUGGCAUGAGCUAUUGUCCGAAGCUUUGUGGGCACACAUAAUCUCAAGGUAUGGUGCUACAAAGGUAACUCCAUAUGAGCUCAUAUAUGGUAAAGAGGCCGUUUUACCAGUGGAAGUGAAUUUGAAUGCUUUGAGAAUAGCAAAACAAAAUGAUUUAUCGGCGGUGGACUUUUAUAACUUGAUAAUGGAAAAUAUUGAUGAAGUCGCUGAUAAAUGUUUUGUUGCUUUGAAGGCCAUAGAGAGAGAUAAUUUGAGGGUGGCAAGAGCUUACAAUAAGAAGGUCAAGUUGAAGAAUUUUCAAGUUGGCGAUCUCGUGUGGAAGGUGAUUCUACCAAUUGGUUCGAAAGACAUAAAAUUCGGGAAGUGGUCUCCAAGUUGGGUAGGUCCUUUUAAGAUUACAAGGGUAGUUCCCAGAAACUUAUAUUUAGUGGAAUCCGUACAAAGGACAUUGUUACCUCGAGCUGUCAAUGGCAAAUAUUUGAAGAAGUACCACCCAAGUGUGUGGCAAGAAGCCUAGAUAAUCAAUGGCCGAUAUACGACUAUGGCCCUUAGCAUAAACAUGGCCGAUAUAUAAUUAUCGCACCGAGAAGUAUAAAUGACACAUGGAGUGUUGACAUCGUCCUUAGAAUAAACGCGAUGCAAAUUAUUUUCCGGCAUUCAAGCUCUGCCCAAAACAGAGGAUAAGGGUUGACACCAGAUUUUAGCAUGGUAGGAAAUGCAAUUAAGAUGGUCCCAAAUGGAGAAGUGGUUUACAUUAAAAAAAAGUUCCGUAUUGUCGACACAAACAUCUUCGAUGUUUGGGCCAUCGCCAUCCGAUCUCAUCUCGAAGGCCGAAGUUGUGUUCGAAAUACUGAGAUUUUGUAUCCCGAGCACUGUUCGGCCGAUUACGCCUCAAGGACGGCCUCAAAUGAGAAAACUUUCGACAUGAAUUGACUUCGCUUGGUCGAAACAGUCAAUUUUGAUAUAAAAAUCGUCUCAAUCCAAGGUCGUAUGUAAAAGUUAGUGUCUCCUGAGUCCGGCCCUGUCACGAGCCAAAAGCUACGCGAGUAAUAGUCUAUUUUGCGCGAGCGAUUUGGCACUGAAGAUUAUAUCGAAUCGAAAACUGUUCAACAUGAAAGUUGUUCGUCUCGUCGAAACAGUUAAAUUUGCUUCUUCCGCGAUUUUGAUCCGAGGUCGUUUACUACCCCAAAAAUGACCCGCAAGGUGCAGCCAAUUUUUAGACUGAACAGUUUUGGAAAGUUUGGAUCAUACGAUCCUAAUUGGACUCAAAUUAGGGUUUUGGACAUGAAUUCUAACUUUUCCUUGCACGGGAAGUCCAGCCCCCUCUUAUUUACAUGAGGGGUGAUGACUGCCCCUCCUAGAAAAAACCAGACUGGGAGGACAUUUUUUUCCUGUCCGAAAGCCGUUUCCGCCUCUUGGAAGAAGAAGAAGAAAAAAGAGAAAACACGUUUUUUUUCGUUUCCGAGAGCCUCUCGCGGAAACAAAACAAUGCCGCUCAUGGAAGAAAAACAAAAAAAUGCAUUUUUUCACGAAAGCAAAACCGUGCCUCUCGUGAAAGAAAGAAAAGAGAAAACACAUUUCUUGUCCUUUUCGUGAGGCACGGCAGUGCCUCUCGCGGAAGCAAGACCAUGCCUCUCGCGGAAGCAAAACCGUGCCUCCCGCGGAAGAAAAAUACAGGGAAAACACGAUUUUUUUUCGUUUAUGAGAGGCACGACUGUCUCGCGGAAGCAAAGCCAUGCCUCCCGCCGAAGGAAAACCGUGCCUCUGGUGAAAAGGGAAAAAAAGAAAACGUGUUUUGUCACAGGAAAAAAAUUAAAAAAAAUUGGUCCAAAACCUAGGGAAGACCGGUGAACAACCAAAAAGCCGGAAAAUUAAAAAAAAAAACAUCUAAAAUACCAGAUGGAGGUUGAGAGUGCACCAAGUGACGCGCUCUCGGCCCAUCCACAAAUGACCCUUGGGAAGGGUGGGAACGAGCGCUCUUUAGUAUUAUUUUUUGAGGCAAACCGUUCUUUAAUUAGUUGCUCCGGGGAAGGGGAAUGGAAGACGCAGAUCGGCAACGUGUGGGCUGGGCUUGUGACGUUGGGGUCUCAGAAAAUAUAGCCCAGUUCGAAUUUAGUGGUCUCAGCAAGUAAAACCAGCGCUUAUGUUGGGCCUAAUCACUCACUCCAGGCUGUGGGCCUCGCUAGCAGCCCCAUCUUACCAUUCCCCUCGUUCUCUCUCUCUCUCGCAAAAAAAAACCAUCAUUUCCGUCAAAAAGAAAAGACAUCUACCCGUCUCGCCGCCAAGAGAUCCAGGAACCCCGGGGUCGUUCCAUUGUUUUGCAUAGCGUGUAGAUUAGGUUUUCUCUGUUAGUUUUAUGUGUUCUUAGUGGCGAUGGCUUGACGGUGAAGGCGAGAGUGAUGAUGGUCUCUCGGCUCCAUUCCUGUUCUGAUUAUGCGUUCCCGGCUAAGAAGGCCAUCAAACAUAACAUAAAUGGGGUGCUUUCUUUUCUUCUUACCGAUCUCCUCCUAGUUUACCGGCUCAAGGUGUAUCGGCUCUACAAACAUCUUGUAUCCACCUCACGUCCUGGGAAAUUACUGUCGGUAACUUUCAUCGUAUUGCGAUAACAAUAUUUUCUUUCAAGAACCCGCCUUCCUUGAAUUUCGUACAAAGUUAAUUGUCAAUGUCAUAACUAAUUGCAAGACCAGGUACAGCUCUUCUCUACAGGAAGUUACAGUUUCUAAAUUGCAUGACCCUGUAUCACUUUAUGAAGCAAGCACAUCACCUUCAGCUCCUCAUUUGCAAACUUAGGACCCAUUUGGACCACAUAAAUUUUACAAUAUGUUUGCUGCAUUUCACAAGAAACCAUCGAUUUUGUGAAGAAAGAAUUACAUUGUUUCAUCGCCGUUACAACACAACAUUAAUCAGAUCACCUUAAUACCUCCCACUGCGUUUUUUUUUGGAAAAAUACACAACAUACUGAUUGACCUUAAAGAAUGAAGGAGGCCAUAAGGUCUUGUACAAUGCUAGGUGUUUAGAAAGAUAAACCGGAUUUUACUGAUACACCGGUGCCUAUUUCUACCGGAGAGACGUCUAAUUAAGCGUAUACCCUGUACAAAUAAGUAUCAGUGCUUAAGGAAAGCCUGGUUUAUUUCUCGAAGCACCUCUCCUAAGCACCUUGCAGUGUACAAGGCCGAGAAGAAAGCUCUGACUUCCUAUUGUUGCUGCAUCAGCAGGAAAAGUAGUCUUCAUUUCAAAAAGAAGCUGAAAGUGCUAGAGUGAAAAAUAUCAUAUGUACAGAAGCUGGAUAUAUAUUACCAGCAAGGUGGAGAAGUGGGGAAAAAAAUGCUCAAAUGUGGUUAUCAAUCUUUUGAAAUGCAAGCAAGUAAGCGGAUGGGUGUUUGAGCUAUCUUUGUGUGAUCAGAACAAAUCCAUGUCCAUUAAUUAGUCUUAAUAUCAUCUUCACAGUACCAGGGACUCCCGGAUACUAAGAGUGCUUAAUAAUCUUAUAAUUAGGUGGAGACAUUUUCAUUACCUGCAUACAAAUGCGUACGAAUGAUGAUAUUUUAUAUUUUUUUCUUUGCAACUUCGGAGUGCCCACAAAGUGAAAUAGAAGGUGUAAACAUAACUUCUUUCAACCUCCAGUAAAAGUAACAAUUCUCUCUCCAUGUACCACUCUAUACCAACUUCUUCAAUACCUGUUGACUCUCAUGUUUUUGUUUUCCUUCAAUAUUUCAGACGUUCUAAAGCUCGGUCGAAAUCACUCGAGCUGGUCAACCCUGCCCCCGUGUCGCCCGCAACAGACGAUACGGGGAAAACUUUCGUCGCCGCCGGUAGCCUUCCUCCGCCAGUGCCCCUCCCCCCCCCCCCACAUCGCUGCCGCAGGAGGGUCGGCCAGCGAAGUCGCGCCGCGCUCGGGGAUGGCGGCGGCGGGGCGGUUUCGUACCCUCCCCCCCGAUGCGCUGCCCCAACAACCCCUUCGCCGCCAUCACCUCCCCGCGCCGCUGCUGCCGCGUCGCGCCUGAGGGUGGGGGCGGCAGGGCAGCUUCAUUCCCUUCAUGCUGUAGCUCCUCGUCCCCAACCUCCUCGCCCCCCAGAUCCAAUCUGGUGCGCCGCGGGCUCCCCUACCCUCCAACUGCUACUGUGUUCGUCCUGCCUGUCCGACGAGGUGGCGCGGCCGUGCCCGUCGUGCACCUCCCCAGUCUACCUCUUUCACCUUGCUGGCGCAGCUUCCUUCUUGUUGUUGUUCGCUGGGGCAUGCGAGGACUCGUGUGGAGGUCACGGGCUGGCCAAGGCUCGGUCUUGCCCCGUGUUGCAGACCACCCUUCGUCUCUGAUGGCGUCUCCUUCUAGUUACGGCGGCGACCUCUGCCCGUGUGUGGUCAAGGUGUUGUUUUGGGCAGCGGGAUGAAGCUUCGCGGUGGGUCCUUGCCGACACUGCUCCGGUCCCAGCGGCCAUCGACCAGCGUUCUUCGGCCUCCCUACCGCCGUGAAUUCAGCCCCAACACUCCGGUCGCUGCGUCUCCUUCCGGCAUCUUCGGUUUGCCGGUGUUCUGGUGGUUCCACCUCCGGCAGCUCGGAGUUGUGCUCCCUUCCGCCUCCAGCUUGUCAGCGGCGCCGGUCACCAUCCCACCCUCCAUGCCGGCUUUCUACCAUGCUGCCUUCCCGACCCUGUCGACACCCGCAACAUGUCAUUUCCAAAGCUCGUGUUCUUUCGGCAGCAGGUGCAGCCCCACCACCUCCGUACCGGGAUGGUGGUUGACUAGCGGAUUGUCUUCCUCAUCUUCGGAUCCUGAUUUGGCAGCUAUGGCAUUGCUCAGACUAAGGCCAGGCGAAAUCCAUGCUCUGCUUGCCAAUGUUGGCAGAGGCGACACUCGUGAGUGCUUUGCCAUGGCCUUUAUCCGGGCCCCUCUUCGAGCGCUGGGGGAAACCCUAGGUCCGGUUCUUCGGAUCGGAUGGUGGCGGUGUCACGAUGUCGCACCCCUUCCUGAAGGCGCUAUCUUGUUCGCCCCCGGUGUCCCUGUUUGUUUGAUUUUGAGAUGUUCGACGUCGUGCUUGUUCGGCCUGCCUCUCUGUUUAGGAUUUGUGGGUGUAGUUGUGUCAUUUCCCCUGUUCGGGCUGAGCACCCCUUGUCUCUCUGCUCCGGGUUCCAUGAUCAUGCCUCUUUGGGUUCAUGCCAUGUGUUGUAUCCUCUGUUGUACGCAUUCUCUUUCUUCUAUCAAUAAAGGAUAUGCAAGCUUUGUGUAUUCACAAAAAAAAAGACGUUCUGAAGCUCUGAAGCUAAAGAUGUAAAUAAAUCUGAACUCUCGCACUCACUUUUAAAUCGUGGGGCAGUAUACUCUAAUCUAUCCAGCUCUUCCUGUAAAACAAAUAUACUGUCAGCAUGUGAUUUAUCAUUCAUGAAUCGUUUAUCAUGCCAUUUUUAGAAUGUGACUGGCAAAAUGGUGUGACUGUACAAUUCUACUUUUUUCGAAAAAGAGGAUUACCCCUAGUAUCUACAUAGAGCCAUGCACACAACCAUUUUAUUAUAUUAUUUAACGGAACCAAACGAAACAAAUAUAUGGAUCAAGCCAAAGCCACCUCCCUAGAAACUAUUGUCGUUACACGUACAAGCUUUAAUGGCGUGCCCUGACCACUUAUCAACACACAUCAUAUAUUCCGGUCGCCUCACCAAGAUGCCUGCCGGCAAUUUGAGAGCAUCUACCGGUCUAGCUAGACCCUCUGCACGCACAUCAUGCACACGCUUUAGAUUCAGCCACCGCCAUGUUCCGCGGUCCCACCUUCAAGAGCGAUCAACGUAUUCAUCUCGCUAGGCCAUCUCGACACCAGAUAGCUCCACUAUCCAGCGCGGGCGCCCGUCGCCGACACUCCGCCGUGCCACGCCACCGAGACCCUGUGUCGUCCUUUCGGUAGAUGUAACACCGCUCCUCCACUUGUCUCUUCCAGUCGGCUCCUACUCGAGACAAUGCCCCUAGGAGGGAGAACGGCGCUGAAGGCACCAUCAUCGUCCGAUCCGGGAUACCCAGAACUAGAGUUUCCCCCGGAACAACCCGAGCGUAGUGACACAACUUACAAAUGACGAUGCCUCGAAAAAGGAAACAACGUUAGAGACGCCACCAUCUGCCAUGACCGCAGUUAGCACAAUUUCACCGGAAGUCGCGUCGACAUGGAGACGUAAGCUGUCGCCGGAACGUCGGCAUAGGGCCUCCAGUCGCCCCUGACCUGUCCCUGCACGCAUCGCCUGCCGGCCAAGGCCACGCCAAGAUGGAUCUGGAUGGGACGCUAGUUCCGCGGCCACUGCCGCCACCCAUCACAUGGUCGGCCAGGUCAACGACUAAUCCCACAGCCAUGGACAAACCGGUCGCCGCCGCCAGCCCGGGUCACCACCCUGACCGCACCGGCUGAAGACACAGGUGUCGUCGCGAGAUUGAUACGGUGAACAAGGCCCGAAUCCCUCGUGCUCGACCUUGAUCAGCCACACACAAGCAUCUCUCCACGCUGACGAGGGGUCCACUAUGGGAUCCAUCGCGCCGACUUCCGCCACCGCGCCGCGGGAAUAGACUGCCCUGAUGCUGCCGCCCACUGAGGCGGGCUUCGCCUGUUCGGCCUCCUCCAACAGCGUCCGGCCGUGGGCUGCNNNNNNNNNNNNNNNNNNNNNNNNNNNNNNNNNNNNNNNNNNNNNNNNNNNNNNNNNNNNNNNNNNNNNNNNNNNNNNNNNNNNNNNNNNNNNNNNNNNNNNNNNNNNNNNNNNNNNNNNNNNNNNNNNNNNNNNNNNNNNNNNNNNNNNNNNNNNNNNNNNNNNNNNNNNNNNNNNNNNNNNNNNNNNNNNNNNNNNNNNNNNNNNNNNNNNNNNNNNNNNNNNNNNNNNNNNNNNNNNNNNNNNNNNNNNNNNNNNNNNNNNNNNNNNNNNNNNNNNNNNUUCAGCCUCUCCACUUGUGGGAACAAUAUCCUUGAAUGUUUAGUUUCUCAUAUCUUUACGAAAACGGAGUAAGGGAAAUAUCGUGUGUGGUUGCAGGGAACUCACAUCAAAUGAUUGGGAGAUGUUCAUAAAUCAGUGAUAAUAGCCUUUGCAAACAGGCUAAUCCCAAAUGAUUCAAUGAAACCAACCUUCAUGUACUCAAUGAACGUAUUAUGCAUGUUAUGCUAGUUCAAGUCAUACUAAAUAUCACUUGUCUGGCAAAUAACAACAGCGUUCUCUGAAACCAUUGCAUCAUGAGAGAAUUGUGUGAAAUGGAAAUUGACACGAUUUAAAUUUUCAGGUUCCUUUCCUGGUGAGCCUAUCAUAGUAAAGAAACCUGGAAGAAAACAUUGGAGAAAGGAAUUCACAAAAUGCGGAAUUAUUAAUACUAAAUGACUGUUGAUGUUCAAAUGCAUGUCAGUUCUAAAUAAAUAAAUGAUUUUCUUCUUCUUUCUGCUCUUCAAUGUUUUCUUCCCUUACAAGAUUCUAGCAGUCUUAACACCAUUAUGGCCACAGAAAAAAAAAACAUCUAUCCCAUUUGUUACACGAGCUAAAAAUAAAAAUAGCACAUGAGCAUGGGCUGCAGAAAUGCACAUUCUUACUUCUAAGAAUAAUGUCAUCAAGAGAAGCAAAAGGCUGGUUUUUUGUGACAAUAAUUUAUUCAAUGAAAAGAGUGAGCCCGGGUUGCACGAAAUAUGAGUUUAUCUAUUUUUCUUCCAACAAAAUAUCUGGUCUACCAUCACUGCACCUUCGAACAUCAGAGUGCACACAGAACAAGAAAUAAAGAAGCAAAAGGGCCCUUGCGUAACUCAUGUAUUUUCAAACAAUGCUACAGAAAAUAUCCCUUAUACUCCCUCCGUCUAGGUUUGUAAGUCAUCUUACGAAAACAAAAUAAUCCCAAAACACUUAGGCGCGGUGCGUUAACUUCUACCUCGUUUCUUGUUUCUUGACAUAUCAACCAAUAAGAGAUAUGGGUGUGCAUGCUUUUAAUGACUUGAGACUACCAAACACGACAUGCAGUGGUUAGUUCAUUGCAUGCAAUGCUAUUAAUUAGCAAAAAACAUUAAGUUCUCUCGUUUUCCCUCCUCCUUGGUCACGGUGCACAACAUAAGAUGACUUAUUCACUUAGACGGAGGGAGUAUCAUGGAUUUGCGCCUGCAUCAAUUGUUUCCGAGUGCUGUCAAAGAGAAAAAUUUACUAAGAUUUCCAUUGUCAAACUGUGAUGUCCGACUAGUGUUGGUGGAAGAAUCACAUAUUGGAGAGGAUAAUUUGGAGUAGGGGAUGAGAAGAAGUUGAAGAACAGAUGAAGAGGGUGAGAUGUAGAACAGAGUAGGUGAGAGUUCAAACAAUUCUCAUUUCAUCGAUAAGUUACGGCACAUGUCUGAUUCACUUGCCCCUUUUAAACACAUAGGCACUCUCUUACAAGUGGGCCCUCAAAUCCACACGCCCAGUGCACUAGAUGAUCUUCCUAUGGCUCACUCCUAAGUUGUCUCUCUCUAGUUGUUGGGCCCUUCGUCCUCCAUAUCCUAGUCCUCCUCAUUCCACUGGACUGGGAUCUUGAUUUCCGUCGAGGGUGUGGUAGAGAGCAGAUGCAUGACACAAUCUUUGUUCCAUUACGCUUCCUCAAAGUCGCCAUUUUAGACAUUGUCAUGUCUACAACACACAAUUAGACGCUUGGUGACCUGUUGCUUCAAAAAUAUAUUUUGAAAUCAUGUGCCUAGAGGUGUUUUGAAUGUAUGGCUACAAAUGUCACUGAGGUUCCUAGUUCCUGUUCCAUCAGCAUACCCUGCCGAAGUGGUAAUCUGACUUCAAGUGGAAUAAGCAAGACAGGAGAAAGAAUUAAGGUGGUAUUCAGCUCGUUUUCCCCUCACCUUUUUGACUCUCACAUUUUUGUUUUCCUCCCAUAUCUUAGAUGGGGUGAAGCUAUAUGCAUAAACAAAUAUGAAUUCAUAUCACACUCACCUCGACAUCUCAGUAGUACAACACAGGGCUUUCGUCACAGGGCAAUUUUCACAUUAGUCCCGGUUCAGUCACGAACCGGGACUAAUGUGAGCAUUGGUCCCGGUUCGUGCGGCUAAGGCAUUAGUCCCGGUUCACCUGGGCCCUUUAGUCCCGGUUGGUGCCACGAACCGGGACUAAAGGGUGCGAUGCCCAUUAGUACCGGUUGGUGGCACCAACCGGGACUAAAGGUCUAACCUUUAGUACCGGUUGGUGCCACCAACCGAUACUAAUGCGCUUUGAGGCAUUAGUACCGGUUCAUGGCACGAACCGGUACUAAAGGGCCCAUUUUCAAACUCUACCCCCCCUGGUGGACCGCCUUUUCAGUUUUAGGAAAAACAAAAGAAAAUGAUGGAAAUGUCAAAAAAAUAAAAUAAAAUAAGUUUCCCAUGUGAUAUGUGGUCUAGUUGUUGGGAAAAUUAACAAAUAUGAAUUUCGACUUUAUUUGCAAAAUCUCUCUGAAAUUUCUUAAAAUGGGCAUAACUUUUGCAUACGAACUCGGAUGAAAAAGUUUUUUAUAUGAAAAAUCAUCUACUCAAAAUCCUCAAAAACCUAACAGAAAAAAAGAUACGGGACUUUUAAGAUCUGGAGAGGCAAAAAAAUUCAAAAAAUUUCAAUUUGUGGUCAAACUGUGGUCAAACAAUAGUCAAACUAAUUAUUCUAGAAUAUUAGUGUUACUAAAUAAUUAUUUCAGUUUUUUUGAAUUUUGGUCAAAUCUGGUCAAACUGUGGUUAAACAGUGGUCAAACAAUGGUCAAACUAAUUAUUCCAGAAAUAUUAGUGUUACUAAAUAAUUAUUGUUUUUAAAAAUAAUAGUUUCAAACUCAAACAGUGAAAUAUGUCACUUCAUGCUCAAGCUAAAUUCCUGAGGGUUAAUAAAAUUGACAUCUUACUAUUGUCAGGAAAACAACAAGUGCAGACUUGGAAACGAGGGAGAAUAGAACCCAGAAGUUAAGCGUGCUCAGGCUGGAGUAGUGAGAGGAUGGGUGACCGUCCGGGAAGUUAGAUGAUUUGAAAUGAUGAGGGGUGAUUAGAGAUUAGAGGAUAAAUUGAGCAGUGAUGAGGGGUGGUGAUUAGAGAUUAGAGGUUAAAAUAAUUCAGAAAUUUGAAAAUCAAAAAAAAAGUUCGCAAAUUUUUUUUUCAAAAAAAAUAUAUCAUAAAAUUCUGCGUCCACGUGGACGGCCUUUAGUCCCGGUUCGUGUCUAAAGGCUUGGGUAUAUAUAGACCUUCUACACGUCUCCAAUCUCUAGUAGCUCUUCAUAUGAUAAAAAUAUAUUGUGAGUAUGGGAUAUGUGUUGAGAAGGCCAUUCAGGAAUCGUUUAUCAUGUGAGUAGACUGCAAAAUGACAUAACCAUUCCACGAGCAUGCUUAAGUUUGAAAACUCUUUCCCGGGAAGUAUCCUAUGUGAUUGAAUGUAACUCAUAAUUAUUAAAGAAUGUAUAGAAGUUUCUAAACGAGCGAGUGGUUGAAUGUCAAAUGCAUCUGAUACUCGGCGAAGACUUAUGUUUGCCAAAUUCGGUACUCGGCAAAGUUUCGCCGUGUUUAUUAUGGGCUCUGCCAAGUUUCUAAGAAGACAAUCCGGGUAGUGAUGGAUGCCUGAUCUUUAACAUGGAAUGUCUGUAUACAUAGUCCUCAAUGUGGGGCAUAAUGUAGUAGCCGGACAAGACGCUUGAUUAAUCUGGUUCUUCUCUACAAUAGAAACUCGCCUUGUACAUGAACAUAUUUUGUUUUGGGUAUAUAUAGACCUUCUACACGUCUCCAAUCUCUAGUAGCUCUUCAUAUGAUAAAAAUAUAUUGUGAGUAUGGGAUAUGUGUUGAGAAGGCCAUUCAGGAAUCGUUUAUCAUGUGAGUAGACUGCAAAAUGACAUAACCAUUCCACGAGCAUGCUUAAGUUUGAAAACUCUUUCCCGGGAAGUAUCCUAUGUGAUUGAAUGUAACUCAUAAUUAUUAAAGAAUGUAUAGAAGUUUCUAAACGAGCGAGUGGUUGAAUGUCAAAUGCAUCUGAUACUCGGCGAAGACUUAUGUUUGCCAAAUUCGGUACUCGGCAAAGUUUCGCCGUGUUUAUUAUGGGCUCUGCCAAGUUUCUAAGAAGACAAUCCGGGUAGUGAUGGAUGCCUGAUCUUUAACAUGGAAUGUCUGUAUACAUAGUCCUCAAUGUGGGGCAUAAUGUAGUAGCCGGACAAGACGCUUGAUUAAUCUGGUUCUUCUCUACAAUAGAAACUCGCCUUGUACAUGAACAUAUUUUGUUUUGUGGAACUUCCUCCGGAUUAAAAAUACUUGAAGAUAGCAACAUAAUUGAUGAACUAAAAAAUGGUACUCUGGUAGCAAUGGGAUAAAACAAUAUUAUGCCUUUCUUUCAUUAGUUAACUAAAAAUUUGUGCUGCAGUAGUAACGGGAUAAAACAAUAUAAGUAGAAACAAUUUUGAUAAGCAAUAACAUUUCCUUUUGCUAGGGCAACGCUAUAGGUAACUCCUACAAACUAUUUCUCCUAGGUGUUGAUUAAUAAAUUAGCCAUAUGCAAAAUUAAACUGCAGUGGAUUAGUAAUACACGGUUGAAGUCAACACUUCCGGUUAAUCUUAUAAAAUCUAGCCUCUUUAGUCUCCAAUCUCACAUUGAGACAUGGUUAAUAGUUGUUGGUAUAUCUAAAUCCUAUGGGAGGACAUCCUCUUAUUCUCAGACACAUGAGCCCAAGUAUCUCCACAAAAAGUUCACCAGACAUACAUAUCAUGUCCUUUCAUAGCCAUCCAAAAAAAGGAAGGUGCUAUGAUGUAGUGCAACAUUGAUGGAAUAAUACCAAAAAAUGUAAAAAGGGUGUUUCAUUCUCAAAAAUAACUUUGGAAGUAUAUCGGUGAACCAUCUAAACAGGAACAUACUAGUAAAUUUGUUGAGGAAAUUGUUAACUGGUAGCAGCUUGGUUGGCUAGGGAGUAGGGGAUUAAUAGGGUGAUCGGCAAGUUUAUUGGCCUAUUAAGCAAUUAAACGGAGGAUUUAUCAGUUUAUUGGCUACAUGGUGACCUUACAAGUAGGGAUUAAUUCCCAAGUUAACUGGUUAAUCAGACGAAUUCUUCAACAGGACCAGUAAUCAUGCUAAUAUGGUACAUGAUAAUCUCUUAUGGUUGAAUGAAUAUGAGUAAUGUCUGUAGCUAUCUUUAACAGUAUUUUAUUGAGUACCUAAAUAUGUAAAGUUCAGUAGUUUGUACUAUCAUGUUAUUGCACAAAAAAAAAGGAAAUCUCUCAUUCCAAUUUUUUUAGCUAAACUAAACAAAAGAUACUAGCAUGUUGCUCAGGAGAUAGGAAUGGUAGCAGGGGUAGAUAGCCAACAAAAACAUUAUGUUAUUACAGUGUGAAUAAUAAAUAAGAUUAUUUGGAUCAUAUGAAGGAUAAAGCCAUCAAUCUCGCCCAUGUGCAAUAAUUUUAAUUUGUCUUUGUGUAGUAUAUAUUGUUGAUUAAUCAUUCGUGAUGAGAUAUGCACCUUCAUAUGGUUUAACAAAUAGAAGAUGGGUGGCGCCAGAAUAAUUUUUCUGACCGUGCAAAGAUAGAGAUCUGCAUUGCUCUCAUCAAUGACCUGCAACGAUUCAUGCAUGCUUCUACUAUGAUCCUUGAGCCUAUCAAAAUUAAUUGCUAUAAUCUUGACUGACCGAGCUACUGAUAUGUGGGCGUCUUGAUGAGUAUGGCGAAUUCUCUUUUAUCUUGGUGGUUGUUCAUUUCAUAGACAUCUCAAUAUAUUGUUUAUUUGGAUGGUUUUGUCUCCUCCUUUAUUUUGGGGUUAUUUUUACAAAGAGAAGUCUAGUUUUCUCCCUAACAAUUUCACAUGGAGAAGUGUCACUCAUAUUUAUUUCAAUCACAUUUACCUCUUGACCUUAAUAUUCACUCACAUUUACCUCCUGACCUUUUGGUUUUGGUUUAAUUUUUCCAUUAAAAUUUCACAAAUGAUAGAAUCCUCCCUGGAAGUUUUAAGAAAAAAAAAAUCUAGUAAAGGCAUAUGUAAUUUUUUUGUAAAGGAGAAUGUAUUAAUAUCAAGCAGAUACCAAUUAUUCCCAGACUCUGCAACAACAAGAUGCCUAAAAACAUCCAGGAUGCACACAGCUAAAAAUUAAAAUAAAAAGGGAAGAAAAAAUGAGAAAAAAUAUCCCGCCACGGUGAUCAAUCACCCGAUGUAGCCGCACUCUAACCACCACCAAAGAUGUCACCCGGACUACAAAAUAGGUUCUCCAAAAGCAAUGCCUCUAGAAAGGAAACAAAACACAAGCAUUGUCGUUGCCCGAUCAAAGAUAUUACGUUUUCACCCUGGAGAAAGAUCAGGUUCCCAACAAUAAUGCCUUCAACAAGACUACCGCCAGGCACAACCAAUAAAGGCCAGACCUUGGGUUUUCACCUUGGAAAUCCUGAUUGGGUACUCAAAGGAGCACCGAAUAACAAAGAAGUCCUCCAAUGCCGCCACCCCCACUUGCGGAGGCUAAUACUGCAAGUCACGCACCAUUAGGCUCACAGGAAUUCACAUCCCGCCUGGACGGGAACAUAUCCUGUAAGCCAUGUCUAAACAACUGCCUAUGAAGCAAAGUCUUCAUCGCAUCCAAGACCUCGCAUUCGCCACUUGCAAGUCCUUCAAUCACGCCAUGGCAUUCUCCGUAUGUGUUGAUCCCAUGGAAAUCUUGGUGCAGACAUGUCCCAAGGUGCCAACAAAAACAGAGCUUCACGAUACCCCGGUAAACCUGGUUAUGCUGAUGUUGCGGGUGCGCACGACAGGCCCCUAUCUAGUCAAGGUGUCCAAAGAGCGCCAUAUGUGCCAGUCCUUUUUUUCCUUCAAAGGAGAAGUCCGGAAAUCGCAGAUGGCCAGAUUGAAGAUCUCAGGUUCUCAAUUGCAUGAGCUUGUGAGCAACGAGAAUGAGCAAGACCGAACAAGGGGAAACCAUCCAAGGACGGGAACACCGUGUGCACAAUAUAUAGGAUCCAAUUUGCACCAGCAAUGUUUAUACAGGAAUAACCAAAAUGUGAGUGUUGCCACGUACAUGUAUUUACUACUGCAGAUAGUUUUCUUUAUUGCACAGGUAUAAAACUUGUUCUUAAUUUUAAUCAAUUCUCUUGCACAAAUUUAUCCACAGAGAGCACAUAUAUGAUUUAUCUAACACUAUGUUUUCAAUAUCACAAGAUAAAAUCUUGUCUUUACAGAGCAAAAUUAUACACCGAUAAAAAUGUGUUGUCUGCCUGCAUGAAAUUACAUAUGCUAUGCAAAACUCUUUACUUCGUAUCGUCAUGAUCAUCCACAAUAUUAAAAUUGUAAAUAAACAAAAAAAGAGGUGCCGGCAAAUAGUUUUGGAUAGAGUAGUUUGGCACAAUAUAUAUGUUAUCCCUGAAAAUAUAACGUCUUCCUGGAUCACACUGUAGCUUCGUGAUAGUUUUGACGGCUAUGAUAACAAAAGCUGCCGACACAUGGCUCUGGAAAUAGUUAUGGCUGUAGGGGUAAAUAUAAUAGCUGACAGCUCUAAAAAAUAUUCCCGCAAAAGAAGGCAGCUCUAAAAAACAAGCCGACAAAAGAAUCAUGAAGCUACAGUGUGAAUUAUACUCUCUCCAUUCACAUUAUUAUGGGAAAACGAAUUGUGCGAGUACAGUCUGCCAAAAUGAGUGGUCGUCCAUGCACCUUGUUUAGGGGCAACUUUAUUUUAAUGUGUCUUUUUGUAGUAUAUAGUGUUGAUUAAUCGUCCGUGAUGAGAUCUGUGCCUUUGUGUGAUAUAACAAAUAGAAGAUAUAUGGCGCCAGACUAAUUUUUCCAUCCGUACGUGCAAAGAUGAGAUAUGAAUGCAUUGCUCUCAUGAAUGACCUGCAACGAUAGACAUAUGCAUUCAUACAUGCUUCUGCUGUGAUCCACGAGCCCGUCAAAAUUAAUUGCUAUGCAGUGGCUUAACUACUCAGAUGAACGUGGGCGUCUUAAUGAGUAUGGUGACUUCUCUCUUAUGUUGGUGGUUGUUCGUUUCAUAAACAUUUCGAUAUAUUGUUUAUUUGGAUGGUUCUGCUUCCUCCUUUAUUUUGGGGUUGUUUUUACAGUGAAAAUUCAAGUUUUUUCACUAACAUAUUCGCAUGGAGAAGUGUCACUCAUAUUUAUUUUCACUGACAUUUACCUCCUGACAUUUAUUUUCACUCACAUUUAACUCCCGGCCUUUUGGUUUUGGUUUAGUUUUCCCAUUCAAAUUUCAUAAAUCAUAGAAUUUUCUAUCGAAGUUUCAAGAUUUGUUUUUCUAAAAAAGGUACAUGUAUGCACUAUAUAUUAGAUCUAAUUUGUACCAGUAAUGUUACCAGCUACAUGAAUUUACUGCUGCAGAUAGUUUUUUUUUGUAUUGCAUAUGUAUAAAUCUUGUCCUUAAUUUUACUCAUUUCUCUUGCACAAAGUUAGCUUCAUAGUGCACAUGUAUGAUUUACCUAAUAUUAUUAUUUCAAUAUUCCAAAAUAUAAUUUUGUCUUAACAGAGUGAAAUAAUACACCAAUAAAAAAACAUUGUCUGUAUGCAUGAAAUUACAUAUGCUAUGCAAAACUCUUUAGUAUGUAUCGUCAUGAUCAUCCACAAUAUGAAAAAAUAGUAAAGAAACAAACAAGAGGAGCAGACACAUGGUUUUGGAUAGAGCAGUUUAGCACAAUAUAUUUUAUCCCUGUUUAUAUAACGUCUUCAUUGCUCACACUGUAGCUUCGUGAUAGUUUUAUUGGCUAUGAUAACAGAAGCUGCUGACACAUGGUUCUGGAAACAGAUAUAACAGCAGGUGUAAAUAUAAUAGCCGCAGCUCUAAAAAAUAAGCUGACAAAAGAAUCAUGAAGCUACAGUGAACUAUACUCCAUCCUCCCUUGUCUAGGGGCAACUUAAUUCGCUUUGCGAAGGAUAAUGCAUCCAUGGCAAACAGUUUCAGGGUUGUCAGAAUAAGAAAUCUUAUGCCUCCCGAUCAAGAUCUAGACAGAUUUUCAGGGCAUGGUGUGGCCGUCCAACUACCUGAUAAAAAAAAAGAUAAUGAAAAGGGCCCACAGCAUCAAACCAAUGACAGAUAUGUUCAGUUUCGAAUCUCUUAAUAUUUAGUUUGAAAGCUGCAGAUUUUCAGGUUGUGAGAGCCGAAACUCUUGGACCAAGCCAUAUGUUCAGUUUCGAAUCUGACCUAGUAGCGUCCUGGAACUAGUUAUCAUCGAUUGGCUGCCAAACUCCCCCAAGAAACUCCGCACACAUCUCUGCAAUCGAACCAGGGCAAAUUAAUUUAGCGAAGGGAACUCACAACGCAGUGUCUCUUGACACAUCAUCCUAUUUAGUGAAAACUAUUUAGAGACAAUGACCCCUAUUCAUUAUAUACUCAACACGUCUCUUAAUAUUUAAAGUAUCUUAUAAAUGUCGUAUCUAAAUGAUAUUCCAUUUAAUUAGUUUAUGGACCUUUUUUGCAUGUCAACAUUGUGGCCUACUCCAGUUGUGAAGACAAAAAUUGUGAGAUAAACCACAAAGGCUCAAAGCGUUAGUCACUAUACGCAGAAAAACAAGUUAAUUAAGAGCCAUAUCUACACUAAAUAGAACAUAGGGAAGCUCAUCGAUCCAUCACCGGCCACACUUCUUGAGUUAGGCGAAUGUUCUCUUUUGGAGACCAUUGAGGACAUGCGCAUUUCAUCGCUCCAUCUGCCUGUCACUACAAGGGAUAAGGCUACACUAGUAGAAAACAGGGUUUUGGUUCGGCCAGAAAAGAGCAUUAAUCCCGGUUGCAUUACGAACCGGGACUAAUGUGAGCAUUAGUCCAGGUUCGAGCGGCUAGGGCACCGUACAUGCAUUAGUCCCGGUUCAAAUGGGACCUUUAGUCCCGGUUGGUGCCACGAACCGGGACUAAAGGGUGCGAUGCCCAUUAGUACCGGUUCGUGGCAUCAACCAGUACUAAAGGUUAGAUCUUUAGUCCCGGUUCGAGCCACCAACCAGUACUAAUGGGGUUUGAGGCAUUAGUACCGGUUCAUGGCACGCCUUUUCAGUUUUGUAAAAAGCAAAAGAAAAUGAUAAAAACUUCAAAAAUUAAAAUCCUUCCAGAUGUAGUUAUGUUACUACAUGUCCUAGUUAGGAAAAUUUAAAAACUUCAAUUUGGACAUGUUUCGCAAAAAGUGUAGGGAAAAUGUAAAACGGCUAUAACUUUUGCAUACGAUGUCAGAAAAAACGUAUAAUAUAUCGAAAUGUUCAGCACGAAAAUCCGCAUCCGAUUUUGACAGCCUACGGCCUGUUUGUAAAUUUUUAGAAUCCUCAAAUUCUAAAAGGGAAAAAAGUUAUGCUAUUUCUGUUUUUUUAAUUUUUGUUAAAUCUGGUCAAACUAUGGUCAAACUACUUAUUCAAGAAGUAUUAGUGUUACUAAAUAAUUAUUCAAGAAUAUUAGUGUUACUAAAUAAUUAUUUCAGUUUUUUUGAAUUUUGGUCAAAUCUGGUCAAACUGUGGUCAAACAAUGGUCAAACUAAUUAUUCAAGAAAUAUUAGUGUUAGUAAAUAAUUAUUUCAGUUUUUUUGAAUUUUGGUCAAAUCUGGUCAAACUGUGGUCAAACUACUUAUUCAAGAAAUAUUAGUGUUACUAAAUAAUUAUUGUUUUUUAGAACAAUAGUUUCAAACUCAAACAGUGAAAUGUGUGACUUCAUGCUCAAGCUAAAUUCCUGAGGGUUAAUAGGAUUGACAUCUUACUAUUGUCAGGAAAACAACAAGUGCAGACUUGGAAACGAGGAAGAAUAUAACCCGGAAGUUAAGCGUGCUCAGGCUGGAGUAGUGAGAGGAUGGGUGACCGUUCGGGAAGUUAGAUGAUUUGGAAUGAUGAGGGGUGAUUAGAGAUUAGAGGUUAAAUUGAGCAGUGAUGAGGGGUGAUUAGAGAUUAGAGGUUAAAAUAAUUCAGAAAUUUGCAAAUCAAAAAAAAAAAUUUAAAAAAAAAAUCAUAAAAUUUCCUUCAGUACCGGUUGGUGUUACCAACCGGGACUAAAGGUGGACCUCACGUGGAGGGCCUUUAGUCCCGGUUCGUGUAAGAACCAGGACUAAAGGGGGAGGCUUUAGUAACGACCCUUUAGUCCCGGUUCCAGAACCGGGACUGAAGGCCCUUAUGAAGCGGGACUAAAAGCCCUUUUUCUACUAGUGCUAGUAGUGGCGCGGUUUAAAGGCAUAGGAGUAGCGCGGGUUGCCUCUCUACUUACAUUAGCAACUAUAUAAAAACUCAUCAUCAUCAUCAUCAUCAUCAUCAUCAUCAUCAUCAUGUAACAACUCAUCAGCGCGUAGCUAACUGGUUCCUAGUAAGACGGGCCAGGCUCGGCUCUAAUACUACUUACAUUAGUAGCAGCGCGGUGUUUGGCCCGUGCUACUAAUAACUAGCUAUAGCGCGAGGCCCCCCGCCACUACUAACUCUAUGUAUUUCCUUUCUACAUAUUAUACUAUAUUAUACAAUAAUUAUACAGAUUUUUAUACACUAGCAACUAUAUAACAACUCAUCAUCAUCAUCAUCAUCAUGUAACAAAUCAUCAUUAUCAAAAUGAUAUAACUCAUCAUCAUCGUAGUGAUAUAACAGCUCAUCAUGAUCAUAAUUAUAUAAAAAUGUCUCAUCAUCAUCGUCAUCAUCACCAUCAGCAUCAUCAUAAGUUAACCACUACUAGCUAAUUGUCAUCAUCCUAGGUAAGUAACUUUCAAGCACAUGACAAGUACUAUGACCUACUCUAGUGUCUUAGGUAAAAUAGAAUAAAACAGAAAAAAUAACUACAUCUCCAUGAUGGACCACAGAGAUCCCCGGUCUCCAAUUUGUUGCCCGCGCUCAUUGACUAUUUGCCUCCAUCAUUCAAUUUUGAGGCAUCCAUUUGAUUAACACUCAGUCAAGUAUGUAUAUUUGAAUCCGAUCUUCAAAGGGCAAAUAAUAGUCAUCUCACUUUUGACGUCCAUCAGCAGAGGCACAACAACAUUUGGGACCUUCCGCUGAAGUACAUAAUAGUAACAUAGUCGAAAUAUGCAGAUAUAGCAAGAAUGAUCCUAAUUUAUUUAGGCAUCACUACCAGUUUGCCCUCAAUGCCUCGAGCGCCAUCUGGCAGAUCAACCAAGUUCCAAACUUGAUUGUCAUCCAUGGACUUUAAUUCGGAUCUCAUGGUCUUAAGCCAUAACUCAGAAUCAGGGCUCUCCGUCGCUUCUGCAUACAUUGCCGACUCGUUGUUCUCCAAGAACAACACAUUGCAGUUAUGCAUAUUGCGCAACCUUUCCGACCUCUGUGGAAUCAGCGUCGACUCCACUAUGGGUUCCUUGACUAACUCCAUGUGGUUCUCGAAUUUCCUCUAGUCGGAUCAUCCUCCCACUAGCCUUCCGAUUGAGAAACUCUUUCUCAAGGAAAACUCCAUGUCGAGCGACAAACACUUUGCCCUCUUCACAGAUGUAGGAGUAAUAUCCCAAGGUUUCCCUUGGAUACCCCAUGAAUAUGCACUUGUCCGAUUUGGGUGUGCGCUUGUCUGACUGGAGUCGCUUGACGUAUGAUUCACAACCCCAAAUUUUUAGAGAAGACAAAGUUUGGCUCUUCGCAGUCCAUAUCUCAUAUGACGUCUUAUCUACAAACUUGGAUGGUACCCUAUUUAGUGUGAAAGCUGCAGUUUCUAGAGCGUAUCGCCAAAAUAACAAGGGUAAAUCCGACUGACUCGUCAUUGAUUGGGCCAUGUCUAACAGAGUCUGAUUCCUUCGUUCCAACACGCCAUUUCUCUGUGGCAUACCCCGAGGAGUCAGUUGUGGAACUAUCCUACGACUCUUCAGAUAAUCAUCAAACUCCUGGCUCAUAUACUCAUUCGCCACGAUCAGAUCGCAGAAGUUUGAUUCUCUUGUCGAGUUGAUUCUCCACUUCAUUCUGAAACUCCUUGAACUUUUCAAAAGUUUCUAACUUGUGCCUCAUCAAGUAGACAUAUCCAAAUCUACUCAAGUUAUCUGUAAACGUCAUGAAGUAUUGGAAACCACCUCUAGCUGGACUUGUUUUACCAUUGUUGAAAUGUCUUGUGCAUCGGGAUUCCGAGUCUGAUCGGAGGGUCUCGAGAUGGAGGAUUGUCUCUGCGGAUCGUGAGCUUGUCAUGGGCAAAGUUGGGACACCCCUGCAGGGUUUAAACUUUCGAGAGCCAUGCCCGCGGUUAUGUGGCAGAUGGGAAUUUGUUAAUAUCUGGUUGUAGAGGACUUGAACUAAACUCAAUUAAAAUACACCAACCGCGGGUGUAACCGUGACUGUCUCUUUCCAGGUGCGUUCGAGAAGAGAAUACGGUUGGGUUAUGUUUGAACGUAAGUGGUUUAGGAUCACUUCUUGAUCACUAUUAGUUUGCGACCGUUGUGUAGAUUCUCUUCUUACUUUUGUACUCGUAAGUUAGCCACCAUACAAAUGCUUAGUGCUUGCUGCAGCUUCACCACUAUCCAUUCCAUACCCAUUAAGCUUUGCUAGUCUUCAUACCCAUGGUAAUGGGAUUGCUGAGUCCUCGUGGCUCACAGAUGACUACAACAAUAGUUGUAGGUACAGGUAAUGCAAUGAUCUGACGUGAGAGCGAUGCUUGAUUGCUUUUGGAGUUCUUCUUCUUCUUCGAUCAAGGGAUUAGGUUCCGGGUCGGGGAGCCUGGGAUUAGUGGGGUGGAUAUUAUUCUUCUUUUUUGUUUGAUUUCAUCCGUAGUCGGAUCCUGCCCUUCUGUGUGCGCUCGAAAUGCGGUUGGAACAGACGAUCGCUAGACAGCGCGCCCGCAUUGCCACCCUCAAAGACGGUGAUGCCAGCUCUGCCUUCUUUCACCGGCAGUGCUCGUUUCAAUGACAGAAAAACCGCAUCUUCUGCCUCUCUGCGAACGGCACGCUACUCACAGACCAUGACGAGAUGGCCGAGGCUGCAUUCCGGCACUAUGACACACUGCUUGGCACGGCGGUCGAACACGACCACUCGAUGGACCUGUCGCAGCUCAUCGAGGGGAGCGAUCUCUCCGACCUUGACGCGACCUUUUGCCCGGAGGAGAGAUGGGAAGCUGUGAAACGCCUCCCCGCGCACAAGGCAGCUGAGCCUGAUGGCUUUAGCGCUGAAUUUCUCCGCGUGUGCCGGAGCAUCAUCAAGCAGGACUUCAUGGAUGUGUUCCAGUAGCUCUUCGAGCUGCGUGGCCGUGGCUUCUGCAAGGUCAACCAGGCCCUUCUCACGCUGCUGCCGAAGCCCAGGAGGUGCGCAACUACCGCCCGAUAUGCCUCAUUCAUAUCGUGGCCAAGGUACUCGCGAAGGCCCUCUCGCUCCGGCUAGCUCCAAAACUUGACCGCUUUGUCAGCCGCAAUCAAAACGCGUUCAUCCUCGGACGGAGCCUACACGACAACUUUAUGCUCGUCAGGCAAUCGGUCAAGCUGCUGAGCCAACUUGGGGGCCCCAGGGUGAUGCUCAAGCUCGACCUCACGCGCGCUUUUGACUCCAUCUCCUGGCCGUUCCUCUUUGAGGUUCUGCGCCAAUUUGGGUUCGGGAAUCGCUUCCUCGAAUGGAUCGCCAUCCUCCUGUCCUCGGCAAGCACUCGGGUGUAGUUGAUUGGUGUCCCAGGCCCACUGAUAUGGCAUAAGGGAGGGCUGCGGCAGGGGGGACUCCUUGUCCCCGCAGCUGUUCGUGCUCGCGGUCGACACUCUCGGCCGGCUGAUUCGGCGCGCCCAUGAUACGGGCAUCCUCCAGCCGCUGCAUCUGCGGAGGCCGAUACCGGCUAUAUCCCUAUACGCCGACGACGUCAUGCUCUUUUGCCAUGCCACGGAGAGUGACGUGACUGUCGUCAAGGAAAUCCUUGACCUGUUUGGUAGAGCGUCCAGCCUCAAGGUGAACUACACCAAGAGCUCGGCCACGGUCUUGCAUCGGGAAUAGGUUGCCUCCGAGAUGAUCACCAGCUUGGGGUGUUCGACUGCCGCGCUCCCGGUCACCUACCUCGGUAUACCUCUGACGAUGCGCCGCCCUUCCGCCGGGCAGUUGCAGCCCCUUGUCGACAAGGUCACCGGACGCUUGCCCACCUGGAAAGCAUGGCUCAUGAACAGAGCCGGCAGGCUCGCCCUCGUCAAGUUCUUCCUUUGCACUAUCCCGGUGCACCAGCGGGUUGCAUUUGCCCCCUCGAAGAAAAGACUGCAGCAACUCGAGAAAAUUCAACGAGGGUUCCUCUGGGCCGGGCGAGCCAUCACCAACGGCGGGCACUGCCAUGUGAACUGGCAUCAUGCUUCCCGCCCGCUCGCGCUUGGCAGCCUUGGGGUUCGUGAUGUCGAGCGCGUUGGACUCGCGCUCAGGCUGCGGUGGCUCUGGCUCUCGCGAACGGACGAAGGGCGCGCCUGGCAGGGGCUGGACCUCCAAUUUUCUAGCAACGAGCGUACACUGUUCUUUGCCUCCACCUACAUGACCAUUGGAAAUGGCAUGAACGCCCUGUUCUGGGAGGAUCGAUGGCUCAACGGGCACUCGGUUGGCGAGCUCAUGCCCCUGUUCUACAGCUGCAUCCCCAAACGCCGGCGCAAAGCUAGAACGGUGGCCGAAGGUCUCAACUGCAACGCAUUGGCCCAUGACAUCCAGGGCGUCCUCGUCAUCCACGAGAUAGGCCAGUAUCUACAGCUUUGGCAACUCACGGAACAGGCUAUGCUCAGCGAUGCUCCUGACCAGCUGAUCUGUAAGCAGACUGCGAGCGGCAUCUAUUCGGCGCAGUCUUGCUACGCGGCUACCUUCCAAGGAUCAGUGCACUCCUACUCUUGGAAGUUGAUCUGGAAGGCUUGGGCUCCCCCUCGACUCAAGUUUUUCCAUUGGCUUGCCAACCUGGAUCGCUGCUGGACUGCCGAUCGACUGGCCUGCCAAAGACUGCAGCAUCAUCUGUGCUGCCUUCUUUGCGAUCAGGCGCCGGAAAUGAUCCGGCACCUCAUGCUUGACUGCCCCUUCUCUAGGCAGGCAUGGCAUGAGACCCUGGCCUGGCUACGCAUACCGGCGUCGAUCCCCAACCAGGAGCCCACCCUCAUGGACUGGUGGCGGCACGCCGCAAGCACAACGCAAGGCCCUGCAAUCCGUAGUGCUACUCGUACCAUGGCUCGUCUGGAAGCAUAUGAACAGCCACGUCUUCGACAGCGCGACGCCCUCCCUAGGCACGCUAGUCGACCGGAUCAAGGAGGAAGCCGACUCCUGGGCUAAGGCCGGAGCAGUAGGCCUUAGAGUAGUCCUACCCCCUUUAUGGGACGUGCACUGAGCAUUGUAUCUGAUCCUUCAUUAUUCAUCCUAGGACGACUGUAACUGACUCCCUACCUUUUCAAUGAAAAGAAACGGAAAGGUCUUUUGCAUUUUCUCGAGAAAAAAAAGAAUGACCUUGAGGCAAGCUCAAUGAAAAUACGUUUUCCAAAGGUUUCAAGACUAUCUUCCUUGUGCUCUGGGAUAAAGCCAUUUGCAAUUCAUAGUCAGAUCAGCUUGUCCACAUCAAUCUUGUAAUCCUUUGGAAAUAUAGCACAAAAGGAAAAGCAUUGCUUCAUGUGUGAUGGCAAGUCAUUGUAGCUAAGCUUUAAUAUUGGCAGAAUCCAGUUUCCAAAGUGCAAAUGCUGCUACUAGAUGAUAUAGCCUUCCACUCUUCGACGCUAGUCUUGGUACGAAGUACAUAGCCCAAUGCAGUUGCAGCUAAAGGAGAGCCAGAACAUCAGCUUACAAUCUCAUCAACCAUCUUGCUUAGCUCGACAGGCUUUUCUUUCUCCGAACUGAAUGCUCUAGCCUCAGUAAUUUCCUUUACGAAGAAAUCCUCCACAAUAUUGAGAUUGUAGGCUCUACCUGCACCCAUAAUUUCAGUGACUUGUUUAUCACGAGUUCUUGUUAACAUUGCACUACCCAUGCCACCAUGUUGAGGACAGACCUUCAGCCUUCCCAACUUAUAGACCUCUCUGUUCCAGACAUCAUCCAAUACAUGGAGAUACCUGUGCCCGCUGUCCAGUUUUUGAAAUCUAUCCAAAGGUAUCAUAGACCUCUCUGGGGGAUGCCCGCUGUACCCAGAGCUGCAACUGAAAAUGAUUCUGAAUUUCAGGUUCAUUGUAUAUGAGUUACGCUAAUGUGGUCUUGCCAAGGCCCCCCAUUCCAACAAUGGGAACUACUGCGAGAUCAGUAUUGCUAGCUUGACCAAGUAGUAUGUCAACGAUAUUAUUCUUAUCUCCGUGUUUGGAUCUGUUGGCAAUUUCUUGUUGGUCGCUGAUGACAUAAUCUGUGUGCCUCCACUCCUUGGACACUCGUGUUUGCCUCAACUGAUUAGACACCAACAACGUCUGCCUCAACAUAAGCGCGACGCGUUGUUGGGCUAGGCCCAGAACGGUGCGCGGGCAGGUGGGGCGUAUUUUUACCGUAGUAACUGUUUCGUCCGCUGCGCUUCCCCACGACCUGCGUUGAACACGCACGUGGAGGGUCGUGCGUGACGUGGGGGUCAUGCGUGGGGCGGUCUCCACACGCAUGCGUCACAUCGCAUUUAAUGGGAAAAGAGGCGGCCCACGCCUUCCCCGUAAAAAGGAAUAACAGCGGGCGCGCUGUUCAUUUACCCCCUGCGUCUUCUUCAAUCUCGGAAUCGCCGUCCCCUUCUUCUUCCUUCUCAAACUCUCGCCUUUGCUCGUUGCCGCCGCAUCUUCGCUGUCCUCCGUCCUUUGCCUCUCGCAGCCGCCAUGGCCCCCAAAACAAGUAAAGGAAAGGGAGUGGCCAAGGAUGCCGGGGCGAAGGAGCCGCCGGAGAGCGAGUUGGUGGCGCGGCGGACGCAUCUCGCCUACUUCCCCUCGACGGUCGACGCGGUCGAACUCCGGGACUACUUCAGGNNNNNNNNNNNNNNNNNNNNNNNNNNNNNNNNNNNNNNNNNNNNNNNNNNNNNNNNNNNNNNNNNNNNNNNNNNNNNNNNNNNNNNNNNNNNNNNNNNNNNNNNNNNNNNNNNNNNNNNNNNNNNNNNNNNNNNNNNNNNNNNNNNNNNNNNNNNNNNNNNNNNNNNNNNNNNNNNNNNNNNNNNNNNNNNNNNNNNNNNNNNNNNNNNNNNNNNNNNNNNNNNNNNNNNNNNNNNNNNNNNNNNNNNNNNNNNNNNNNNNNNNNNNNNNNNNNNNNNNNNNNNNNNNNNNNNNGCGUGUCAUCCCCGCCAAUUGCGCCGAGGCCGCCCCGAAUCGGUAUCCGUUCUUCGUCGAUUACUUUUCUUGCGGUCUCUGCCCCCCUUUCUCCGAUUUCUUCAAUGAUGUCAUGCACACAUUUGGCUUCCACCUUCUGGAUUUCACUCCCAAUGCCGUGGCGUGCAUGGCUCUUUUCGCCCAUCUCUGUGAGGGCUUCGCCGGAGUUCUUCCCAACACAUUGCCCUUCCGCUAUUAGUUUUACCCUCGCAUCCAAAAGGGAGGCGCCAUCUCUGGUUGCGUCGCCUGGAUACCAAGGUCCAAAGGGACGUACCCGGAGGGCGCCCAGAAGGAGAGGUUGGAAGAGUGGCGGGGCCGGUGGUGCUGGAUUGGGGAGGACGACCCGCCGGAAUUUUUCCGGGUUCGUCAGGCGCCGCCGGUUCGCAGGAACGACUGGGGCGAUGUCAACGCCCUGGAUGACAAGCUCAAGGUCGCCACCACCAGGAUUCACCGCCUCACCGUUGCCGGGCUCACCCUGGAGAUGAUUGGGGCGGACUUGAUCCGCCGCCGAAUCGCUCCACUGCACAACAAGGGGAGACCGGCCUGGCUCUUCCAAAACGCGGCUGACAUCAUGAGGCUUCACUCUGGCCUCAACAACAACUUCACGGUGAUGGGGCACGCCCACUUCUGCUAGCGGAUCUUUCAGCUCGACGUGAACCGCGACGGCAGGGCCAAGAGGUCCGGCAAGGCUGCAAAGGCCGGCAAGGUCCUCAAGGGGCCCUUGUUUGGGUUGCCAGCGGGGGUGGUCCCGCUGAGCAACAACUCGCGCCAGACCGACAUCAUCGCCAUGAUGUCGGACUACAAUGCACACGGUCCCGUCCCAAAUUGGUUCGAGCCGCUAGCGGAUCAGGUGCAGGAGUUCUUUGAUACUUUGGCGGAGAAGUAUGUCUGCGACGAGCCGCUGCUCAUCUAGGACACCACCCAAGCAGAGCUGGACUACAUCGCCGCCAGGGCGGCGGAGGCGGAGCUCGCUAGGGAGGCCGGCAGCGCUGGCGGCAUGGAGGACGAGGUCGCAGCAGCCGCAGAGGAGAGGGAGCUCGCCCAGUGGGAGGAAUCCGAUGGGGAGGCCAGCAGCGCCAGCACCGGGGCCCCUCUUAUUGAAGAUGUGGUCGACGAUUCGGAGGAGGAGGAGGUCGAGGCUGUCGAUCCUCCGGUCAUGGGGAGAGGGCGAGUCCUGCGGCGGGCCAGCUCCGGCAAGCCGGUCCAGCCCGGCAGGGCUGUGCAACCGCAGCAGACCUAGGAGGGGUAUGUGCGCCAGACAAGGGCCGCGGUGGCGAGGAAGUUGGUGAAGGCCGUGGUGGCGAAGAAGAAAGCAACAACCUCUUCUUCGUUCAAGCGUGGCCAGACUCCACCUUCUUCCCCUCCUCGGGCAGACGUUGACACGGAGGUCGUCUUCGACUUUGGGUCCCUCAGCCCAAGGAGGAAGAGGAAGGCAUCAGAAGAGGAGGUGGAGGAUGAGUAAGUUUCUUGUUACUUUUUGUCAUCUCCGUCUCCUCAGACUGUGCUGCUUAUCUCGAUUUGUUUUCAUCUUUGCAGGGAUGCGGAGACGCUGGCCCAGAGGGUGAAGAGGGCCAGGUCCUCGGCUGGCGGCCGGCCUCCGGCGGGCACUUCGAGGAUGCCACUAGUGGUGGUGAGCAGCCCGGACAGCAGUCCCCGAAGCAGCCCCCGGCGUAAGUUCCCCACUCGUCCCUCGUCAACGUGUGUUGGGGGUACGAUCCCUUGGCGCUAACCUUGCCGUGAUUGCAGGAGGAGGACAACAGGAGGAGGAGCCACGGAGGGUUACCCCCAACACGCUGCCCCCAUCGACCACGCCGCCCCGAGGGGUGGUGUCUACUACGCAACCUUCUUCUUGUAGACGUUGUUGGGCCUCCAAGUGCAGAGGUUUGUAGGACAGUAGAAAAUUUCCCUCAAGUGGAUGACCUAAGGUUUAUCAAUCCGUGGGAGGCGUAGGAUGAAGAUGGUCUCUCUCAAGCAACCCUGCAACCAAAUAACAAAGAGUCUCUUGUGUCCCCAACACACCCAAUACAAUGGUAAAUUGUAUAGGUGCACUAGUUCGACGAAGAGAUGGUGAUACAAGUGUAAUAUGGAUGGUAGAUAUAGGUUUUUGUAAUAUGAAAAUAUAAAAACAGCAAGCUAACUAAUGAUAAAAGUGAGCACAAACGGUAUUGCAAUGCGUUGAAACAAGGCCUAGGGUUCAUACAUUCACUAGUGCAAGUUCUCUCAACAAUAAUAACAUAAUUGGAUCAUAUAACUAUCCCUCAACGUGCAACAAAGAGUCACUCCAAAGUCACUAAUAGAGGAGAACAAACGAAGAGAUUAUGGUAGGGUACGAAACCACCUCAAAGUUAUUCUUUCGGAUCGAUCUUAUUCAAGAGUUCGUACUAGAAUAACACCUUAAGACAAAAUCAACCAAAACCCUAAUGUCACCUAGAUACUCCAAUGUGACCUCAAGUAUCCGUGGGUAUGAUUAUACGAUAUGCAUCACACAAUCUCAGAUUAAUCUAUUCAAACCAACACAAAGUACUUCAAAGAGUGUCCCAAAGUUUCUACCAGAGAGUCAAGACGAAAACGUGUGCCAACCCCUAUGCAUAGGUUCAUGGGCGGAACCCGCAAGUUGAUCACCAAAACAUACAUCAAGUGGAUCACGUGAUAUCCCAUUGUCACCAGAGAUACGCACAUGCAAGACAUACGUCAAGUGUUCUCAAAUCCUCAAAGACUCAAUCCGAUAAGAUAACUUCAAAGGGAAAACUCAAUCCAUUACAAGAGUGUAGAGGGGGAGAAACACCAUAAGAUCCAACUAUAAUAGCAAAGCUCGCGAUACAUCAAGAUCGUACCACCUCAAGAACACAAGAGAGAGAGAGAGAGAGAGAUCAAACACAUAGCUACUGGUACAUACCCUCAGCCCCGAGGGUGAACUACUCCCUCCUCGUCAUGGAGAGCGCGGGGAUGAUGAAGAUGGCCACCGGUGAGGGUUUCCCCCUCCGGCAGGGUGCCGGAACAGGGUCCCGAUUGGUUUUUGGUGGCUACAGAGGCUUGCGGCGGCGGAACUCCCGAUCUAUUCUGUUCACCUAUGUUUUUAGGGUAUAUGGAUAUAUAUAGGCGAAAGAAGUCGGUAAGGGGAGCCACGAGGGGCCCACGAGGGUGGAGGGCACGCCCAGGGGGUGGGCGCGCCCCCUACCUCGUGCCUUCCUUGUUGCUUCCCUUACGUACACUCCAAGUCUUCUGGAUUGCUUCGGUUCCAAAAAUAACUCUCCCGAAGGUUUCAUUCCGUUUGGACUCCGUUUGAUAUUCCUUUUCUGCGAAACACUGAAACAAGGAGAAAAACUGAAACUAGCACUGGGCUCUGGGUUAAUAAGUUAGUCCCAAAAAUAAUAUAAAAGUGCAUAGUAAAUCCCAUUAAACAUCCAAGAUGGAUAAUAUAAUAGCAUGAAUACUUCAUAAAUUAUAGAUACGUUGGAGACGUAUCAGCAUCCCCAAGCUUAAUUCCUGCUCGUCCUCGAGUAGGUAAAUGAUAUAAGAAAUAAUUAUGAAGUGUGAAUGCUAGCAGGUGCACAAGUUUGAUCAAUGAUAAUUUCAAUCACCUUUUCAAGCAUCAUUAUAUGUCAUAACAGUAGCUCAACUCAUAAAACUUUUCAUGAUCAAGUAACAAGCUAUUCACAUAUUAAAGCAUAGACCAUAAACUUUCUUGAAAACUAACAAACUAUGUUCUCAGUCAUCAAACAAUUGCAAUUCAUCUUAUUUUCAGGAAGGGUCUAUGUAAGAGCUUUGAUUUAGCAAAUCCCACAUACUCAACUAUCAUAUAGUCUUCCAUGAUUGCUACCACUCAAAGCAUAUUUUCGGAACAAAUAGCAUCCAUCGAACACAGAGAAAGAUAGGGGCUUAAUGUUUCGCCUCCCAACUUAUUUAUCAUAUAGAUAAUUGUCAACAAUAAUAAUUCAUGAUCAAAUAUAUUUGAAUGGCCAUAUAUGCUUAGAUCUUUCCAUCACAUGAUGCUUGCCAACUAAAAAGUAGGUUGGAAUGAGAAGGAAUACUACUGACUCUUGCAUAAAAGUAAAAGAUAGGCCCUUCACAGAGGGAAGCAGGGAUUUGCAGAGGUGCCAGAGCUCGAAGCUAAAACAGAGAUGAAAAUAAUUUUGAGAGGUAUGCUUUCAUUGUCAACAUAACGACCAAGAGUUCCCAAUAUCUUCCAUACUACAUACAUUAUAGGCGGUUCCCACGCGGAAAGGUAAAGUUUUUACUCCCCCUCCACCAACAUUCACACUCCACGGCUUGUCCGAAACAAUGGGUGCCGUCCAACUAUCAACAUUCUUGGGGGAGUUUGUUGAAAUUAUUUGUGAAUUUGUUUUUGAUCUUUUGAUCAUAGGACUGGGCAUCCCAGUUACCAGCCAUUUUCUCGUGAAUGAUGAGCGGUGUCCACUCAUCGUGAGAAUAACCCACCCAGCAUGGAAGAUACUGACAGCCCCUAGUCGCUACAUGAGCGAUUCGGGCAUACAAAACAGAUUAUUAUUUGAAGGUUUAGAGUUUGGCACAUGCAAAUUUACUUGGAACGGCAGGUAAAUACCGCAUAUAGGUAGAUAUGGUGGACACUCAUGGAAGAAACUUGGUUCGAGGAAUUUGGAUGCACAAGCAGUAUUCCUGCUUAGUACAGACAUUUUGGCUAGCAAAUGAUUCUAAAUAGCAAGCACCACAAGUUAGAGGAUCCAUAACAAUAUAACUUCUAUACAAAUAUACCCAAGCAUAACUCAUUAUGUUGUCUUCCUUGUCCAACUUCAACUAAUUUGCUCAGGUUUGCUAAUAAUUAAUGGGGCUCACGAUCAUAGAAGAUGUCCAAGAUAGUAUUAUAUGUGAAAUCUCUCUUCCUUCAAUAUUCUUUCAUGAAUUGUUCAAGUGACAAAUACAAAGUUUGCUAACCUUCAAAAAAUUUACCACCUCUACUUCUUAUAUGUGAAGUCAUUACUCCCCAUGGGAUAAGUAUAUGAAACAUAUAUAAUUUCAGAUUUAUAAUAUUCAAAUCAUUCAACUAUUUACUCAUAGGAUAUAAGUGAAGCACACGAGUAAAUGACAAACUACUCCAAAAAGAUAUAAGUGAAGAUCAAUGAGUAGUUAAAUAAUUAUGUAGUUAUCUGAAGACUCUAUCUCAUUUAAGAAUUUCAGAUCUUGGUAUUUUAUUCAUACAGCAAGCAAAACAAAAGAAAAUAAAAUGACGCUCCAAGUAAAACACAUAUCAUGUGGUGAAUAAAAAUAUAGCUCCAAGUAAAGUUACCGAUGAACGAAGACGAAAGAGGGGAUGCCAUCCGGGGCAUCCCCAAGCUUAGGCUCUUGGUUGUCCUUGAAUAUUACCUUGGGGUGCCUUGGGCUUCCCCAAGCUUAGGCUCUUGCCACUCCUUAUUCCAUAGUCCAUCGAAUCUUUACCCAAAACUUGAAAACUUCACAACACAAAACUUAACAGAAGAUCUCGUGAGCUCCGUUAGCGAAAGAAAACAAAACACCACUUCAAGGUACUGUAAUGAACUCAUUAUUUAUUUGUAUUGGUGUUAAAUCUAAUGUAUUCCAACUUCUCUAUGGUUUACAAACUAUUUUACAAGCCAUAGAUUCAUCAAAAUAAGCAAACAACACACGAAAAACAGAAUCUGUCAAAAACAGAACAGUCUGUAGUAAUCUGUAACUAACGCAAACUUCUUGAACUCAACAAAUUCUACCAAAAUAGGACGACCUAGAUAAUUUUAUUAUUGAUCUGAUGCAAUUGGAAUCAGUAUUUUAUCACGUUCUGGUGAUUUUAAACAAUUGUUUUCGUGAACAGAAAGUUUCUGGAAUUUUCAGCAAGAUCAAAUAACUAUCAUCCAAGAAGAUCCUAUAGGUCUUACUUGGCGCAAACACUAAUUAAAACAUAAAACCACAUCUAAACAGAGGCUAGAUAGAUUAUUUAUUGCUAAACAGAACCAUAAAGAAAGAACAAAAAUAAAAAUCGGGUUGCCUCCCAACAAGCGCUAACGUUUAACGCCCCUAGCUAGGCAUGAUGAUUUCAAUGAUGCUCGCAUAAAAGAUAAGAAUUGAAAUAUAAAGAGAGCAUCAUGAAAAAUAUGACUAGCACAUUUAAGUCUAACCCACUUCCUAUGCAUAGGGAUUUUGUGAGAAAACAACUUAUGGGAACAAUAAUCAACUAGCAUAGGAAGGCAAAACAAGCAUAACUUCAAAACUUUAAGCACAUAGAGAGGAAACAUGAUAUUAUUGCAAUUCAUACAAGCAUACAUUCCUCCCUCAUAAUAAUUUUCAGUAGCAUCAUGAAUGAAUUCAACAAUAUAACCAGCACCUAAAGCAUUCUUUUCAUGAUCUACUUGCAUAGAAAUUUUCCUACUCUCCACGUAAGCAAAUUUAUUCUCAUCAAUAGUAGUGGGAGCAAACUCAACAAAAUAACUAUCAUGUGAUUGAAAAUUAAGAUCAAGAUGACAAGUUUCAUGGUUAUCAUUAUUCUUUAUAGCAUACGUGUCAUCACAAUAAUCAUCAUAGGUAGGAGGCAUGCUUUCAUCAUAAUAAAUUUGCUCAUCAAAACUUGGGGGACAAAAAAUAUCAUCUUCAUCAAACAUAGCUUCCCCAAGCUUGUAAUCAUGCUCAUCAUUCAAAUAUUUAGUGCCAAACAUUCUAAUGCAUUCUUCCUCUAGCAAUUGAGCGCAAUUAUCGGAAUCCUUAUUUUCACGGAAGACAUUAAAAAGAUGAAGCAUAUGAGGCACACUCAAUUCCAUUUUUUGUAGUUUUCUUUUAUAAAAUAAACUAGUGAUAAAACAAGAAACUAAAAGAUUCCAUUGCAAGAUCUAAAUAUAUACCUUCAAGCACUCACCUCCCCGACAACGGCGCUAGAAAAGAGCUUAGUUGACGGGGUGUGAGUGCCGCUUACCUAGCCUCCCCGGCAACGGCGCCAGAAAAGAGCUUGAUGUCUACUACGCAACCUUCUUCUUGUAGACGUUGUUGGGCCUCCAAGUGCAGAGGUUUGUAGGACAGUAGCAAAUUUCCCUCAAGUGAAUGACCUAAGGUUUAUCAAUCCGUGGGAGGCGUAGGAUGAAGAUGGUCUCUCUCAAGCAACCCUGCAACCAAAUAACAAAGAGUCUCUUGUGUCCCCAAAACACCCAAUACAAUGGUAAAUUGUAUAUGUGCACUAGUUCGGCGAAGAGAUGGUGAUACAAGUGUAAUAUGGAUGGUAGAUAUAGGUUUUUGUAAUCUGAAAAUAUAAAAACAGCAAGGUAACUAAUGAUAAAAGUGAGCACGAACGGUAUUGCAAUGCGUUGAAACAAGGCCUAGGGUUCAUACUUUCACUGGUGCAAGUUCUCUUAACAAUAAUAACAUAAUUGGAUCAUAUAACUAUCCCUCAACAUGCAACAAAGAGUCACUCCAAAGUCACUAAUAGAGGAGAACAAACGAAGAGAUUACGGUAGGGUACGAAACCACCUCAAAGUUAUUCUUUCGGAUGAUCUUAUUCAAGAGUUCGUACUAGAAUAACACCUUAAGACACAAAUCAACCAAAACCCUAAUGUCACCUAGAUACUCCAAUGUCACCUCAAGUAUCCGUGGGUAUGAUUAUACGAUAUGCAUCACACAAUCUCAGAUUGAUCUAUUCAAACCAACACAGAGUACUUCAAAGAGUGUCCCAAAGUUUCUACCGGAGAGUCAAGAUGAAAACGUGUGCCAACCCCUAUGCAUAGGUUCAUGGGCGGAACCCGCAAGUUGAUCACCAAAACAUACAUCAAGUGGAUCACGUGAUAUCCCAUUGUCACCACAGAUAUGCACAUGCAAGACAUACAUCAAGUGUUCUCAAAUCCUUAAAGACUCAAUCCGAUAAGAUAACUUCAAAGGGAAAACUCAAUCCAUUACAGGAGUGUAGAGGGGGAGAAACAUCAUAAGAUCCAACUAUAAUAGGAAAGCUCGCGAUACAUCAAGGUUGUACCACCUCAAGAACACGAGAGAGAGAUCAAACACAUAGCUACUGGUGCAUACCCUCAGCCCCGAGGGUGAACUACUCCCUCCUCGUCAUGGAGAGCGCGGGAAUGAUGAAGAUGGCCACCGGUGAGGGUUCCCCCCUCCUGCAGGGUGCAGGAACAGGUUCUCGAUUUGUUUUUGGUGGCUACAGAGGCUUGCGGCGGCGGAACUCCUGAUCUAUUCUGUUCCCCGAUGUUUUUAGGGUAUAUGGAUAUAUAUAGGCGAAAGAAGUCGGUAAGGGGAGCCACAAGGGGCCCACGAGGGUGGAGGGCGCGCCUAGGGGGGUGGGCGCGCCCCCUGUCUCGUGCCUUCCUCGUUGCUUCCCUUACGUACACUCCAAGCCUUCUGGAUUGCUUCCGUUCCAAAAAUAACUGUCCCGAAGGUUUCAUUCCCUUUGGACUCCGUUUGAUAUUCCUUUUCUGCGAAACACUGAAACAAGGAGAAAAAACUGAAACUAGCACUGGGCUCUGGGUUAAUAAGUUAGUCCCAAAAAUAAUAUAAAAGUGCGUAGUAAAGCCCAUUAAACAUCCAAGAUGGAUAAUAUAAUAGCAUGAAUACUUCAUAAAUUAUAGAUACGUUGGAGACGUAUCAAGGGGCGUCCCCGGCAAGGGCGCCAAGCACCGAGCCCAUGCACACAGAGGAGGAGGAGGCAGACUUGGGCGCUAGUGGCUCCGCCUCGGUGCCAGAUGUUGGCAGGGAAGGGGCUACUUCUUCCCAGCCCGGCACGGGUACGUCACUUGCCUCCUGUCCCUGCUUUUUCUUCUUCUUUUUGAAUCUUGGUCUUGGCUCCGCCUCAUCCCCUUCUCGAUAUCCAGACCCUCCCUCGGCGGACCGGGAGGACAUAGACACCGUCAUCGAGGAUGUCGCCAAGGACACCGCGGCGGAGGCCGAGAAGAUUGCCGCCGAGGAGGCCGCCAAGGGCGCUGCCGAGGACGCCGCAAAGCGAUCUGCCGGGGAGUCCGGCAUGUCUACUGCCAAAGUGGCCGGCAAGGGGCCUGCCGGGGAGGCCGGCAAGGCCGCUGCCGGGGAGGAGGUGGUUAACGACCAACCUUCCUCCUCUGCUGCCUCUGGUUCCGGCAGGUAUCUGAAGGUGAGCGACGACCUAUUCGUCAACCUCCUAGGGACGGCGAGCACUAGGGCGCCCACCGAGGGAGAGGUGUUCGACGAGGAGGUGCUUGCCGCCGCUGGGCUCGAGGUUGUUGACGAGUCGAGCGCCGGUGGCGACGGUUCCCAGGAAGAGCGGCUCCUUCAGGCCAUGGGCGCCAGCUUUCGGAAGCUCCAGGCGCUCCACCGCGCCCGCCUGGACAAGGCCAAGUCCAGGAUGGCAGCGGUGGAAAAGGCGGAGGCGGACCUCGAGGGUCGCAUCGUCGAGACGCAGGCUUGGUUCCGCCAGGGCUGCGAGGAGCUGAAGACCGCCCAGGACGAGCUGGCCAAGCGCAAGGUGGAGCUCGUCAUGAAGCAGGCCGACAUCGAGAGGGGCCAGGAGUUGGCGAAGAACCAGGCCGCCAAGGACGAGGUCGCUCGGUCCCAGCACCAGGCCGCGCUGAACUCCCAGGAAGAGGACCUUGCCGCUCGCGAGGAGAAGCUCGCCGUGACACUCCGCGGCAAGGACGAGGAGGUCAAGAAGCUUGUCCUGCAGCGGACCCAGGAGUUGGAGCAGAAGCACGAGGAGGCGCUCAAUGCCCAGGCUUAGGUCCACGCCGGCAAGGUGAAGGAGCUGGAGGUGGAGCGGGACGAGCUGAAGAAGCAGGCCCUGGAGUUGACGGCGGAGAGGGACGCUGCCAAAGGUGCCCUGGCCGACGCGCAGGCCGCAGUCCUCAGCAAGGCCGGGCUACUCUCCACGGCCAACGAGACCAUCAAGGACCUGAAGCUGAAGCUGGAGGGCCUUGAGGGGACGCUCUCGGAGGCCAAGGCCCGGGAGGAGACCCUGGCCAAAGAUUUGGAGGCCGAGAAGCAGCUGCGGAAGAACGAAACCGCCAACCACAAGGAUUUUGUGGAGGGCGAGAACCGCUGGAUCAGCCGCCUCAAAGGCGUCGCCGGCAGGAUCACCACGCAGCUGGCUACGAUGGGGAUGCCAAAUGUGAGGUACGCCCCGGAGCCCAAUGUGACUCCCAAUGCCAAGCUGACCCUAUUCUUCGAGGGUGUCCUUGGAGCCCUGGAGCAUCUUCGCUCCAGCAGGGCGGCCUCUUUGGCCGAUGAGGCCCGGAAGCUUUGCCGGGGUGCCAUGACCAAGGUCCUCACCAAGGUGGCGUACUGGAACCCCGACCUCGACUUCGACGCCGCACUAGAGAGCUUGCCGGAGGAUGCUGACCUCGCGGCGCUCAAGGAGCGUAUCAAGCCCAUCAUCAGUCGCGUCGACGGAAUCCAGAGGGUGGAGGGCCAGCGCUGGGAUUAGGCACCCCGUUUCUCAUUGCCGCUGCAGGUUCAUGACCAUGACAAUUUCUAUCUUUAGUUAGAACCGCGGCAACAACUGAUGUAAUAUAACUCUGCAGUACAUUCGUGAUGAUGUAUGUUAUCUUCCUGUUUGAUCUUCCUUUGUAUGUUCACCCUACGUUAAUCGGGUAGGCUUGCCGGCGCGUAAACCCAGGCCGCGGCGCCUUGAGGAUGGAUCCCCAAUGGCCUGCCGGGUAUGCUUGCUGCCAGGCGAACCACCUUACCGCAUUAGUAGAAAACAGGGCUUUGGUUCCGGCCUGGCCAGCCCAUUAGUCCCGGUUCUUCAUGAACCGGGACCCAUGGGGGGCAUUAGUCCCGGUUCAUGAGCCCAGGGGGCCGUCCGGGGCCUCGUGGGCAUUGGUCCAGGUUCCUCUGGAUCCAUUUGUACCGGUUCUAGAGGGCCGCGCUCCUUGCCCACAGCCAUUGGUACCGGUUCGUGCCUAUAACCGGGACAGAAGGGGGGGGGGCUUUAGUACCGGUUCGUGCCACAAACCGGGACAAAUAAGUUGCCUAUAUAUACUCGUCGCCGCAGCAGAGCACUCCACAGUGCUCUGUUUUUUCUGGCCGGCGAGGGGAGGGCAUUUGGGUGCUCUAGCUCACCUCCUAUGCACAUGAGGUGUUUGAUGAAAUGCCCGAGCGACACUAGUUAAGCUUUCUCCUCUUGAAGCUCGACCUCGGAGCUCCAUUUUUCCCAAGAUUUGUCUAGAUUUAGCGGUCCGUCACGCCCCGUCCCCGUUUUCACCGCCGUCAAUCGCCCGUGCCGAUCUCGUCGCCGGCACCAUCGUGGUGAGCCUCUUGUUCUUAUCUUCUUUCUGAUUUGCUUAAUUUAGAUAGAUACUUGUCUGAUUUUCUUACUUUUGACACACAUAAUUAUAUAUAAUGCACGCAGAUGAACCGGCAAUGGAUGUACGGUGACAGACACACCUCCGAGUACAUUAAGGGCGUGCAUGAAUUUCUCGAAGUGGCAGAGGCAAACAAGCAGAAUGGUUUUAUGUGUUGUCCAUGCCCUAAAUGUGGGAAUACGAAGUCUUACUCUGACCGGAAAAUCCUGCACACCCACCUGCUUUACAAGGGUUUCAUGCCACACUAUAAUGUUUGGACGAGGCACAGAGAAAUAGGGGUUAUGAUGGAAGACGACGAAGAAGAAGAGGACGAUGACAACUAUGUGCCCCCUGAAUACGGUGAUGCUGCAACGGGGGGAGCUGCCGAAGAUCAAGAGGAACCAGACGAUGUGCCCGAUGAUGCUGCAAUGGGGGAAGCUGCUGAAGAUCAAGAAGAACCAGACGAUGUGCCCGAUGAUAAUGAUCUCCGCCGGGUCAUUGUCGAUGCAAGGAUGCAAUGCGAAAGUCAAAAGGAGCAGCUGAAGUUCGAUCCCAUGUUAGAGGAUCACAAAAAAGGGUUGUACCCCAAUUGCGAAGAUGGCAACACAAAGCUCGGUACCGUACUGGAAUUGCUGCAGUGGAAGGCAGAGAAUGCUGUGCCUGAGAAAGGAUUUGAGAAGCUACUGAAAAUAUUGAAGAAGAAGUUUCCAAAGGACAAUGAAUUGCCUGACAGUACGUACGCAGCAAAGAAGGUCGUAUGCCCUCUAGGAUUGGAGGUGCAGAAGAUACAUGCAUGCCCUAAUGACUGCAUCCUCGACCAUGGUGCGUACAAGGAUUUGAACGCAUGCCCGGUAUGCGGUGCAUUGCGGUAUAAGAUCAGACGAGAUGACCCUGGUGAUGUUGACGGUGAGCCCCGCAGGAAGAGGGUCCCUGCGAAGGUGAUGUGGUAUGCGCCUAUAAUACCACCGUUGAAACGACUAUUCAGAAACAAAGAGCAUGCCAAGUUGAUGCGAUGGCACAGUGAGGACCGUAAGAAAGACGGGAAGUUGAGAGCACCCGCUGACGGGUCGCAGUGGCGAAAAAUUAAGAGAAAGUACUGGGAUGAGUUUGCAGGUGACCCAAGGAAUGUAUGGUUUGCUUUAAGAGCGGAUGGCAUUAAUCCUUUCGGGGAGCAGAGCAGCAAUCACAGCACCUGGCCCGUGACUCUAUGUAUGUAUAACCUUCCUCCUUGGAUGUGCAUGAAGCGGAAGUUCAUUAUGAUGCCAAUUCUCAUCCAAGGCCCUAAGCAACCCGUUAACGACAUUGAUGUGUACCUAAGGCCAUUAGUUGAAGAACUUUUAUAGCUGUGGAAUGGAAACAGUGUACGUGCGUGGGAUGAGCACAGACACGAGGAAUUUAACCUCCAUGCGUUGCUGUUUGUAACCAUCAACGAUUGGCCCGCUCUCAGUAACCUAUCAGGACAGACAAACAAGGGAUACCACGCAUGCACGCACUAUUUAGCUAACACCAAAAGUAUAUACCUGGACAAAUGCAGGAAGAAUGUGUACCUGUGCCAUCAUCGAUUUCUUCCGACCAACCAUCAAUGUCGAAAGAAAGGCAAGCAUUUCAAAGGCGAGGCAGAUCACCGGAAGAAGCCCGCCAUGCGUACCGGUGAUCACGUACUUGCUAUGGUCAAUGAUUUACACCUAAUGUUUGGAAAGGGUCCCGGCGGACUAGCUGUUCCGAAUGACGCUGGGGGACGCGCACCCAUGUGGAAGAAGAAAUCUAUAUUUUGGGACCUGCCCUACUAGAAAGACCUAGAGGUCCGCUCUUCGAUCGACGUGAUGCACGUGACGAAGAACCUUUGCGUGAACCUGCUAGGCUUCUUGGGCAUGUAUGGGAAGACAAAAGAUACAGCUGAGGCACGGGAGGACCUGCAACGUUUGCACGAAAAAGACGGCAUGCCUCCAAAGCAGUAUGAAGGUCCUGCCAGCUAUGCUCUUACCAAAGAAGAGAAGGAAAUCUUCUUUGAAUGUCUGCUUAGUAUGAAGGUCUCGACUGGCUUCUCGUCGAAUAUAAAGGGAAUAAUAAAUAUGCCAGAGAAAAAGUUCCAGAACCUAAAGUCUCAUGACUGCCACGUGAUUAUGACGCAACUGCUUCCGGUUGCAUUGAGGGGGCGUCUACCGAAAAACGUCCGAUUAGCCAUUGUGAAGCUAUGUGCAUUCCUCAAUGCAAUCUCUCAGAAGGUGAUCAAUCCAGAAAUCAUACCAAGGCUAAGGAGUGAUGUGGCGCAAUGUCUUGUCAGUUUCGAGCUGGUGUUCCCACCAUCCUUCUUCAAUAUCAUGACGCACGUCCUAGUUCAUCUAGUUGACGAGAUUGUCAUUCUGGGCCCCGUAUUUCUACAUAAUAUGUACCCCUUUGAGAGGUUCUUGGGAGUCCUAAAGAAAUAUGUCCGUAACCGCGCUAGGCCAGAAGGAAGCAUCUCCAUGGGCCAUCAAACAGAGGAUGUCAUUGGGUUUUGUGUUGACUUCAUUCCUGGCCUUAUGAAGAUAGGUCUCCCUAAAUCGCGGUAUGAGGGGAGACUGGCUGGAAAAGGCACGCUUGGAGGGGACUCAAUAAUAUGCAGGGACGGAUAUUCUUGGUCUCAAGCACACUACACAGUUCUACAGAACUCUACCUUGGUGACCCCUUAUGUCGAUGAACACAAGAACAGUCUGCGCUCCAAACACCCGGAGCAUUGCGACGACUGGAUUACAUGUGAACACAUCAGGACUUUCAGCAGUUGGUUGGAAACACGUCUCAGAGGUGACAACACUGUUUGUGAUGAGAUGUACUCGUUGUCCAGGGGACCAUUUUCGACUGUAUUGACUUACAAAGGAUACAAGAUAAAUGGGAAUACAUUUUACACGAUCGCCCAAGAUCAAAAGAGCACCAACCAAAACAGCUGUGUCCGCUUUGAUGCAGCAACCGAGAGGGGAAAGGACACAUAUUAUGGUUACAUAGUGGACAUAUGGGAACUUGACUACGGACAUGAUUUUAAGGUCCCUUUGUCUAAGUGCAAAUGGGUCAAUCUGUCAGGAGGCGGGGUACAGGUAGACCCACAGUACGGAAUGACAACAGUGGAUCUGAACAAUCUUCGGUACACUGACGAACCUUUCGUCCUAGCCAAUGAUGUGGCACAGUUUAUCUAUGUGAAGGACAUGUCUACCAAACCGAGAAAAAGAAAAGAUAAGGAAGCGAAUACAUCAUACGAUGAGCCAAAGCACCACAUAGUUCUUUUAGGAAAAAGGGACAUCGUGGGAGUGGAGCGCAAGACAGACAUGUCUAAAGAUUAUGAAAAGUUUCCUGAAAUUCCUCCCUUCAAAGUCAAGGCUAACCCAAGCAUCCUAAUAAACGAUGAAGAUUAUCCAUGGUUACGGCGCAAUAAGCAAACGACACAAGCGAAGAAAAAGUGAAGACUUUCUCUCUACAACUAUUAUGAUGAUGCCUUUGAUCUAGAAUAUCACUGCAAUUACAUGUGAAGAAAUGAAAUGCAUGUUGUAACAAACGAGUUUCCGUGUGAAAUGAUGAUACCAUGCCAAUUUGCAACCUUAUCGGAGUUCAUUUGAAAUGGUUUUCAAUUUCCGGGUCUUAUAGCUCAAAAAAGCAGUAAAUGCAUGAAAAAUAACAAAUGAAGUCAGAAAGGGUUGAAAAUUGAUGAUGUUGCUUUGAAUGGUGCAUUUUGAACACACAAGAAGUCUGGAGUUCAAAUAAGUUCGAAAAAAUGAAAUCCCUUUGUAACAGAUGAGCUUUCGUGCGAAACCCUGAUACUUCGAAAGAGAUUGUCCGUUUUGUACACAAAGUGCAUCUAGUUUUUGCCGUAACCCUCUCAACUUUCUUGCACAUGCUAUGUGGGUGAAAUGAUGAUAGCAUGCCAAUUUUCAACCUUUUCGGUGUUCAUUUGAAAUGCUUUUCAAUUUUCGGGUCUUAUAGCUCAAAAAAGCAGUAAAUGCAUGAAAAAUAAUAAAAUGCAUAAAACUAUAAUAUUUGUUAUGAUCACUAAAAAACUAAAAUCAAUUAAAAUAUUAAAUAGCAGGAAAAAGAAUCACUCAAAAAUCUAUUUUUAUAGUAAAUUUAUUCAUAAAACUAGUGAUUCACAUACAUUUAAAAAAAAUCAAAUUUUAAAACUAAUGGCACUAACAGAAAGUUUAUAAUUUUGUGACCCAAAAGCAAAAAGAAAUCACUAAAAAACUAUAAAAUUUAGUUUUAAGUAGAAAUAAAAAAAUAAAAAGAAAAAAAGGAAAAAAAAUGCCACCUACUGGACCUCCUCGGCCUAAAUACGACUAGAAACCCUACAAUGGGCCAGGAUUCAGGCCCGCAGAAGGCCCAAUAGGCCCAACAGGCAUGGCAAAGUAGAGAUUAGGCCCGUAAGCCUGCAAUAGAGAGGAGCUCGAGAGGGUGGCGGCAGCAAAGCUUAUAAACCACCCCGAGCCCCUCUCAACUAGCGAGGUGGGACUAAACAUCCCACCGCACCGUGCCAGCACAAGGCCUAUGGUCCCGGUUCAUGCCACCAACCGGUACCAUAGGCGGGCAUUCGUACCGGUUCGUGGCACCAACCAGUACCAAUGCCCACCUACGGUCCCGGUCCGUGCCACCAACCGGGACCAUGGGCCUCUGUUUCCCGCCCUUGGGGCUGCCGAAAAGAGACCUUUGGACCCUGUUGGUGGCACGAACCGGGACCAUAGGUAGGCAUUGGUACCGGUUGGUGCCAUGAACCGGUACCAUUGGUUUUGCUAUAUAAGGUAGCACUUGUGAAAAUUUCGCCAACUGCUCCCCCAUUCCCCCCGACGCCGCCAGGCCGUUCCUCGUCGUCGUCGCCGUCGCCGCCCCGAGCCCCUGCCCCGACGNNNNNNNNNNNNNNNNNNNNNNNNNNNNNNNNNNNNNNNNNNNNNNNNNNNNNNNNNNNNNNNNNNNNNNNNNNNNNNNNNNNNNNNNNNNNNNNNNNNNNNNNNNNNNNNNNNNNNNNNNNNNNNNNNNNNNNNNNNNNNNNNNNNNNNNNNNNNNNNNNNNNNNNNNNNNNNNNNNNNNNNNNNNNNNNNNNNNNNNNNNNNNNNNNNNNNNNNNNNNNNNNNNNNNNNNNNNNNNNNNNNNNNNNNNNNNNNNNNNNNNNCCCGACGACGUCGCCGCGCCCUUGACCCGCCGUUGACGUCGUCCUCACCGUCGCCGUCGUCGUCACCGCCCCCGAGCCGCUCCUCCCAGAGCCCUCGCUGUGCGCGUACCCCUCCCCCAAGAGCCCACCGUCCUCGUCGCCGUCAUCGUCACCGGCCUCGUCGUCGUCCUCGUCACCGGCCUCGUCGUUGUCCGGCCUUGAGCCCCCAGUGAGCCCCUUCCAAUCCCGAUCCGUGCACUGCCGCAGCUGCCGCCGCCCCCCCGCGCCGCGCCGCCGCCCCUGUUUUUUAUAUGUAUGUAUGUAUGUAUCUAUGUAUAUGGAUGUAUGUAUGUACGGAUGGAUGGAUAUGCAUGUAUAUGGAUGGAUGUAUGUGUAUGUGUUCAUAGUUUUUUUUUGUUCAUAGUUUUUUGUUGAUAGCAUUUUUAGGCUGUAUAGUUUUAUUUUUGUUCAAUUUUUAUGGUUAGAAGAGGAGAGGAAAAAAUUGUGUUGCUAAAGUUACAUUUAAGGUUAGUUGAUUUAGUUCAUUUUAGGUUAUUAGUUCUACUGUUAGUGCAUUUAAGGUUAGUUUAUUUUUAGUUGAACUAGUUGAUUUAAUAAAACUAAUUUAUUUUACUAUACAUAUAAGUAGUUUAUUUUUAGUAAGUACUACUUUAUUUUAUUUAUAGUAAGUGCUUAGUAGUUGAACUAGUUGAUUUAAUAAAACUACUUUAUUUUACUAUAGAAGUAGUUUAGUUUUAGCAAGAAAAUUAAUAGAAUUAGUUUAUUUUUUAGUUCAAGCAAUUAUUCCCGCAUCGACAUCGACGAUGCCUAUCCCGCAUCCUCGUCGUCGACUCGGCGGAGGAGGCCGACUUGAUCAGAGGGGCCAUGUCCGGGACUGGGCUCCGCCGGGCUGGUAUUGGGAGGUGCUACCUUCCGGGGGGCGUAGGUUGGUGAGGAGCCAGCCCGUCGUUGACCCGAUCCUUGUUUGGUGGCGGUCGCGUGGGCCAGUGACUGUAUCGAGGCUUCCGGACACCGCGGAGGUGGUACGUCACCAUGUCAGCGAGGAGGACGAGCACGCCCGUCGCUACAUGGUUGCGUUGGAGGGCAGGUUCGACAAUACCUGGCAGCUUCUUCAGGGAUCUCAUUGGAGCUAUGAUCAUGUGAUGGUUCCUUCUCUUUGGGCAUCCACCGCCCGCGCCGAUACCCGUCGGGCGCUACGGUUCUAGCUGUACUAGCGAUGCUAUAUGUAUGAUAGUAUUCGAGGUGUAUUAGUGAUAAUAUUCGACGAUGUACGGACGCAAGAGAUGAUGUAGUUUUGCUUAUAAUUGAAUGCAUCCUAAUUUGAAUACUACUUUAUUUUGCGAUCUGAUUUUGCUUAUUGAAUGCUCAAAUUGGAAAACUACUCCUACUUUGAAUGCUAAAAUUAGAGAGCACUAUGCAAGGCGUAUGCAUAUGAUUAGUUGAUAGCUUAUAGUGUUUUUGUUUUCGCAAAAAUAUAGGAGCCCCCAACCAUCAUCCCCGCCGUCGUCCCCGUCACUGACCCCCUCCGACGUCGAGGUGAGACCAGCCAAAUCUCCAUGUCAAUAUGAGUCCUAUAAUAUGAGUCCUCGGGUCGACUUUAAGUCUGUCGAGUCUCCACCAUAUAUGAAAGGACGAAGAAUCAUGACUGUUGUCGUGGGGGUAGCUUCUCCUUCGUUCCCGUGAUGAAUAAUAAUGAUCUAACUUAGGUUUUUAGUACAUAUAUUUAAUUGUAGAUGUUUAAUAUUUGAAUUAUGAACAUAGGAAAUGUCGUACUCAGACUACGAAAGUCUCCCGGGGGAGUGCGACUGGUGCCACGACGACCGAGGUUAGUGCGACCGGCCUCACCUGGACGAAGAUCAGCGCUUCAGCAUUAAGCUGGAGGAGACCUUCGAUGUUGAAACGGUACGCAACGACGACAAGUGUUAUUUUUUCGUAAUUAAGCACGACUUCAAGUAUUUCAACGUGUACUUCUUAUCUUUUACAAUUCGACUAGCUUAUCCCAUGCCAUGCAAGACGCUAUGUCUUGGAGAGGAUGGGUUUUGAAGACCAGGAAAGUUUCGAAACAAAGAAAAUUCAUCUAAGGACCCAUCAUGGUGUGGAUUUUGAAGUAAAGCGGUACAAUUCUGAGAGCGUAACCCAUUUUGGUUGCAAAAAAUGAGAAGCACUUUGCAAGAUGUAUGGUUUUGAUGAGGGUAUGCUUGUCACCAUUGAUCUUGGUGACCCUGAAAUCGAGCAAGACAAUAUGGACAUUUGGGUCCUUGUUGAUACGCCUCCAAUUCUACCGCUAUGUGAGUUUCUCAAACAUAGUUAUUAGCUAAUUUAUAUUGUUUAUUUCAAAAUAGUUGACAACUUAUUUCCAUUGACAGCUUAUUUUGAUUGUUCAAACAAUGUGCGGAACAUGGUAGACAAAACCCACUACACCGAUGGCUCCGAAUUAACUUAUCAGGAGAAAAAUCAUCUGGUCUGAUUUUGUACUGAUAUUGAGAAUUACAAUAUCUAGAAUCAAACUCCUCAACAUUAUUGUCAAUACGUGCCACUAGUGCACGUGUUGAACUACAGUAACUACCAUGGAGAUACCCUGGUAAGAUUUUUUACUAUUACGACAUCCGUGCAUCUUUUGCAUACUUCUAAAACUAGUACAUCAUUGCUAACUAUGAAGUUAUUACUAUGUUUUUCAACAGAGAAUCCCAGAGGAUUGUGUGCCUCAUUUGAUGUAGCAGAAUGGCAGCCUUCGUGUUUUGAACAUAUAUCCAAGUCAUCCAACGAAUCUCAACUGUCCAUACCGGAUUUAUCAAUGAAGUGGAGACAUGCUAAUCAAAAAAUGGAAAAAAUGUAUGGACAGUCGUAAGGAGGUUCUUGGAAGCAAAAGGAAGCGAAGCGUAAGAAUUGGAGACAGGAUGAUCUCCAUUCUCCAUAAUGGAGAGUCAGGGUCUAUAUUGUUUUAUGCUAUUUUACCUUAAAGAGGGUAUUUAGGUCCUACCUAAUACUGAUGAUCAUGUGCUAAGAACAAUUAAGUAGGGCUGGUUCGAUGACUAUGAGGAUGAUGAUCGUAUGACUUGUUAUUAAUAACGAGUAGAAGUUGUAUGAUGAUGAUUAGUAGGACUUGUUAUUAUAUAAGAUGAUGCAUGAUGCGAGCAUGAAGAGUUAUUAUAUAUCAGCGGGUGAAAUGAACAUGGAUUGGAUUGAAGUGAAGGCAACAUGCAUGUGGUGCAUGUCGAAAGUACUACAAUCCAAACUUGAUCAAAGUUAGGAUUAGUAUUACUUUCGACAUGCACCACAUGUUGCCUUCACUUCAAUCUAAGCCAUGUUUAGGCAUAGCAGUAGCGUUGGUAAACCAAGCACGGAGAUAUAAGAGAGGACACUUCUCUCUAUUAUAUUAGCUAGCUAAUAACAACCUAAAUUAACCCCCAAAACCCCUAAAUCAGCCCCUUUAAAAAAACAAAAAGCUCAACUCCAGCCAGCUGCUGACGCGUGGAUGCCUUUUGGUCCCGGUUGGUGUCACCAACCGGGACCAAAGGCCCCCCUGCCUGGGCUGGCCGUAGUGGCCACGUGGAGGCCCAUCUGUCUCGGUUCGUGUAAGAGCCGAGACUAAAGGCCAAGGGCAUUAGUAACGACCUUUUAGUCCCGGUUCCUAAACCGGGACAGAAGGCUCUUACGAACCGGGACAAAUGGCCCUUUUUCUACUAGUGCCGCUCUAAACGCGGCCGCUCGAACUGUUGAGCUUGACUCGAGUCAGAAUCGAGAGCGUUGCCGAUUGCGGAAGGCUAUGUUGCCGUUCUCGACGCGGCCGCUUGAGCUAUUGAGCGGACUCGAAACAGAGUAAGGGCGUUGCCAAUAGCGGAAGGGCCCCUUUGCGUGCAUGUUUUCCAUACAUAGGGCAGGACCUUCGAGUACAAUAACCUUCUAUAUAAAAAGAUAUUGCUUAAAGUUUCACACGACUUAGCUUUUCUGUCAUUGCACGGGCGUCCACCGCAUCUGCAGAUGGUGCCGUCAAGCUUGGUCGUCUUCUAUCUUGGAACGACGGCCACGAUGAAGCCGCUGCUCCGAUCAGACCAAAUUUCCACAACUGCGCCCCCUACCUAGCGCGCCAAAGAUGUCGGGGGAAAUCGACACCUAUGGAAUCACAGGGAUCCCUUCUACGGUUGGCGGGCGCGGGGUUGUGCAAAGAGCAGGUCUGACAGGAAGCACGCAGAUCGUUUACCCAGGUUCGGGCCGCGGAGAUGCGUAAUACCCUAGUCCUGCUAUGGUGGAUGUAUUCGAGUGUUCUUGUGUUCUUGAACUAGCUACGGGGUGUAACUUGCCCAGAAGAUCCGAAUCCCUGUCCUGGAUGCCUCGGGCCUCCUUUUAUAGACAAAAGGGGUUGCCACACUGGCACACAGGAGGUGGAAAGGUGUACAGUGGAUGAGUCUAUCCUCUGGCACCGUUGGACGAACACAUUUAAUGCGCUGCCAACGUGACCCUCUCGCUUUAUCGGGGACGGUCAAGGAAGCUCGUCCCAGCUGUCGCCGCCUCGCCUGGCUUCGACACGCGUCCGAGCUGACGAGGCGUCGUGGCGCCACAUUGGCUGGCUGCUGGGCUGGCGCGGUGGUGGAGCCUUCACGAAGGUCUGCAUGCCACCACGCAGGUGCUUGCUGUGUCGGUGUAGAGGCCGCUCGUCGCCACGCAGGUGCCUGCCCAGCUGGUUGGGCUAGCAGCUGCACGGGGACGGCGGUGGAGUCUUGGCAGGCGCGGGCCUGGCUGUGGCCCCGCUGAUGCCCUUGGCAAGGGUCUUGCCGGGGGCCCGGCAAGGGUCUUGCCGUGGUGCCGCGGUCGUCCCCGGCAAGGCGCUUGCCGGGGGUCUCGUGGAUUUCCUCGGCAAGGACCUCGCCGAGGAUCAUCGUCUUCUGGUCCUCAUCUGAUCUUGUGUAUUUAUGAUCUUCACAAAGAUCAGCAUGCCACCACGGAGGUGCCUCCCGAGCCUUGGUCCCAAUGUGGUUGAUGGCGUUGGAACCCUUGGGCUCAAUGGAGGCGCGCUUCGUUGGCGUCAGGCAAGUUGCCCCGGCAAGGCUCUCGCCGGGGCUGAGGAGGCCGUCCCGGCAAGGGUCUUGCCGGGGGAGUCCACCUCGCCCUCUUGCCCUUUGUGUCUCUGGUCUUGGCAUUGCCAUGGCUGUCUUGUGCUCCGGCUUCCCUCCUCUGCCCUGCUAAGUGUGGCCGUGGGCGCGGCUCUGACUACCAGUGCACAAGUAAAGGGGUCAAAAGGAGAGCCCCUAGUUUUAUACACCGACAUGUAUCCUCCCAGAAUCUCGUAGAAGUACCGUUACUGAUCACAAGCUUUGUCUGAUUGAAAAAAAUGGAUUUAACUCUCAUCAGUCCUUUCCAAAAGGGCUAGUCCAUUGGCCUCACUGUGACCUGGGAUAAAGUUCUGGAAUGAAGGUACUUAUUACGCAGUAUUUGUGCCCAUGUAGCCCCCGUCUCGCUAGAUAGCUUAUACAGCCAUUUGCUGAGAAGACAUAUGUUCUUCACCUUAAGAUUUUUGAUACCUAGACCCCCUUGGUCUUUGGGUCGACAAAUAAUAUCCCAUUUAGCGAGUAUACUUUCUCUUCAGAUCAUCACUUUGCCAGAAGAAACGGGAUCGAUAGAAAUCUAGUCUUUUCCGAACUCCAACUGGUACCUCGAAAAAAGACAAGAGAAACAUGGGCAUGCUCGUGAGAACCGAAUUAAUAAGAAUUAAACGGCCUCCAUAUGACAUGAGUUUGCCAUUCCAGCAACUGAGUUUCUUCUCAAAUCGAUCCUCAGUGCACUUCCAUUCUCUCUUUGUUAGCUUACGAUGGUGAAUUGGUAUGCCCAAUUAAGUGAAAGGCAAAGCCCCCAAUUCGCAUCCGAACAAUUGCUUAUAUGCCUCUUGUUCCUCAUUGGCUCUUCCAAAAUUGUAUAAUUCGCUCUUGUGGAAAUUAAUUUUUAGUCCGGUCAAUUGUUCGAAUAAGCAUAACACCAGCUUCAUAUUUCUCGUUUUUGCCAAGUCAUGGUCCAUGAAGAUGAUAGUAUCAUCGGCGUACUGUAGGACAGACACACCUCCAUCCACUAGAUGAGGUACCACAGGAGAGCACCUGCGAUAAUUAUAUCAUGCCACACGAGUACAAAGGAUGAAGCAUCUUAGACGUUUGGAAUAGAUUUGGGCAUCACAUACGAUUUAUUUUUCCAAAAAGGUAUGCAUGAUUGGGCUCUAUCUGUAGGAGAUAUGCCCUAGAGGCAGUAAUAACAGUUAUUUUGUAUCUCCAAGUUUGUAAUGAAUGUUUAUGAUCCAUGCUAUAACUGCAAUGAUUCUCGAGUCUACAAUAUCCACGAGGCUCGGAGGGAACUCAUAUGCACGUGUGGUAUUAUAAACGGUAAAAUAUAUUCCUAGUCUUGCCUCUAAGACUAGCUCAAGUAUUGCAUGAUGAUCCUGUUUCCUGAUCAUGGGCAUGACUAUGCCGGCAAUUUUGAGGGCACAAGUUUGGUAGAACGCUUGUGUUGAAUCAACCCGGAUUGAUGUUGUGCUAUGAGAUGCCUUCGUCACAAGUUUAUGGUUAAUAUCAUUGAGAUAGUUAAUGUUUGCAUAAUUCCUUAGACCAUGAGAGUAUCAAGUUCCUUCGUGCUUGCUUCGUGAACUUUGGGGUUUGUUAAACGUCAUCCGUAACUUGGUGGCUAUUAUGGCAGCUUUCGGGUUCACGGAAAAGUAUAGGAAGUAACAAGAUAGCUCAAGAUUGGGAUUUGCUCCUCCGACGAUGGAGAGAUAUACUCGGGCCCUCUCAGUGUAACGGUAUCCAUCAUCGUCUGGCCAGACACAUUGUGAUUUGAUCACUGGGAUGCCGGAACACGGAAACGAGAAAAGAGAACAAAACCGGUAACGAGGUAACUUGCAUGGUGGACAAAUUGUUCGUCCAUGGGCAUGCAAUAAAUCUCACCUCGGGUGUUUGUGACAUAUCGCGAAGCAACAGGAAUAGCUCACUACAACUAGAGGUUCACUCGAAUAUUCAUUCGUGUGGGUAUAGGGGUCAAUAUGGGUGUCCACGGCUCCGAUGUUGAUCAUUGAUCGGAAGGGGUUCCAGGUCAUGUCUAUACUUCACCGAACCUAUAGGGUCACACGCUUAGGGGUCAUCUAUCUGUUGAAUACUAGACAGGGAGUCUGAGAGAAAAUCACCGAAAAAGUUUCGGACACCGAAAAGUUUCGGACAGCGGAAUCGUACCGCAGAGAGAGGUCAUCGGAUAAGUUUCGAUGAUACCGAAAAGUUGUUUCGGGAUACACCAUUAAGUCAAAUUGGUUUCGGCACAUGCCUGAUAAUUCUUGGAGGAUGCCAGAAUCAUUCUGGAAGCUUUUUGGAAUUUUCUGACAUAAAAACCGGAAAUGUUCCGGAGCUGCCGGAGCCACUUCAGAUGCGUUUCGCAGAUGAAAAUCACUAAAACCGGAAUUGUUUCGGAACGCGUUGAAAAACAUUUUAGUGGGUACUGGAAAUGUUCUUAGCCCACAUAAAUAUUUUCAGUUCGAUCAGACGCUGAAAAAUGUCGUCGUGAAUAGUGAAAAUCAGCUUUAUGGUUACUUUAUGGAAAGCCACCUUUUGGGGCUUUGCUCCAAAAGAUCUUGGGGAUGACAUGGAUGGAUAGGACCCAUUUUUUGGGCCCCUCAUGGGGGUGUGGCCGGCCACAUGGGGUAUCCCCCCUUGGGGACCCUUUUGUUCAUUGGUUUCACUUCUAGGUCCUUGUGGAAGGACUUCAUUCAUGUGCAUUUUGGGUUUUUGUGUGAAACUACCCUACCCCUUGGGAUUUCCUAUAAAUAGAGGUGGAGGGGCAGCCCUCCACACUCAUCCCUUGCUCUCAUACACAUGCCAUGCAUUAUCUGGCUUCUUCUCUCCCUCCCACGAAAAGAGUUUCGUAGAGCCGUAAGGCUGUCUGGGUUCCGGCAGGAACUAGUUCUGGACGGCGAAGCCCUGCCGGAUAGCUGACACCGUAUGUGUGCAACCCCGUAGAGAGAUUGUAGUUUCGAUCUUUUGCCCGAGGGGCUGUUCGAGUGUCCUCCCGAAGGGCUGUCCGAGUCUCCGUCCGAGUUUCGAGGGUCCUCCCGAAGGGCUGUCCGCGACAUUGUCCGGGGGACUGUCCGACCGCCUCCCGAAGGGCUGUCCGGAGAGGGAGUACAUCCUCGCGGUUGGGAGGUUGUAAAUCCUAGCUGCGGGGAUCUGCACCGACGAUCUACACCGACUCUUCUUCCGCUGCGCUUCGAGUCGGUACGGAUCAGAUCAAACCUUGUAUGCAGUCUCCAUAGUGGUCCUGGGCGUGCUCGCUAUACCGAAAAUUUUCGUUUUCUGUCGCGUUCCCCUACAGUGGCAUCAAGAGCCGUGCUAUGCGUAGAUGCAGGUUACGAUCUAGAAUACAUGGAGAUGUAUGGGUAUUGCAUAAUAUAAUUUUGGAGUAGAUGAGAUGUAUUGCUGAAAAUUAUUUAUGCGGGUGACAGAUGAAAUCUGUUACCCGACGUUCUUGUUGCUUCCCUAGAAUUUGCGUUUGCUCAAUCUCGAGACAGGAUGGUGGAAUUUGACAAAGUUCUGGCAAUCCGUGAUCCUGAUUGAUCAUGGAAGUGCUAUCAGUUCUUUGGGUUCUGCCAUAGUCAAAAGAAAGAUGAAAUUCGCAGAUGAAAGGGCAUUGCAGAUAUGAUCUGCACGGGGGUCAUGCGUAUGACGAAGUUUAGUAUGGGGCUCGAGAUUUAAUUAUCUCGUGUUUCAUACACCCCGAGAUGUUAAUCUAGCAACUUGAAUAAUCAUACUUGAUGAUAAAACGUUGGUAGCUGCGGUUUAAGUCAAAACCUUAGAAGCCACGUAAAAUAAAAUUUUGCAUAAACCGAUUAGAGGCGUCUAACUUGGUUUUGCAGGAUGUGCAUGUGAUGUGGUAUAGCAAUGCUCAUAUUCAAUUUGAUUAUGUAUGAGAUGACUAUAUGAUGUAACUAACAUGACCUGCGUGUCAUGAUUCUGCAUGAUGGCUGGAGCCAUAUGAUUGCACUUUAAUGACCUGCGUGUCAACCUUAAGUAAUGCACUUAUUUUAUUAGCUAUAGAGAUAGCAAUAUUAUCUGGUGCAUCGACAAGGUGGUGGCAAUCUUCGCGAAGGUGAACACCGACGCAAAUGCCGAAGACGAAGAAUUGAAAGACUUCUCCGUCAGAAAGGGCUAUACCAUAUCAUGCUAAUUAUGAAUUGCCUGAGAUGUUUAUCCCCUAUGAUGCACCCUUCUUGAUUGCGCGGUAGUCGCUUUUAUUAGGGUGAUCUCUCACUUAAAAAUAUCAAGUAGAUAGUGUUCUCCCAAGUGUAGCACCGUCACGGCACCUAUCGUUUCGGGGUGCGCCGUGUCACACGGGUACGAACGAUUAGAGAAGUGUGAGGCGGGUGAGUUGAGACCUCGCAGCGAGAUCACUUGGUUGUCUUGACGUUCAGGCAUGACCGUCAUGAGCUCGGAACACACGCAUCGAAAGAUGAACAAGAGUCACAUAGUGAUGUGAUUGGCAAGUUGGCCUACCGGUUAAGAUUUUCGUCAUCAGUGGUGUUACACCAAUGGCGAACAAUCAAGACACGGAUCUUGAAUCACUCAUAAUCAAUUUUGAGAGAUAUUGAUUUGAGUGGGAGUGCAUUUUAGAAUAAAAUGUUUAUUCACUAGUGCAAAUUUCAUUAUAAACAAAGUCUAAGUGAAACUUGUGUCUUCGUUGUAGAUCAAAUGGCUCGCAACACCGCGUUCAACUUAGGCCCGAUGUUAGAGAAAGAGAAGUUAGCUACGACUGGAAACAACUAUGCGGACUGGGCCCGUAACCUGAGGAUUGUCCUCAGGAGCGCUAAGAAAUUGUACGUGCUUGAAACUGCUCUUCCAGCUAAACCGGCGGCAGAUGCACCGGUAGAUGAACAAAAUGUCUGGGCCACUAAGGAUGAUGAUCACAACUUAGUGCAGUGCCUCAUGCUAGCUUGCAUGAGUCCAGGGCUUCAAAAACGUUUUGAAUUCCAUAAAGCCCGUGAUAUGAUCCGGGAAUUGGAUGCUCUGUACAAGGAAACCGCAAAGUCUGAACGAUAUGAUAUCAUGAAGGCUUGGAUGGAUUGCAAGAUGGCUGAGGGUAGUUCAGUUGGCGAACACGUGGUCAAAAUGAUUGGCUAUUCUGAAAGGCUUAAAGCCCUAGAAUUUCCACUUCCACCUGGCCAUAUGAUGGACAUGUUGCUUUCUUCACUCCCCCCGUCUUACGACGGUUUUGUCAUGAACUACAACAUGACAGGGAUGGAGAAGACGCCGAAAGAAGUGCUCGCCAUGCUGAAAACUACAGAAGGAGGACUGCGGAAAAAUCGCAAGUAAGUGUUGCUUGUGAAUAAAACCGCCUGUUUCAAAAAGAAGAAAGGCAAGCCAAAGAAGGGCAAGGGCACCGGUAAGACCGGCUCCCAAAGCAACUCUAAGGGCGGAGCCAAGAAUGAAACUGAGUGCUUCUACUGCAAGGGCACAGGACACUGGAAGAGAAACUGCAAGAAGUAUCUGGAAGAUAAGAAGACCGGGAAAACCGGAAAAGGUAUAAUUGUUAUACAAGUUAAUGUCAUUGACGUUUUGCUUGCUAGCGAAAACUCUAAGUCUUGGGUAUUUGAUACCGGAUCGGUUGCUCACAUUUGCAACUCGAUACAGGGACUUCAGAAGGUGCGCAAGCUAGCAAAGAAUGAAGUCGUGAUGCGCGUCGGGAACGGCGCUGGGAUCGCCGCUCAAGCCGUCGGCAUUAUGCCUCUACGUCUCCCUUCAGGAUUUAUCUUAGAACUAAGUAACUGUUAUUUUGUUCCACUGUUGUGUAGAAACAUUAUCUCCGGAUCAUGUUUGGUACACGAUGGGUAUUCGUACAAGUCUGAGAACAAUGGUUGUUCACUUUAUUGUAAGGAUAUGUUUUAUGGAUUUGCACCCAUUGUUGGGGGCCUUUUCAUACUAAAUCUUGAAUGUGGAAGUGAUGUCUUUAACAUGAAUGCUAAACGCCUUAAGAAGGCUGAUACCACCACCACUUUCAUGUGGCACUGUCGCCUUGGCCACAUCGGUAAGAAACGCAUGCAAAGACUCCAUAAAGAUGGAGUUUUACCGUCCCUUGAUUUUGAAUCAUUUGACACAUGUGAAGCUUGCCUGAUGGGGAAAAUGACCAAGACGCCGUUCACGGGUCAUCCUGAACGGGCGGGUGAAUUAUUGGAAAUAAUACAUAGUGAUGUAUGUGGUCCAAUGAACACAGGCGCACGGGGUGGAUAUUUUUACUUCGUGACUUUUACUGAUGAUUUGAGUAGGUAUGGCUAUAUCUACUUAAUGAAGCAUAAAUCGGAAACCUUUGAAAAGUUCAAAGAAUUUCAGAAUGAGGUAGAAAAUCAUCGUAACAAAAAGAUUAAGUUUCUGCGGUCUGAUCGCGGAGGCGAAUAUCUUAGUCAUGAGUUUGGCCAACAUCUGAGUGAUCGUGGAAUCGUUUCACAGCUUACGCCUCCCGGAACUCCACAGAGAAAUGGAGUAUCGGAACGACGUAACCGAACCUUGUUGGACAUGGUAAGGUCAAUGAUGUCUCUUACAAAUCUUCCAAUAUCUUUUUGGGGUCACGCACUACUUACUGCUGCUCACACACUAAACAAAGCACCGUCUAAAUCUGUUGAGACGACGCCACAUGAGAUGUGGCACGGGAAGAAACCCGACCUGUCGUUUUUCAAAAUUUGGGGUUGUGAAGCUUAUGUAAAACGUUUACAGCCAAGCAAGCUUGAUCCCAGAUCAGACAAAUGUUACUUUGUAGGUUAUCCCAAGGAGACAGUUGGGUAUUCUUUCUACCACGCCUCCGAGAAUAAAGUGUUUGUUGCAAAACAUGGAGUCUUUCUUGAGAAAGAGUUUCUCACUAAAGAAGUGAGUGGGAGGACAAUACAACUCAAUGAGAUUAGUGAAUCUUCGGGAACCGUUGAUAUGGCUAAGGAACCGGAAGAAAUUCCGCUAAUUAUCCCUACAACCGAGCCGGAAGUUGUCGCAUGUGAUGCGGAGACUUCAGACAAUGUUGUAACUGAACCGCGCAGAUCAGGUAGGGCUAUCCAGCCACCUGAGUGGUUUCAUAACGAAAUCUUCAUUCUUGAAGACGAUGAACCUGCGCACUACAAGGAAGCGAUGGCGGGGCCCAGCUCAAAAGAAUGGCACAAAGCCAUGAGAUCCGAAAUGGAAUCCAUGUACGAAAACCAAGUUUGGAACUUGGAAGAACUUCCAGAAGGCAUAAAGCCCAUUGGUUGUAAAAUGGAUUUUCAAAAGAAAGACGGACGCGGAUGGUAACAUUACUAUCCACAAAGCUAGACUUGUCGCGAAAGGGUUCACACAAGUUCCAGGAGUGGACUACGACGAGACUUUCUCGCCAGUAGCUAUGCUUAGGUCUGUUCGGAUAUUGCUAGCAAUUGCUGCUUAUUUCGACUAUGAAAUAUGGCAGAUGGAUGUCAAAACGGCUUUCCUAAAUGGAAACCUCAAAGAGGAUGUAUACAUGAUACAGCCAGAAGGUUUUGUCAUUCAUGAGGAUGCUGGAAAGGUAUGCAAACUUCAGAAAGCCAUUUAUGGUCUGAAGCAAGCAUCAAGGAGCUGGAACAUUCGUUUUGAUGAAGUGGUCAAAGAGUUUGGCUUCAUCAUGAAUGAUGAAGAAUCUUGUGUUUACAAGAAGUUUAGUGGGAGCGCAAAAGCAUUUCUAAUCUUGUAUGUGGAUGACAUAUUGUUGAUUGGAAAUGACGUGAAUUUUCUUAGCGAAAUAAAAGACUCAUUGAAGAAAAGUUUUUCAAUGAAAGACUUAGGCGAAGCGGCAUAUGUAUUAGGCAUCAGGAUCUAUAGAGAUAGAUCAAAACGCCUGAUAGCGCUUAGCCAAAGCACGUACAUUGACAAGGUGUUGAAAAGGUUCAACAUGGAGAACUCCAAGAAAGGCCUACUCCCCAUGUCACCUGGCACAGUGCUUUGCAAGAAUCAGAGUCCUCGGACUCUGGAUGAGCGAGUACAAAUGAAUGAUGUUCCAUAUGCCUCGGCAGUUGGUUCUAUUAUGUAUGCCAUGCUAUGUACAAGACCAGAUGUUUCCUAUGCGCUAAGUGUUAGCAGCCGGUACCAAAGUGAUCCAGGGUUGGAACACUGGGCCGCAGUCAAGGGUAUUCUUAAGUACCUCAGAAGGACCAAGGAUUUACUCCUUGUGUACGGAGGUGAUGAAGAGCUCAUUGUAAGUGGUUACAAUGAUGCAGGCUUCAUGACUGACCCAGAUGACUUCAAAUCUCAAUCAGGCUACGUUUUCAUAUUGAACGGCGGCGCAGUUGAUUGGAAAAGUUCCAAACAAAAGACUGUGGCGGAUUCUACGACGGAGGCGGAAUAUGUUGCUGCUUCAGAAGCCUCCAAGGAGGCGGUAUGGAUCAAACAAUUUCUUGAAGACCUUGGUGUGGUUCGUAGUGCCCAGGACCCGGUGGAGAUCUAUUGUGAUAAUAGUGGCGCCGUGGCUCAGGCAAGGGAGCCAAGUUCGAACCAUAAGACAAGACAUAUUCAACGCAAAUAUAAACUCAUUCGACAUCAUGUCGAAGAGGGUUUAGUGAAAGUACGCAAAGUUCACACGGAUCUGAACGUGUCAGACCCGAUGACAAAGCCUCUACCACGAGCAAAACAUGAGCAACACCGGAUAGCCAUUGGUGUUAGGGAAGCCAUGUAACUGGAUUAUGACUCUAGUGCAAGUGGGAGUCUGUAGGAGAUAUGCCCUAGAGGCAGUAAUAACAGUUAUUUUGUAUCUCCAAGUUUGUAAUGAACGUUUAUGAUCCAUGCUAUAACUGCAAUGAUUCUCGAGUCUACAAUAUCCACGAGGCUCGGAGGGAACUCAUAUGCACGUGUGGUAUUAUAAACGGUAAAAUAUAUUCCUAGUCUUGCCUCUAAGACUAGCUCAAGUAUUGCAUGAUGAUCCUGUUUCCUGAUUAUGGGCAUGACUAUGCCGGCAAUUUUGAGGGCACAAGUUUGGUAGAACGCUUGUGUUGAAUCAACCCGGAUUGAUGUUGUGCUAUGAGAUACCUUCGUCACAAGUUUAUGGUUAAUAUCAUUGAGAUAGUUAAUGUUUGCAUAAUUCCUUAGACCAUGAGAGUAUCAAGUUCCUUCGUGCUUGCUUCGUGAACUUUGGGGUUUGUUAAACGUCAUCCGUAACUGGGUGGCUAUUACGGCAGCUUUCGGGUUCACGGAAAAGUAUAGGAAGUAACAAGAUAGCUCAAGAUUGGGAUUUGCUCCUCCGACGAUGGAGAGAUAUACUCGGGCCCUCUCGGUGUAACGGUAUCCAUCAUCGUCUGGCCAGACACAUUGUGAUUUGAUCACUAGGAUGCCGGAACACGGAAACGAGAAAAGAGAACAAAACCGGUAACGAGGUAACUUGCAUGGUGGACAAAUUGUUCGUCCAUGGGCAUGCAAUAAAUCUCACCUCGGGUGUUUGUGACAUAUCGCGAAGCAACAGGAAUAGCUCACUGCAACUGGAGGUUCACUCGAAUAUUCAUUCGUGUGGGUAUAGGGGUCAAUAUGGGUGUCCACGGCUCCGAUGUUGAUAAUUGAUCGGAAGGGGUUCCAGGUCAUGUCUAUACUUCACCGAACCUAUAGGGUCACACGCUUAGGGGUCAUCUAUCUGUUGAAUACUAGACAGGGAGUCUGAGAGAAAAUCACCGAAAAAGUUUCGGACACCGAAAAGUUUCGGACAGCGGAAUCGUACCGCAGAGAGAGGUCAUCGGAUAAGUUUCGAUGAUACCGAAAAGUUGUUUCGGGAUACACCAUUAAGUCAAAUUGGUUUCGGCACAUGCCUGAUAAUUCUUGGAGGAUGCCAGAAUCAUUCUGGAAGCUUUUUGGAAUUUUCUGACAUAAAAACCGGAAAUGUUCCGGAGCUGCCGGAGCCACUUCAGAUGCGUUUCGCAGAUGAAAAUCACUAAAACCGGAAUUGUUUCGGAACGCGUUGAAAAACAUUUUAGUGGGUACUGGAAAUGUUCUUAGCCCACAUAAAUAUUUUCAGUUCGAUCAGACGCUGAAAAAUGUCGUCGUGAAUAGUGAAAAUCAGCUUUAUGGUUACUUUAUGGAAAGCCACCUUUUGGGGCUUUGCUCCAAAAGAUCUUGGGGAUGACAUGGAUGGAUAGGACCCAUUUUUUGGGCCCCUCAUGGGGGUGUGGCCGGCCACAUGGGGUAUCCCCCCUUGGGGACCCUUUUGUUCAUUGGUUUCACUUCUAGGUCCUUGUGGAAGGACUUCAUUCAUGUGCAUUUUGGGUUUUUGUGUGAAACUACCCUACCCCUUGGGAUUUCCUAUAAAUAGAGGUGGAGGGGCAGCCCUCCACACUCAUCCCUUGCUCUCAUACACAUGCCAUGCAUUAUCUGGCUUCUUCUCUCCCUCCCACGAAAAGAGUUUUGUAGAGCCGUAAGGCUGUCUGGGUUCCGGCAGGAACUAGUUCUGGACGGCGAAGCCCUGCCGGAUAGCUGAAACCGUAUGUGUGCAACCCCGUAGAGAGAUUGUAGUUUCGACCUUUUGCCCGAGGGGCUGUUCGAGUGUCCUCCCGAAGGGCUGUCCGAGUCUCCGUCCGAGUUUCGAGGGUCCUCCCGAAGGGCUGUCCGCGACAUUGUCCGGGGGACUGUCCGACCGCCUCCCGAAGGGCUGUCCGGAGAGGGAGUACAUCCUCGCGGUUGGGAGGUUGUAAAUCCUAGCUGCGGGGAUCUGCACCGACGAUCUACACCGAUUCUUCUUCCGCUGCGCUUCGAGUCGGUACGGAUCAGAUCAAACCUUGUAUGCAGUCUCCAUAGUGGUCCUGGGCGUGCUCGCUAUACCGAAAAUUUUCGUUUUCUGUCGCGUUCCCCUACACUAUCGCAGCCGGUUAACUUGCGUUGUGUGUGAUGGACACCCUUUUCGCACACCUUCACACAGCGAUGCAUCAAAGGUACGUGAGCAAAAGGGGUUUUUAACCGUUUGUGUUGGACUUGCGUGCACUAGUGUGACAUGCGUUACUUAACCUAGCUUUUGUUUAGUUUAGUUAAAUUUCAAGUAGUUUUUUAUGUAACUUGUUAAAUUUUAUCAUAUAUGCAUAUAUGUAAUAUAUCGUACUAGGUUUAUUUUCAUUCGUAAUUCAUUUGAAAUGUGUUCCGAACCGGGGGGUGGUAGUUAAAUGCAGAAAAAACACCACAAUAGCCAUCUCAUUAGCAAAAACAACCACUUUACAAUUUGUGGCAAAAAGGACGACACGCAACAACGGACAGUGGCAAAAGAGCCGGUCGGGACCGGCUCUUUCAAAAUGUGGGGUCCCACUCACCCACUCACUCUCUCACUCACCAGCUCUCGCUCACACUCGACGCCGGUGCCGCUCCUGCUUGACGCUGCCACACAAUGCAUUCAUGGAAUGACGAAGAGGAGAGCAGCAAGGAUGCCCUCAAGUACAGCAGCAUGGAUAUGGAUUUGUGGGUAAGUUUCAGCGCUCAAUAACUAGACGUUUGGAUUAGGGUUAGUGUUUGGAUUUGGGGAUUUAGGGUUUGUGCUCGUUUCCAGCCUUAUUGAAAGGAUUUGUUAGUUAAUUUAGAUAUUGUCAAUGCAGGAGAACCCUGAGACCAUUGUGAAUUCAUUUUACUAUGGGACAGUGGCAUUUUCGGCCAUCAAAUCCAAGCUUUACCAGGCAAGAGCCAAAAAAUCUGUUGGUUUUGGUGACAGACACUAGGAGGAAACUUUAUGGCUGCACUGCACAAGUACUCCCUCCGUCCUAUAUUAAUUGAGCUAAAAUGGAUGUAUCUAGUACAUAUGGAUACUUUCAUUUCAACAACAAUUAAUAUGGGACGGGGCAGUAAUUUUAACUUGCCUUGCUGUUUCACCACUUUGCUCUGUAGCUGUUUGAUUUCGCUGUGUAGUUAUCUAUGUAGUGACGAGUCAUCUGAACUUAGUUGUAUCUUGUUCAUUUUGACUGGAUUAAACUUAGUCUUGCUGCUAUUAAAGGUUAGUCUGUAAUUUAGUAAAUCGAAAUUUAACUGAAUUUUGUUGUUCAAGUUCAGUAUGUAGUUUAGUGAAUCAGAAUUUAACGGAAUAUUGUUUUUCAAGUCCAGUCUGUAGCUUGCUGAAUAUGUAUUGUACUGAUUGUUGUUACUCAAGUUCAGUAUGUAGUUAAGUCAAUCUAAAUUGUAGUGUCAUCAUGUAGUAAAAUAGGUAGUAUAUGUGAAAGAAAUAGGCUUGAUUUAUUGUUGUGUAGUUUUGGAAACAAUAAAUUUUGAGAUACUUUUGUCUGUCUGAACAAUAUGUCACUAGUAGAAAACAGGGCUUUGGUUCGGCUAGAAAAGAGCAUUAAUCCCGGUUGCAUUACGAACCGGGACUAAUGUGAGCAUUAGUCCCGGUUCGAGUGGCUAGGGCACCGUACAAGCAUUAGUCCCGGUUCAAAUGGGACCUUUAGUCCCGGUUGGUGCCACGAACCGGGACUAAAGGGUGCGAUGCCCAUUAGUACCGGUUCGUGGCACCAACCGGUACUAAAGGUUAGACCUUUAGUCCCGGUUCGAGCCACCAACCGGUACUAAUGGGGUUUGAGGCAUUAGUACCUGUUCAUGGCACGAACCGGUACUAAAGGUCCCAUUGUCAAACUCUACCCCCACCCUGGAUCGCCUUUUCAGUUUUGUAAAAAGCAAAGAAAAUGAUAAAAACUUCAAAAAUUAAAAUCCUUCCAGAUGUAUAGUUAUGUUACUACAUGUACUAGUUAGGAAAAUUUAAAAACUUAAAUUUGGACAUGUUUUGCAAAAAGUGUAGGAAAAAUGUAAAACGGCUAUAACUUUUGCAUACGAUGUUAGAAAAAAAGUAUAAUAUAUCAAAAUGUUCAGCACGAAAAUCCGAAUCCGAUUUUGACCGCAUAUGACCCGUUUGCAAAUGUUUAGAAUCCUCAAAUUCUAAAAGGAAAAAAAGUUAUGCUCAAAUUUCUGUUUUUUUUAAUUUUUGUUAAAUCUGGUCAAACUACUUAUUCAAGAAGUAUUAAUGUUACUAAAUAAAUAUUCAAGAAUAUUAGUGUUACUAAAUAAUUAUUUCAGUUUUUUUGAAUUUUCGUCAAAUCUGGUCAAACUAUGGUCAAACUAAUUAUUCAAGAAAUAUUAGUGUUACUAAAUAAUUAUUUCGGUUGUUUUGAAUUUUGGUCAAAUCUGGUCAAACUGUGGUCAAACUGUGGUCGAACUAUGGUCAAACUACUUAUUCAAGAAAUAUUAGUGUUACUAAAUAAUUAUUGUUUUUUAGAACAAUAGUUUCAAACUCAAACAGUGAAAUGUGUGACUUCAUGCUCAAGCUAAGUUCCUGGGGGUUAAUAGGAUUGACAUCUUACUAUUGUCAGGAAAACAACAAGUGCAGACUUGGAAACGAGGGAGAAUAGAACCCGGAAGUUAAGCGUGCUCAGGCUGGAGUAGUGAGAGGAUGGGUGACCGUCCGGGAAGUUAGAUGAUUUGGAAUGAUGAGGGGUGAUUAGGGGUGACAAGUUUUUGAUUACUUGUCCGGUAAGUAUACGAAUUAGAAACCGAGUCGGUUUGGGAUUGUGGUCGCGACACAAUACCGCCUCUGGUCCUAAUAUAUAUACAGCUACCGGCUGCGGCCAGAGACACACCGAAAAACACCUAGGGUUUUGCCUCAUCUCACAACCUGCGCCGCCAUUGUAGUCUACUCCAUCCCAAACGCCGGCGUGCAUCGACGCGUGGGAGAGCAGGUCUCCGGAACCGUUCGUCUUUGCGAUCCUGCACCGGGAGAGGACGAAUUAGGUUUAUGGGAAGCGUUGUGCGCGACUGCUCAAAUUCGUCAUCACGGGUCGUCUUCCGUCCAAGUCGGGCGGUGCUACUCAUCGUCGUAUUCAUCGCCGUCAGCAGCAGAUCGUCACCAACAUCGUCAUCAACACUGUCACACCCUUAAUAGCUAACGAUCAGUACGUCCGACAUCCUCUGUUCAUGUCUGCUUCUACAGCUAUUGUUACGUGUUUGCUGCUGUUAUGCAUGUCUUGCUGUUCUUCUAGUUUGCUAGAUUAUUGCAUGCUAGUAUCUCUUCUAGUCAUGAAUUAUUUACUGGAAUCAAUCAUGAACUUGCCUAAUAUUCCAACAAUCCAAAAACCUAAUUAUAGGCAAUUUCCUGAGUUAACUAUGGCUGGAUUCGCUGAUGCACUGAGGCCGGAUAAGUUUACCGGUGUGCACUUUAAGAGGUGGCAGUUGAAGACCACGCUCUGGCUUACUGGUCUGAAAGUUUUCCACGCUAGUGUUGGUGCUCCAGAGGGAAUGACCGACGAAGAUCGGAGAAAAUUCCAGGAAGCCAAUACUAUGUUUGUGGGAUGCAUUCUGAGUGUUCUUGCUGACUGUCUGUGUGAUGUGUACAUGCACAUAAAUGACGGAAAGAUUCUGUGGGAUGCACUGAAUGCAAAAUUCGGUGCAACAGAUGCAGGCAGUGAACUGUACAUCAUGGAGAGUUUUCAUGACUACAAGAUGGUGAAUAACCGUUCUGUGGUUGAACAAGCUCAUGAGAUACAGUGCAUUGUGAAGGAACUUGAACUCCUUAAAUGUGUUCUACCUGACAAAUUCGUGGCUGGGCGCAUGAUUGCAAAGUUGCCUCCUUCAUGGAGGAAUUUCGCCACAACUCUGAAGCAUAAGAGACAGGAGAUAUCAGUUGAAAAUCUGAUUGCAUCUCUUGAUGUUGAAGAAAAAGCUCGGGCUAAAGAUACUACUGAAAAAGGAGGUGAGGUUCAGCCUACUGCUAACAUGGUGCAGAGGUACCCACAGAACAAGAACAAAGGGAAGAACAAACCUGUUUUCAACAAGCCUACCAAGACUACUACCUUCAAGAAGAAGAAGUUCAACAAGGCUGAGCUAGAGUGCUACGCCUGUGGGAAGCCUGGACACUUUUCCAAGGAAUGCCCUGAACAUGCAGACCGCAGAGGGAAAAUAAGCUCCAAGACUGUCAACAUGGUGACCGCUAGCAAUACUGAUGGGUAUGGUAAUUUACCUAUUGUGCUUUCAGUAUUUCAAUCAUCUUCGUGGUGGAUUGAUUCGGGUGCUAACGUUCAUGUGUGUGCUGACAUCUCCCUAUUUACUUCUUAUCAGGUCGCAAGGGAUUCUUCCGUCCUAAUGGGGAAUGGGUCACAUGCUUCGGGAAAGAUCGUGCAACUAAGGAACGUGCAGCAUGUCCCUACUAUGAACAAGAAUCUAGUUAGCGUCUCCCUUCUAUGUCGAGAUGGAUUUAAGGUAGUUUUAGAGUCCAAUAAAGUAAUCGUGUCAAGAUUUGGACAAUUUAUAGGAAAAGGCUACGAGUGUGGAGGCUUGUUCCGCUUUUCUCUUUCAGAUUUUUGCAAUAAGUCAAUAAACCAAAUUUGUGCUAGUGAUAAUGAUGAUGCAAGUAUUUGGCACUCUCGUUUAUGUCAUAUUAAUUUUGGUUUAAUGUCUCGGCUAUCCAGCAUGAGUUUAAUUCCGAACUUCAGAGUUGCCAAAGGUUCUAAGUGCCAUAGUUGUGUGCAAUCUAUGCAACCUCGAAAGCCUCAUAAGGCCGCCGAGGAGAGAAACUUGGCACCUCAAGAACUCAUACAUUCUGAUCUUUGUGAGAUGAAUGGUGUGUUGACAAAAGGUGGAAAGAGAUAUUUCAUGACUUUGAUUGAUGAUGCGACUAGAUUUUGCUAUGUUUAUUUGUUGCAAACUAAAGAUGAAGCAUUAGACUACUUUAAAAUCUAUAAAGCUGAAGUUGAAAAUCAACUAGAGAGAAAGAUCAAGCGUCUUAGGUCCGAUCAUGGUGGAGAGUAUUUUCCAAAAGUUUUUGAUGAAUUUUGUGAGGAACAUGGUAUUAUUCAUGAGAGGACGCCUCCCUAUUCACCUCAAUCAAAUGGAGUGGCCGAGAGGAAAAACCGCACAUUGACUAACUUGGUGAAUGCCAUGUUAGACACUGCUGGUUUAUCUAAGGCAUGGUGGGGGGAGGCUCUAUUGACUUCAUGUCAUGUCCUGAAUAGAGUUCCCAACAAUAAUAAGGAGAAAACCCCUUAUGAGGAGUGGGUUGGGAGAAAACCAUCACUUUCUUAUUUGCGCACUUGGGGAUGUUUGGCAAAGGUCAAUAUUCCUAUUCCUAAGAAACGCAAACUUGGACCAAAGACAGUGGAUUGUGUCUUUCUAGGGUAUGCUCAACGGAGCAUUGCUUAUAGGGUUUUAGUGGUAAAAUCUGAAGUUCCUGAUAUGCAUGUUGAUACUAUAAUGGAAUCUCGUGAUGCAACAUUUUUUGAGAACAUAUUUCCUAUGAAAGAUAUGCAUAGCAUUGCUAGAUUUUCUUCUGAGAUAAUUCCUGUAUCUAGUACAACUGAUGAAUAUUUCGAACAAUCACAUGAGGAAGUCCUUGAGAAGGAUAACAAUGAAGUUCCUAGAAGGAACAAGAGACAAAGGAUUGCAAAAUCCUUUGGUGAUGAUUUCAUUGUAUACCUUGUGGACGACACACCCAAGACGAUUGCAGAAGCAUAUGCAUCUCCGGAUGUAGAUGAUUGGAAAGAAGCUGUUCAUAAUGAGAUGGACUCAAUUAUUUCUAAUGGAACUUGGGAACUAACUGAUAGACCAUAUGGUUGUAAACCUGUGGGCUGUAAGUGGGUGUUCAAAAAGAAGCUCAAGCCUGAUGGUACUAUUGAUAAGUACAAGGCGCGGCUAGUGGCCAAGGGCUACACUCAGAAAGAAGGCGAAGAUUACUUUGACACCUAUUCACCCGUUGCUAGAAUGACCACCAUUCGAGUGUUACUUUCCUUGGCUGCCUCUUAUGGUCUUAUCAUUCAUCAAAUGGAUGUAAAGACAGCUUUUCUCAAUGGAGAGUUGGAAGAGGAGAUCUAUAUGGAUCAGCCUGACGGGUUUGUGGUUAAGGGUGAAGAGAGAAAGGUGUGCAAGUUGUUAAAAUCUUUGUAUGGUCUGAAACAGGCACCUAAGCAAUGGCAUGAGAAGUUUGAAAGAACUCUGACUUCUGCAGGAUUUGUCAUUAACGAGGCUGAUAGGUGUGUUUACUAUCGCCAUGGUGGGGGCAAUAGUGUCAUAUUAUGUUUGUAUGUGGACGACAUACUGAUCUUUGGUACAAACAUUAAUGCAAUUAAUGAGGUCAAGUCUUUUCUAUCAAAAAGUUUUGACAUGAAAGAUCUGGGAGAAGCCGAUGUAAUUCUAAACAUCAAACUUAUUAAGGAUGAGAGUGGGAUUACAUUAACGCAAUCUCACUAUGUUGAGAAGGUCUUGAACCGAUUCGGUUUUAUGGAUAGCAAGCCUUCUCCAACACCUUAUGAUCCCAGCGUGACACUCAGAAAGAACAAGAAAGAAACGAGAGAUCAAUUAAGAUACUCUCAAAUUGUCGGUUCACUCAUGUACUUAGCUAGCGCUACAAGACCAGAUAUCUCUUUUGCUGUGAGCAAACUGAGUAGGUUCAUGUCCAACCCGGGUGAUGAUCAUUGGCAUGCACUAGAAAGGGUCUUACGCUAUCUGAGAGGUACUAUGAGUUACGGAAUUACUUAUUCAGGGCAUCCUGCUGUGCUAGAAGGAUAUAGUGAUUCAAAUUGGAUCUCCGAUGUUGAUGUACUUUACGCAACAAGUGGGUAUGUAUUUACUCAUGGUGGUGGCGCAGUGUCAUGGAGGUCUUGCAAGCAAACCAUAUUGACGAGGUCAACUAUGGAAGCAGAAUUAACUGCUUUGGACACAGCUACUGUUGAGGCAGAAUGGCUGCGUGAGCUCUUGAUGGACUUGCCGAUUGUUGAAAAACCUGUACCGGCUAUUCUUAUGAAUUGUGAUAACCAAACGGUUAUCGCUAAAGUGAACAAUUCUAAAGAUAAUGCAAAGUCAUCAAGACACGUGAAAAGACGUUUGAAGUCUGUCAGGAAGUUGAGAAACUCCGGAGUAAUAACUGUUACAUAUAUACAAACAGACAAAAACCUGGCAGAUCCCUUUACAAAGGGACUAUCACGAAAUGUGAUAGAUAUUGCAUCGAGGGAGAUGGGUAUGAGACCCAUAGAUGUUACACCAUAGUACUAACCCAACCUUUGUGAUCGGAGAUCCCGUGAAUUAGGAUCUGGGAAGAACAAGCUAUUGGUUAACUGAGGAGAGUAAUAACUUAUGAUCGUCUCCAAGUGAAGAUGCAAAACUCUCAGAGCUGUAAAGCUCAGAUCUGUAAGGCAGGUUGGCAACAUGCCUUAAUGUGGUUCUAUUGGCUAUAAUUAGCAAAGAUGCUGUCCUACAGAGCAGUCUUGAAAGAACACACCUAUAUGAGUUCUGACUGUAAACGUCGCAGUCUAUGAGAUUUGGGUGAUCUCUAGUAAGCUCACGAAGAGACAAGGGAGUAUGACGUAUAAGCUCCAAACCGCGGGGUAGCCUACUGACGUAUAAGCUUCCUUUUGCCGUUUUAUUUUUAUGUCUUGGCAUACAAGUUUUUUAUUACUUGUCCGGUAAGUAUACGAAUUAGAAACCGAGUCGGUUUGGGAUUGUGGUCGCGACACAAUACCGCCUCUGGUCCUAAUAUAUAUACAGCUACCGGCUGCGGCCAGAGACACACCGAAAAACACCUAGGGUUUUGCCUCAUCUCACAACUUGCGCCGCCAUCGUAGUCUACUCCAUCCCAACGCCGGCGUGCAUCGGCGCGUGGGAGAGCAGGUCUCCGGAACCGUUCGUCUUUGCGAUCCUGCACCGGGAGAGGACGAAUUAGGUUUUUGGGAAGCGCUGUGCGCGACUGCUCAAAUUCGUCAUCACGGGUCGUCUUCCGUCCAAGUCGGGCGGUGCUACUCAUCGUCGUAUUCAUCGCCGUCAGCAGCAGAUCAUCGCCAAUAUCGUCAUCAACACUGUCGCACCCAUAUAGCUAACGAUCAUUACGUCCGACAUCCUCUGUUCAUGUCUGCUUCUACAGCUAUUGUUACGUGUUUGUUGUUGUUAUGCAUGUCUUGCUGUUCUUCUAGUUUGCUAGAUUAUUGCAUGCUAGUAUCUCUUCUAGUCAUGAAUUAUUUACUGGAAUUAAUCAUGAACUUGCCUAAUAUUCCCACAGACGCAAUAAUUGUUUUCGGGAUUUUGAAUAAAUCAGAAAAUGAUUUGUUUAAUUCCGAAAAUACUCCAAAAUUUGGAAAAUCAUGGAAAAUAAUCUGUAACUCAGAUGGAGAUAAUUUAUAUAUGAAAAAUUAUCAGGAAAAUAUGAAGAAUCUAUUUAUAGCAUUUUCAUGUAUGUUUGAACAAGUUAAGUUUUCUGUAUAAGACAAUUUGAAUAAAUGUCAUUUUAAAUUCUUAUGUGGAGUUUGAAUUUGAACCUUUGGUUCAAACCAACUUUAUUUAAAUUGUUGCUAGUUGCAUUAGUCCAAACACCAGCAUGCCAUGUCAUGAUCAUGCAUCAUACUGCUGCAUUGCAUUGAUUGUGUUCCCUCUCUGUUGCCGGUGUUUGUUCCUUCUCGAUAGAAGACGAUUCGGACGUUGUGAUCAUUGACACCGAUGAAGAGCUACUAUCUUCAAAGUGUCAGGCAAGCAAAUCCCCUUUGAGCAUUCUGAUACAAUCCCACUCUCUAACUCUUGCUCUCUUUUACUGCAUUAGGACAACAAUGAUUCAACUGUUACAUGUUGUGGUAGUUGAACCCAUUCCUCUGCAUGAUCUGUCUUUGCCACAGUAAAUAGUAAAACCCACUAGCAUGAGUAGGAGUAUUUUGAGCCAUGAUGUGCCUACUCAUUCAUGCUUGCUUGUUAUACCUGCUAUGCUUAGAGUUGUGUCAGGUUUGAUUCAUCUGGGUUGGCUUGGAAUGGUGAUGAACAUGUCCUACUGCUGAGCUCUAAGUGUGUGAACACGAUUUGGUAAAGGUAGCGAUGAGAGGCAAUGUAGGAGUACAUGGUGGGUUGUCUCGUUGAAAUCGUCCUUAGGAACUGAGUUCCGUGUUUGUGAUCCAAGACAGUUACUACCACACAUCGGGUUUCGAUAACUUGACCCCUCUCGACUUACUAAUCGCCUUGAUCUCUAUCUAGGAGUUGUAACUAGUUUCUGGUGUUUGUAGGAUGUGCUGGGGGCUGUACCUAGCGCUGACCGGAGGGGUAGGCUUUGUUACGGUAGGCACCAUGGCACGGUGUAUCAAGCGCAGUACUAUUGGUCGAGGUGGACAUGGGAAUCCUGCACACAUCGUUUGACGCCGUGAUGGAAACUUCGGCCGAACAUCCGUUACGGGUCAGUUCUCAGAUAGGCGAUAAACCUAGACUAGAGUCUUGCGUGGUUAGUCAGGUUGUGGCUGACACCCUCGCUAGGCUUCCGCUUGAAGGUUUCCGAGAUACAUGACGUGUAUAUGGUGUUAAGUGGUGAGAGCGUGUGUGAAGAAAUACACCCCUGCAGGGUAAUAUAAUCUAUUCGGAUAGCCGCGUCCUCGGAUAUGGACUACUUGGAAAGCUUGUAUGGUCCAUAGAUAACCUGAAGUGGAUACUCUAAAUGCGCAAAAUAAGUGUGAGUGCUAUGGAUGGCCUUCUCAUGGGGAGACGGGAGCGGAUCCAUAGUGGUGUAUUGAUAUGGUGAAUAUGUGGACUCACGUGCGCUUUCUCACCUCAAAGAAGUUAUUGGUAGUCAUAGUACAUGAAAGCCACUGAGUCAAAGCUGGCUUGCUGUAGUUAAACUCCACAACCCCAUUGUUGAUACUGAUGCAUAAGUAGAUAGUUCUGAUGUAAGUCUUGCUGAGUACAUUUGUACUCACGUUUGCUUAAUUGAUGUUUUUGCAGAGGAGAUUUCAAUCUCGCUAGUAGUUUCACAUGGGCUUUGACGGUUAGCUUGGGAAUCCCAGACAGAGGUAUGGCUCCUAUGGAGGGUAUUGUAGACAGACAUGCUUCCUAGCCUUCUUUCUUUUCAGCUGUCUAUAUUCAGACAGGUUUAUGCUUCCGCUUGUUGCUUGUAUGACUUUGUAUGUUGGGUCAUGAGACCAAUGUUCGUAAUAUCAUGUUAUGUGUGGCUCUUCAGAGCCUCUUAAAUAAAUACUUGAGUCGUAGAGUUAUAUUGUGACGACAUGUUGUAUCCACACAUAUUUGCAUGUUCUACAUACAUAUGAUGUGUGUUGCAAUGUGUUGGGUCACGAUAAAUCUUCUAUUGGAUUGCUUGAAUCUUUUGAUCUUUUGGUCCAACAAAAUUAUACUGUAAUAAUUAGGUCCAACAGAACAAAUCAGAAAACUUUGCUUGUACCAGACAUGGUUAGGUCCAAUAGAACAAAUGAAUCAUCUCUUCUUGGAGGAUUGUUUAAUUUAUCUUAGAUGUACCAAAAAUGAUCAUUGUGUUGGUCACCAGGAAGCAUCACAAGAUAAUUUAACAUCCAACAUGAAAGAACAUAGAUCUCAAUUCAAACAUCAUGCAAUAACUAACAGACUUCUCAAGUGUAAAUGGAAUCAUCACCACUAUAGCAGCUAUAUUUUGAACACCACGGAAACUCCAAUUUGAAACUGCAUCCUCAUUAAUAGAAACUGGAAAUUAGCUUGUCUAGUUCCAGUUUGAUUUGUUCAUCAACUAAAGAGUUAUAGUUUAAAUGACAAAUUUCACAUCCAAACUACAUAUCACAUCACAAAUUUAGGGUAAUUCAUACAUAGUAUAAAUAUAGGUAGCAUAGUACAGAAGAUCAGUUCCCAUCAAUCAAAUAUAGCAAUAGUCUUUGCAACAAAAUAUAUAAUAUAGACUUUCUUCUUGAGCUCAGCCACUUAGAUCAAUGACAUCAUCCUCUUCAAAAUUCCCUUUGAUAUUUUUCGGCUUGCCCUUGUGAAUUUCCCCAAUUUUAAGAAGCUCAGCUAUGACAUACUCUACCUUCUUAAUAUCUUUCCGGAUAACAUCCAUGUCCUUCAUCAUAGUCUCGAGCUCAUAUAUGUCCUUCUUCAGAACAUCCCUCUUCUUCAUCACAUCAUCCGAAGGGAAAGCUAGCUCCUUCCUAUCCUUUUUUAGGUCAAGGGUCUCCCUCAUGAUCAGAACCAUCUCCUUCUUGAGCCCAUCUUUGUCCACUUUCAGCUUAUCAUUAUCCUUCCUAGUGUUCUUGGUCACUUCUCGCUGAACAACAUGAAUGGCCUUGAGAUCACUGAUUACAUACUGCUUGUUCUCUAGCUGCUUCUGCAGGUCUAUAGAGUCCUCUGACAUCAUUUUUGGUAAUUCUCUUGCCACACCUUUUGGCAUUGCCUGACCCAGUGCUUGUUCCCAUCACUAGCAAACUCAGUGAAUUGGAAGUCCAACUACUUAAUCUUAUCUUUGAGAUUGAGCACUUCCUCUGCAGGAUCAAGCCCUUCCUGGGUUCUAGCAACCAUACACUUUUCAUAUUUUUUCCAGAGCAUGUGAAGUGCCUUUUUCAGGGCUUCGGGCCAGUCCUUCACUACUAGGGAAAACCUUAUACACAGAGGUAUAGCAGUAGCGCUGGUCAAAACAUGGCGCUAUUGCUACUUAUUAGUUGCGCUUGUUACAAAAGCACGCUACAACCAUUGUUGUAGCAGUAGCGCGUCUGCCCGGAAAAGCGCUACUACUAUAAUUCCCUCGUUGGUGCCGGUAGGCUAGGAAUAGUAGUGGCGGUUCUUCCAGAAGCACGCUACUGCUAAAAACUUUGUAGCAGCGCAUUUAUGCUGUAGAGCGCUACUGCUAUGAAAAGGAAAAUAAAUAGAAAAAUAAGUAGAAAAGUAAAUGAAAAUGAAAGAAAUAGAAAAAGGAGAAAUGAAAAAAAGAAAAUGUAAAGAAAACAAAAGAAAAAGAAAAAGAAAACAGAAAGGAAUAGCUGUAGCGCGUUUCGCUGGAAAACGCUAUAGCUAACUUAGCUAUAGCGUGUUUCGGUAAAACGCACUACUGCUAGUUUGACUUAACCCCCAGCCGCGCGGGCUCAAAAUUUUGCUAAGUCCUUCCCCCUCCACUCCCCCCUCUCCCCCAACUGCUCCAUCGCCGUUGUCGCCCUGCCGCCUUCAACCACACCGCCGCCACCCAAGGCCGUCUUCGACCACACCGCCGCCGCCCGAGGCCGCCCUCGACUUCACCGCCGCCGCCCGAGCCAGAGCCUGCCCUCGCCGUCGACCGUAAAGCUCUGCCUCUCCUUUCCCCUACCCUCCUAUCUCUCUUUGCUAGGGUAAUUCAUAUAUAUGUUGACGUUGUGUUGAUGUUCAUAUGAACCCUAGGUGUUCAUAUGAACCCUAGAUUUGUUGAGGGCAGUAGGCAUUUUUUGGCAUUUAGGAAAAAUGAUUGGCAAUUUUUUUAGGAAAUUAGCUAGGGAAAUUUUUUAUGAAAAUGCCUAAACAGUAAUUCCAUUUAGCUUUCAAUUAAUAGAGGGUAUGUAAAUAAUAGUAGCAUUUUGAUUAGAUUAAUAGACGCUAUAAACAAAAAACACUUAGAUAUAAAAAUUUAUUUGGACUAUGGACUUGAAUCUGUUCCAAAUUUCAUUCAAAUGAAAUUUGAAUUAUUUGGACUAUGGACCUGAAUCUGUUCCAAAUUUCAUUCAAAUGAAAUUUGAAUUAUUUGGACUAUGGACCUGAAUAUUUCUGAAGAAAUUGGGUGUAGGUACUAAGCUCUUGCUGCGGAAUUUUUGGUGAGGUCAGAAGGGUUAGAGAAAAUGGAGUUCCUAGACUUUUAGCUUUAGACAAAAAACAAAAGUAUUUAGCUAUAAAUAAAAAACAGUAGCUAUGGCAUUUAGCUAUAAACAAAAAACAGAAUUGUUUUUCUUUUCAAAAACUUGGUUAAACUAAUCGUUGCUAUGUAAACAAAAAACAAGAUUUUUGUUAUAUCAUAUAUGUCAUUGAUGUUCAUUUGCACAUUCCAUUAUUGUUGAUUAUAUCUUUUCAUUGAAGUGGCUAUGUUAUAUGCAAAUUCCUCAAUAGUGUUUGCUCAUGUUAUAUCUUUUCAUUGAAGUGGUUCGAUUGUGCCCAAAGUGGCUUCGUUGUUUCCAGGGAAUGAAGCCGAGUGGCCUAUGUUUUUCCGGAAUGUUGAUUCGUUUCCGUUCCGGCAAAUUUCAGGCUCUCGAUUUGUCCACUUUUUAGCAAAAGUCAUGCCGAAAUUUUCCGUGAAUUUCGGCAUGACUUGUGCUACAAACUAGGACAUAUCGAGUGCCCGGGAUUUGCCGCACAGGGAAGGAGUCAACGUUCCUGCAGAGCAUAGACCUUUUUUUAUGUCAUUAUUCAUUUUAUUAGGUCUAGAAUUAAUUGACUAAAUUUAAUCGUAGGAAACAUGGCUAGCAACGAUGAAGGACAGGGUUCUGGUGACUGCGACAACGUCUACCUGGCAGCAGAAGAAUUUUUUAUGGAAGAUGACGAUCAAGAGUUGAUGUUGCUGGGUCCACCUGUCACAUCAGAGAUUGAGACCGACAUCGAGACCGGCGCUGAGAUAGAGACUGGCACUGAGAGUGAGACCGGCAUCGAGACCGGCACUGAGACUGAGACCGGCGCCGAGACCGGCGCCGAGACUAGCGGAGCCGGUAUAGACCCGAAAGCAAAGAGGCAACUGCUUCCUAACAAGCUCAGGUCUAAUAGACUGGUGGUCACGGAGGUGGACGACGGCAAUUUUGAACCAAACGCGCCCUAGGAAGCGCGCGCGUGCUACGACAAUCAAAUAGGAUGCAUCAUACGGACAACCGCCACCAUCAAAGAUGAGAAACUAAAGAAGAUAGAUAAUAUGAGGCCCUCCCUCCUAAAGAAGUUGCACCUGAUAUUCUUGUUCCCGGGCCGGAAUGAAAAGGAUUAUAAAGAUCCAGAUAAGGACCUGGCAAUGAAGAAGAAAAACAAACACGUCAUGACCAAGUUUAGCGACGCGUUGGCCGCCUGGAAAUCAAGGGUGAAAUAUCGGAUCGUUGACAAAAAGGAACCCUACUCCGAGAUUGUAAAGGAUAAUCCGACAACCAUGGUAGAGCACUUUCAAAUAUUCAAGGCAGCUUGCGAGGCCGAAGCUGCCAAAAAAUAGUCGAAGUACAUGAAGGGGCUUCAAUAGAGGAACAUUGGGUGCCCCCACCUCGGAAGUCGUGGUUACGGCAGGAAGAGGUCCAUAUGGGCCAUGGAGGACGCGGAAGCCGCGAGUCCGGGCAUCCCAGACCCCUUGGCGGAGUUCACCGUCCCGCAGGAGCGUGACAUCCUCAGGGCCCGGCACCGUUGGGAUCCAAUGAAGAAGGUUUUCGAGACGAACGCGGUCACGGCGGAGUUCAUGUGACUGCUGGCAAUUUUAGUUUCUGAUCAAUUCGACUGCACGUUAGUCAUAUUUAUAAACGAUCCUUGUGCCAUUUGCAGAGAGAGCAGCGCAGGAUUGCGGCCGAAAGCGACUCGCCGUCUGAGGCGUUGGCGAGGCCCAAGUGGGACACUCCAUUCAACCGGGCGUUGAACAUAUUGAAAGGACUCCCGGUGGAGACUCGACUGUCGUAUGGACGCGUGCACGGUGUCGGAGAUGGCGCCACGUGGAAGAAGUACUACCGUGAGACCACGGAGGAGAGAAAGGAAAGACGGAGGUUAACUGAAGAAAACAUUGACAAGAAGGUUGAGAUUGCGGUUGAGAAGAAAUCAUCUAAGACAGUCGCAAUAGCGGUAGCUGCCGCAAAACAGGUGCUUGUACAUAUGUCUACUACCUUGGUUCCGGCCGUUUUCAAUUGGAGCAGGCAAAAUCUAGAAAAAAAUGCAGCGGAGUUUCCCCUUGCUGACUUCUUUGGGAGCAGCUCGACUAGCGUUGCACCAGCACCUGCAGCUGCACAUGCUCCCGCACCGGCUCCCGCACCGGCUCGUGCACCUGCUCCCGCACCGGCUCCCGAACCUGCUCCAGCACCGGCUCCGGCACCGGACGUGCUCGGCGGUGCUUCGUCUUUGGCUGAGCUCGACGCCCUCACGGUGUCUGUCACACCGGCCCCCAUCAAUAAAUGUAUUAUCUCCCGUUUUCGUUGCCUUUCGGAUGUCUCACGUCACAGACUUUUCUUUGCAGGCCGACGAAACCCCGUGCACCAUAUUGUACACCAUCGGCGACAAGAAGGUGGACGUGGGGAAGGCGACGAUAAUGGAGCCGAAGGAACCAUUGUUCCACAGCGGCUGAUCCCCCAGGACGUCUUCAAGGUUUCCGUGGCCAGUGUCAAACCGGGCCACGAGAAUUUGACUCCUCUGGUACUAGUGGGGGAUGACAACGAGACCCCACGGCGGCUUGGUAAUUGUUGCAAUGGGUGGGUCCUGUUGUGGCCAAAGAGUCUGCUUCGUCUGGAGGUGGCCGGGAGCACACCCACGAGCACACAGUUAGGUAUGAACAUCAACACCUCACCUACCCAAUUAGCGUCGGCUGUCGUGCUAGGUGAUAGCGGAGGGGGUGAGGAAGAGGCUCCAUUAGUCACUGGUGAUGUCGCCAUAGAUGAGGAUGAGGAUGACGAUGACACUCAACAGUAUGUCAAUACUGGUGCCUACUUAGGGUUUGAGCGUCAUGAGUCGGUGCCUGAAUUGCCGCCUCCGAAGUCUGAACGUAUUAUGGACAACCUUCCGGUAGUAAAGAAGUCUAGGAAGAGACCGAGGAAAGGCAAAAAAGCUGCUUCUAUGAUCCAGCCGCCUCAGCAGCCUCGGGUUCAAGACUGUAUAGAUAUCCCCGGUGCGGCAAAAUGGCAUAUCCAUGGUCAACCAAUCCUACCUAAAGCAGCGCUAGGGGCUAGAUUCGGCGAUUUAAGGAGACUUCAUGACGAUGUGCUGCGGAUAGAGAAAUGGCUCAUCGCCUCAAAAAAUCCAGGAUACCCACUCUACAUGGUUAACGUGCCGCGGCAAUUCUCGUACGUCGACACAUUCCCCGCGGAGAAGUUCUUCCUUCGAUUCGAUUACAUCUUCGACAUGUUUCACUUAAAGAAACUGGAUUUUACGUUUGUCCGCCUUUAUGUCUUGCACAUGAACUACCUCAUCAGGGUUGAGCAGAUACCUCAUAUCUGUGUCGCUAGCCCGUACUUCAUGCAUGAGGGCUUCUUGGGAGUCUGCGCAGAGCACCGUGAAUAAGCAAGGGAAUACAUCGCCAAUUUCAUGCUCACCAUAAGGACAAGGAGGCGAUUCUCGUGCCUUAUCAUCCCCUGUAAGUCAUCUGCGCGGAUAUCCUUCCUUUGAUUUCAAUCAUUCAUUUGCACAGUGGAGGCUAAUUAAUUUGAGGUGUACUUAUUUUUCGCAGCGGCGGGCGCGCCGUCCUCAUCAUCCUCUACCCCCGAUACUCCCACGCUCUUUACUUGGACUCGUCGAAGAACAUUAACAAAAAGGAUUACACCCACAUGAAGUCUGUUCUCGACAGUGCUAUGUUUUACUACGGCGCACGGGGUGGAGAGGUCAAGGACAAGAAGAAAAGGGACGGCAGGCCCGCCUUUGGCCAUAAGACCGACUUCUGCUGCAUCCACCAACCGAGUUAUUCUCUUAAUGAUGGAUUCUAUGUCCUACACCACAUGCUGGAGUACAGACGGGAUCACCAGAACCUUCGCAUGUCACCUAGAUCCGGCGAUGCCCAUAUUCUGCAAUGGGCAAAGAACUUAGGAGAUAUCGAGGAUCAUCGACUUCGAGCUGAGUUCUAUCACAUCCAGCGCAAACUUGCCCAAAUCAUCAUGAAGGAGGUCGUCGAAAAAACAGGGAUUUUCUAUGAAGAAGGACAAAUGUCGCGGGAAGACGUCCGAACACGCGUAGCGGCUCAGCUUCUCGACCUGAAGCCUUUCACUAAGCUUGGGGACUAUCUCCCUGACUUGGAUGCAUGGCACGACAUGUUGGAGUGAUUGUCGAUAUAUGACAAUGUGUCUGUUUAGUCCAUACUAUCUGUAUCACGAAACUCUGAGUUAUGCAUGACGAAACUUUAUUUGUUAUGUAAUUAAACCGUCCUCCUCGACUAGUGAAGAUCACUCUAGUUAGGGCUUUUUGGGUACGAUGAAUUUUGUUAUAUAUGCUUAUGGUAUGUUGCUUCUAUUUUUGCCAAGUCUGUCUCUUUCUGUUGCUCAACUAUAUAUGUUGCAUAUCAUCGACUCAUGUGACGAUGCAGGUGUAUAGAUCAUCGAUGGCGAAGAAGUGCUACGCCAGGAGUAUACGACGAGUGGCCGGAAUGUCAGGCCCAGGUGUACCGGUUUCCGGUUUCCGAGCGACAGCCAGUAGUUAGUUUAGGUUCACGCUAAUGCGAGAGAGGGAUACGAACUCAUGUACUGCAUAGUUCCGCUCUCACUCAAAGUGAUAGCUCUUCUCGCGUAUAUCAUUGUUUAGAUGGAUGACGACGUAGUUGCAAGUAAUCGAGACUUGUAUCGCUAUUUUUGAGAUGAUGACGAGAGACCACUUGUUGUUGGAUGAUGAUUAUGAUGAUGGCAUGAUUUGAUGAGACUAUUUGUAUGUAUAUGCUAUGAUUACAUUUGUAUGUGUAUGAUAUGCUAAAGAUUAUUGUAUAAAGCCUAUUCAAAUACAAAACAAAUAUGCAUAAAAAAAUAAAAACUAAUAAAACUAGCAGUAGCGAGGGGAACAAAGUUAGCAGUAGCGCUCCCUUACCAGUAGCGCUUCGUGCUAAAAAGCGCUGCAGAUAUUAGCAGCAGCGCUCUGCACUAAAGCGCGCUACUGCUAGCCAUGUAUAGCAGUAGCAUGGGAUGACAGGUGCUACUGCUACACGUUAGCUGUAGCGCCUUAUCAGUAGCACGUCGUCCCGAGCUACUGAUAGGCAAAAUACCCGCGCUACUGCUAGGGUUUUCCGUAGUAGUGCUUGUCAACCCAAUGAAUAAAUCUACCGUUUCCUAGUUGCAAUAAGAAACAAUUAGCAUUUAAUUAAUGGACACACAUUAGUCAAUAUAUUUUGAAAUGAGCAAAGUAUAGCAUAACUAGAUGAAAACCAAAUAUAGCAUAAGUGAGCUAGAAUGUUCCACAAACACGACAUGUCACAACUAAGUUACAAUGUUCUACCAACACAGCUUAGCAGCCAAACAAAACAUAGCUAUAAGACAUCCAAAUAUAGCACAAUAUAGUUGAAUUGUUCCACAAAAGUUGUGCAUGGGAUAACUGAAAUAUACAAUGGGUAUUGUCACAGAACACUAACUCUAGUUUAUACCAUUUACAUAUACUUUUUCCAGACAACCAUCACUUACUGAACAAGCAUCCCAUCAUUAGAGUCUGAGAAGAAAUGCAGCCUUCUCAGGGCGUCGAGAUCUGGGCCGUUGGAUUAAGCUUUCAAAAGAAUUGCGACCAUCAGAUCUUCAGAUGGAUCGAUCCGGGCCGUCGGAUCAUAGCAAACACUGCUACAGUGAAUAGUGUUGUUUCUUUUUUAUUUUGGUCUAUUAUUACUAUCUCGCUGACUGAUGGGCCACGCGGUAAGUGGUCCAUUGCUGUUAGUGAGAGCAGAGCACUAAGCGGUCGGUGCUGGUUCGUACAGGCUCAGGGGUCAGGCCAACGCCUGUGAAAUUGGGUAGCCGCUGAGGGCAAAUUCAACAUUUCACGUCAUCGCCCCUGCGUGACGCUCCGUGGAUGGCUAGUCAGCAAGUAAUGGCGAGGGAGCGACCCAUUGGCUAGAAACCUAGCCGCCUCUUCCCCGUCGUGUUCCUAUCUGUGUCGUUUGAGCUGCGGUCGCCAUCGAGGACGUGUCACUCGCACCGCCACUUCCCUGUCGAGCUCAUGCGUCCACUAGCCACACCGUCUCUUUUCCAUGCCUGCUCAUCCUCCGUUCCUCUUCGAUCACCGAGCUCGCCGUCGCUAUCGUCGGGAGGAAGCGAUUGGUGGACCUAGCCCACCGCCAUCAACGGGUGGAGCGCAGGAACCCGCGAUGCCCCUCCAGCGACCAGCACUUAUCCCUCGCCCAGCGACGAGGCCCCAUCGAACUCGCGUGUGGUCGCAGCUGGGAAUCCUCCUGUCCGCUCCUUGCUCCCCGCCGAGAGCCUUGAUUGGAUCUGGAUCCUGAGCUCUCCGUGCCCGCAUCGCCCCACCAUUCAUGGUGCACCACCAGCACGAGCUGCACAUCAUCAUGUCGUCAGAGGGAGAGCGGGAGGAAGUUGGCGCUGUUUAUCCCCACGAGGUGUGCCGUCGACGGUAGGAAGCCAGGCAGGGCGACGGGGAAAUACCGACGUAGUUCAAGCCGCAUCAAAAGGAAUUUCUGGCGCAGUUGCCAGGGAGACAUCAUCAACAUCUAUGAGGUUCCUAAUCACAAAUCCCAUCUCCUUGCAAUUUACAUUAUUUGCCAUUUGCCUCUCGUUUUCAUCUCCCCCACUUCACAAAAAAUUGCCGUUUUAUUCGCCCUCUUUUUCGUUUGCCUUUUUCUGGUUCGAUCUUAUGUUUGUUUGUGUCUCCAUGUGCCUUCUAUUUUGCUUGCAUCUUUUCUUGCUAAAACCUAUUGUUAUGGAUCCACUCAAAGUUUUGUACCUGGAUCUUGUUCGACCCAUAUGUGCUCGUGCUGAAACCCCAACUAGUUUAGUUGAGGGAAAAUCAUUAGAUGAGCAUGCUCUUUUUGCCCGUCAUCGUUUGUCUGAAAAAGGGAAGCUCUUAUGGAAUCAAAUAAAUUGUUUGCUAUGAUAUGCUUGGAAUCAUUAUGAAAUUUGUGAUUUUACUUGUUGCUCUAAGAACCCCAAAAAACACUUCCCCUAUCUAUGUGAGUUUAAUGACAAUGAAGUCUUAUGUUCUUAUGCCAAGGAGGUUUAUAGUUACUAUGAUAUCGAACAAAUUGAACAAUUUGUUGCUUUUAAGGGUGCUUAGAAGUUGCUUAUUUGAUUGAAAAGUAUGAUAUUACUCUCUACAAAUCUGAAAAUUUUGACAUACUUAAAUAUUGCUAUGAAAACUAUGCUCAUAAUGCCUAUGUUAAAGAAUUUAUUGAGAGAAUGUCCUAUGCUUUGAAAGAAAAUAGUGAUAUGCAUGAAGCUAUGGAUAACCAUGAUUCCGUUGAUUUGAUUGAAUUAUCCCCUCUUGAUGAACACGUUGCUAGCUAUUCUUGUGGCCAUGAUGCCAAUAUUAAUGAUGCUUAUGAAGAUGAACUUGCUAUAGUUCUUUAUGUUAAACAUGAAAUUAUUGCUAUUGCACGCACGCUGGAUAGCUCCUUUAAUGAAAAGCAUGAUUGCAAUGAUAUUAUUAUAGAUUCUAUUAAUCUCAAGUUUGUUAGUGAUAUGCAAAACCCCAAGCUUGGGGAUGCUUGUUUUGUUAUGUCCGCUACUUAUUGCAAUGAUCAUGAUUGGGGUGAUGAUGACUUUUAUGAUCUUGAUAGUCUAUUUAAGCCUCAUGAUGAAUAUGUUUGCAAUAAUAUUAAAAGUGGGUUUGGAAGAGUGUCAAAUAUUGAUAAAAAUAAUCCCACAAAUUUGGAGAGUGUUCAAUCUUAUGAUUUUUUUAUAAAAGUGGGCUUGGAAAGGUCAUGACUUUAUUUUAUGGUAAUCCCACUAUUUUGGAAGAGUGUCAACUUUGCAUGCAUGUGGAUCAUGUAGAGAAUAUGUUAUGUGAUAUCUAUAUUAUUGAAUUUGAACAUGAUUCCACAUGUAAUUGUUAUGAGAGAGGGAAAUAUGGUUGUAGAAAUUUCUUGCUACUAAGUCACCUCUCGUUAUGUUGAAUUGUCAAAGUUUUAUUUGUUUCCUAUGUAUAUGCUAGAUAUUUCUUGUUUUGAUAAUUUGUUUGCCUGUAAAAUUCCUAUACAUAGGAAAUAUGUUAGACUUAAAUGUGUUUAUCACAUGUUUUAUGAUCCUCUCUUUGUGUUUCAAUUAUUAUCUUUCAUGUGAGCAUCAUUGAAAUCGCAAAGCCUAUCUUAAUGGCUAUAAAGAAAGAGCUUGUUGGGAGGCAACCCAACGAAUAAAUUUUAUGUUUGCCUUUUUGUUUCUGUACAAUUAUGCCUCUGUUAUGAUUAUGUUUUUUAUGUUUUAAUUAGUGUUUGUGCGAAGCAAAGCCUUUUAGGAUCAUGUUGGGUGAUAGUUGAUUUGAUCUUGCUGAAAAACAGAAAAUUAUGAGUCCAGUAACACAAUUAUUAAAAUUCACAGAAGCGUGAUAAAAUUCUGAUUUUUUUACAGAAGAUUAAUACAAAUAGCGUAUGUUGUCCUAAUUUUUCAGAAUUUUUGCAGUUACAUAAGUAUACGAAGUUUUCAGAUUGCUACAGACUAUUCUGUUUUUGACAGAUUAUAUUUUCUUUUUGUUGUGUGCUUAUUUUGAUGAAUAUAUGGACUUUAUUGGAGGGUAUAAGCUAUAGUAAAGUUCGAAUACAGUACAUAUAAUGCAAAAAUAAAAUAUGAAUGGGUUUGCAACAGUACUUAGACUAGUGAUUUGCUUUGUUAUACUAACGGAUCUCACGAUGGUUUUGUUGAGUUUUGUGUGAUUGAAGUUUUUCAAGUUUUGGGUGAGAUCACGAUGGAUGAAGGAAUAAGGAGUAUGAAGAGACUAAUCUCGGGGAGGCCCAUGGCACCCCAAGUUAUUAUCCAAAGAGGAACAAGCAAUUAAGAUUGGGGAUGCCCCCGAGUGGCAUCCCCUCUUUCUUCUAAUGACCAUCGGUAUUUUACUUGGAGCUAUAUUUUUAUUCGUCACAUAUCAUGAGUUUUGCUUGGAGCAUCUUGUAUUAUAUGAGUCUUUGCUUAUUUUGCUUUUUUAUUUUGUGUCAUCUAUCCUUGCUGGACACACCUAUUUGAGAGGGCCCAAAUUAUGCUAUGGAAUCUUUUUGCUUCACUUAAAUCUUUUUGAGCUAUGGAAUUGAUCUUUGUGCUUCACUUAAAUCUUUUUGAGCUAUGAAAUUGCUCUAGUGCUUCACUUAUAUCUUUUUGAGAACGGUGUGCUUUGGUAUUUUUGAAGAAAUGCUCUCAUACUUCACGUAGAUUUAUUUGAGAGUUAGUAAAUUUUUUAAGAAAUCCUCUCAUGCUUCACAUAAAUUAAUUUGAGAGAAGAAAUUUUUUAUGCUCGUGUUCUUCACUUAGAUUUGUUUGAGCUAUCAAAAGCAACAUAUGAAAUUAGUCCCAAAGUGAUAGAUAUUCAAGAGGGAUAUAAUAAAAACUUUCAUGAAGAUCGUUAGACAAAAUAAACUUGAUUCUUUGUAAUAGUUUUGCGGUAUGACGAUAUAAUAUGUGAGUCAUGUUGAUGAGUUAUUACGCUUUAGUGAGAAUAUUGAUGUUAAGGUUUGUGAUUCUCUAUGUAAGCACGAAAGUCAAUAGUUAUGCAAUGAAAUUACAUCCUACUUGUCGUGCAUUAUUCGGUGUUAGUUCUGCUUAAUUCUUGCUUAUGAGAUUUUUUGUUUCUUGGUUGGAUGCUUCUCAAUAUUUUGCUAGCCUUCAAUUGUACUAAGUGGGAUUACUACUUGUGCAUCCAAAAUCCUUGAACCCAGUUUUUGCCAUAUGAGUCCACUAUACCUACCUAUAUGCGGUAUUCAUUUGCCGUUCUAAGAAAAUUUGUAUGUGCCAUCUCUAAUCUUCAAAAUAACUUCCUUUUUGUGUGCUCGUACCGCUCAUGAAACGGUAGGGGGUGGCUGAUAUUUUUCCAUGCUAGAUGUGUUAUUCUCAAGAUGAGUGUUUAUUCACUUGUCACUGCACGAGAGUAUGGCAAAGUUAUUAGGGAUGCCCAGUCCUGAAAUGAAAAAUGAAUUUACUUUAUGUUGUCAAAUAAUAAACUCCUUGGAAAGUGUUGGUAUGGACGGUACCCGUGGAUUCGGUUCGCCGUGGAAUGUGAAAGUAUGGUGGAAAAAGGAAUAAACUUUAUUUUCUGUUUGGGAACCACCUAUGAUAUAUCUAGCAUGGAAAGUAUUGGGAACUACUCGAUCGUUUUCAUUGACAGGAAAGGCAUGCCACCCAAAAUGUCUUAUCUCUAUCUUUUUCCGCUUUUAGCUCUGGCACCUCUACAAAUCCCUACUUCCCUCUGCGAAGGGCCUGUCUAUUUACUUUAUGAAAUUUUUAUUUUUAUUUCAAGUCUCCAUCUUCUCUUACAAAGCACCAACUAAGGGGCACUACGAUCGUACCAUAGCAUUGGGUGUAGCUAAUAUGCGAGUGUGUUUCAUGAAUGGAUCAAUGAUUGAGCAUAAUGGGCUAGGGAUAAAUUGCUUUAGUGUUGAUAUUUUGAAAGACAUGGUUGCUUGUUGAUAUGCUUGAGUAUUGAAAUCUUCAUAUCAACACUAGACUAUUCCUUUGAAUCAUAUAAAAGUCCAAAUGUCCAUGCUACAAAAGAAAAAGAAUAUGUGAUGAACAUGAUAGGCAACAUUCCACAUCAAAAAUUCUAUUUUUAUCAUUUACCUACUCGAGGAGGAGCAGGAAUUAAGCUUGGGGAUGCUGAUACGUCUCCAACGCAUCUAUAAUUUUUCAUUGUCCCAUGUUGUUAUAUUAUCAUUUUUGGAUGUUUUACAAUCAUUUUAUAACAACUUUAUAUCUUUUUUGGGACUAGCCUAUUGACAUAGUGCCUAGUGCCAGUUGCUGUUUUUUGCUUGUUUUUACACUGCAGAAAAUCAAUACCAAAUGGAGUCCAAAUGCAGCGAAACAUUUUGCAGAAUUUAUUUGGACCAGAAGACACACGAUGGGCCAAUAGAGUACUAGAGGGGGGCUCCGAGGGAAGCACAACCCACCUGGGCGCGCCCUGGUGGGUUGUGCACACAUCGGCUCGCUAUCGUGCCGCCUCUUUGCUCCAUAAAUACCCCGAAAAUCCAAAAACCCUAGGAGUCGACGAACACAAUUCCAGCUGCCGCAAGUUCCACAAAGCACAGAUCCAAUCUAAACACUGAUACGUCUCCAAUGUAUCUAUAAGUUUUUAUUAUUCCACGCUAUUAUAUUAUCUGUUUUGGAUGUUUUAUAUGCAUUAAUAUGCUAUUUUAUAUUAUUUUUGGGACUAACCUAUUAACCUAGAACCCAGUGCUAGUUCCUGUUUUUUCUUGUUUUAGAGUUUCGCAGAAAAGGAAUAUCAAACAGAGUCCAAACGGAAUGAAACUUUGGCGAUGAUUUAUCUUUGACCAGACGAUAACCAGAGGACUUGGAGUACACGUCAAGGAAGCCACAAGGAAUCCCAAGGGGGUAGGGCGGGCCCCCCACCCUUGCGGACCCCUAGUGACACCACCGACCAAUUUCUUCCGCCUAUAUAUUCUCAAAUACCCCAAAACCUUCUAGGAGAGCCACGAAACCACUUUUCCACCGCUGCAACCUUCUGUACCCGUGAGAUCCCAUCUAGGGGCCUUUUCCGGCAUCCUGCCAGACGGGGACUCGAUCACGGAGCGCUCCUACAUCAACAUUGCCUCUCCGAUUAAGCGUGCGUAUUUUACCACAAACCUACGGGUCCAUAGCUAGUAGCUAGAUGGCUUCUUCUCUCUCUUUGAUUCUCAAUACCAUGUUCUCCUCGACGUUCUUGGAGAUCUAUUCGAUGUAAUACUUUUUUGCGGUGGGUUUGCCGAGAUCCGAUGAAUUGUGUAUUUAUGAUCAGCUUAUCUAUGAAUAUUAUUUGAAUCUCCUCUGAAUUCUUAUAUGCAUGAUUUGAUAUGUUUGCAAGUCUCUUCGAACUAUCGAUUUGGUUUUGCCACCUAGAUUUGUUUUUCUUGCAAUGGGAGAAGUGCUUAGCUUUGGGUCAAUAUUGCGGUGCUCGAUCCUAGUGAUAGAAGGGGAACCGACACGUAUUGUAUUGUUGCCAAUGAGGAUAACAAGAUGGGGUUUUCAUCAUAUUGCUUGAGUUUAUCCCGCUACAUCAUGUCAUCUUACUUAAUGUGUUACUCUUUUAUUCAUGAGCUUAAUACUCUAGAUGUAGGCAGGAGUCGGUCGAUGUGUGGAGUAAUAGUAGUAGAUGCAGGCAAGAGUCGCUCUACUUGAUACAGAUGUGGUGCCUAUAUUCAUGAUCAUUGCCUUAGAUAUCGUCAUAACUUUGCGCUUUUCUAUCAAUUGCUCGGCACUAAUUUUUUCACCCAACGUAAUAUUUUCUAUCUUAAGAGAAGCCUCUAGUGAAACCUAUGUUCCCGAGUCUAUUUUCCAUCAUAUAAUCUUCUAUUUUCCAUCAUAUAAGUUUCCGAUCUACAAUUUUAGUUUCCUAUUUACUUUCUUUGCAAUAUUUUGCAUUCCGAUCUAUAAACCAAAAAUACCAAAAAUAUUACUUUACCGUUUAUCCAUCUAUAUCAGAUCUCACUUUGCAAAUAAUUGUGAAGGGAUUGACAACCCGUUUAUCGCGUUGGGUGCAAGUUGGUGUUUGUUUGUGCAGGUAUUCGGUGGCUUGUGCAUUGUCUCCUACCGGAUCGAUACCUUGGUUCUCAAAACUGAGGGAAAUACUUACUCUACUUUGCUGCAUCACCCUUUCCUCUUCAAGGGAAAAACCAACGCAAGCUCAAGAAGUACUGGGAAGAAUUUUUGGCGCCAUUGCCGGGGAGAUCUACGCCAAGCCGAGACAUACCAAGUACCCAUCAUAAACUCUCAUCCCUCGCAUUACAUUAUUUGCCAUUCGCUUCUCGUUUUCCUCUCCCGCACCUCUCACUACUAGGAAAAGGGCUAUAGACAAUAUGCACACUAAUGGCGCACCAGACAUGCGGUGCGCCACUACUAUAUAGCGGUGGCGCACCGUGUGCUGGUGCGCCAUUAGUGUGAUAGACACUAAUGGCGCACCACAACCAUGGUGCGCCACUACUAACAAAUUUUCUUUUUCUUUUUAAAAAAAUACUAAUGGCGCACCGCAACCAUGGUGCGCCACUACUAAUUUUUUUCCUUUUUUCCAAAAAUACUAAUGGCGCUACUUGGCACAGUGCGCCAUUACUAGUUUUAACUAGUAAUGGCGCACCAGUCACCCCGUGCGCCACUACUAUCAUUUUUUUGCAAAACUACUAAUGGCGCACCGCCAGCUGGUGCGCCAUUAGUAACCAGGGUUACUAAUGGCGCAUUUGUUGGUGGUGCGCCAUUAGUAACCUGGGACCAGCUAGAUAUUUUGGACAGCCACCUACACACUCACUUUCCCCACUUCAUUCUCUCCACCUCCUCCUCCAAGCUUGUCUCGGCUGCCUCCUCCUCCUCACCUCAUUUGCACCAUAGAUUCAUCCAAAUUAAGUGGUUAAAUUACCUUUUUUGAUAGGUAAGUAAGGGGAAAGCUUUCUUUAUGUUGUAGAUCUACUUUUUUCUCCCUCCAACAACGUGCACAUGCACUUUUUAUGGCCUAGCUAGAUCUAUGUAUGUUUGUGGUGUUGCAUAUGUUUGUGGUGUUGCAUAUAUGUUUGUGUUUGCACGUACCGGUAUUUGAAAUGCGAUAGUUGCCAAUAUUUUGCCAGAAUGUUGAUUCAUUUCCGUUUCGUCAAGAAUUUUGGCACUAUGCAUUCUUUUUUGUCCUAUUUUUAGGCAAAGUCAUGCCAAAUUUUUUCUUGGUUCUAAAAUAUCGUUUUGCUCUACCCUGCAGGCGACCAUGGUCUGCACGAUGACCGAAGGCAUCGUGAAUAGGUUUUUGAGCUCCGCGAAGGCCGAGAUGCUUCAAAAGAAUGAGACGGAGAUAAGAUGUCCGUGUCGAAGAUGCAAGCUGAGGAGCCUUAUGGACCCGGAUUCCGUACAGGUGCGGGACCACCUGCUCUUGCGUGGUUUCAUGGAUGGCUAUCGGUGGCAAGGUGAUGAAGAUGAUUAUGAAGUCGUCCAUGGGGGCCGGCCGGUAAGAAAUGAGGAAGGGCAGCAAGACAACCGCGGCGAGGGCGGGCGAGAAGACGAAGAAUCUCCAGGACAUGAUCACGAAGUAGAUGCAGUACGCAGUCAUCAUGUAGAAGAUGCCGGACAUAAAGAUGAGGAAGAUGCCGGAGCAGACGAAGGGCAUGAUCAUGAAGAUGAAGAUGCCGGAGCGGACGACGAUGGACCAUCGAUGGGCUGGGUGCAGGACCCUCAUAUUCAAGAGCUGCUUCUCAAGCAGACGGAUAACGCAAGAGCUGCCGCCCGAGAGAAAGCCAAGCUGGAUCAACUGGAGAUAGACGCGGUUACUCCAUUGUAUGAAGGAUGCAGGCCCGAGGAUACCCGCCUGAAAGUAACGCUCAUGGCUCUGGAGAUGAAGGUAAAACACAAAAUGACCGACGCAUGCUUCGACGAGAACAUGUCAUUCUGGCACGAACGUCUUCCCAAGGGGAACAAGUGCCCGACCAGUUUUGAGGAGGCGAAGAAAAUCGUGUGUCCUCUGGAUUUACCGCACGUGAAAUACCAUGUGUGCAUGAACAAUUGCAUCAUUUAUCGGGACGAGCACGCGGAGUCUACCAUAUGUCCGGUGUGCGGCGUCACUCGAUACAAGAAGAGGAAGAAAGCUCCUCGAAAAGCGGUGUGGUACUUUCCGAUCGCUCCUCGUGUGCAGCGGUAUUUCGCGGACCCUAAGGUAGCAAAGCUCUUGCGUUGGCACGCGGAUAGGGAGGAGAAGAAGCGAGAAGAUGACGCAAAUGAUCCGGAGAUAAAUAAAAAAGACAAGAUGCUGAGUCACCCUAAGGAUGGGAGCCAGUGGCAAGCGUUGAACUUCGAACACCCAGAAUUUGGGAACGAUCCAAGGAACAUCGUGCUGGGCGCGAGCACCGAUGGAGUCAAUCCGUUUGGCAGCCAGAGAAGCACACAUAGCACCUGGCCUGUGUUUGUGGAUGUACAACCUUCCCCGCUGGUUGUGCAUGAAGAGGAAGUACAUUCACAUGAGUAUGCUAAUUGAAGGGCCGAAACAACCAGGGAACGACAUCAAUCUGUAUCUGGGGCUGCUGAAAGAGGAGCUAGACACGCUGUGGAAAACGCCAGCCAAUACGUGGGACACCGCAGAGAAAGAAUAUUUCCCUAUGAGAGCCGCUCUGCUCACGACGGUGCACGACUAUCUCGAUUACGGAUAUGUCGCGGGGCAGGUGGUCCACGGAUUUUCUGGAUGCGUCAGGUGCAUGGAUGACACAACAUAUCGCCAGCUAGAUAGAGAUCUCAGGUCUUCGAAAACCGUGUUCAUGGGACAUCGAAGGUGGCUUCGCGACGAUGACUCAUGGAGGAAACGCAAGGAUCUGUUCGAUGGUGAAACCGAAACCCGAAGACGCCCGCGUACGAGGAGCGACAAGGAAAUAGACGAGUUGUUGAAAAAUUGGAAAGAUUGCCCACUGCCGGGAAAGAAGCAAAAGGCACCAGAGCCGGAAAAGAAGCGAAAGGCGCAAGAGCCGCUGCUGAAGGUAUGGAAAAUGAGGUCUGUUUUCUGGGACUUGCUGUACUGGAAGAUCCACCGUGUGCCUCACAGCCUUGAUGUCAUGCAUAUCACGAAGAACGUGUGCGAGAGUCUGCUUGGUACCCUGCUCAACAUGCCGGAGAGGACCAAAGAUGGGCCGAAAGCAAGGGCAGACUUGAAAUCAAUGGGCAUCAGGGAGGAGCUUCACGCUAAUGAUGAUGAUGAUGAGGCGAAGCAGGACACGGAAAGUCGUCGCAAAGGCAAAAAGGCCAAGAAGACCGAAAAUGACUUCCCUCCCGCGUGCUUCACUCUAAGUCAGGAGGAGAUCGAUCAGUUUUUCACCUGCCUCGUAGGAGUAAAACUUCCUUACGGUUACGCGGGGAAGAUAAGCAGAUACCUAGACUCAGCGAAGCAGAAGUUCAGCGGGAUGAAGUCUCAUGACUGUCACGUGCUGAUGACGCAGAUACUUCCAGUUGCAAUCCGUGGGAUCAUGGACGCGCACGUCCGUGAAACGCUAUUUGGCCUAUGCAACUUUUUCGACGUCAUCUCUCGGAAGUCGGUUGGUGUGAGGCAACUCAGAAGGCUACAUGAAGAGAUCGUAGUGAUACUAUGCGAGCUUGAGAUGUACUUCCCGCCCGCAUUCUUCGACGUUAUGGUGCAUCUGCUGGUCCAUAUCGUGGAGGAUAUCAUCCAACUCGGGCCGACGUUCCUGCACAGCAUGAUGCCGUUCGAAAGGAUGAAUGGUGUCAUCAAAGGAUACGUUCGCAACAUGUCACGUCCAGUGGGAAGCAUAGCCAGGGGCUUUCUGACCGAAGAGUGCAUCUCCUACUGCACGAAUUAUCUAGGCAUCGAGAACCCCGUUGGUCUGCCCGCCAACAGGCACCUCGGCAGGCUCGCUGGAUGGGGUCAUCGUGAGGGUUGCCGCGAAAUGCAUGUCGAUUUCGAGGGUCGACUCGCCGACUUUGAAAGAGCAAACCUAGUCGCGCUACAACACAUAGACGUGGUCGAUCCUUGGGUGGUAGAGCACAAAACCUUUAUUGAGAAGACGUACAAUGACCGAGACCAACAGAGGACGGACGGAGAUAUAAUCAAAGAGCACAACUCAUAUUUCACGCGUUGGUUCAAGCAGCAUGAGGAUUCUUCCGCGGAAGAACAACUCAAAUUCGCCUUGUCACAGGGCGCCGAGCACAACCUGAUGACGUAUGAGGCGUACAAUAUCAACGGCUACACAUUCUACACCGAGGGAAAGGACAUGAAGAGCGAUGGUUAUCAGAACUCUGGGGUAACGAUGGAAUCCUACACCGGUAACGAUAAGGACAGAUACUACGGAAGGAUCGAGGAGAUCUGGGAGCUGAGCUAUGCUGGAGAGAAGGUCCCGAUGUUCCGUGUCAGAUGGGCCAAGAGCGUCCUAAAAGAAGACCGGUAUUUCACCACCAUGGUUAUACCCGAAGCCAAAUCCAAGACCGCGGGCGCAAACGACACCGUGAAAAAUGAGCCAUGGGUACUGGCUUCCCAAGUGGACCAAUGCUUCUUCAUUACCGACCCGUCAAAGCCCAGUCGUGUUGUCGUGAGGAGAGGCAAAAGGAAGAUCAUCGAAAUGGAUGGAGUCGCCAAUGAGCAAGACUUCGACAAGUACGGCGACCCGAAGAUGGAACAUGACGACGAUGAUGAAGUACCAGCAUACACCACAAGAAGAAGCAGGACCACCCUACCUAAAGGACGUCCGUUCAAGAGAAGAACUCCAUUUACGAAAAAUAAGGGCAAGAAGAUUGUGAACAGAUAGCUAGCUAAGAUCGAUUGUAUUUAAAUUGUAGCCUUCAUUUCUCGAUUGUAUUUCAUGGGCACUUUUUGAACUCAUGAAUAUUUUUAAAUUUCAUGGGCACUUUUUGAAUUCAUGAAUAUUUUUUCAAAUUUCACCGCCGCCGCCGCCGACCCCCCGCACCCUCCCCCGCUCCACCGCCACCGACGACCCACCGCACCCUCCCCCGCUCCACCGCCNNNNNNNNNNNNNNNNNNNNNNNNNNNNNNNNNNNNNNNNNNNNNNNNNNNNNNNNNNNNNNNNNNNNNNNNNNNNNNNNNNNNNNNNNNNNNNNNNNNNNNNNNNNNNNNNNNNNNNNNNNNNNNNNNNNNNNNNNNNNNNNNNNNNNNNNNNNNNNNNNNNNNNNNNNNNNNNNNNNNNNNNNNNNNNNNNNNNNNNNNNNNNNNNNNNNNNNNNNNNNNNNNNNNNNNNNNNNNNNNNNNNNNNNNNNNNNNNNNNNNNNNNNNNNNNNNNNNNNNNNNNNNNNNNNNNNNNNNNNNNNNNNNNNNNNNNNNNNNNNNNNNNNNNNNNNNNNNNNNNNNNNNNNNNNNNNNNNNNNNNNNNNNNNNNNNNNNNNNNNNNNNNNNNNNUCCACCGCCACCGACGACCCCCCGCACCCUCCCCUCUGCCCUCUAUCACAGCGGGGACAACAGGAAGCCGCCGUCGCGCCCCUCUGCACCGGCUGCCCACGGCGCCUCCGUCCCGAAGCCGCAGCCCAAGUGCCCACCACUCUCUGUCCACGGUGAGCCAUCCUCUCUGUCCCAACUCUCUGUUCUUCUUUUUUAGCUAUCCUUUGUUGAAACAGUAGUUGCUGUGUAGCAAAUCUUUGGGAUUAGUGUUCAGUACUUUGUUGGGUGAGCGGCCAUCUGAGACAUCCUGCUUACAUAGUCUCCUUUUUAAAACUCGUCAAAUUGGUUUUAGAUAGAAAUGAUCAACACUCAAUUGGCCAACUGCAUGUGGAAUGAUUUCGAAGGGCGCCAUAACUUAUUGUAGAUGCUGACUACAAUAACAAUACUAAACUCAGUGUAGUCUGUUGUAAAGACACUUGUGCUUCUUUCAUCUGGAAAGGGGUCGUCUGGCCUCCAAAACUGUCAGAUUAGGUUGUGCUGUAACUCCUCACAUGGCCAUGUUUUUGGAAGAUUGGUCGUUUGUCACCGGCCCUUUGGUCACCCAGCAAUGGGACUUGUAUCAUAUUGCCAAUGAGGUUAAUAAAACAGUAGUGCAUCAGUACUUUGUUGGAACAGAAAGUCAGAAAAUCAGAAAAUCCACGGUACUUUGUUUAGAUCUUCACUGUUGACAAACGCAGUCAACUAAAAAUCCAGUUCAGUGCAUAAUUAGUGUUGACAAAUACACUGAUCUUUAUCUGCAGUAAUUCAGUUUAAACUGAAAAUUCAGUGUUGUAGUACAGAAAAUUUAAACUGAAAAUUCAUAGUCUCCUGGUGCAUAUUGAUCUCAGUGUAUGAAUUCAUAGUGUUUCAAAUUACUGAUGCUAUGGUCCAGGAGUAGAAAAAUUUGUACUCCAAGAUCAAUAUGGUUCAAUUUCUACUGUACUGUAAUCAAAGUGGAUAUAAAUUGCAGAGUGUUUAUGUUGGCAUUCGACAACAUCUAAAUUUACCAAAUGAUUGUGAACUCAGUUUAUGUUUGCAACCAAAUGCUUAGUUCAUUGUUUACUCCAAAUGAUUGUGAACUUAUUCAAAGUUUCCAAUAUUGUUCAGACACUACUUGUACUGGAACUGGAACUACUACUACUGAUGCAGCACCCCAUGUAGUUUAAGUUUUCUUUAUCUUAAACUCAGACAGCUCUCUAAUUAUUGGAGUUUAUAUCAUAUAUAUUGCUGGCAUGUAUUUCAUAUGUUCUGUAGCAUUAAGGCUACAUAGCAUUGCUUUUGUCUCUGACCAUCGUGUCGUGAUGAUAUUGUGGGGUGUUGUGGGGUUGCAGAGGCCCUUGAGUUUCAUCGCGAUGAUGCUAAUCGUGAUGACCGCAGCUCUCUUCUAUGUGAUGGUAGUUUAGAUGAUCGAUAUCGACUUGUAAUGUGAAGACAAACUCGCUACUCGCGGUUUCGAGACUUGUAGUGUUCUAACUUUGUUUGGUCUUUUGAAUUCGGAGACUAAUAUGAUGAAUUGUAUUCGGAGACUAAUCUUCUAUUGUAUUCGAUAACUCUGCUGUUUAUAUGUUGUGUGUCUAUAUUCUGUGCAGUAAUAUGUUUUGUAACCUGUGCAAAUAUCAGAAAAGAAAAAAAUCCCUAAUAUUCAUACUAGUGGCGCACCACCCAGAACUUUAGUGGCGCACUGCAAAAUGCAUACUAGUGGUGCAUCAGCAAGCAGUGCGCCAUUAGUAAGCCAGAGACAUGGUUAAAUAUGGCCCCCUGGGAGGCAUUCUAAUGGCGCAUCAUAGGGUGUACUAAUAGCGCACUACAUGGUGCGCCAUUAGUAUCUGAUAUACUAAUGGCACACUUGUGGUGCGCCAUUAGUAAUAAAAUCUAAUGGCAUGGUACUAGUGGCGCACCUGUAGUGCGCCAUUAGUAGGCAAAACAGGUGCGCCACUAGCAGCCCUUUUCCUAGUAGUGUCUAAAACGAUUUUCGAAAAAUUUGUCUUUUCUUCGCCCCUCUUUCGUGCGUCUUCUUCUUUUGCUCUUUGUUCGCUUGUCCGUUUGAUCUUUUAUCUUGCUGUCAUGGCUAGUUUUCCAUCCUUGUUAGCACUCCCAAUAAUAAGGUCCUCAACUUCAAACAAAGGGAAGGAGAAAAUUUAAAAGAUGCUUGGUAUAGAAUUUAUAAUGCUCAAAUUUGAUGAUUACUGCUGGAGAUGACUAACAUCCUAGAUGUUACUCACUAUGUCUAGAUACAUUCGUUUGAGUGUCAACUAAUUCUGAACAUCUUAGGUGUUACUCCCAAGUCUAGAUACAUUUUUUUGAGUGGCAACUAAUUCUGAAUGGAGGAAGUACACAAAGCUAAGCCACAGCCAUGAAAUAUAUAUAGGGCGGGGGGCGCUCGUUCCACAAGGAGCGGCGGGUAGCUUAGCUAUAGCUCGAUCGAUGAAUAUGGCUGUAGAUGGGUUUGGUGAGCUGGGCAUUCGUGUGGUGAGUCGCCGGCUGGUGCUCUGCCUGCCAGCUACUGCUCUGCCUGCCGCUCCACCUCCUUGUCGAUCGCGCCCACCCAAACGGACGUCCAUGACACAUACACCGACAAUGUGCUCCUCCACGGCCACGACUACCCAAGUAGUGGCCACGGCACCUCCUCCACAGGCUCGGGCGUGGGCGGUGCUGGUGGUGGUGGGGGCACGUUGGCCUCCACUCCGGCCGCCAAUUGGGCCAGCGCCUGCGCAAGGCCAGGCCACCUGGCCUUGCUCCUCGCGCUCGGCCUCCACGAUGGCCCUCCAUGUGGCCUCCUCGAGGGACACAACACAGGCCUCCUCGGCAUCCUAAUCCUCCUCCUUCACCACUCCCGGAAGUGGUGGUGGAGUGGCAAGAACGCGUGGUGCACCGGGCGCACACUUGACGCACUACCGGCAAUGUUGGUCGUGCUCGGUGGCAAACCACGCGUCCUAGUUACCGCAUACGUUGGGUCACGGCGGAGGUUGGCUAGGAGUAGAGCAUGGGAUCUCCGUCAGCUGUGCGCGGCCUGAGGCCGGCACCGGAACCCUAGCAAGGUUGAGGUCCCACCCGUGCGGUAGGUUCACACUGGGCUAUGGCGCAGGCACGCCAUACUCCCAAAAGUACUGGUAGCGGUGCAUCGGCAUGUAGUGCCGAAACCAUGGCUGCCGACUCAAGGUCGAUUUAUCUGUUCUUAUAAACUAGCGAAUUAGCAACUAUAUUACCCAAGAGUAACAACCAAGUCAUAUAUACAAUGUACGCUUGCAACCAUUGAAUAAAUUGUACAGAAUACCAAACAAAGAAGAUUGAACGAGGUCGUGGAACAACUCACAUGCACCAUCCACAGGUCAAGUGGAUGAUCCCAAUGAUGAGCGAAUGAUCCUAAUGACGAGCAGUUGGCGAGAUUAUGUUGCUCUUGUGAUGGUUAGUGAUGUCUGCGCUAGAGCUUGCUUACAACCUUGCGAGGUAAGGAGCUACGGCUACAUGCGUAUUAGGUUUUAUAAGCCGUGAAACCUCGAUAAAAGUUGCCGCUAUAAGUUUUUUCUUCAUGUCACUAUAAACCUUAUNNNNNNNNNNNNNNNNNNNNNNNNNNNNNNNNNNNNNNNNNNNNNNNNNNNNNNNNNNNNNNNNNNNNNNNNNNNNNNNNNNNNNNNNNNNNNNNNNNNNNNNNNNNNNNNNNNNNNNNNNNNNNNNNNNNNNNNNNNNNNNNNNNNNNNNNNNNNNNNNNNNNNNNNNNNNNNNNNNNNNNNNNNNNNNNNNNNNNNNNNNNNNNNNNNNNNNNNNNNNNNNNNNNNNNNNNNNNNNNNNNNNNNNNNNNNNNNNNNNNNNNNNNNNNNNNNNNNNNNNNNNNNNNNNNNNNNNNNNNNNNNNNNNNNNNNNNNNNNNNNNNNNNNNNNNNNNNNNNNNNNNNNNNNNNNNNNNNNNNNNNNNNNNNNNNNNNNNNNNNNNNNNNNNNNNNNNNNNNNNNNNNNNNNNNNNNNNNNNNNNNNNNNNNNNNNNNNNNNNNNNNNNNNNNNNNNNNNNNNNNNNNNNNNNNNNNNNNNNNNNNNNNNNNNNNNNNNNNNNNNNNNNNNNNNNNNNNNNNNNNNNNNNNNNNNNNNNNNNNNNNNNNNNNNNNNNNNNNNNNNNNNNNNNNNNNNNUAUAUAUGUAUAUAUAUAUGGGGCAUGAAACUGCAAACUACCACUAUUGUUGCCGGUGGACCUCCCGGCUCCGGUGCACAUCCCAACGUCGCCCUCGUGAAGCAAGCGAAUGGCCCCGCGAGCAUGUGGACGUUGUCCAUGUGGCAUUGGGUUCCCGCUUCUUGAGUGAACCGGAAAAAAAACCCAAAGCUGGUCAAUCUUCGGCUCGAAAGGAAGCCUGGCUUAUGGUUUUGUGUUUUCGCGCCGGCGUAGCCGCUCUCCGUCUGGGUGAGCGAGCGGUGGAGGACUGCCGCAAUGGAGGAGAUGGUGGUCCUUGGGCCCCGAUGCCUUUCGUGGCAUGAGGGCCGUGUCUUGUAUUCGAUGGCCGGGGACGCCAUCCGGAGCAGCUUGAGAAGGCACCGUCGGGGCUUUGCGCUUGCACCCCUAUGCAGCCAUGCCCGGCGCAGCGGGCUGUCCGCUGUGUGUCUUGCGGAGUCUGAGUGCAUCCAUCGGCUGAUUUUUAUUUUAUUCUUUCGAUGAGGAUUAGUAGUCGGAGAGUAGAUAGGUUCUUCCUCGAUCCCAUGAUAUAAAAGCUUGGGUGUUCGUUGACGCUAGCAAUGUCAAAAACGCUCUUAUAAAAUGGGAGGGAGUCCCUCGCAAAGAAAAAAAGAGAGUAGAUAGCUACUUUAUCUUUUAUUUUGAAGGUGGGAGUAGAUUGAUAACUACUUAGUGCACGUACGAAAAGAAAGACACGAUCGCCUAAAAAAAAGAAAUACUAUAUUGAGAUAUAUAUAGGGCGUGCGGGCGCUAGCAGUUCCACAACGAGCGGCGGGUAGCUAGGUUCAACAUCCAUAUAGGUUGAAUAUGGCUGUAGAUGGGUUUGGCGAGGUGGGCAUUCGUGUGGUGAGUCGCCGGCUGGUGAAGGCAUCCGACCCCUCCAUCCAACCGCAGGUGGUGCCCCUCUCCAACCUCGACCUGUACGUCGGCAACGUACAAGUCGCCAUACUAUGCCUCUAUCCCAAGCCUCCGGCGGGCAGGGAUUUCGCCGGCGUGGUGGCCACCUUCGAGUCCUUGCUGCCGGCUUUACUCAACGAGUUCUACCCUUUCGCCGGCCGCAUCGGCACCAACCCAAGCUCAGGCCUCCCCGAGCUGCUCUGCCAGAACCAGGGCGCAGAGCUGGUCGUGGGAGAGGUCCGCGUCGCUCUGGGGAGCCUGGACUACGGCCUGGCGGACAAGUCCCUGAAGAAGCUGAUGCUCCCGUACGCGGAGGACGUCACCUUCUCGGUGCAGCUGCUAUCCUUCGCCUGCGGCAGCUUCUCCGUGCUGUGGGCAACCAACCACCUCGUCGGCGACGGCCAUGACAACAUCAGGUUCCUGCGGAUGUGGUCUGAGCUCGCACGAACGGGCAAAAUCGUCGCCGACGGCGGGGACGGAAAGCUAAGCCACGACCGCUCGGUGUUCCGCCCUCGCAACCCGCCGUCAUACAGAGCCUCGCUCGCCACCGACCUAACGACGUUCGACCCGCGCCGGCUGGUAAACGUCCUGACGGCCCACGACAGCUUCGUCGACCGCCUCUACUACAUCGACGCGGCCGACAUCGCCAGGCUGCGCGAGAUGGCGAGCACCAAGCUGCAGCGCUCGUCACGCGUCCAGGCCGUGUCCGCGUACCUGUGGAAGGUCCUCGCCGGCGUGGUUGCCGCUUCCCGCGUGCCCGAGGAGCGCUGCCGCAUGGGGUGGUGGGUGAGCGCGCGCCGUCGUCUCACGUCGCCUGACCUCGCCUCUGCGAUGCGCAACUACUUCGGCAACGUCACGACCUAUGCCUACGGGGACGCGACGCUGGAGGAGAUCCAGCGCAAGUCGCUCGCGGAGGUGGCGGCCAUGGCGCGGGAGCCGGUCGCCUCCGUCAACUACGACGAGUACAUCCAGGAUCUGGUGGACUUCGUGGAGGUGCACAAGGGACAAGGGCUGAUGGAGACGGCCGUCGUCGGGCUGGGCAGCCCGACCCUAAGCCAGUCCGUGUUCGACUCAUUCCCACUCGACACCGACUUCGGCUUCGGCCAAGCUGCUCUCGCCAUGCCCAUCUCCGACUUCGCCAACCUCUGCUCAGCCUACCUGUCCAUCAGCGCGCGGCCGGCAGGCGACGGCUCCUGGCUCGUCAGUGCCUACAUAUGGCCGCGUCUCGCCGCCGCCCUCGAGGCCGAUGAGCAGCACAUCUUCAAGCCUCUCACGGCGGACUACCUUGGCCUCACAGCCUGCUAGACAACACCCACGCUAUUCUGUGUGUUCUUUUAGCCAACAAUAAAAUUCCUUGGUGUUUUGCUCUUCUUCCAACAAUAAAAUCCUUGUGUUGUGUUGUGUGGUGCUAUGUACUUUGGUUUUUUUCUUCAUCCAACAAUAAAGUUAGGAAGCGUUACUUUUUGAAAAAUAGCACACCUUAUAUAUACAUUUACUUUGAAAGUUAGAGAGGAUUUACUUUGAAAGUCACAGGUUUGCCAAGCACCUGAGGAAAAACACUCGGCAAAGCCAGCCCUUGGUUUCCGUCAGCCAAUAAAAGAUAGAUCACACGCGUGGCCGCCUGCUUAGCUAUAACCAAGGGCUCGCCGCCGCCAUACCCCCUUCACCUCCCCGCUGCCCCCAUCGGCCUCCUAAUUCCGACCACAGCCGCCUCUAUCCCCCACUAGCCGUCCAACUUUCUCCUCUUCAUAGAUCUAAAACUAGGAAUGGGUUGGAGGGCUCAAUGAACUAGAUCUACUAUAUAGUCAUCUUUGAGCUCAGCUAUUGGGCAUCAUUGCUAGUUGCAAGCUCCCAAUUGGUCACAUCACUGCUAUUCAUAUACCAGCGGGAUCAAAUUGGCCUCUACACGAGUAAGUUGGUCCCUACGGUGAAGUACAGCAGUGGGCCCAUAUUGGCACCCACCACUGAUAGGUGGCAAAGUAAAAUUGGCAUGUGAAAAGAAUUGCCAUGUACUGAUAAGAAUUUACCAGUGCGGUCCCACUUUGCACACACCACUGGGAAAAAAAUGAGACCAACCCAAGGGAUAACCCUCGUUGGCAUUUUCUUUAUAGGAGAAACUUCGCGAGCACCACACGUCCAAGCCGAAGCUCGAACUCGCGUGGGCUGGCAGCUACCCCAGCUACCGAGCCGACGGGUCGACGCCCCGUCCUCGCACACACCUAUGUGAUUUGGCUAUAUUAUGAGUUGGUGGGCCAUUAGUGUUUUAUGCAUAUUCCAAAAAAUCACAUUGUUUUACCAAUAUUCUGCGGCAGAAGCUUAUCCUCAAAGUGCACAUAUCCCAUAUUUACGAAAAAUACUCGUUUAUUCGUUUUUCUGCAGACCGCUCGGCGUUAAGGUUGGUUUACAGCCGAGCAAGCCGACUGCUCGGCGGGAUGAAGAUGAAAAGGCAGUGGGCUAAGCCGCGUGUGUUUUAUCAACUACAUGGGCUACAUUUAGGUAUUUCAAAACCAAAGGGCAAUAUAUAAGCCGAGUAAGGCGUUAGAGGACACUCGGCCAAUACCAAGACGUCGUCAUGGAGCCGUCAAGCACGUGGCAAUAGAAACACUGCAGUUGCUUGCGUGAGCCACACGUGUAUGCCGUGGUUUUUCUACAUAAUAUAUCGUGUUCUUUCUGUAGGCCAUGCGUCUUUUUACGUUGUAUUCGGUUUACAUGGAGCUAAGUUGAGGGACCUGCAAAUGCCGUGUGUUUUCAAGAUGGUACUCGGCUUAGGGUCUCUUUGAUUCAAAGGAUUUUGAUAGGAUCUUUGAAGGAUUAAAAUCCUGAGGAAGUUUUCCUAUGUUGGUCGUUUGAUUUGUAGGAUUGAAUCAUGUAGGAUUUUUUUCUAAAGAUGUAUUUGUACUACAUUUUACAGGAAUUCUAACAUCCACUCCAACCUUUUGGAAGAAAUCCUUUGUUUUCUCCAUGACACAAUCAAACAAACUCAAAUCCUAUAGGAAUCCAAUGGACAUGUCAUUCCAAUCCUACGUUUUUCCUAUGGAAAACUAUUAAAAUCAUCCGACUUAUUUUUCACGAACGUAAACCGUCUUUGACGGACGCCACGUGUCCCUGCUGGUCGCUCACUCCUUAUCCUUAUCUUUUCUCCAGAAGAAGCGUGAGCCACUCAUUCCUUUUCCUCCUUUUUCUUCUUCCUUCGAGCAAACAUGCUUUCCCAGGGACGGCUCUCUCCAGCAAUCCCAGUCGCCGCUCACUUCGUGUUGAUGUAGGGCUAGGCUGAGAGGAUGCUCCUUCCAUGGCCGGCGGCGGAGCUGCGUUUGGUGAUGCGCGACGAUGUUGCGGCCACGUUGACGGCAAAGCUGCGUUGGAGCAGAAGGUGCUACGAGCUGCUGCCAUGACCGGCGGCGCUACUGCACAGCAACGGCGAAGCUGCGUUUCAGCAGCAAACAGCUAUGAGCUGCUGCCAUGGCGGGCAGCAGAGCUACAUGGCAGCAUGCAGCAGGCGAUGCGUCAAUGAAACUUGGCCGGAGCUCCAUUGAAGCUUCGCCGGUGCGUCAAUGAAACUUCGCCGGAGCUCCAUUGAAGCUUCGCCGGUGCGUCAAUGAAGCUUGGCCGUAGCUCCAUUGGAGCUUCGCCGGGGCGUCAAUGAAACUUCGCCGGAGCUCCAUUGAAGCUUCGCCAGUGCGUCAAUGAAGCUUCGACGGGGUGGCUCGGUGUUGCUAUGGAGCAGCACCCGGUGGCUCUCGGUGUUGUGAUGCAGCGGUCGCCGGUGGCUCCGGGGACGCGAGGUCGCCGAGGCAGGGUGACAGGGGAGGGUCUGCGUUGCUCUGCAUCAGGAGGAGUUGUUGUGCGCUGCUCUGUAUCAGAUGGCUGGGGAUUAGUGGAGAAAGGCCCAGGUUGUGUCGCGGCGAUCGAACGACCAUCUGUGCGGACCGAACGGCUGGCUGGGCGGAUGAUAUCUCUAGGAAAUCAUCCGCCUGAUUUGUAGCAGCCGCCUCCUAUUCCUGUGUUUUUGCAAUUCUAUGAAUCUGUCUAAGACGAGUAUCCGAGAAAAUACACCCGGCUUACCAAAAAGCACUAAGCAACAUGUCUUUUUCUCGUAGUGGCCUUUUAAGGUUUUUAUUUUACUUCAUAUAGGGCUCAAAGAGCCAACCUCGCCACCAACAUCGCCUACCAAACUUUGCCCAAGACGUCAUGUCCAUGAUCACAGACCAGUCAGGUUUAAACAUGUUUUCAUCUCUAUGAAAUUCACACAAAAAUUCCAAAUUGACUAGGUGUUUAAACUUAUGUUUCGACAAAGACUCAGACACCUGGACAUUUGAAAAUAGGACAAACGUCGACGCUCACAUGGACGCACCUAGACUCACAUCUAUGAACUUAUACACUAUCUCACUAAAUAGCAUAAAACUACUACAAUUCGGACUAGAGUUUCAAAAAACUACUAAAUAUAUUUUUCCGCUCAUAACUACUAAAUCAGGGGUCGGCUGUUUCAAAAAACCCAAAUCAUCGAGUCUUUAGUAAUUGAUCACGAUUAUGACAGUUGGGGCCAAGCGUAAGAUAACCGUUUGUUUGACCGUUUAGUUUGAAUGUUAACUUACAUGUGGGUCCCACAUGUUAGUUUUUUUAAAAGCAAUCAGGUCCCUGUAAGUUUUCUAAAAUAGCAACCGGGUACAUGUGAGUUUUCUAUAAGGUCCCUAAAAGUUUUUGCAAAAAGCAAUAUAAUCAGGUCUCCAGAGGAGCCGCGCCCGCGGCAGCCUGCUCGAUCCCGAGCGCUCUGCCCGAACCACGACGCUGCCUCCAUCGGCCGGCCAGCCGCGCCCGCAACGGCCGAAUCCACGCCGUGCCUCGCCUGCCACCAUGGCGUGACUCGCAUGCCGCCAUGUCAUGCCUCGCUGGCGGCCGCUGCCACGCCGUGCCUCACCUGUGGCUGCCGCCAUCCCCUGCCGCGAGCUCCUCAAGCUAGACGUGGACGGCCUGCGCCGCUGCUGGAGUGCGCACCUCCCAUUGCCGCGGACGAGGUCGCUGUCUGCUAUGCCUCCUCGAAGCCACCGUCACCACCAGGAGCUACGGUGAGCACCUACCACGACCAUGGGGAGGGUGGGAAGGAGAGGGAGGGUCGCCGCCAGCCAGGCCCGGCCCGGAUGGAGGGGUAGGGGGCGGCCGCCCCAGGCCCCCGAAAUUGAGGGGACCCCACGUUCGUGUGCUCUCUGUAUCCAGCCCAUGUGCUCUCUGUAUCCAGCUGAUGAGAAAAAAUGAUUCUGGGCUACUUUUGAUGAAACAGACCUGUACAUGUAGUGGAACUUGUGUUUCCCUCGCGUAGGUCCGCGGAUGACGACAUGAGCGAUCAACCUAGCGAUAUAUCCUACAAGCCCGAGGGAAACCCCGCCGCCGACACAGCCUCCUCCCGUGGAGGCCUCCCCCGAUGAUUUCUCGUCCAAUGGCGGAUCGAGUAAUUUCAUGUUCAUCGCCCUGGACAGGAGUAACAACACCACCGGCCCUGGCAGGCAGUUUUAAACUACAGAGGUCAGGUUAGCAUCUUCCUGAUGCAUCAUCCAACGGAGCUAGCUAGAUUGAUAUGUGACUAGUUGGUGGCAGAAUUAUUAGAUCUAGUGUAUUAGCGGAGAGGAGUAGGACGUAGUUGUCCUUCUGACUAAUUUUUUUAAUGCAAUCCUUCCGAUUAAUUAAUCUGGUCGUGUUGGAGAUCGAUGAAAGAUGAGGGGAGAGGAUGUCUAGAAUCCAUGGGAUAAUGAUAAUUGGCAAGCUGAAAUUAAUUGGAGGAUUCAUGGUCGAUUCAAUAUGAUUAGGUGGCAAAAUUAAUUUUUAGUAGCUAAAAAAAUUAACUUUUAGUGUUGCAAACUAUGAAGCUAUUCUACCUGCAUGCCACCAAGAGCAGUUCAAAUUACUUUUUGUUUGCCAAACUAUGAAAUAUACAAUGCAUGAAACUUCCCUAUCAAAAUCUUAGCAAAAGUGAGAAAUAAUAAUUAUAAUAAUGUAUAAUUAGAACCCGGAACUAGGUCGACCAGCUGGUUUUGCACGCCAUGAUAAAAAAAUUAACAACAAUUCAUGUUUAAAAUUUAUCUAGACAUGCACAUAAUGAUUAUAAUUUUGGAUAUAUAAAGGGCCUCCGAUUGUAUUUUUGCCCCGGGCCCCUGAAAUCUCAGGACCGGCCGUGCCGCUAGCUUGGGAUGGGAGGGGACGGUCGUCGGCUUGGGAGCGGAGGGGAGGGUCGCCGGCUUGGGAGGGGAGAUGGCCUGCUCGGGAGACACCAGAAGAGAGACGAGAAGAGACAAAGAGGAAGAAGAAAGAGAAUAGCAAGAGGAAACUUACAUGUAGGCCCCACAUGUAAGUUAACGGCCAAACUAAGGUCAAACUGACAGUUUGUUUAGGUGCGGGCCCAACCUGUCGUGACCGUGAUCAACCGAUAAGGACUCGGGGAUUUGGGUUUUUUGAAACAGCCGACCCCCCGGCUUGGUAGUUAUCAGCAAAAAGAAUUUGGUAGUGUUUUGUAACCCUAACGUGAAUUGUAGUAGUUUUAUGCUAUUUACUCAAACGAUCUCUAUGAGCAUUUUCAAGAUACUGAACCGGCACAUCAUUUUGAGAUUGGUGAACACCACAGACGUCUUCAUAGUUGACAGAAACGUCUCCUCCCAAUGAACGAACAUCGCAAAAGCCUGAAAUAAAUCCCAAAAACUGUCAGCACCAUUACCAAGUUUAAAACUUGAACCCUGAUAGGGUUGGUUCCACCACAAGAAAUCUAACUAUUUGAGCCAUGCACAUCUCAUAGUUUUCCCUGUGGCCAUGGAGGGUGCCACAUAUGUAACCCAUUAAUAUGGGAACCCAUACCUGUAAGCUUGUCAGCAUUUAUAGGCUAUAUAUGCUAAUCAAUUAUAAAAAAAACUGGGAUAACAAGUUUGAACUACACCCAUUAUUCCUCCGCCUAUAUAUUGUCGUGCAUGCAUGCCAGUGCCAUAUACGGAAACAAACCGACCGAGAAGGCCCUUAAUUAACAGCUAGCUAGCUCUCUUGGUCGAAUAUGGUAACUGCUAAUGCUAUUGGCUCCGGCGACCUGAGCAUCCGUGUCCUGAGUCGCCGCCUUGUCAAGGCCUCCGACCCAUCUACCAAGCCGCACGUAGCCGCCUUCUCGAACCUCGACCUCUACCCUGGCAACGAGCAGGCCUCGAUAGUAUGCCUCUACCCCAAGCUCCCAAACGCCGGUGACUUCCCGGCGGUUGUAGCCACCUUCGACUCCAUCCUCCCGUCGUUGCUCAACGACUUCUACCAUUUCGCCGGGCGCAUCCGCACCAACCCAAGCUCCGGCCUCCCCGAGCUGCUCUGCGACAACCAAGGCGCAGAGCUGGUGGUCGGCGAGGCCGGUGUCGCCAUGGCCAGCCUGGACUACGGCCUGGCGGAGCAGUCGUUGAAGAAGAUAAUGCUUCCGUACGCCGAGGACGUCACGCUCUCGGUUCAGCUGCUCUCCUUCGCCUGUGGCGGCUUCUCCGUCGUGUGGGCGACCAACAACCUUGUGUGUGACGGCCAAGCCUUCACCAUGUUCGUCAGGAGGUGGUCCGAGCUCGCCCGAACUGGGCGCAUCGUCGACGGACCGCCCAACCAUGACCGCUCGGUGUUCAGCCCUCGCAGGCCGCCGUCGUACGGAGCCUCGAUCAGGGACAUGUUCGCGACGUACGACCAUGACCGGCUGGUGAACGUGCUGACGGCGCACGACAGCUUCGUCGAGCGCCUCUACUACAUCGAGGCGAGCGACAUCGCUGCCCUGCGGGAGGCGGCAAGCAGCAAGCUCCAGCGCCCGUCGCGCGUCCAGGCGGUGUCCGCGUACCUGUGGAAGGCCCUCGCCCGCGUGGUGGCCGCGUCCCGCGUGCCGGAGGAGCGCUGCUGCAUGGGGUGGAUGGUGGACGCGCGGCGGCGGGUGAAGGCGCCGGAGCUCGUCCGGGCGAUGGGCAACUACUUCGGCAACGUUACGGCCUACGCUCUCGGGGAGGCAGCCGUUGAGGAGAUACAGGAGAAGGAGCUGUCGGAGGUGGCGGCCAUGGUGCGGGAGACCAUCACGUCUAUCGACUACGAUGAGUACACCCAGGAGCUGGUGGACUGGGUGGAGGAGCACAAGACAGAGAGGCUGAUGGAGAAGGGCGUCAUCGGGCUCGGUACGCCCACCUUGAACCAGACGGUGUUCGCGUCGUUCCCGCUCGACACCGACUUCGGCUUCGGCCAUGCCGUGCUGGCAAUGCCCAUGUGCGACUACGGGAGGCUCAGCUCGGGGUACCUGUCGAUCGGAGCUCGGCCGGGAGGCGACGGCUCCUGGCUGGUCAACGCCUACAUAUGGCCUCGCCUCGCGGCGGCGCUUGAGUCGGACCAGCAGCGCAUCUUCAAGCCUCUCACGGCGGAGUAUCUAGGGCUCGUCUAGGCGUACCACUCUGCUGUCUGCCCGGUUUCUUCUUCAAUAAGUCUUUGCUUCGUCUUUUGAGGCAUGAAAGCAGCUCGUGCUUGUUUUACUUCCACCUAUUUUGCAAUACCCCAAAUAAAGCCCUUCUGUGUGGAGGGUAGUUUGUUUGAUCAAUAAAUGUUUGAGUCGUUCAUAAGGUUUCCUUGAUUAGUAUACAAAUCAGUUGAUGACUACGUUUCACAACUCAUGUGCAUGGAGAUGCUAAACCGAUAGUAUGGACUCGGGGAUGGAGACCACGCAGUCGGACAUACCAACUCUGAGACGCAGCGAGAUGUUGUCAUAUGUUAGUGUCAAGCACAAUGUUUAUGCCAUGUCCUAGACCUAAGGUCCUCGCAUGUUCUCGGGAUGAGUAUCGACUCACUUAAGGUCUAUCAAACGCUACUCCAUAACUGGCUAGAUAUAAAUGUAGCUUUUGGGUGGGUGGUGAGAUAUGCCGCGAGACAUGGCCGACCAAGAUGGGAUUUACCCCUCCUAUUUGAAGAGAUAUUUUCUGGACCCUCUCGAGGGAUCGGAUUCGGAAAGCAUGACCAUGCGACUUGGUUAAGUGUUAACCCAGUGCGGGAAUCUAUAUCACGGUGUCAAGAAGAGAGGUCGAGCUACCACAAGGGUGACAAGUACUCACCUUGAGCUUGACAACAUAUAUCGUGAGGCAAAAGGAAUGUUGCAGAUGAUACAUUGUCGAGGUUCUUCGAACGACUUUACACGCACAUGAGAGUUGGCACGUUCAGCGAGGAGCUGCUACCAACUAUCGACUCUGGUCGUGUCCAUGUGUACGUAAACCUAUAGGGUCGCACACUUAAGGGGCUGCAGGCCAUUCGGAUUGGAUUCGAGUGGAAAUGGUUUUACUCCUAGUGGGCCUCAAGUAUUGAGCCUAUCUCGGAGGUCUAUAUAUAGGGGAGUGGCCGCACAACUGAGGUUGAUCUUUUUCCACCAUGGACAGCCUCCAUCGCAACUCCCCACGCCCAUCCCGCGCGACCUAACCUAGAUGCCUACCGCCCGACGCUGCUCCCCGUACGUGUGGAUACCUUGCAGGCAUCGCAUCCGUGGUGCUUGGAUGAACUGUUCGAGGGAACCGCGAGGUGCCGUUCGCGGGAGAUCAACGUUCACAGGUCUUUGUUGUUCGCGGGAGAUCGACGACGCGAGGAGGAGACGCCUCGGGAGAUCGUCUACAUGCAUCUCCAACUCUAUUUUCUGCUGCGGUUACUGCGCGUCUAGUGGUAAACUCGAUCUCAUGAUCUAUUUCCAGCAACUUGAUCUUGGGUGCGUGGUAGAAUUUUUUUUAUUUGGCUCUAGCUUAGCAUACCGCGUGUUUCUACAGUCGUAUCAGAGCCUAUGCUACGUGGUAUUAGAUUCAAGGUAGAAUUUUCAAAUGAUGAUAUGUAGAUUGCUUUAUGUACUGGCCGAUGAGAUCGGUUGUCAAUAUGAUUGACUAUACAUGGUGUCAGGCAUUCGAAAUUGUGAUCUAAUUUUCCGUGAUGAUGUUGUGGAGGUCGUGGCACAAAUUACCUAUACCGGUCGGUUUCGGCCAUCGGGUAAGACAGUGGAACGUAAAGUCGGUCACAACACGCGAAGACCAAUGAGAUUGGUUGAAUCAGAUAGAUGGUCAAAAUAGGAUAAAUAUGAUUUGCCGGUGAAAAUUCCCAUGCAAAAAUGCAUAGAUAUUGCAAGGGCGCUGCCAGUUGACCCCACAGGGGGCAAAGCCCCAUCGACCCCCAUCCUGUUAAUCUCUUAGGGCGGUGGAUAACUUGUUUUUGCAGGUAAUGCUUGUGAUUUGGUACAACCCGGGUAUGUUGCAUGUACGUAAUUAUAUCAUGACCUGCGUGUCGAGAGUACAAUAACUGGUUGGAGCCAUAUGGUUGUCCCAUUAUUGUAUUAAUGACCUUCAUGUCAACAUGAGAAGCAUUGUAUUGUUAUUUACUUUCAAUAGCUAUUAGUUUGUAAUAGCGUAGUAUCUUAUGUAACACUUGGCGGUUGACACCAUGGCGUGGAGAUGAAGAUCUCCACGAGGACAACCAUGCAUGGAGAUGGAGAUCACCAUGGGCAGGCCGUGCAGGUGGAGACGAAGAUCACCAUGCGAUAUCAAAAGGGGCUAAACCAUAUCACACAUAUAAACUGCCUGUGAAAGUUUAUCUCUGUUAUGCACCCUUCUUUUGCAUGGUAGACGUUUCAAGUAGGGUGAUCCCUCAAAGAAUGUCAAGUAAAAAUGCCUCUCCAAAUGUUGCACCAUCACACAUCAAGUAUACUUAGUGGUGGGAUUAUAAAAUUAAGGUGCCAUUUGGUGUCCUUGAAGUGAUGGGUUCGGUUCGGACACUUACAUGCAUAGCAUUGGUUAUCUUGUCGUGGCUAUCAAAACAGUUUUGGGCCUCGAGGCGUAGGAGUUGGUGCGACAUGAGAUGUCCCCAACAACAAGAGUCGUAUGGAGACACGAUUAGCAAGAAAUACUUAUGGAGUGAUCUCGUCUUCUAGCAGUGAUGCAAAUGCUCACUAGUUAACAUGUUGAUCUUGGAUCUUGAAUCACUAAGUAUCAUCUGAGGGAUGUUGAUUUUAUUUGGAGUGAUGAUCUUAUUAAAAUGUUUAAUAUGAAUUACUCUUCAUGAAUACAUGUCUUAGUGUUUUGCAUCUUUCUGUUGGAGAUCAGAGGCACCACCUGCUCAAGUUACUCCUUUUGCGCUGAAAACAAUCCUAGAAAAAGAUAAAUGGAAUGGGACAAACUUUACGACCUGGUAUAGAAAUCUGGGAAUUGUUCUUAGGCAUGAGAAAAAGGACCAAGUUCUAGAAAAUCCGCUUCCAGAUGUACCUGCCAAGAAUGCUAAUGCCACAACCAGGAGUGCCUACCAGAAACCCAUUGAUGAAUAAAAUGAGAUCAUCUAUCUCAUGCCGGCUUCAAUGGAGCCCGAUCUACAGCAGCAGUUCGAAAACAUUAAGGCUUUCGAUAUGAUCGAGAACCUCAAAAGCAUGUUUCUGAUGUAGGCUAGGACCGAAAGGUUCAACGUCUGGCUAUCCUUGAUGGAUUGUAAGUUGAAUGAAAGUGAUCAAGAUGACUAGGUACAUGCAAGCUUUGGAUUGGUUGGGCUUCCCACUUGGGAACGUUCAACUCGAACUACCAUAUGCAUGGGAUGGAAAAGAAGCUCACUGAAUUGCAUGGGAUGCUCAAGGUGGCAGAGCAGGAUAUAAAGAAAGUUACGCAUCGUCAAGUGUUGAUGGUGCAGAACUGGGCUAAGUUCAAGAAGAGAUGUUCCAAGAAAAAGCAUAAGGCAAACGGCCAGGAGGAGAAGGCAACUCCAACUUCUGCCGUUGCGCCUAAGUCAGGGCCAGCCGGGGACCGUUUUCUUUCACUGUAAGGAACACGGCCACUAGAAAAUGAACUGCAACAAGUGGCUUGUCGAGAAGGGCAAGAAGACUGGAAGUGUCACUUCUUCAAGUACACUUAUUGUAUAUGUUAUAGACAUUUAUCUUGCUGAUGUUUCUAGUAGCUCUUAGGUAUAUGUUACCGGAUCGGAUGUUCACAUAUGCAUCUCGAUGCAGAGUCUAAGAAGAACUAGGAAUGUUGGAAGAGAAGUUGACAUACACAUCGUGAAUAAAGCAAGAGUUGAUGCAUUGGCCGUCAGCACUAUGCAACUUAAUUUACCUUCAGGAUUUGGAAUGGAACUUGAUAAUUGUAAUUAUGUUCCUGCUUUGAGUCAAAACAUUAUUUCUGCCUCAUGUUUGAUGAUACAAGUUUAUGAAAUAAGUAUUAAGGACAAUGGUUGUUCUAUGUACUUGAAUAAAAUGUUUCAUGGCUUUCCACCUAUUGUGAACGGGUUAUUAAUCCUAGAUCUUGAAGGUGAGCCAGUCUAUAACAUAAAUGUCAAGAGGCAUAAGCCUAACGAAAUAAACCCGACUUACAUCUGGCAUUGUCGACUAGUACACAUUAGUAAAAGUGCAUGAGGAAGCUCAAUGAUGAUGGAAUUCUAACUUCAUUUGAUUUUGAAUCAUUCGAGACAUGUGAGUGUUGCCUUCUUGGCAAGAUGACUCAGACUCCUUUUGCAAGGAGUUGCGAAAGGACGUCCGAGUUAUCGAAACUCAUCAUAGUGAUGUAUGUGGACCAAUGAGCACGACAGCAGGUGGUUUCCAAUAUUUCGUGACGUUUACAGAAAACUUGAGUAGAUUUGGAUAUGUCUACUUGAUGAGGCACAAGUUAGAAACUUUUGGAAAGUUCAAGGAGUUUGAGAGCGAAGUGGAGAAUCAACUCGGCAAGAGAAUCAAACUUCUACGAUCUGAUCGUGGCGGUGAGUAUAUGAGCCAGGAGUUUGAUGAUUAUCUAAAGAGUCGUGGAAUAGUUCCACAACUGUAUCCUCGGGGUAUGCCACAGAGAAAUGGCGUGUUGGAACGAAGGAAUCGGACUCUGUUAGACAUGGUCCAAUCAAUGACGAGUCGGUCGGAUUUACCUUUGUUAUUUUGGCGAUACGCUCUAGAAACUGCGUAUUUCACACUAAAUAGGGUACCAUCCAAGUUUGUAGAUAAGACGGCAUAUGAGAUAUGGACUGCGAAGAGUCACAGUUUGUCUUCUCUAAAAAUUUGGGGUUGUGAAGCAUACGUCAAGCGACUCCAGUCAGACAAGCGCACACCCAAGUCGGACAAGUGCAUAUUCGUGGGGUAUCCAAGGGAAACCUUGGGAUCUUACUCCUACAUCCGUGAAGACUGCAAAGCGUUUGUCGCUCGACAUGGAGUUUUCCUUGAGAAAGAGUUUCUCAAUCAGAAGGCUAGUGGGAGGAUGAUACGACUCGAGGAAAUUCGAGAACCACAUGGAGUUAGUCAGGGAACCCAUGGUGGAGUCGACGCCAAUUCCACGGAGGUCAGAAAGGUUGCGCAAUAUGCAUGACUGCAAUGUGUUGUUCUUGGAGAACAACGAGCCGGCAACGUAUGCGGAAGCCAUAGAGAGCCCUGAUUCCGAGUUAUUGCUUGAGGCCAUGAGAUCCGGAUUAAAGUCCAUGGAUGGCAAUCAAGCUUGGAACUUGGUUGAUCUGCCAGAUGGCGCUCGAGGCAUUGAGUGCAAACUGGUAGUGAUGCCUAAAUAAAUUAGGACCAUUCUUGCUAUAUCUGCAUAUUUCGACUAUGUUACUAUUAUGUUCUUCAACAGAAGGUCCCAAAUGUUGUUGUGCCUCUGCUGAUGGACGCCGAAAGUGAGAUGACAAUUGUUUGCCCUUUGAAGAUCAGAUUCAAAUAUACAUACUCGACCGAGCGUUAAUCAAAUGGAUGCCUCAAAAUUGAGUGAUGGAGGCAAAUAGUCAAUGAGCUCGGGCCACAAAUUGGAGACCGGGGAUCUCUGUGGUCCAUCAUGGAGAUGUAGUUUUUUUUCUCUGUUUUAUUCUAUUUUACCUAAGACACUGGAGUAGGUCAUAGUACUUGUCAUGUGCUUGAAAGUUACUUACCUAGGAUGAUGACAAUUAGUUAGUAGUGGUUAACUUAUGAUGAUGAUGAUGGUGAUGAUGGUGAUGAUGAUGAUGAUGAGACAUUUUUAUAUAAUUAUGAUCAUGAUGAGCUGUUAUAUCACUACGAUGAUGAUGAGUUAUAUCAUUUUGAUAAUGAUGAGUUGUUACAUGAUGAUGAUGAUGAUGAUGAUGAUGAUGAUGAUGAUGAUGAUGAUGAGUUGUUAUAUAGUUGCUUGUGUAUAAAAAUCUGUAUAAUUAUUGUAUAAAUAUAGUAUAAUAUGUAGAAAGGAAAUACAUAGAGUUAGUAGUGGCGGGGGGCCUCGCGCUAUAGCUAGUUAUUAGUAGCACGGGCCAAACACCGCGCUGCUCCUAAUGUAAGUAGUAUUAGAGCCGAGCCUGGCCCGUCUUACUAGGAACCAGUUAGCUACACGCUGAUGAGUUGUUAUAUGAUGAUGAUGAUGAUGAUGAGUUUUUAUAUAGUUGCUAAUGUAAGUAGCGAGGCAACCCGCACUACUCCUAUGCCUUUAAACCGCGCCACUACUAGCCUUAUCCCUUGUAGUGACGGGCAGAUGGAGCGAUGAAAUGCGCAUGUCCUCAAUGGGCUCCAAACGAGAACAUUCGCCUAACUCAAGAAGUGUGGCCGGUGAUGGAUCGAUGAGCUUCCCUAUGUUCUAUUUAGUGUAGAUAUCACUCUUAAUUAACUUGUUUUUCUGCGGAUAGUAACUAACGCUUUGAGCCUUUGUGGUUUAUCUCACAAUUUUUGUCUUCACAACUGGAGUAGGCCACAAUGUUGAGAUGCAAAAAAAGGUCCAUAAACUAAUUAAAUGGAAUAUCAUUUAGAUACGACACUUAUAAGAUACACUAAAUAUUAAGAGACGUGUUGAGUAUAUAAUGAAUAGGGGUCAUUGUCUCUAAAUAGUUUUCACUAAAUAGGAUGAUGUGUUAAGAGACACUGCGUUGUGAGUUCCCUUUCGCUAAAUUAAUUUGCCCUGGUUCGAUUGCAGAGAUGUGUGCGGAGUUUCUUGGGGGAGUUUGGCAGCCAAUCGAUGAUAACUAGUUCUAGGACGCUACUAGGUCAGAUUCAAAACUGAACAUAUGGCUUGGUCCAAGAGUUUCGGCUCUCACAACCUGAAAAUCUGCAGCUUUCACACUAAAUAUUAAGAGAUUCGAAACUGAACAUAUCUGUCAUUGGUUUGAUGCUGUGGGUCCGUUUCAUUAUCUUUUUUUUUAUCAGGUAGUUGGACGGCCACACCAUGCCCUGAAAAUCUGUCUAGAUCUUGAUCGGGAGGCAUAAGAUUUCUUAUUCUGACAACCCUGAAACUGUUUGCCAUGCAUGCAUUAUCCUUCGCAAAGCGAAUUAAGUUGCCCCUAGACAAGGGCGGAUGGAGUAUAGUUCACUGUAGCUUCAUGAUUCUUUUGUCAGCUUAUUUUUUAGAGCUGCGGCUAUCAUAUUUACACCUGCUGUUAUAUCUGUUUCCAGAACCAUGUGUCAGCAGCUUCUGUUAUCAUAGCCAAUAAAACUAUCACGAAGCUACAGUGUGAGCAAUGAAGACGUUAUAUAAACAGGGAUAAAAUAUAUUGUGCUAAACUGCUCUAUCCAAAACCAUGUGUCUGCUCCUCUUGUUUGUUUCUUUACUAUUUUUCAUAUUGUGGAUGAUCAUGACGAUACAUACUAAAGAGUUUUGCAUAGCAUAUGUAAUUUCAUGCAUACAGACAAUGUUUUUUUAUUGGUGUAUUAUUUCACUCUGUUAAGACAAAAUUAUAUUUUGGAAUAUUGAAAUAAUAAUAUUAGGUAAAUCAUACAUGUGCACUAUGAAGCUAACUUUGUGCAAGAGAAAUGAGUAAAAUUAAGGACAAGAUUUAUACCUAUGCAAUACAAAAAAAAACUAUCUGCAGCAGUAAAUUCAUGUAGCUGGCAACAUUACUGGUACAAAUUAGAUCUAAUUAUAGUGCAUACAUGUACCUUUUUUAGAAAACAAAUCUUGAAACUUCGAUAGAAAAUUUUACGAUUUAUGAAAUUUGAAUGGGAAAACUAAACCAAAACCAAAAGGCCGGGAGUUAAAUGUGAGUGAAAAUAAAUGUCAGGAGGUAUUUGUCAGUGAAAAUAAAUAUGAGUGACACUUCUCCAUGCAAAAAUGUUAGUGAAAAAACUUGAAUUUUCACUGUAAAAACAACCCCAAAAUAAAGGAGGAAGCAGAACCAUCGAAAUGUUUAUGAAACGAACAACCACCAACAUAAGAGAGAAGUCACCAUACUCAUUAAGACGCCCAUGUUCAUCUGAGUAGUUAAGCCACUGCAUAGCAAUUAAUAGAAAGAAAACUGCAUAGAAAUUAAUUUUGAUGGGCUCGUGGAUCACGGCAGAAGCAUGCAUGAAUGCAUAUGUCUAUCGUUGCAGGUCAUUCAUGAGAGCAAUGCAUUCAUAUCUAUCUUUGCACGGAUGGAAAAAUUAGUCUGGCGCCAUAUAUCUUCUAUUUGUUAUACUACAGAAAGACAUAUUAAAAUAAAGUUGCCCCUAAACAAGGUGGAUGGACGACCACUCAUUUUGGCAGACUGUACUCGCACAAUUCGUUUUCCCAAUAAUAAUGUGAAUGGAGAGAGUAUAAUUCACACUGUCGCUUCAUGAUUCUUUUGUCAGCUUAUUUUUUAGAGCUGCCUUUUUUUUUGCGGGAAUAUUUUUUAGAGCUGUCAGCUAUUAUAUUUACCCCUACUGCCAUAACUAUUUCCAGAGCCAUGUGUCGGCAGCUUUUGUUAUCAUAGCCGACAAAACUAUAACGAAGCUACAGUGUGAGCCAGGAAGACGUUAUAUUUUCAGGGAUAACAUAUAUAUUGUGCCAAACUCCUCUAUCCAAAACUAUUUGCCGGCACCUCUUGUUUUGUUUAUUUACAAUUUUAAUAUUGUGGAUGAUCAUGACGAUACGAAGUAAAGAGUUUUGCAUAGCAUAUGUAAUUUCAUGCAGGCAGACAACACUUUUUUAUCAGUGUAUAAUUUUGCUCUGUAAAGACAAGAUUUUAUCUUGUGAUAUUGAAAACAUAGUGUUAGAUAAAUCAUAGAUGUGAUCUUUGUGGAUAAAUUUGUGCAAGAGAAUUGAAUAAAAUUAAGAACAAGUUGUAUACCUGUGCAAUAAAGAAAACUAUCUGCAGUAGUAAAUACAUGUAGGUGGCAACACUCACAUUUUGGUUAUUCCUGUAUAAACAUUGCUAGUGCAAAUUGGAUCCUAUAUAUUGUGCACACGGUGUUCCCGUCCUCGGAUGGUUUCCCCUUGUUCGGUCUUGCUCAUUCUCGUUGCUCACAAGCUCAUGCAAUUGAGAACCUGAGAUCUUCAAUCUGGCCAUCUGGGAUUUCCGGACUUCUCCUUCGAAGGAAAACAAGGACUGGCACAUAUGGCGCUCUUUGGACACCUUGACUAGAUAGGGGCCUGUCGUGUGCACCCGCAACAUCAGCAUAACCAGCUUUACCGGGGUAUCGUGCAGCUCUGUUUUUGUUGGCACCUUGGGACAUGUCUGCACCAAGAUUCCCAUGGGAUCAACACAUGUGGAGAAUGUCAUGGCGUGAUUGAAGGACUUGCAAGUGGCAAAGGCGGGGUCUUGGAUGCGAUGAAGACUUUGCUUCAUAGGCAGUUGUUUAGACAUGGCUUACGGGAUAUGUUCCCAUCCAGACGGGACGUGAAUUCCUGUGAGCCUAAUGGUGCGUGACUUGCAGUAGUAGCCUCCGCAAGUGGGGGUGGCGGCAUUGGAGGACUUCUUUGUUAUUCGGUGCUCCUCUGAGUACCCAAUCAGGAUUUCCAAGGUGAAAACCCAAGGUCUGGCCUUUAUUGGUUGUGCCUGGCAGUAGUCUUGUUGAAGGCAUUAUUGUUGGGAACCUCAUCUUUCUCCAGGGUGAAAACGUAAUAUCUUUGAUCAGGCAACGACAACGCUUGUGCUUUGUUUCCUUCCUGGAGGCAUUGCUUUUGGAGAACCUAUUUUGUAGUCCGGGUGCCAUCUUUGGUGGUGGUUAGAGUGCGGCUACUUCGGGUAUUGAUCACCGUGGUGGGAUAUUUUUUCUUCUCUUUUUAUUUUGAUUUUUAGUUGUGUGCAUCCUGGAUGUUUUUAGGCAUCUUGUUGUUGCAGAGUCUGGGAGUAAUUGGUAUCUGCUUGAUAUUAAUACAUUCUCCUUUACAAAAAAAAAUUACAUAUGCCUUUUCUAGAAUUUUUUUCCUAAAACUUCCAGGGAUGAUUCUAUCAUUUGUUUAAUUUUAAUGGAAAAAUUAAACCAAAACCAAAACGUCAGGAGGUAAAUGUGAGUGAAUAUUAAGGUCAAGAGGUAAAUGUGUUUGAAAUAAAUAUGAGUGACACUUCUCCAUGUGAAAUUGUUAGGGAGAAAACUAGACUUCUCUCUGUAAAAAUAACCCCAAAAUUAUGGAGGAAACAAAACCAUCCAAAUAAACAAUAUAUUGAGAAGUCUAUGAAACGAACAACCACCAAGAUAAAAGAGAAUUCGCCAUACUCAUCAAGACGCCCACAUGUCAAUAGCUCAGUCAGUCAACAUUAUAGCAAUUAAUUUUGAUAGGCUCAAGGAUCAUAGUAGAAGCAUGCAUGAAUCGUUGCAGGUCAUUGAUGAGAGCAAUGCAGAUCACUAUCUUUGCAUGGUCAGAAAAAUUAUUCUGGCGCCACCUAUCUUCUAUUUGUUAAACCAUAUGAAGGCGCAUAUCUCAUCACGAACGAUUAAUCAACAAUAUAUACUACACAAUGACACAUUAAAAUUAUUGCACAUGGGCGAGAUUGAUGGCUUUAUCCUUCAUAUGAUCCAAAUAAUCGUAUUUAUUGUUCACACUGUAACAACAUAAUGGUUUUGUUGGCUAUCUACCCCUGCUACCAUUCCUAUCUCUUGAGCAACAUGCUAGUAUCUUUUGUUUAGUUUAGCUAAAAAGAUUGGAAUGAGAGAUUUCCUUUUUUUGUGCAAUAACAUGAUAGUACAAACUACUGAACUUUACAUAUUUAGGUACUCAAUAAAAUACUGUUAAAGAUAGCUAUAGACAUUAGUCAUAUUAAUUCAACCAUAAGAGAUUAUCAUGUACCAUAUUAGCAUGAUUACUGGUCCUGUUCAAGAAUUCGUCCGAUUAACCAGUUAACUUGGAAAUUAAUCCCUACUUGUAAGGUCAUCGUGUAGCCAAUAAACUGAUAAAUCCUCCGUUUAAUUUCUUAACAGGACAAUUAACUUGCCGAUUACCCUAUUAAUCCCCUACUCCCUAGCCAACCAAGCAGCUACCAGUUAACAAUUUCCUCAACAAAUUUACUGGUAUGUUCCUGUUUAGAUGGUUCACCAAUACACUUCCAAAGUUAUUUUUGAGAAUGAUGCACCCUUUUUACAUUUUUUUGGUAUUAUUCCAUCAAUGCUGCACUACAUCAUAGCAUCUUCUUCUUUUUGGAAUGGCUAUGAAAGGACACGAUAGGUAUGUCUGGUGAACUUUUUGUGGAGAUACUUGGGCUCAUGUGUCUGAGAAUAAGAGGAUGUCCUCCCAUAGGAUUUACAUAUACCAACAACUAUUAACCAUGUCUCAAUGUGAGAUUGGAGACUAAAGAGUCUAGAUUUUAUAAGAUUAACCGGAAGUGUUGACUUCAACCGUGUAUUACUAAUCCACUGCAGUUGAAUUUUUGCAGUUGAAUUUUGCAUAUGGCUAAUUUAUUAAUCAACACCUAGGAGGAAUAGUUUGUAGGAGUUACCUAUAGCGUUGCCCUGGCAAAAGGAAAUGUGAUUGUUUAUCAAAAUUGUUUCUACUUAUAUUGUUUUAUCCCGUUACUACUGCAGCACUAAUUUUUAGUUAACUAAUGAAAGAAAGGCAUCAUAUUGUUUUAUCCCAUUGAUACCAGAGCACCAAUUUUUAGUUCAUUAAUUAUGUUGCUAUCUUCAAGUAUUUUUAAUCUGGAGGAAGUUCCACAAAACAAAAAUGUGAGAGUCAAAAAGGUGAGGGGAAAACGAGCUGAAUACCACCUUCUUUGUCCUGUCUUGCUUAAUCCACUUGAAGCCAGAUUACCACUUCGGCAGGGUAUGCUGAUGGAACUCGAACUAGGAACCUCAGUGACAUUUGUAGCCAUACAUUCAAAACACCUCCAGGCACAUGAUUUCAAAAGAUAUUUUUGAAGCAACAGGUCACCAAGCGUCUAAUUGAGUGUUGUAGACAUGACAAUGUCUAAAAUGGCGACUUUGAGGAAGCGUAAUGGAACAAACAUUGUGUCAUGCAUGUGCUCUCUACCACACCCUCGACAAAAAUCAAGAUCCCAGUCCAGUGGAAUGAGGAGGACUAGGAUAUGGACGACGAAGGGCCCAGCAACUAGAUAGAGACAACUUAGGAGUGAGCCAUAGGAAGAUCAUCUAGUGCACUGGGUGUGUGGAUUUGAGGGCCCACUUGUAAGAGAGUGCGUAUGCGUUUAAAAGGGGCAAGUGAAUCAGACAUGUGCCGUAACUUAUCGAUGAAAUAAUAAUUGUUUGAACUCUCACCUACUCUGUUCUGCAUCUCACCCUCUUCAUCUGUUCUUCAACUUCUUCUCAUCCCCUACUCCAUAUUAUCCUCUCCAAUAUGUGAUUCUUCCACCAACACUAGUUGGACAUCACAGUUUGACAAUGGAAAUCUUGGUAAAUUUUUCUCUUUGACAGCACUCGGAAACAAUUGAUGCAGGCGCAAAUCCAUGAUAUAAGGGAUAUUUUCUGUAGCAUUGUUUGAAAAUACAUCAGUUACGCAAGGGCCCUUUUGCUUCUUUACUUCUUGUUCUGUGUGCACUCUGAUGUUCGAAGGUGCAGUGAUGGUAGACAGAUAUUUAGUUGGAAGAAAAAUAGAUAAACUCAGAUUUCGUGUAACCCGGGCUCACUCUUUUCAGUGAAUAAAUUAUUGUCACAAAAAACCAGCCUUUUGCUUCUCUUGAUGACAUUAUUCUUAGAAGUAAGAAUGUGCAUUUCUGCAGCCCAUGCUCAUGUGCUAUUUUUUCUUUUUAACUAGUGUAACAAAUGGGGUAGAUGUUUUUUUUUCUGUGCCAAUAAUGGUGUUAAGACUGCUAAAAUCUUGUAAGGGAAGAAAACAUUGAAGAGCAGAAAGAAGAAGAAAAUCAUUUAUUUAUAUAGAACUGACAUGCAUUUGAACAUCAACAGUCAUUUAUUAUUAAUAAUUCCGCAUUUUGUGAAUUCCUUUCUCCAAUGUUUUCUUCCAGGUUUAUUUACUAUGAUAGGCUCACCAGGAAAGGAACCUGAAAAUUUAAAUCGUGUCAAUUUCCUUUUCACACAAUUCUCUCAUGAUGCAAUGGUUUCAGAGAACGCUGUUGUUAUUUGCCAGACAUGUGAUGUUUAGUAUGACUUGAACUAACAUAACAUGCAUAAUACGUUUAUUGAGUACAUGAAGGUUGGUUUCUUUGAAUCAUUUUGGAUUAGCCUGUUUGCAAAGGCUAUUAUCAUUCCACCACUCAGUGAUUUAUGAAUAUCUCCCAUUCAUUUGAUGUGAGUUCCCUGCAACCACACACGAUAUUUCCCUUACUCCGUUUUCGGUAAGAUAUGGGAAACUAAACAUUCAAGGAUAUUGUUCCCACAAGUGGAGAGACUGAAAAAGUCGCGCGCGUUGCUCUCCNNNNNNNNNNNNNNNNNNNNNNNNNNNNNNNNNNNNNNNNNNNNNNNNNNNNNNNNNNNNNNNNNNNNNNNNNNNNNNNNNNNNNNNNNNNNNNNNNNNNNNNNNNNNNNNNNNNNNNNNNNNNNNNNNNNNNNNNNNNNNNNNNNNNNNNNNNNNNNNNNNNNNNNNNNNNNNNNNNNNNNNNNNNNNNNNNNNNNNNNNNNNNNNNNNNNNNNNNNNNNNNNNNNNNNNNNNNNNNNNNNNNNNNNNNNNNNNNNNNNNNGAGGCCGAACAGGUGAAGCCCGCCUCGGUGGGCGGCGGCAUCAGGGCAGUCUAUUCCCGCGGCAACUCAUCGCCCUGGACGGCGGAGCCCGCUCGCGGCACGGUGGCGAAAGUCGGCGCGUUGGAUCCCACGGUGGACCCCUCGUCAGCGUGGAGAGAUGCUUGUGUGUGGCUGACCGGGGUCGAGCACGAGGGAUUCGGGCCUUGUUCGCCGUAUCAAUCUCGCGACGACACCUAUGUCUUCAGCUGGUGCGGUCAGGGUGGUGACCCGGGCUGGCGGCGGCGACCGGUUCCUCCAUGGCUGGUGGGUUAAGUCCUUGACCUGGACGACCAUGUGACGAUGGGUGGUGGCAGAGGCCGCAGAACUAGCGUGCCAUCCAGAUCCAUCUCGGCGUGGCCUUGGCCGGCAGGCGAUGCGUGCAGGGACCGAUCUGGGGCGGCUGGAGGCCCUAUGCCGACGUUCCAGCGAUAGCUUACGUCUCCAUGGCGACGCAACUUCUAGUGAAAAUGUGCUGACUGCGGUCAUGGAAGAUGGUGGCAUCUCUAAUGUCGUUUCCUUCUUCGAGGCAUCGUCGUUUGUAAGCUGUGUCACUACGCUCGGGAUGUUCCGGGGGGAACUCUAUUUCUGGGUAUCCCGGAUCAGACGAUGACGGUGCCUUCAGCGCCAUUCUCCCUCCUAGGGGCAUUGUUCUGGAGCAGGUGCCGACUGGAAGAGACAAGUGGAGGAGCGGUGUUACAUCUACCGCAAGGAUGACGCAGGGUCUCGGUGGCGUGGCAAGGCAGAGUGUCGGCGACGAGCGCCCACGCUAGAUGGUUGAGCUAUCUGGUGUCGAGAUGGCCUGGCGAGAUGAAUACGUUGAUCGCUCCUGAAGGUGGGACAGCAGAACAUGGCGGUGGCUUAAUCUAAAGUGUGUGCAUGCUGUGCGCGCAAAGGGUCUAGCUAGACCAGUUGGUGCUCUCGAAUUGCCGGCAGACAUCUUGGUGAGGUGACCGGAAUAUAUGAUGUGUGUUGAUAAGUGGUCAGGGCACGGCAUUAAAGCUUGUAGGUGUAACGACAAUAGUUUCUAGGGAGGUGGCUUUGCCUUGAUCCAUAUAUUUGUUUUGUUUGGUUCCGUUGAAUAAUAUAAUAAAAUGGUUGUGUGCAUGGCCCGAUGCAUAGACUAGGGGUAAUCGUCUUUUUCGAAAAAAAGUAGAAUGGUACAGUCACACCAUUUUGCCAGUGACAUGCUAAAAAUGGCAUGAUAAACAAUUCCUGAAUGAUAAAUCACAUGGUGACAGUAUAUCUAUUUUAUAGGAAGAGCUGGAUAGAUUAGAGUAUACUGCCCCAGGAUUUUAAAGUGAGUGCGAGAGUUCAGAUUUAUUUACAUGUUUAGCUUCAGAGCUUCAGAACGUCUUUUUUUCACGAAUACACAAAGCUUGAAUAUCUUUUAUUGAUAGAAGAAAGAGAAUGAGUACAACAGAGGAUACAACACAUGGCAUGAACCCAAAGAGGCAUGAUCAUGGAACCCGGAGUAGAGAGACAAGGGGUGCUCAGCCCGAAUAGGGAAAUGACACAACUACACCCACAAAUCCUAAACAGAGAGGCAGGCCGAACAAGCACGGCGUCGAACAUCUCAAAAUCCAACACCAGGGACACCACGAGCGAACAAGAUAGCGCCUUCAGGAAGGGGUGCGACGUCGUGACACCGCCGCCAUCCGAUCCGAGGAACCGGAUCUAGGGUUUCCCCCAGCGCUCAAAGAGGGGCACGGAUAAAAGCCAUGGCAAAUAACUCACGAGUGUCGCCUCUGCCAACAUCGGCAAGAAGAGCAUGGAUUUCGCCUGGCCCAAGUCCGAGCAAUCCCAUAGCUGCCAAAUCAGGAUCCGAAGAUGAGGAAGACAAUCCGCUAGUCAACCACCGUCCCAGUACGGAGGUGGUGGGGCUGCACCUGCUGCCAAAAGAACACGAGCUUUGGAAAUGACAUGCCGUGGGUGUCGACGGGGUCGGGGAGGCAGCGUGGUAGACAGCUUGCAUGGAGGGUGGGAUGGUGACCGGCGCCGCUGACGAGAUGGAGCCGGAAGGGAGCACAAGUCCGAGCUGCCGGAGGUGAAGCCGCCAGAACACCGGCAAACCGAAGAUGCCGGAAGGGGACGCAGCGACCGGGGUGUUGGGGCUGAAAUUGAAGGAAAUAUGCCCUAGAGGCAAUAAUAAAGUUAUUAUUUAUUUCCUUAUAUCAUGAUAAAUGUUUAUUAUUCAUGCUAGAAUUGUAUUAGCCGGAAACAUAAUACAUGUGUGAAUACAUAGACAAACAGAGUGUCACUAGUAUGCCUCUACUUGACUAGCUCGUUAAUUAAAGAUGGUUAUGUUUCCUAACCAUAGACAUGAGUUGUCAUUUGAUUAACGGGAUCACAUCAUUAGGAGAAUGAUGUGAUUGACUUGACCCAUUCCGUUAGCUUAGCGCACGAUUGUUUAGUAUUCUGCUAUUGCUUUCUUCAUGACUUAUACAUGUUCCUAUGACUAUGAGAUUAUGCAACUCCCGUUUACCGGAGGAACACUUUGUGUGCUAUCAAACGUCACAACGUAACUGGGUGAUUAUAAAGGUGCUCUACAGGUGUCUCCACAGGUACUUGUUGGGUUGGCGUAUUUCGAGAUUAGGAUUUGUCACUCCGAUUGUCGGAUAGGUAUCUCUGGGCCCACUCGGUAAUGCACAUCACUUAAGCCUUGCAAGCAUUGCAACUAAUGAGUUAGUUGCGAGAUGAUGUAUUACGGAACGAGUAAAGAGACUUGCCGGUAACGAGAUUGAACUAGGUAUUGAGACACCGACGAUCGAUUCUCGGGCAAGUAACAUACCGAUGACAAAGGGAACAACGUAUGUUGUUAUGCGGUUUGACCGAUAAAGAUCUUCAUAGAAUAUGUGGGAGCCAAUAUGAGCAUCCAGGUUCCGCUAUUGGUUAUUGACCGAAGACGUGUCUCGGUCAUGUCUACAUAGUUCUCGAACCCGUAGGGUCCGCACGCUUAAAGUUUCGAUGACAGUUAUAUUUUGAGUUUAUAUGUUUUGAUGUACCGAAGGUAGUUCGGAGUCCCAGAUGAGAUCACGGACAUCACGAGGAGUCCCGAAAUGGUCGAGACAUGAAGAUUGAUAUAUUGGACGACUAUAUUCGGACACCGGAAUGGUUCCGGUGGUUAUCGGAUAUAUACCGGAGUACCGGGAGGUUACCGGAACCCCCUGGGGGUUUAAUGGGCCUACAUGGGCCUUAGUGGAGAAGAGGAGAGGCGGCUAGGGCAGGCCGCGCGCCCCCUCCCCCUCUAGUCCGAAUUGGACAAGGAGGGGGGCGGCGCCCCCCCUUUCCUUCCUCUCUCUCUCCUCUUUCCCCCUUCUCCUAAUCCAACAAGGAAGGGAAGGGAGUCCUACUCCCGGUGGGAGUAGGACUCCUCCUGGCGCGCCCCUCUCCUGGCCGGCCGCCUCUCCCCCUUGCUCCUUUAUAUAAGGGGGCAGGGGGGCACCCCAAAGACACAACAAUUGAUCAUUGAUCUUUUAGCCGUGUGCGGUGCCCCCCUCCACCAUAGUCCACCUCGAUAAUAUCGUAGCGGUGCUUAGGCGAAUCCCUGCGUCGGUAGAACAUCAUCAUCGUCACGACGCCGUCGUGCUGACAAAACUCUCCCUCAACACUCGGCUGGAUCGGAGUUCGAGGGACGUCAUCGGGUUGAACGUGUGCUGAACUCGGAGGUGCCGUGCGUUCGGUACUUGAUCGGUCGGAUCGUGAAGAAGUACGACUACGUCAACCGCGUUGUGCUAACGCUUCCGCGUUCGGUCUACGAGGGUACGUGGACACACUCUCCCCUCUCGUUGCUAUGCAUCACCAUGAUCUUGCGUGUGCGUAGGAAUUUUUUUGAAAUUACUACGUUCCCCAACAGUGGCAUCCGAGCCAGGUUUUAUGCCUAGAUGUUAUAUGCAUGAGUAGAACACAAGUGAGUUGUGGGCGAUACAAGUCAUACUGCUUACCAGCAUGUCAUUCUUUGGUUCGGCGGUAUUGUUGGAUGAAGCGGCCCGGACCGACAUUACGCGUACGCUUACGCGAGACUGGUUCUACCGACGUGCUUUGCACACAGGUGGUUGGCAGGUGUCAGUUUCUCCAACUUUAGUUGAACCGAGUGUGGCUACGCGCGGUCCUUGAGAAGGUUAAAACAGCACUAACUUGACGACUAUCGUUCUGGUUUUGAUGCGUAGGUAAGAAUGGUUCUUGCUCAGCCCGUAGCAGCCAUGUAAAACUUGCGACAACAAAGUAGAGGACGUCUAACUUGUUUUUGCAGGGCAUGUUGUGAUGUGAUAUGGUCAAGACAUGAUGCUAUAUUUUAUUGUAUGAGAUGAUCAUGUUUUGUAACAGAGUUAUCAACAACUGGCAGGAGCCAUAUGGUUGUCGCUUUAUUGUAUGCAAUGCAAUCGCCCUGUAAUGCUUUACUUUAUCACUAAGCGGUAGCGAUAGUCGUAGAAGCAUAAGUUGGCGAGACGACAACGAUGCUAUGAUGGAGAUCAAGGUGUCGCGCCGGUGACGAUGGUGAUCAUGACGGUGCUUCGGAAAUGGAGACCACAAGCACAAGAUGAUGAUGGCCAUAUCAUAUCACUUAUAUUGAUUGCAUGUGAUGUUUAUCUUUUAUGCAUCUUAUCUUGCUUUGAUUGACAGUAGUAUUAUAGGAUGAUCUCUCACUAAAUUAUCAAGGUAUAAGUGUUCUCCCUGAGUAUGCACCGUUGCGAAAGUUCUUCGUGCUGAGACACCACGUGAUGAUCGGGUGUGAUAGGCUCUACGUUCAAACACAACGGGUGCAAAACAGUUGCACACGCGAAAUACUCAGGUUAAACUUGACGAGCCUAGCAUAUAACAGAUAUGGCCUCGGAACACUGAGACCGAAAGGUCGAGCGUGAAUCAUAUAGUAGAUAUGAUCAACAUAAAUGAUGUUCACCAUUGAAACUACUCCAUCUCACGUGAUGAUCGGACAUGGUUUAGUUGAUAUGGAUCACGUGCUCACUUAGAGGAUUAGAGGGAUGUCUAUCUAAGUGGGAGUUCUUAAGUAAUAUGAUUAAUUGAACUUUAAUUUAUCAUGAACUUAGUCCUGGUAGUAUUAGCAUAUCUAUGUUGUAGAUCAAUAGCUCGCGAUAUUGCUCCCCGUUUAAUUUUUAUAUGUUCCUAGAGAAAACUAAGUUGAAAGAUGUUAGUAGCAAUGAUGUGGAUUGGAUCCGUGAUCUGAGGUUUAUCCUCAUUGCUGCACAGAACAAUUAUGUCCUUGAUGCAGCGCUAGGUGACAGACGUAUUGCAGGAGGACAUGCAGACGUUAUGAACGUUUGGCUAGCUCAAUAUGAUGACUACUUGAUAGUUUAGUGCACCAUGCUUAACGGCUUAGAAUCAGGACUUCAAAGAUGUUUUGAACAUCAUGGACCAUAUGAGAUGUUCCAGGAGUUGAAGUUAAUAUUUCAAGCAAAUACCCUAGUUGAGAGAUAUGAAGUCUCCAACAAGUUCUAUAGCUAAAAGAUGGAGGAGAAUAGCUCAAGAAGUGAGCAUGUGCUCAGAUUGUCUGGGUACUACAAUCACUUGAAUCAAGUGGGAGUUAAUCUUCCAGAUAAAGAUAGUGAUUGACAGAAUUCUCUAGUCACCAUCACAAAGUUAGUAUAACUUCGUGAUGAACUAUAGUAUGCAAGGGAUAACGUAAACGAUUCCCGAGCUUUUCAUGCUGGUGAAAUCAGAAAUCAAGAAAGAGCAUCAAGUGUUGAUGAUUAACAAGACCACUAGUUUCAAGAAAAUGGCAAAGGGAAAGAAAGGGAACUUCAUGUAGAACGGCAAGCAAGUUGCUGCUCAAGUGAAGAAGCCCAAGUUUGGACCUAAGCCUGAGACUGAGUGCUUCUACUGCAAAAGGACUGGUCACUGGAAGCAGAACUACCCGAAAUAAUUGGCGUAUAAGAAGGAUGGCAAAGUGAACAAAAGUAUAUUUGAUAUACAUGUUAUUGAUGUGUACUUUACUAGUGUUUAUAGCAACCCCUCAGUAUUUUAUACUGGUUGGCAACCUCUGCUUGCCUCUGCGAAGGGCCUAUCUUUUACUUUUAUGCAAGAGUCAUGGUGAUCUUCACCUUUCCUUUUUUUCAUUUUAUCCUUUGGCAAGUACCUCGUGUUGGAAAGAUUCUGAUAUAUCCAAUUGGAUGUAAGGCAUCAUGAACUAUUAUUGUUAACAUUACCCUUGAGGUAAAAGGUUGGGAGGCGAAUCUAUAAGCCCCUAUCUUUCUCUGUGUCUGAUUAAAACUUUGAACCCAUAAAUAUCGCGUGAGUGUUAGCAAUUGUGAAAGACUAAAUGAUAGUUGAGUAUGUGGAGUUUGCUAAAUCAAAGCUCUGACAUAGACUCUUCCUGAAAAUAAGAUGAAUUGUAAUUGUUUGAUGACUAAUAACACGGCUUGUUAGUUUUCAAGAAAGUUUAUGAUCUAUACUUUAACAUGUGAAUAGCUUGUUACUUGAUCAUGAAAAGUUCUAUGAGUUGAGCUACUGUUAUGACAUAUGAUGAUGCUAGAAAAAGUGAUUGAAAUUAUCAUUGAUCAAACUUGUGCACCUGCUAGCAUUCACACUUCAUAAAUUCUUUCUUUUAUCAUUUACCUACUCGAGGAUGAGCAGGAAUUAAGCUUGGGGAUGCUGAUACGUCUCCAACGUAUCUAUAAUUUAUGAAGUAUUCAUGCUAUUAUAUUAUCUGUUUUGGAUGUUUAUGGGCUUUAUUGAACACUUUUAUAUUAUUUUUGGGACUAACCUAUUAACCUAGAGCCCAUUGCCAGUUUCUGUUUUUUGCUUGUUUUUGAGUUCUACAGAAAAGGAAUACCAAACGGAGUCCAAUGGACGUCCCAAUUUUUGACGAUUUUUUAUGGACCAAAAGGAGACCCCGGAGCAAAAGGGUUGGGACAGGAGAGUCCCGGGCUGCCCACGAGGGUGGGGGGCGUGCCCUCCCCCCCUGGGCGUGGGCCCCUGCCUCGUGGACAACCCGGAGACCCCCCUGACAUGAGACCUACGCCAAAAAAUCCUAUAAAUACUGAAACCUCCAGAAAGCAGAAUAGAUCGGGAGUUCCGCCGCCGCAAGCCUCUGUAGCCACCAAAAACCAACCGGGACCCUGUUCCGGCACCCUGCCCGAGGGGGUAUGUCGGUGUCAAAACCGGCGGAUCUCGGGUAGGGGGUCCCGAACUGUGCGUCUAAGGCGGAUGGUAACAGGAGGCGGGGGACACGAUGUUUACCCAGGUUCGGGCCCUCUCGAUGGAGGUAAUACCCUACUUCCUGCUUGAUUGAUCUUGAUGAUAUGAGUAUUACAAGAGUUGAUCUACCACGAGAUCGUAGAGGCUAAACCCUAGAAGCUAGCCUAUGGUAUGAUUGUUUUUGUCCUACGGACUAAACCCUCCGGUUUAUAUAGACACCGGAGGGGGCUAGGGUUACACAGAGUCGGUUACAAGGGAGGAGAUCUGCAUAUCCGUAUUGCCAAGCUUGCCUUCCAUGCCAAGGAGAGUCCCAUCCGGACACGGGACGAAGUCUUCAAUCUUUUGUCUUCAUAGUCCAACAGUUCGGCUAAAGUAUAUAGUCCGGCUGUCCGAGGACCCCCUAAUCCAGGACUCCCUCAGUAGCCCCUGAACGAGGCUUCAACGACGAUGGGUCCGACGCGCAGAUUGUCUUCGGCAUUGCAAGGCGGGUUCCUCCUCCGAAUAUUCCAUAGAAGAUUUUGAACACAAGGAUAGUGUCCGGCUCUGCAAAACAAAUUCCACAUACCACCAUAGAGAGAAUAAUAUUUCCACAAAUCUAAUCUACUGACACAUUCUGCAGCAUGACAUCACACCAUGGCCCGGUCAUUAUUCGGACCGUUUUUCUUAACCAGCCACUGCACAUAUCGCGAGGCGGUUUUCUUGGCACGUCUUGUCGAAGCAGAGAUCGUGUCCCCCUAUCACGGGAUUGUCAUCAAUACGGGUGUGGGUAACCUAACCGCGCCAUCAAUUACAGCUCUUGGGGAAUAAGCGAGUUUACCAGGCAGGUGGGGAGGCGCAUAGUUCCUUCCGCCCUUAUAAAGAGACAAGGAUUCAUCUUUUUCACCCACGCCCUCUUCCUCCUUGCUCAUCCGUUCUUGCGCACUUGAGCUCCAACACCCAAGUUCGCAUUCUCUCCUCAAACCACUCCAAGCAUGUCCGGAGCAGGAGGCAAGUGGAUGGUCUCCUCCGUUACGAAGGAGGACAUCACAAGGCUAUGGGGAGCCGGAUACCUGGCCGCGGAUAUCGCGCACCGGCUACAAGAUGCGGGGCAGAUCGUCCCUACUCCAGAACCCCAUGAGAGGGUGAUAUUUCUUACCCACUUUGUCCGCGGACUGGGAUUUCCCCUCCACCUGUUUGUCCGCGGGCUCAUGUUCUACUACGGGCUGGACUAUCACGAUCUGGCCCCCAAUUUCAUCCUCAACAUCUCGGCGUUUAUCGUCGUGUGCGAGGCCUUCCUCCGCAUCAAGCCCCACUUCGGCCUGUGGCUGAAGACCUUCAACGUUAAACCGAAGGUGGUGGCCGGCCAGCAAGCGGAGUGCGGAGGCGCCAUGGUGGGCAAAAUGCCCAACGUCACCUGGCUAGAAGGCUCCAAUGUGGAGACCGUAAAGGGGUGGCAAUCGGGGUGGUUCUACAUCACCGAGCCGCGCGACACCAACUGGGUAGCGGCCCCCGAAUUUUUAUCCGGAAUCCCCAUGCGGCUCACCUCCUAGAAAGAGAAGGGCCUAUCCUGGGGUUCCUCGGUAGAGCUGACCGGACCCCAGACCUGCGUCAAAAACAUGAUGAGCAAGAAAAUCAAGCUUGUCAACAUGGUCCAAGUCAUGCUCUUCCGCCCGAUCCUCCCGUGUCAAAGACGGGCAUUCAAUUUGUGGGAGUUCGACCCGGCCGAGCACCAGACGCUGCGAGAGCUCUUCGACACGGCGCACAAGGACGUCUGGAAGGUGAUGUUCAAGGGCGCUGAGGUACCUCCUCCCCUUACCAAGGACCGCGGACUCAGCGCAAAGCGCCCUGCCAAUCCGGUAUGUCUUUUAUAUUUCAUAAGAUGUUCUUUUCCCCAGUAUAACCACACGCGGGAUCUAAGCCCCCACGCCAUUUAACAGGACUGGGUAGCGACAGCGGAGCAGAUCGAUUGUCCAGCCCCCCUGCCUGAAGAUCCAGCGGAUGCUCUCCUAACGGAGAUCCUGGUUUCGGCGCCUUAUGAGGUGCCGGAGAAGAAGGCCACGGGGACCAGGAAGGGUCUCCGGCGCAAGGUUAUAUCGGACUCAUCGUCCGAAAACACCGAGGCGCACUCCUCCCACGAAAACGGGGAGGAAGAGGAAAGUUCUCCCCCCCAGCCAGGGGGGACAGGACAAGGAAGGCUGCCCCAUCAGGGGAGGCCGAAGGGUCCAAGAAGGGAAGGACCCUCCUCCCGGACUGCUCCACAAAGGCCGCUUUUAGCGACGAGGAGUGGUUACCCAGGGACAAGCCCCUGGCAAAGUCGUGAGUAUCCGGAUACCAUAAUAAUUCUUGGUACGUCUUAUUGUACUGUUUCUUAUCACGCCGCGCAUGAUUAUGCAGUCCGUCCCGAGCCCAUAUCGACGUAUCUUCGUCGGAUGAUUCUUUGGGCCCGUCAGAUAUGAAUAGCGAUUCACUCCCGACUGCCUCCUCCCCCCGCCCUACGGACGACGCCGAGGUGUUGUCUCAAAGGGAACUAAACCAAGGGGAGACAGUUCCGGAGGCGCCCCAAGGCGACAUUCCAGGCGCUAGGUGCACGAGGGGCAAGACUCCCCUAGGCCCUAACACCGGGGGCAGUAAGUCUAGCCCCAAGCCGAAUACGGCGCCGGAACCUCCAGUGGUUCCGGAUUCUGUCAGGCAACCCCUCGCUAAGGGGGGUAAGCCGUCUGUGCCGAUGGCCUCUGUCCAUCCAGAGGCAUCGGACAACUUGCUAGAAGUGCUUCGCGGCGCUUCCAUUGACGAAGAGCACCGCACUAUUAUGAGUGCGGUAGUUAAGAAGGUUCAGUCCGCUAAGAGCGGACUGACUGAAGCCUGUGCCAACCUCCUAACCGGCUUUGAGGUAAGUAAUCAAAUUGUAAGAAAAUGUUACAGCAUAGACAGUAGCCCCUGAUGCUCUGUUUGGCGUUCGCGGAGAAAGGCCGAAUAGAGGAUCAAAUAAUAAUCGCAGGAGUCUAAUCAGAAUGUGUCUAUGUGAAUAAGCGGGCUUCACUGCUGGCCGCCGCCGCUCGUACUGCGGAGGUCACCGCACUGAAGCGGGACCUUGAGCGGUCCAAGGAAGAGCUCGGCCUUACCAAGAGGCAGCUCGAAGAGAACAAAGGUAAGUGACACCCCGUCUGAAUAUUGGUAAAGAAAAAUUUGGUUUUGGAAUAAUAGGAUCCUCAUGAAUUUUGCUAGGGGCCACGACCGAAGUGGCGGCCCUGCAGAAGGCGCUAUCUGAGGCCGAAGACAAAGCGGCCAAGGAGCACAUCGAGCGAGAGAAGCAAGAGGCCCGAGUAGGCGAGGUGCGGCAAGAGCUCCAGGCUCUCGUCAAGAAACACGAGUCCUUGGAGCUUGACUCUAUGACGCAAGGGUCCGAGCUUGCGAAGGCCCUCGAAAGCGCACAACAUGCCAAGGCCAAAGCCCAAAAGGCCCUCCAGGAAAUUUAGGCGGUUAAGAAGAUAGCGGCGGGUAAGGCAUUCAUUAUGCAAAGCAAGCAUGUGAAGGAAACUUUCUUUUUACUUACCCGAGUUCGGAGUUCUCCAGAAGCGUUCGCAGAUCUACCCCGCAGUGUGUCGGAUGCCACGGAGUUCUACCGGGCCGAGGAGGGGAGCUCGGCGGAGAAGUUGUUCUGGUCUCAGUAUACUGGGACCGAACAUCCAAUGCCCUUGAGCGACCAGUUGAAGCAACUGGUCGAGCUUCACAAGGCGGCCGAACAGGCCAUGAAGGGUCUUAUGGUCUGGAUGUGGCAUGGCGACCCCUGCCUGGUAGCUACUUCGGUCUGGUGAGGCGGCUUGUGAAUGCCUGCACACGGUUUGAAGUCAUAAAGCGGUCCGUCUGCAUUGAGGGUGCGCGCAGGACUUUUGCCCGGGCGAAGGUGCACAGGGCGAAGCUGGACGCCGAAAAGCUGGUGAAGGAGGGGCCGCCGGAGGGCAAGGAGCAUCGCCACCCCGAAAAGUAUUAUGAUAGUGUCCUGAAGGGUGCUCGCCUUGUGGCGGAGGAAUGUGCUAAGGAUGUAAUAUUUGAAUGAAUGUACUCAUGUGAUCCUGUAAUAUGAAACGAGUUCAUUUGCGUACGCAAUGCUUGUUAAUUUAAAAUAUUACCUUCUAUGCGGCCGUUUAUAAAAUCUGAGAGUUGGCCAGUCGUCGGCUUCUGCCCCCAUGUAACUAGUACUAAGGUGUUCGGGGUAAACCUGAGCACUCUUUAUCCCAAUUUUGGGUCCUUCGAAGGAGGUGUUUAGCACAAUGAACCAGGCAAUCGGACUAUAAAGCUUUAUCACUCUCACUUAGCCAUAGAAGUCUACAAUUUUAAAUUUUGGCGAAGCCCCUAGUAUUUCGAAGGCCGAAUUUGGGGCACUAUAUACGCCUAAGUCGGGCAAGACGACUCCUUGCCCGAAGCGGAAAGAGACUUUAAGGACUUGAGACCUCUCGAACAGCGACCAGCUCUCGCCUCAUUAUGACAGUCAGUUUUCGGCUUUCUCUACUGAGGUGCUCGUCCGGAAGAACCGGGACACAAUCGCAGUAGUUCUCCCAAGGCUACCUUAGCCGAUAUUGCGGAACGUAAGGUACCAAAACAUGGGAGCCGGGCAAACCCAACUAUUGACCCAAGACAUGAUUCGGAGCUGGUGCAUAUAAUUCUAUAAGUUCGGGGUGCCGCACUGUCGAAAGUGUUCGGACUUCUCACACUGUAUUAUGGGGUAUACUAAAGCCCCUGGCGCACUGGUCAUACCAGGAUGUACGGGUGCAAUUUGUCGUAAAUAAGCAGACAAGGAAAAAAAAGAAAGGGGAAUGCAAUAAUAGACUAACGAUAUGCAUUGUUAUUAAAUAAUACGUCAAAGCGACGGAUACAAGUAGUGCAAUAAGCAAAAAAUAAGACUAUUUGACAUGUCCUAUCCAAGGGCAAGCUGCGUAUGGGUAUGUAAAACAGGUAUUUCGAUCGUUAUCAGAGACCACCUAGGGAUUCCCUUGUACGUCAGAGCGUCUUGCUUCCUUGGUAUUUCCUUACCGCGAUGGGUCCAACAAUUAGAUUGCCGAAAAGGGCUUCCAGAGAGUAAGGUCCUGAAAGAGAGAAAAUGAUAAAGGUAUAUGGCCCCUGGGGCGGUUGAGCCACCUUGUGGGACGUGCCGUAGCUGUGCCUCCGCCUAUGCCCAUGGUAUCUUGAGUGCGUAGUUAUGUACGCGCGGCGCAAAUUUCGCCACUUGACUGGGACUAGGACGGAGGCCGAAUUGCUAGGCGAGCUCAAAACGUGCAUGGCGAUCCUCCUGCGGGGUACCCCGGACUCGCUUGAAGGUGUCCGGGGUCUUUUUCGCCGAAUUGGCGGUUUGCCUAUUAAGGCUGCUUUGCGCUUCUGCUGCGAGGGCUGCAGUGUGCUCCUCCGUGCGGAGCGAGCGCUCUGUGUUUCCAUUAACUGUUAUAACCCCGCGUGGUCCUGGCAUUUUGAGUUUGAGGUAUGCAUAAUGCGGUACCGCAUUGAAUCUGGGAAAUGCGGUUCGUCCGAGCAGUGCGUGAUAGCCGCUGCGAAAGGGGACGAUGCCGAAGAUUAACUCCUCGCGUCGAAAAUUGUCCGGAGAUCCGAAGACCACUUCCAGUGUGAUUGAGUCCGUGCAACAGGCCUCUACACCUGGGAUUACACCUUCAAAGGAGGUUUUGGUGGGUUUGAUCCUCGAGGGGUCUAUGCCCAUUUUGCACACUGUAUCCUGAUAGAGCAGGUUCAGGCUGCUGCCACCGUCCAUAAGGACGCGAGUGAGGUGAAAUCCGUCAAUGAUGGGGUCAAGGACCAAUGCGGCAGAUCCGCCAUGACGGAUACUAGUGGGGUGGUCCCUGCGAUCGAAGGUGAUCGGACAAGAGGACCAUGGGUUCAACUUUGGGGCGACUGGCUCCAUAGCAUAGACGUCCCUUAGUGCACGCUUCCGUUCCCUCUUGGGAAUAUGGGUUGCGUAUAUCAUGUUCACCGUUUUCACUUGUGGAGGGAACCUCUUCUGUCCUCCAAUGUUCGGCGGCCGAGGCUCCUCCUCGUCGUCGCUAUGGAGCCCCUUGUCCUUGUUUUUGGCAUUUAACUUGUCGGCCUGCUUGAAUACCCAGCAUUCUCUGUUGGUGUGAUUGGCUGGCUUAUCGGGGGUGCCAUGAAUUUUAACGAGCAAUCGAGUAUACGGUCCAAACUGGACGGGCCCGGAUUGCUUGUUUUGAACGGCUUCUUCCGCUGACCGGAUUUAGAGCCACUGAAUCCGGCAUUGACUGUCGUGUCUUCGGCGUUGUCGCCGUUGUUGUGGCGCUUGUGUCUGUUGCGACGUGGUCUGCCAAUAGUAUCUUUGGCGUCUGAAUUGCCGGGAUUUCUUGAUGUGCUGUUGCUGCGAGCUAGCCAGCUGUCCUCGCCCGCGCAAAAGCGGGUCAUGAGUGUCGUGAGGGCUGCCAUGGACUUCAGCUUCUCUUGGCCGCGGUGUCAGGCGAGCCACUCGUCCCGGAUGUUAUGUUUAAAUGCCGCUAAGGCCUCGGCAUCCGGACAGUCGACAAUUUGGUUCUUUUUAGUUAGGAACCGAGUACAGAAUUUCCUGGCCGAUUCCCCUGGCUGUUGGGUUAUGUGGCUCAAGUCAUCAGCAUCUGGUGGUCGCACAUAAGUGCCCUAGAAGUUGUCAAGGAAUGCGUCUUCCAAAUUCUCCCAACUGCCAAUGGAGUUUGCUGGCAGGCUAUUCAGCCAAUGUCGAGCUGGUCCUUUGAGUUUUAGUGGGAGGUACUUGAUGGCAUGUAGAUCGUCAUCGCGGGCCAUGUGGAUGUGGACGAGGAAAUCCUCGAUCCAUACCGCGGGGUCUGUUGUACCAUCAUAUGACUCAAUGUUCACGGGUUUGAAUCCUUCUAGGAAUUCAUGAUCCAUUACUUCAUCGGUGAAGCAUAGUGGGUGUGCAGCGCCUCUGUGCCGGGCUAUGUCACGACGCAGUUCAUACGAGUCUUGUCUGCUGUAUUCGGCCCCGCCGGAUUUGCUUUUAGUGUAUCCGGCAUGACGAUCAUCAUCACACAUUGGGGCGCGACCCCGUGAUCCGUAGAUCGAUCUUGUUUGUCCUGCUCUGUUUUCCUAUACGUCUCGCAGGUCCCGCGUGUUGCCCCAGGCCUUGGUAUUUAUGUUUGAAUGGCGGCGGGGUGCGGGCUGGACUUCGGGCUGAUAUGCCCCUCUGUCUCGGCCACGAGGUGGCCGAUCAGCCGCAUCAUACGCUGGUGAUGUAGGUUUUAAUGCUUCCUCCUCGAUUUGGGGUAGCAACCUGCGCUUUGGGUAACUCUUGGUUGGGCGCUCGAGUUCGUAUUCCUCUACCUCCAGGACUUCAGUCCAUCUAUCCGCUAGCAGAUAUUGAUCAGCUCGAAGCUGUUGUUGCUUUUUCUUCAGGCUGUUUGUUGUAGCUAUAAGCCGACGCUUGAAGCGCUCCUGCUUGACGGGAUCCUCAGGCACGAUAAAUUCUUCGUCGCCGAGGCUCACCUCGUCUUCGGAGAGAGGCAUGUAAUUGUCAUCCUCUGAUUCUCCGUCUGCUGCCUAUUCCGGAGGGCUAGCUUGUUCAUCCUCUCGCUCGAGGUCUGGCUGGAGGGGAUUGUCGUCGUCUUUGGCACUAUCCGGAGCGUUAUUGUCUCUUGUGCCGGUAUCGCUGCUUUUGCUAUGGCGGGACUUAGAGCGGCGCCGCUGACGUCGGUGCUUGGGUUGCUUCUUGGAGGGAUUAUCCUCGGUUGUCUUAUCGCCGUCGCCUUCUUUGGGGGUGUCCACCAUGUAUAUAUCAUAUGAUGAGGUGGCAGUCCAGCGCCCUGUGGGCGGUGGUUCCUGUUCGUCUCCUGUAUCGUCGUCCAUACCGUCGAUGUUUUCGGAGCCGAAAUCGAGCAUGUCGGUUAAAUCGUCGACAGUGGCUACUAAGUGGCUGGUGGGUGGGGAGCGAAUUUCUUCGUCGUCCGCAUCCCAUUCUAGCCAGACAUAGUUCGGCCAAGGGUCUCCUGACAAGGAGAGAGACCUCAAUGAGUUCAGCACGUCGCCCAGUGGUGAGUGCUGAAAGAUAUCCGCGGAGGAAAACUCCAUAAUCGGUGCCCAAUCAGAUUCGAUAGGCACAUACGCAGGCGGCUCAGAGCCCGUGGCCGGGGAUGAAUCCAGGUGUCCGGCGACACAGGUCUCAUAGGAGGUGAAGUCAGUAUUCGGCUCUAUCGCCACUCAGUGUGUGGCCUCCGAGGCGGGGUCCAUCCACCCGUCCUCGGACGGCGCAAUCGACUCCGGAUCUAGGGCCGGAGUAGCCAUGGGUGUGAUCUCCCGAACACCGUCCGGCGGCAGAGCUAAGUCGUGCUCGUCGUGACUGUGCGGCGCACCUGACAUGGGCUCGAAUCCGUCAAAGAUAAAGUCUCCGCGGAUGUUGGCACUGUAGUUUAAAUUUCCAAACCUGACCUGACAGCCAGGGGCGUAGCUCUCGAUCUGCUCCAGAUGGCCAAGCGAGUUGGCCCACAGUACGAAGCCGCCGAAUACAAAGAUCUGUCCGGGGAGGAAAACCUCACCCUGGAUCGCAUCGUUGGCGAUGAUUGAAGGAGCCAUCAAGCCUUUAUCGCGACGGCAGAGUGGAACUCUCAAUGAAAGCACCAAUGUCGGUGUCAAAACCGGCGGAUCUCGGGUAGGGGGUCCUGAACUGUGCGUCUAAGGCGGCUGGUAACAGGAGGCGGGGGACAUGAUGUUUACCCAGGUUCGGGCCCUCUCGAUGGAGGUAAUACCCUACUUCCUGCUUGAUUGAUCUUGAUGAUAUGAGUAUUACAAGAGUUGAUCUACCACGAGAUCGUAGAGGGUAAACCUUAGAAGCUAGCCUAUGGUAUGAUUGUUGUUGUCCUAGGGACUAAACCCUCCGGUUUAUAUAGACACAGGAGGGGGCUAGGGUUACACAGAGUCGGUUACAAGGGAGGAGAUCUACAUAUCCGUAUUGCCAAGCUUGCCUUCCACGCCAAGGAGAGUCCCAUCCGGACACGGGACGGAGUCUUCAAUCUUGUGUCUUCAUAGUCUAACAGUCCGCCUAAAGUAUAUAGUCUGGCUGUCCGAGGACCCCCUAAUCCAGGACUCCCUCAGGGUAUCCCUCACCGGUGGCCAUCUUCAUCAUCCCGGCGCUCUCCAUGACGAAGAGGGAGUAGUUCACCCUCGGGGCUGAGGGUAUGUACCAGUAGCUAUGUGUUUGAUCUCUCUCUCUCUCUCGUGUUCUUGAUUCAGCACGAUCUUGAUGUAUCAUGAGAUUUGCUAUUAUAGUUGGAUCUUAUGAUGCUUCUCCCCCUCUACUCUCUUGUAAUGGAUUGAGUUCUCCCUUUGAAGUUAUCUUAUCGGAUUGAGUCUUUAAGGAUUUGAGAACACUUGAUGUAUGUCUUGUCGUGCUUAUCUAUGGUGACAAUGGGAUAUCACGUGAUCCACUUGAUGUAUGUUUUGGUGAUCAACUUGCGGGUUCCGCCCAUGAACCUAUGCAUAGGGGUUGGCACACGUUUUCGUCUUGACUCUCUGGUAGAAACUUUGGGGCACUCUUUGAAAUACUUUGUGUUGGUUGAAUAGAUGAAUCUGAGAUUGUGUGAUGCAUAUCGUAUAAUCAUGCCCACGGAUACUUGAGGUGACAAUGGAGUAUCUAGGUGACAUUAGGGUUUUGGUUGAUUUGUGUCUUAAGGUGUUAUUCUAGUACGAACUCUAUGAUAGAUUGAACGGAAAGAAUAGCUUCAUGUUAUUUUACUACGGACUCUUGAAUAGAUCGAUCAGAAAGGAUAACUUUGAGGUGGUCUCGUACCCUACCAUAAUCUCUUCGUUUGUUCUCCGCUAUUAGUUACUUUGGAGUGACUCUUUGUUGCAUGUCGAGGGAUAGUUAUAUGAUCCAAUUAUGUUAUUAUUGUUGAGAGAACUUGCACUAGUGAAAGUAUGAACUCUAGGCCCUGUUUCCUAGCAUUGCAAUACCAUUUACGCUCACUUUUAUUAUUAGUUACCUUGCUGUUUUUAUAUUUUCAGAUUACAAAAACCUAUAUAUACCAUCCAUAUUGCACUUGUAUCACCAUCUCUUCGCCGAAUUAGUGCACCUAUACAAUUUACCAUUGUAUUGGGUGUGUUGGGGACACAAGAGACUCUUUGUUAUUUGGUUGCAGGGUUGUUUGAGAGAGACUAUCUUCAUCCUACGCCUCCCACGGAUUGAUAAACCUUAGGUCAUCCACUUGAAAGAAAUUUGCUACUGUCCUACAAAGCUCUGCACUUGGAGGCCCAACAACGUCUACAAGAAGAAGGUUUUGUAGUAGAUAUCAGGGGGAGGGGGGUGAAACCGCCCCGCCGCCGCCGUCCCCGAGCGCGGCGCGGCUUCGCUGGCCGGCCCUCCGGCGGCAGCGAUGCGGGGGGAGGGGGGCACUGGCGGAGGAAGGCUACCGGUGGCGAUGAAGGUUUCCCCCGUAUCGCCUGUUGCGGGCGACGCGGGGGCAGGGUUGACCAGCUCGAGGAUUUCGGCUGAGCUGUAGAACGUAUGAAAUAUUGAAGGAAAACAAAAACAUGAGAAUCAACAGAUAUUGGAGAAGUUGGUACAGAGUGGUACAUGGAAAGGAAAUUUUACUUUUACUGGAGGUUGAAUGAAGUUAUGUUUACACCUUCCAUUUCACUUUGUGGGCACUCCGAAGUUGCAAAGAAAAAAUAUAUAAAAUAUCAUCAUUCGUACGCAUUUAUAUGCAGGUAAUGAAAAUGGCUCCACCUAAUUAUAAGAUUAUUAAGCACUUUUAGUACCCGGGAGUCCCUGGUACUGUGAAGAUGAUAUUAAGACUAAUUAAUGGACAUGGAUUUGUUCUGAUCACACAAAGAUAGCUCAAACACCCAUCCGCUUACUUGCUUGCAUUUCAAAAGAUUGAUAACCACAUUUCAUCAUUUUUCCCCACUUCUCCACCUUGCUGGUGAUAUAUAUCCAGCUUCCGCAUAUAUGAUAUUUUUCACUCUAGCACUUUCAGCUUCUUUUUGAAAUGAAGAGUACUUUUCUUGCUGAUGCAGCAACAAUAGUAAGUCAGAGCUUUCUUAGGCCUUGUACAAUGCAAGGUGCUUUGAGAAAUAAACUAGGCUUUCCUUAAGCACCGAUACUUAUUUGUACAGGAUACUUUAUUAAUUUUUCUCACAAGAUCUUACAAAGUCAUACAACAGUAAGACUAAAGCCGCCGUCUAAGCAACAAACUGUCGCUACACCUAUCCAGUUGAUGAAGGGACGCAGAUAGCCUGGGCCUAAUACCAAACAGACAUCGCAUCCAAGCCUAACAUCUAAGACCUGAGACCCCAACCUAGCCACUUGCCGGGUCUGGGGCACACACUGGUCCGGCGUGCUCUCAGAGGCCGCCGCCGCCAACUGCCACCGCUCCAUCUUCAGAAUUGUACUGAUGCAUCAACCUUACUCGGUCUAGCUAUCGUCGACGCCACCACUGCGCCCAGCGGCACCUCCUCCCUGCCCGCAAACAACUGAGCACAUCGCGGUCGCCACUGAUACACCUCAGCACCAUGCUGCCAAGUACCACCAGCUGACACAGCUUGAAGUCCUUGGAAGAUCUUUCAUGCGUAGCACCUGCCGACCAAGUAUGACAAAGUGUAGCACCUGUCGGUCAGGCAUGACUUGACAUCUCCACCGAAGCUCCGUGCAAGACGAAGCCGCUCCACCUCCUGCCUCUGACUUCCAGCGCUGCUCCACAAACGAUGCUCCCAAGAGAGAAACGAGACAGCGGUGCCACAAUCGUCCGAUCUGGAACACCAGAUCCUAGAGUUUCCCGUGGAGCAGCACGAGUGGGUCGACAGUAGUUACACGAUGAUGCCUCCAUCAAGGUAACGACGAGAACGCCGCCAUCGCCUACCGUCGGCUCGAUUUUCACCGGCAACCAUGUCUCCCCUACUCGCAGUCGGGACUAGAUGAUGGAUCUCGAGAUCCGAUCACCAAGCCUCUGGCCGGCCAUCUCUGGAAGAAGAUGACCACCACGUCCACCAGCGUCACCACACCGGGCACGCGUUGCCGCCGGCACCCCCAUGGUGCCUAGAGGCCGACAAGCCCCGACGAACACCACGCCUCGCCAGCCGCCAUAGCCCAGGCCCAAGCACCACCAGAUCCAGAUCAGAUCGGGGUCAAGGGCCCCAAGCCGCAGCCGUCGCGGAGGCAGCACCACUAGACGGUGCCCUGCCCUCCACCCCGCUGUAGGAUCGAGUCAUCGCCGGAGCUCCGCCACGCCACGCCGCCAAGACGCCGCCGGAAGAACUCGCGCCGCCGCUAGGGGAGAGAGAGACGCGCUAGGGAGAGGCCCCGCCGCUGGCACUGCCUUGGCUUUGCCCGGCUGUGUCCCUCGGCGGCGGCGAGGGGGGAGGGAGGGUGGAGGAGGGCCGGCGGCGGAGGGGGCUAGGGUUCCCCCGAGUCGCCUCAGAGAGGGACGCAGGCGACGGGGUGAGAAAACUGAGAGAGUGGAUAUGGCCUUUACUCGAGCUCAUGGGGUGGCCCGACUGCUGGUGAGUGUUCUCGAUAUUGAGUUCGUGCCUGAUGUGGUUAAGUGGACAUAUAGGGGACAGAUUUUCAACCUCGAGAUUGAGUUUGAGGAUGCCGCUCUCUUCGCUGAGGCUAUCAAUGGGACUGAUGUAGAUAUGCACGAGGGUGAUGACAGCUCGGGUGCUAAGGAGGCACCGGUUGAUGAUGUUGGACGAGAGUUGUCCAACUAAUCGGGGCCCGUUCCUCAGACGCCCAGGGACGGGACGGCACCAUCCUCUUCGGUGCCUAUGAGUUCUCUGAGAUUUGGGUCGUUUGAGCCAGCUUCUGCUCCUCCCAGACUCUGGAGUGACCGGGUGGAGUCCGAUGACGUGUUUGAGCGCACGCUACCUACCCUGGAUUUUGUUGCUGCUGAUAGUCCCGUGCUUGGAGGUUUGGAGGGGAUUAUCUCUGUGCAGACCUCGGUAAGGGGAGGGGAGGCGGAGCUUGGGCAGGUGGCCCCUCUUUCCCCCGCUCUCCCUGCGGUGUCACCUCGGGAGACGGAGUCGACUAUGGAGGCUGUCCCUAGGGAGGGAGUCCAUGGCAGGUGGCCUCGGCUCCUUCUUCUCUUCUCGCGGUGCCGGAGCUGCAGAUGGCGGUUGUGCUUAGGGGAGGCGGUCCAGGGCAGGUGGCCUCGGCCCCCUCUUCACCUCUGGCGGCUAGGGAGGCCACACCCCCUAUGGCGCCGGAGACCUCUUCUAGCCAGAGGGCUGGGGCGGGAGGAGCGUACGGGCAGGCGGCCCACGCGCUUCCCUCUCCCGGCGCGCCAACGUCCCAGGGCCUCGGUUCGAGGUGGACGUCAGUGGGGCCGGGGAGGUCCCCGCCGCUGCCCCCGGCAGCUCCCGCCGACUCUUCGACGUGUGCAGCUUCGCGGUGUGCUGGGGGUGAGGCCGGUGGCUUUACUCCGAGCGGGGUCACUCGGGAGGAGGUCAUCGCCUUUGGAGGGAUUCUAGAUCCUGUCUCUGCGGGGCGACGGAUGAGCUGUCGUCUCUAGGAUCAUCCGGAGGUUGAUGACAUGCAGCAGCGGUGCGCCAUGAGGGCGGCCAAGCUUCGUGACAUUGAGGUCACUACUGGUAUGUCGGUCAACACUUCUAAUUCCAUUCUGCAUUUUUCUAAUAAUGAGAUUAUUAAUAAUUCAAAUCAAUUGGGAGUUUCACUAGGUAGUAAUGAUAGUGAAAUUUCUAACUUUGUAAAUGAUAUCCUGGAUUUGGAAGCGGAACGCGCUUUAGAAAUGAUUCAAAACUUAGCAGCGGUUAAACCCAUGAAUGAUGCAGAUAUCGAUGCGUUGGGGGUCAGGGUGCUCGAUAAUUUUUGUGCAGAUCUUGCACCAUCCAUUCCUGAGUCAGAGGAAGAGGAUAACACUUUUGAGGCUGCCGUAGAUCGAUCCAUGGAGCCCGGUUGUGAGGACUGGGUGGAGGAUCAAAACAAACCUAAACGCAAGUGGAAGCGGAAGAUCUACCCUGCUUCGGCGGUGCGUAGGAGUGCUAGGAUCCGUACUAUUAAAACAUUUCAUGAUGAAAUAUGAAAGGAAUCUUUUGGAAUAGCAGAGGUCUGAAAGACUUGGCUAAAAGAAGGUUUCUUGCAGAUGCGUCUAUCGAGCAUAGGUUGGAUUUUAUCACUCUCUCGGAAACUGGUAGAGAUAAUUUUUCGCCCCAGUUUCUCAGUACUUUAUCGGGAGGUGUUGAUUUCAAUUGGCACUGCCUGCCUCCGAGAGGAAGAUCGGGUGGGAUCUUACUUGGAGUGAGAUGCGAUUCGCUAGAAGUCUGAAGUGUAGUGAUGGGAGAUUUCACAAUUAAGUUCCGGGUUAGGUCGAAAGCCAACGGGUUUAAUUGGGCUCUGAUGGCGGUUAUGCUCCCGCGCAGCCCGAUCUCAAACCAGAGUUCUUGGCGGAUCUUGUUCAAAUUUGCGGCUCUGAGCAGCUCCCAAUCCUGGAUGGGGGUGAUUUCAACAUCAUUAGGAGGAGAGAGGAAAAGAAUAAUGAUAAUUUCGACGGCAGGUGGUCGUUUAUGUUUAAUACCAUUAUUGAAAGCUUGGAUCCUAGAGAGAUAGAGCUUUCGGGUAGAAAAUUCACCUGGGCUAAUACUUUGCCAAAUCCGACGUUUGAGAAGCUGGAUCGAGUCCUAGUGAGCGUCGAAUGGGAACAGAUAUUUCCUUUGGUAACGGUCCAGGCUCUUUCGCGUGGUAUUUCUGACCACACGCCUUUAUUUGUGGACUCUGGUGAGCCAACCCACAUGGGGAACAAAAACUCCUUUUCUUUCGAGCUGGCAUGGUUUGAACGAGAAGGCUUCUUGGAUAUGAUAGCCAGGGAAUGGGCUAAGGAUGCAGGAGGUAGGACUUCGAUUGAGCGCUGACAGAAUAAGAUAAGGCACUUGAGAAGUUUCUUGCGUGCGUGGGCUAAGCAUCUUAGUGGGGUUUAUAAGGUCGAAAAGGAAAGGCUCCUUACACUUAUUCAGUCUCUAGAUUUAAAAGCCGAGUCCACAAUUUUGCAAGCCACAGAGCUUCAUGAUAAACUGGAGGCGGAGAUGAGAUUGAAAGAGCUUCUCCGUGAAGAGGAAUUAAAGUGGGCGCUGCGGGCUAAGGUUCGCAAAGUUGUCCAGGGGGACGCGAAUACUCAAUUCUUUCACAUGAUCGCUAAUGGCAAGCACAGAAAGAAUAGAAUCUUUCAGCUUGAACCAAGAUGAAGGAACGAUUUUAGGACAGGAAAACCUAAAAUUAUACAUAACCGAAUACUACAAGCAGUUGUUUGGGCCUCUGGAGGAUAAUUGUGUAUCCCUGGAUGAGUCUAGGAUUGAGGAUGUGCCUCAACUUACUGCUGAUGAGAAUGAUAUUUUGAUUGCCCCUUUUUCGGGGAAAGAGGUGUUUGAAGCCAUUACACAGAUGAAAAACAAUAAGGCUCCAGGGCCGGAUGGAUUUCCGGCGGAAUUCUAUAAAAAGUGUUGGCAUAUUAUUAAGGGGGAUUUGCAACCAAUGUUCCAUGAUUUAUUCUCUGGACAGCUUCAGUUAUUUCACUUGAACUUUGGAAUGAUAACAUUGCUUCCUAAGAAAACAAAGGCUGUGAGAAUUGAGCAGUUCAGGCCGAUCUGUCUUCUCAAGGUUAGUUUCAAAAAUUUCACAAAGGUUGGGACUAAUAGGCUCACGCAGACUGCGCAUUCUGUGGUGCAGCAUUCCCAAACUGCUUUCAUGCCGGACAGAAACAUCCUAGAAGGGGUUGUGGUCCUUCAUGAAACGCUCCACGAAAUUCACACGAAAAAACUAGAUGGAGUUGUUUUCAAGGUGGAUUUCGAGAAAGCGUACGAUAAAGUCAAAUGGCCUUUCCUUCAACAGGCCUUACAUAUGAAAGGUUUUGAUGAAGCCUGGCGACGCCAGGUAGAAUCUUUCACGCAAAAAGGGAGUGUUGGAAUUAAAGUGAAUGACGACAUAGGUCAUUAUUUCCACACACAUAAGGGCCUGAGACAAGGGGUUCCGAUGUCUCCUAUUUUGUUCAACAUUGUAGUUGAUAUGUUGGCAAUUCUAAUAGGAAGGGCUAAGGAGGUUGGUCAGGUGGGUGGCUUGGUGUCUCAUCUAGUUGAUGGAGGUGUGUCUAUCCUACAGUACAGCGAGAAAUAUGAAGCUGGUGUUAUGCUUAUUUGAACAAUUGACCGGGUUAAAGAUUAACUUUCACAAAAGCAAAUUGUUCUGCUUUGGAAGAGCCAAUGAGGAACAAGAGGCUUAUAGGCAAUUGUUUGGGUGCGAAUUGGGGACCUUACCAUUUACGUAUUUAGGUAUACCAAUUCACCAUCGUAAGCUGACAAACACAGAAUGGAAGUGUAUCGAGGAUCUCUUUGAGAAGAAACUGAGUUGCUGGAAGGGCAAGCUCAUGUCAUACGGAGGCCGAUUAAUUCUGAUUAAUUUGGUUCUCACGAGUAUGCCUAUGUUUCUCUUGUCUUUGUUCGAAGUCCCAGUUGGAGUUAGGAAAAGGCUGGACUUCUAUCGAUCCCGAUUCUUCUGGCAGAGCGAUGAACUAAAAAGAAAAUACAGACUCACCAAAGGGAUAUUAUCUGUCGACCGAAAGACCAAGGGGGUCUUGGCAUUGAAAAUCUUGAGGUCAAGAACAGAUGUCUUCGCAGCAUGUGGCUGUCUAAGUUAUCUGUAGAGAUCGAUGCCACAUGGGCGCAGAUUCUUAGUAGUAAGUAUCUUCAUUCCAAAACUUUGUCCCAGGUGACAGCGAGGCCGACAGACUCACCUUUUUGGAAAGGGCUUAUGAUAGUCAAAUUAGCCUUUUUUAAUAGGACAAAGUUUAUUAUCGUCAAUGGCGCUAGCACGCGAUUCUGGGAGGAUACUUGGCUCGGAGAGACCCCCUUGCACUUCAAUACCCGUCUCUGUAUCGUAUUGUUCAACGACGUGAUGCUUUCGUUGCAACGAUACUUCAAUCCAUCCCCCUUAAUAUUUAGGUCAGGAGGACGCUAGCCGGUAAUCGUUGGGAAGAGUGGCUCCAUCUAGUGAGUAGACUGAUGGAGGUUCAGCUGUCUCAACAGCCCGAUCAAUUACGCUGGAAACUUACUAGGUCUGGAGAGUGUACAGUUAAAUCAAUGUAUCUCGAUGUGAUCAAUUCUAGCUCUAUUCCUAGUUCCAAAUAUGUUUCGACAGUCAAAGUUCCAUUGAAAAUUAAAGUGUUUACGUGGUUUGUACAUAAACAAGUCAUCUUAACCAAGGACAAUUUGGCAAAGCGUAACUGGACAGGACCUACUAAGUGUAGUUUUUGUGAUCGGGAUGAAACUAUCAAACACCUUUUUCUUGAUUGCUCGAUGGCCAAAGUUCUAUGUCGGACAGUCCACAUAGCCUUUGACAUUUCCGAGUUCUGUUAGCACGUUAUUUGGAACGUGGCUUAAUGGGAUAGAGUCCGAAACAGCGAGACACAUUCGCGUAGGAGUAUGUGCUUUAUUGUGGGCAGUCUGGAACUGCAGAAAUGAUUUGGUUUUUAACAGAACAACAAAUAUUCAUUUUUUGCAGGUUAUCUUCCAAGCCACUGCGUUGAUCCGUACGUGGUCACUACUCACUCCGACGGAGGCCAGGGAGCGUUUGGUUACUGGAUCUAUCCGGUGGGAGAUGGUAGCACGGGAUAUCUUCAACCGGUUUGAAUGGCGGUCAUGUAAUAGGAUAGGCAAUUAGUUUACCUAUCUUUCUUAUGCCGGCCGAUUGUGGCUUUUUGGCUAGUUUGUUAUUGGCCCUUUGGCUCUUUAUGAGCUUUCCUUUACUUUCGUUUGAGACUUUAAGACCUUGUUAAACCUAUUUGCUUUUUUAUAAAGUUGGCCGUAUGCAUCGUUCUGAUGCAGAGGCCGGGGAGCCCCCACUUUUCGAAAAAAAACCUCUUGUUAUCUUGUAUUCUUGUGUGACAAUGCUCGAAGAAUAUAAAAGGGCUAGGUGGAAAGACCCCCAUAUCGAAAACUUGCCUACCUACGAGUUUUAUAGACACAGAGCCUCAUUGGAUUGUACUAGAUGGAGCCUCCAGUGAGAGCUGAAGACGAGGCGAUGAGCACGGAGGAGCUGCUCCAAGCCCAGACGGAUCUCUACCACCACUCCCUAGCCUACAUCAAAUCUAUGGCGCUCGGUGCCGCCACAGAACUCAGCGUCGCCGACGCCAUCCACGGCCGUGGCGGUGCCAUCACCUUGUCUGACCUUGCGGCCGCGACCGGCGUCCACCCGACGAAAGUCCAACACUUCGGGCGGCUGAUGCGCGCGCUUACCGUCACUGGUGUCUUCACCUCGGAAGAAAAAGAAGGCGGUGGUGGUGCCCUGUACAAGCUCACUCGGAUUUCACGCCUCCUUCUCGGAGUCGGCAAGCGUCGGCUCUCCCCGAUGGUGCGUAUGCUUGUCAGCGAGGUCAGUUUCACUACUCCCAUGAGCAUCUGCGAGUGGAUCACCACUGAGACGCCGGCCAGGGCCAUGUUCGAGGCCCAUUUUGGCUCUACGCAAAAUGGGUUGUGGGAGAAGGACGACGCGUAUGGUGCCCCCUUCUACUCAGCAAUGGCUGCGGACAGCCGUCUCGUCAUGGAGGUUCUGCUGAGAGAGUGCAGCAGCGUCUUUGAGGCCGUUGCCGGCUCACUUGUCGAUGUCGGCGGCGGCAGCGGAGGAGUCGUGGCUGCCGCCAUUGCCACAGCGUUCCCUCACAUCAAGUGCUCCGUGCUGGACCUCCCCAACGUGGUAGCCGCGGCUGACGACACCACCAACGUGCAGUUUGUCUCCGGCGAUAUGUUUGACUACAUUCCACCAGCGGAUGCCGUUCUACUCAAGGUACGUACUUACAUAGUACUCCCUCCGUAAGGAUAUAUAAGAGCAUUUAGAUCAUUAUUAUUUUAGUGAUUGAUCCAAACGCACUUAUAUUUCUUUACAGAGGGAGUAGCACAUACAAAUGCAGCAAGCUAUCCAUUUCUUAUAUAUAUAAUGAACCAAAUUAAUCAACCAAUCCUUCCUAUAAAUUUUGUAGUGGAUUUUGCAUGACUGGGAAGACCAAGACUGCGUCAAGAUACUGCGCAAGUGCAGAGAGGCCAUCCGCACAAGAGGUGCUGGGGGGAAGGUGAUUAUAAUCGAUUUCGUCGUCGGUGCUGGUUCUUGCAAGGAGACGGAGACACAGGUUCUGUUUGAUCUUUACAUGAUGAUGGAGAAUGGGGCUGAGCGGGACGAGCAAGAGUGGAGCAAGAUUUUCUUUGAAGCUGGAUUUAGUGACUACAAGAUCAUGCCAGUCUUAGGCGCUCGUUCACUCAUUCAAGUAUUCCCAUGAAUUCUGGCGGUUUGAUGUCCAAAUGUACUUCCUGUUUCCAAAUGUUUGUUUGCUUUCACAUCAGAAUAAUGCCUAGGACUAUACUAUAUAGUCUCGACUUUGAAUCUGAAUAAUGAAACUGUUUGUUAUCCUACGUGUUGUUUUCGUUCAUAAUUCAUAUGCUCACAAUGAAAUACAGUCUGCUAUUUUUGUUUACAUUAAAUUAUACUUUACCUAGCAAUAUGGUAAACAGGCUCACUUAGCAGAGGCUGGCUUGUUCGCUUAUUCGCCGCCCUAGGAAUGCGAGCUCCUUGCCGAAAUGAAAUUCUAGUAGCACUGGUUACUAUCGGGUCCUGCAUGUUCGUCAUUUGUGCAAGUAAACACAAUGCAUACGAGUACUCUACUGAAUUGAACUUUUUUGUAUUGUUUUCAUUGGACCAUCCACUGUAUAGUAACAGAGUAUUUAUUGCACACAGACUAUUUUAUUCUUUCAACCCAUAGUUCAUCCACCCACACUUUUAGUCUGAUUCUAAAAUUUGUAACACUUUUAAAUUUUGAACUUGUUCUGAACAAGUAAAAUUCCAAAUUUGACACCAUAAUGAAACUUAUGUCAAAUGUGAGAUCAUAUGAAAUGAAACUGAAGUGAACCAAUAAUAAAAAAUGCAAAAAUAAUUUAAUAAACCAUAAUAAAACUUAUAUCAAAUUUGAGAUGAAACAUAGACGAAUUGUGGAUUGAAACAAUAACGAAAACAAGCUAAGGGGAAUCUAUGAAUAAAUAAUGAGAACAUGUAAAAUUACGAUGACACGGAAAUGAUAUCGUAUGGAAAAUAUGCUAAGAGAACACUUUCAUUGGCCAGCCCAACCAUGAAAGGUAAUUUAACAAAAUGAUAUGAAACUUAUUUGAAAGCUCGAAAAAUAGAAAUAAAACCAGAAUGAAAAUAAUAAUGAAACAUGUAAAAAUACGAUGAAACACAUAUGUAAAAAUAAGGCCGCGAGAUCGUCGUCCUCUGAGUUGGAAGUUUAUGGUGAAGGUGACGUGGGAUCCAUUGCAGGCGCGCCCGGGGUCUGGUGUGGUUGUGGAACACAUAUGUGGAGAUCAUAGUAGCGGUGAAUGACGAACGUGAGCGCUCCGAAGAAUAUGGUGCAGGAAGGAGAAGUCGGUCUGUUAGUGUAGAACCGGCCUUCUGCGAUGAAGGUGAGGAAGCCGAUGGUUAAGCCGUGAGAUUGCCAGCCGUUAUUGAGGAUCUGAUCUAGAGUCGGUCCCCAGCUGACAUAGCCCCUUCCUGUGCUAACUGAUGGUAUGGGAAUUUGCGAGUAUCCUUUGUAGGGUGGCGAACAUGUCCGGAAGUACAAGAAGGGAGUUCGCCAAGGGGGUUUUCCAGAUUUGCGCCCUCAUGGCGAGGAAAUACCUUACGUCCUGCUAUUUGUUUUCUAUUGAUGAUGGAGAACGUUGAGCGAGGGGUUACAAGGGACAUAAAUAUGGCCAUAGGAGUAUAGUCUACGGGAGUAGAUUGGAAUCGCUACCCCUAUCCUCACCUUAUAUAGGUGACGGGGCUAGGUUUUACAUGGCGCCUACAUGAUCUCACACUGCCAUCAUCUUGGCUUCCACCCAAGAUGGUCUUCUGGCUUCCAGGACCCCCGGGCUGUCUCUUGAUGCCAGACCUCCUUCAAGACUUUUGGGCCCGAAGGCCGGCCCACUAUUGGGUUCAUAUCUAGUGUGCCAUCCACGUUGUAAUGCACCAUCACCAACCCCGAUUUCUGGGGCCUUAAGAGUGAAGCGAUUCCUAAUUCUUCUUGGUAACAUGCCAAAGUGUUGUGUCCCAAAGGCUCGACUGGGUAUUUUCGUCAUUGCGGUUGAUAUGGAGAAGGGGUGGGUCGCAUGGAGGCAGAAAUGGGUAAAUGAAGACAGAAACGAGGGGCUGGCCUGACAGUGGUUCAUGUAGACGACGAGCAAGAGCAUGUGGCCAAUUUUUCCGCAAGCGUUAGAAGCAUAGCCAUAAUUCCAGAAAUUUUAGUGGCGGCAACUGAAUUUGCCCUAUUAUAAGAAGGUAUUGCCCCACAACGGUGCGCACACGGGUGACCUUCCUCUUGGUCCAAUGACAGGUGGGCCAUGGACUCGCCGGGGGCCAUAUUAAUGGGACAUUGUCUAUCGUGCUCUUGUGAUUUCUCUCUCGGGUGAUGGGCGGGCUAGACCCACCUGUCGGUUUUUUCGGACACCGUUGGGCUGGCUCAGGUGUGCCAGGGGGCCAGGUCAGACUGUGGUGGGCCUAGACCCCGGCGGGUGUGCGUCGUUCAGGAUGGCCGGCCACGCGGGUGUGCCAUGCUGUUUGAUCGCGAGAGCUGGCAAAGCACGGGCACCAGGUUGUUCGGCUUGUGUGAGCGAAACAGGCGACGGUGAGUCUAUCGUCCAAGAGACGGGCCGAAUAUACCGACAGGCGGAUCAGGCUUCCUGCUCUUGUGCAAUACGAUGAGAAAGGGUUCUCGCGGGAGCACCGAGGCCGCUCCAUGAGAGUGGCCCUGCACGCACCCGCGGUCCACCCGUCAUGGACCCCCGAGUGCACGUCCACUAGUUGAAAACGGAGUUUUAUCACCGGUUCGUAAGGGCCUUUAGUGCCGGUUCUGCAACCGGCACUAAAGAGUGGGGACUAAAGGUCCCCCUUUAGUACCGGUUUGGCACGAACCGGCGUAAACGUGCCACCACGUGGCACGAGCCAGGCCUGGGUGCGUGUAGGACAUUAGUACCGGUUGGUAACACAACCGGUACUAAAUGUUUGGGUGUGUUUUGGUUUUAAUUUUUAUUUUUCCUUUAGUUUUGUGUUUUCAAUUUAAUUUAGUGAUUGUUUUACAUUAUAAUGAGUUGUUAAAUCAUUAGGUGAAAGUACCGCAGAUUAGUUUCGACUGGAUGCAUGUGGAUCCUAGCUAAGUGAUAAAGUAUAUGCCAUAUCCAUAUUACUUAGAUCUAAGUAAUAUGGAUAUGGCAUAUAGUUGAUCACUUAGCUAGGAUCCAUCCAGUUGAAACUAAUAUGCGGUUUCUUUCAUAAAUGAUAUAAUAACUCAUCAUCAUCAUCAUCAUAUUAAUAUAAAAACUCUUGCAUCAUAUCAUCACCAACAACAGUAUAUACUAGCUAGCAAAGAUAUCAUCGAGUUCAACAUGGUCAUGAUAUUAUAAGCAUUCAUAACACCACAAAAGCAAAUCACUCUUUGAGAUUAAGUUCAUGACGAAGAACACGGACACGCAUGAGAGGACAAGAAGUACUAAGAGCAUGAUAACUAGCUAAAUCACUCCUGCUGCUCUCUCUCAGGUAAAAUAGCAUAGAACAUGUAUAGCUCUCCUGAUUCAUCAUAUUGGAUCAUGCAGAUGAACCUGUCUCCUAAUCGUGGGCUGCGCUUCUGAUUGCUGCCCCCUAGUACUUCUUUGCGAUCGUUAACAAUUUUGCUCCAAUCUUUCACUAUUAAGCAUUCAUCGCUUUCAGAAAUUCUGAAUGCACUCAUGUGCACUGUAGGAUAUCUUGGCCGUAAGCUAACAAUUGACAUGCGACCUUUAGUCUUGAUCCACUGAGGCACAACUAUUAAGCAUUCAUCGCUUUCAGAAAUUCUGAAUGCACUCAUGUGCACUGUAGGAUAUCUUGGCCGUAAGCUAACAAUUGACAUGCGACCUUUAGUCUUGAUCCACUGAGGCACAACUGUCAUCGGGAGUCCCUGUUGAAGAACAUCGUAUAGUAAUUAAUAUACUUAGCAAUGAAAGUUUAGCUUGAAAAAUAAUGUAUGCAAAAGAUGCACUGAGGACUAAUAGUAAAAAUCUUACCAUCUUUCCUAAAUACAUGUGACCGUAGUUCAAUACGAUCACUAUUGGUCGCACGUUUUGAGUACUAAGAUUUUCAAAUUCAGGAAAAUGAUUUCUCUUAACAGCAUCAAGAUCCUCAAGCCAUGAAACAUAAUGACUUAUCUCCUCGCAGUUUAGUUCAGCCCCGGGACAGUGGAUGGUCCUGUCUACCAAGCGCCGAACAUGUUUGCUUGAAUCAAAAUAAGCUGUCAAUAGAAAUUACUUGUCAACUAUUUUUGAAUAAACAAUAUCGAAGACAUAAAUAUGGUUGAGAAACUCACAUAAUGGUAGAACUGGAGGCAUCUGCACAUCGACCCAGAUAUCUCUAUUACCUUCAAUAUCAUCUUCCGGACGAAUAUCAAAGGUGAUAACCAUAUCAGGCUCAAAUGCAUAAGUCUUGCAUAGUGCUUGCCAAGUUUUGCAUUCAAAAUAGGUGUAUGUGUCUGCAUUGUAUAAUUUGACGUUGAAAGUAUAACCAUGCUCGGUCUUCAGGUAAACUCUCUUUGCCUCCAUAGUUUCCAUAGCACUGAAACCUAUCUUAUCCAAGACAAAAAUUCUUGCAUGGCAGGGGAUGCGCUACUACAAUAGUGAAAAUUAAAAAUUAUAAGUUGAAGCAAAUGAAGCAUAAGUCAUGCUUAAUUAUGAAAAAAGACUUGUCGUUGUGACUUACUGUAUCCACUUCGAAGGUCUCAUCCAGCUUGAUGCUGAAGCGCCUAUCAUCAACAAGGAAAUUUCUGUCGCACAGGCCGCGCUGGUCUUCACAGUAUUCGCACUUAAUGAAAUCUUUUUCGUCGUCAGACGACAUUUCCUAUGUUCAUAUAGGUGAAACAUUAAACACUUACUAGUUCUAUUAAUUCAACUAGUUCAACUACUUCUAUUAAUUCAACUAGUUCUAUCAAUUCAACUAGUUCUAUUAAUUCAACUAAUUCAACUAAGCAUUUACUAAAAAUAAACUAGUUCUAUAUAUAUAUAUAUAUUAAUAUUUUAAUUAGAUCAUCAAAUCUCAAAUACCUAAAUUUUCUUACUAAAAAUAAACCAGUUCUAUUAAUUCAACAAAUUCAACUAAGAAUUUACUAAAAAUGAACUAGUUAUAUUAAUUUUCUUACUAAAAUAUAUAAAGUAGCUAUGUAUAGUAAUAUUUUAAUUAGAUCAUCAAAUCUCUUAUACCUAAAUUUUCUUACUAAAAAUAAACNNNNNNNNNNNNNNNNNNNNNNNNNNNNNNNNNNNNNNNNNNNNNNNNNNNNNNNNNNNNNNNNNNNNNNNNNNNNNNNNNNNNNNNNNNNNNNNNNNNNNNNNNNNNNNNNNNNNNNNNNNNNNNNNNNNNNNNNNNNNNNNNNNNNNNNNNNNNNNNNNNNNNNNNNNNNNNNNNNNNNNNNNNNNNNNNNNNNNNNNNNNNNNNNNNNNNNNNNNNNNNNNNNNNNNNNNNNNNNNNNNNNNNNNNNNNNNNNNNNNNNNNNNNNNNNNNNNNNNNNNNNNNNNNNNNNNNNNNNNNNNNNNNNNNNNNNNNNNNNNNNNNNNNNNNNNNNNNNNNNNNNNNNNNNNNNNNNNNNNNNNNNNNNNNNNNNNNNNNNNNNNNNNNNNNNNNNNNNNNNNNNNNNNNNNNNNNNNNNNNNNNNNNNNNNNNNNNNNNNNNNNNNNNNNNNNNNNNNNNNNNNNNNNNNNNNNNNNNNNNNNNNNNNNNNNNNNNNNNNNNNNNNNNNNNNNNCUGGGGCGGCGAUGGGGGCGGCGACGACGGCGGCGACGACGACGGCGACAGGAUGGGCUGGGGCGCGAUAGGGGCGGCGACGGGGGCGAAGAACAAACUGAAACGAACUGAAAAUAUUCGUAAGUGGUGCUUAUAUAGCGGUGGCCAUUAGUACCGGUUUGAUACUAAAGGCCUAUUUUGGCCAGGCCAAGAGGCGGGAAGAGCAGGCCUUUAGUACCGGUUGGUGGCUCCAACCGGUACUAAAGACCCACCUUUAGUACCGGGUUGGGCUACCAACCGGUACUAAAGGGGGUGCGCUGCCACCCGCGGUGUAGAAAGUUUAGUCCCACCUCGCCGGGCGAAGGGCAGCCGCACUGGUUUAUAAACCCAGCCGCGGCUGCUACUUUGAACUCCCUUGUAAAGCAGGCUUCUGGGCCUAACUAUGGCACGCUGCCCUGUGAGCCUGCUGGCCCUUGUGGGCCUGAAUUUCCACGCCCGUGGUCUUGUAGGCCCAUUGGGAAGCGCCCCAAUAAUUUUUUAUAUAGUUUGUUUCUUUUCUUCUUUAUUUAUUUUCUUCUAUUUAUUUCUGAGUAGUUUUUUAUAUAGUUUUUUCUUUUCUGCUUUUUUUUAUUUUCUUCUAUUUAUUUCGGAUUAGUUUUUUAUAUAUUUUUUUCUUUUCCCCAAAUCGGUAAAUGACUGAAAAAUAGCAAAUGUUGUCAGAAAGUGUUGAAAAUUGAUGACGUCGCUUUGAAUGGUGUGUAUGGAACGCAAAAAAGUCUGGAGUUGUAAUAAGUUUAAAAAAAUGAAGUGCCCAUGUAACAGAUGAGUUCUCGUCAGAAACCCUGAUACUACAAAAAAGAUAGUCCAGUUUGUACACGAAGUGCGUCCAGUUUUUGCCAUAACCCUCUCUACUCUUUUGCACAUGCUAUGUGGGUGAAAUGAUGAUACCAUGCCAAGUUUUGACAUUUUCAGAGUUUAUUUUGUAGUGAUUUUCAAUUUCACGGUCAUUUAACUCUCUAAACAAAUCGGUAAAUGACUGAAAAAUAGCAAAUGAUGUCAGAAAGUGUUGAAAAUUGAUGACGUCGCUUUGAAUGGUGCGUACGGAACGCAAAAAAGUCUGGAGUUGUAAUAAGUUUAAAAAAAUGAAGUGCCAGUGUAACAGAUGAGUUCUCGUCCGAAACCCUGAUACUCCGAAAGAGAUUGUCCAGUUUGUACACGAAGUGCGUCCAGUUUUUGCCGUAAUCCUCUCUACUCUUUUGCACAUGCUGUGUGGGUGAAAUGAUGAUACCAUGCCAAGUUUCGACAUUUUCAGAGUUCAUUUUGUAGUGAUUUUCAAUUUCACGGUCAUUUAGCUCUCUAAACAAAUCGGUAAAUGACUACAAAAGUGCAAAUAAUGUCAGAAAGUUUUGAAAAAUGAUGACGUCGCUUUGAAUGGUGUGUACGGAACGCAAAAAAGUCUGGAGUUGUAAUAAGUCUGAAAAAUCGAAGUGCCAAUGUAACAGAUGAGUUCUCGUCAGAAACCCUUAUACUUCGAAAGAGAUUGUCCAGUUUGUACACGAAGUGCGUCCAGUUUUUGCCGUAACCCUCUCUACUCUUUUGCACAAGCUAUGUGGGUGAAAUAAUGAUACCACACCAAGUUUCGACAUUUUCAGAGUUGAUUUUGUAGUGAUUUUCAAUUUCACGGUCAUUUAGCUCUCUAAACAAAUCGAUAAAUGACUGAAAAAUAGUAAAUGAUGUUAGAAAGUGUUGAAAAUUGAUGACGUCGCUUUGAAUGGUGCGUACGGAACGCAAAAAAAGUCUGUUGUUGUAAUAAGUUUAAAAAAAUGAAGUGCCAGUGUAACAGAUGAGUUCUCGUUCGAAACCCUGAUACUCCGAAAGAGAUUGUCCAGUUUGUACACGAAGUGCGUCCAGUUUUUGCCGUAACCCUCUCUAAUCUUUUGCACAUGCUAUGUGGGUGAAAUGAUGAUACUAUGCCAAGUUUCGACAUUUUCAGAGUUCAUUUUGUAGUGAUUUUCAAUUUCACGGUCAUUUAGCUCUCUAAACAAAUCGGUAGAUGACUAAAAAAUAGCAAAUGAUGUCAGAAAGUUUUGAAAAUUGAUGACGUCGCUUUGUAUGGCGUGUACGGAACGCAAAAAAUUCUGGAGUUGUAAUAAGUUUAAAAAAAUGAAGUACCCAUGUAACAGAUGAGUUCUCGUCAGAAACCCUGAUACUCCAAAAGAGAUUGUCCAGUUUGUACACGAAGUGCGUCCAGUUUUUGCCGUAACCCUCUCUACUCUUUUGCACAUGCUGUGUGGGUGAAAUGAUGAUACCAUGCCAAGUUUCGACAUUUUCAGAGUUCAUUUUGUAGUGAUUUUCAAUUUCACGGUCAUUUAGCUCUCUAAACAAAUCGGUAAAUGACUAAAAAAUAGCAAAUGAUGUCAGAAAGUGUUGAAAAUUGAUGACGUCGCUUUGAAUGGUGCGUACGGAACGCAAAAAAAGUCUNNNNNNNNNNNNNNNNNNNNNNNNNNNNNNNNNNNNNNNNNNNNNNNNNNNNNNNNNNNNNNNNNNNNNNNNNNNNNNNNNNNNNNNNNNNNNNNNNNNNNNNNNNNNNNNNNNNNNNNNNNNNNNNNNNNNNNNNNNNNNNNNNNNNNNNNNNNNNNNNNNNNNNNNNNNNNNNNNNNNNNNNNNNNNNNNNNNNNNNNNNNNNNNNNNNNNNNNNNNNNNNNNNNNNNNNNNNNNNNNNNNNNNNNNNNNNNNNNNNNNNNNNNNNNNNNNNNNNNNNNNNNNNNNNNNNNNNNNNNNNNNNNNNNNNNNNNNNGACUAAAAAUAGCAAAUGAUGUCAGGAAGUGUUGAAAAUUGAUGACGUCACUUUGAAUGGUGCGUACGGAACGCAAAAAAAGUCUGGAGUUGUAAUAAGUUUAGAAAAAUGAAGUGCCAAUGUAACAGAUGAGUUCUCGUCAGAAACGGUGAUACUCCGAAAGAGAUUGUCCAGUUUGUACACGAAGUGCGUCCAGUUUUUGCCGUAAUCAUCUCUAUUCUUGUGCACAUGCUGUGUGGGUGAAAUGAUGAUACCAUGCCAAGUUUUGACAUUUUCAGAGUUCAUUUUGUAGUGAUUUUCAAUUUCACGGUCAUUUAGCUCUCUAAACAAAUCGGUAAAUGACUACAAAAGUGCAAAUAAUGUCAGAAAGUUUUGAAAAAUGAUGACGUCGCUUUGAAUGGUGUGUACGGAACGCAAAAAAGUCUGGAGUUGUAAUAAGUCUGAAAAAAUGAAGUGCCAAUGUAACAGAUGAGUUCUCGUCAGAAACCCUUAUACUUCGAAAGAGAUUGUCCAGUUUGUACACGAAGUGCGUCCAGUUUUUGCCGUAACCCUCUCUACUCUUUUGCACAUGCUAUGUGGGUGAAAUGAUGAUAUCACGCCAAGUUUCGACAUUUUCAAAGUUGAUUUUGUAGUGAUUUUCAAUUUCACGGUCAUUUAGCUCUCUAAACAAAUCGAUAAAUGACUGAAAAAUAGUAAAUGAUGUCAGAAAGUGUUGAAAAUUGAUGACGUCGCUUUGAAUGGUGCGUACGGAACGCAAAAAAAGUCUGUUGUUGUAAUAAGUUUAAAAAAAUGAGUUGCCAGUGUGACAGAUGAGUUCUCGUUCGAAACCCUGAUACUCCGAAAGAGAUUGUCCAGUUUGUACACGAAGUGCGUUCAGUUUUUGCCGUUACUCUCUCUACUCUUUUGCACAUGCUAUGUGGGUGAAAUGAUGAUACUAUGCCAAGUUUCGACAUUUUCAGAGUUCAUUUUGUUGUGAUUUUCAAUUGCACGGUCAUUUAGCUCUCUAAACAAAUCGGUAGAUGACUAAAAAAUAGCAAAUGAUGUCAAAAAGUUUUCAAAAUUGAUGACGUCGCUUUGUAUGGUGUGUACGGAACUCAAAAAAUCUGGAGUUGUAAUAAGUUUAAAAAAAUGAAGUGCCCAUGUAACAGAUGAGUUCUUGUCAGAAACCCUGAUACUUCGAAAGAGAUUGUCCAGUUUGUACACGAAGUGCGUCCAGUUUUUGCCGUAACCCUCUCUACUCUUUUGCACAUGCUGUGUGGGUGAAAUGAUGAUACUAUGCCAAGUUUCGACAUUUUCAGAGUUCAGUUUGUAGUGAUUUUCAAUUUCACGGUCAUUUAGCUCUCUAAACAAAUCGGUAAAUGACUGAAAGAUAGCAAAUGAUGUCAGAAAGUGUUGAAAAUUGAUGGCGUCGAUUUGAAGGGUGCGUACGGAACGCAAAAAAAGUCUGGAGUUGUAAUAAGUUUAAAAAAAUGAAAUGCCAGUGUAACAGAUGAGUUCUCGUCCGAAACCCUGAUACUCCGAAAGAGAUUGUCCAGUUUGUACACGAAGUGCGUCCAGUUUUUGCCGUAACCCUCUCUACUCUUUUGCACAUGCUAUGUGGGUGAAAUGAGGAUACCAUGCCAAGUUUCGACAUUUUUAGAGUUCAUUUUGUAGUGAUUUUCAAUUUCACGGUCAUUUAGCUCUCUAAACAAAUCGGUAAAUGACUAAAAAAUAGCAAAUGAUGUCAGAAAGUUUUGAAAAUUGAUGACGUCGCUUUGAAUGGUGUGUACGGAACUCAAAAAAGUCUGGAGUUAUAAUAAGUUUUAAAAAAUAAAGUGCCCAUGUAACAGAUGAGUUCUCGUCAGAAACCCUGAUACUUCGAAAGAGAUUGUCCAGUUUGUACAGGAAGUGAGUCCAGUUUUUGCCGUAACACAAGAAGUCCGGAGUUGUUAUAAGUUAUUAAAGAUAAAAAAGAGGCACAAUGCUCGUUAAUUAGCUUCAAGCCUUUCGGAAUAGUGCAAACUGCACUGCACAUAGCUCCGUGCAGUCUACACUAUUCCUCAAGGCUUAAAGCUAAGCAACGUGUAGAUGAGCAUUUCACGGUCAUUUAGCUCUCUAAGCUAAUCUAGUAGCCAUGUUAAGUCGAUAAUGACGUGGAAUUGUUAUAUGACAUGCAAAUACCUUCUGAGUUAAUGGCACUAGUCAUCAACCCGUGCAACUGCAUGGGCUAGUUUUUUAAACGGUUCAUAGUUACAAUACUUUUCAUGACCACUUGUUUCUUUGCAUCCAGCAAGAAUAUAAAUUUGUUGUGUGUGAACCAUUAAAUGAACAAUUAAUAUGAAAAUAGAAAACUUAUAUCCUGAAAGUUUACAAUCUUCAUAAAAUAUUUAUAUUUUAUUUUAAGACAAACGGGAAAUUAAAAAUCCUACUUAUAGAGAUCCUGAAACAUAAUUCAAAUGUCGCAUAAAUUACGUAAUUUUGAAUGAUAAGUACUAAAAAUGUAAUAAUUUGUUUAGUUAAUAUUAAUCCUUUUUUUAUUUGGGAGUCUACUUAAUCAUGGGGUAUUUUGCAUAAUGCUUAGGCUUGUCAAAUGAAAUAAGCAUUUCAUAACAACAGUGUACCUCCCUACAGUUUAAUAACAAACUUACUCUACAAACACCGAAAACCGAACCAAAGACUGAAGAAGCAAUCAUAAGUGUCAUACUUCUUAAAUUCUCCUUUUUUUUCCCGGCACCACCCAUGGAGUAGUCUUUCCACCGUGUUUGACUCUCGUUGUGGUAGCAAAUGAUGGGUCCAAGUUUUCGCAUAGUAUUGUCCGUUUGUUUUAUCAUGAUAGAGUACUCCAUUAGUUGGCACCGCUCUUAUAUUUGUGUGUGAUCUUUUAGCAGUUCAACAUUAUAGUUCUUCCACCCAUAUGUUCGCAAUGUUAAAUCUAUGGAGAAAAAGAUUCAAAUCUUCACUAUUGUACCACAAAAGCAAGUCACAUGAAUAGCUCGCAAUUAUUUAACUACUGGUGGUUGGUGCCAGGUAUAUUAGCGUUAGGAAAGUAAAUGUACAUACUGAACAUUUGACUGUGGAAGAAAAUGAAUUUUCUUAUUUACUCUUAUUGAAUUCUAAAUAUAUUUUGGAUAUUUGUUUUCAGUAAUACACCUAAUUUUGGAAAAUCUAUUUCAUAGCCUUGUAUUUUUGAAAUAUUUUACAAAACAUGACACAAAUUGUUGUGUUUUUUCACAUACAUAUUUAUAACAUUAAUACACUCUUUAUAUGUAAUGUGAUAUUUAUUAUAUAAUUUUUUAAUCAUACAUAACUAAAUUCUUAUUAUUUUCAAAUCACAAAUUUUAAAUGAUAUGAUAACUUACAUUUUAAAAGCUCUAUUUCGGGACAUUAUAACUAAAAACUAUCUGAGCGAAUCGGGCACCAUAAUGUAUUUGGUGUCUACACUUUGUCGCAUACAUAGCCUUUUUUAUUUUUAAUGUAAUUGCUAAAAUAUGUAAUUAUGUAGAACUUAAUAUUACAUUCUAUUACACAGAUUGGACUUAUAUAGGUUGGAAAAGAAUUAAAUCUAUGCUGUCAAACCUACCGAAUAGCAUUCCUCCGGCACAUUGUAUAUCUGGCAUUUAUUAGUAAUGUGUCUAAAUCAGUUCGGGAUAAAUUCACUCUACAUCGUCAUAAUGGCUUGUUGUUAAAAUUUGGCAUCCUGACGCAUUACUUGGAAUUUUUAUAAACUCAGUGUAAACAGUUAUGUUAUCUUUUUAAACAUAAGUUAUUUAGUUCAAUUCGGAGUACUAUAUAGUAAUUUUCAACAGUAAAUCUAGCCUAUUUCAACUCGGUCAUUAUAAACAAUAAAUCUAGCCUGUUUCAACUCGGCCAUUAUAUUUAACUUAUUUAAGACAUAAGGUAAUCUAACUUUUGAACAAUCUUUAGAAAUCUACAUAUGUAGAGGUCAAGUAGGACAUACAUAUGUGAAAUUCCUUAAAAUAAUUUGAUAAUUGUUAUAUUAAAGAAAAUAAUAUUAUAAUUUAUUAUCUGUACUUACUAUAAUUGCAAUACUUUUUGAUAGCAUGUUCCCGUUGCAUAGUGUCGCUUACUGCACAAUAUCUUAAUUUGUUAUGUGUCUCGGAUAGAAAAAUAUUGUAUUUCCGCGUAUGUAUAUGCAUGUCUAUAUAUGUUUCACACACAUGAAAUUUUUUUAUAUAUUAAAAAAUGAUUUCGCCUGAGUUACAUCCAUGCAUGCUAAUUUCCUGUCUAUCAUUGGAGUUUAGAUCUAUGCAUGUAUGUGCUUGACUAAGCUCUGCACAUAUAUACGUGCCGGUCAAAUCAUAUACAUGAACGUACAUCACUCUAUUCUACUAUUAAGGGAUUCGUUGAGCACCUCGUCAAAGAAACAAACCUUUCAGAUCAACUUGUAAAUUUUCUUUUUACAUAUUUGCAUUUUUUUAGCAUAUUUGCAUUUCUUUCCUAAAAUAUUGCAAUAUUUGCAAAUAUCUGAAUCAUAUUCUUUUGAUUGACAAUAACACAAUGGCUUACCAGCAGAUCAAAACAGAUAUCUAGCUAGUGCGAAGGUUGUGCCACCUCUUGAUUGUUUCCUCCAUGAGCAAGCAAGCUUCUGGUAACGGUAACAGUCAUGGCGACGGAACAUGAUGUGCCGGCGAGCCGCAGACAUUAGAAAGAUCUGAAAAGAAGCAGAUAGGCAUGAUGCAUAAAUCUGGAAAGGAAGAAGAAUAUGCAUAACUCAAAAGCAUUGAAGCCGUCGGUUUUUGCAUUGCUCUACGAUCAGUUAAUGUACGCAUGCAUCGUAUAUGUACGCAUCCAGCCGCCGGAAUUUACUUCUCCUGCCUUCGUUUGUCAAGGGCAAAAAUACUGGCCAGCAGCACAAAUUGAAGACCAGCUUUCGGCACCUCCAUAACGCUCGUAGAAAAGUUCUCAAUGACUUGCAUCGGGAAUAUCUCUCCAGACCAGGGCAUGCGCCAAUUAAUGCUUCUUGCCGUGUCAUGUAUGCCGGGUCAUGUAUCUCUACGGGGACAACAAAAUUCAACUUGUUUAUUUUUGGAUAAUCAUUGGGAGAUAGAGACCCAGCACAGGACGUCUCCCAUGCGUGGGACAACCGAGGUUUUUUUUUUCAAUCUUAGGCUUCAUCAACGGCUAAAAUAUAUUAUAUUUUAAUCUGACGGAUGUAAAUCUUUAACUUAUAAAAUUGACGUGAAUCCUCGUAUGGCUCUUCCAAUUAGUAAAUAUAUAAGAUAGUAGUAGACGUGAAGAAUAAAGGGGCAGUAAUGGGAUAUUAAAUGUGGCAGCUAACUUGCUAGGCCUUCGAGUUAUAUUUUGUUCAGCAUUAAGUGGAAAACAUAUUUUGGCAUCCUUUUCCUCCUCUCGACUCUGACAAAAUGUUAGUGAUAUUCAAAUGGAAAAGCUUAGGCAAGAAAUAUUCCGAGGAAAAAUAAUGCAUCUACUCUAAAAUAUAUUUUCAUCAAUAGUAGUCCACUACUACCAUGAGCCAAUGGCCAUGGUUCUAUUCAAAAUUUUAAUUUAUCAAGAUCAGGCGUAGACUUGAUGUUGACAUCAAUGGCUAUCUAGGCUUAGAGAGAUGAGAGGAGUGAAGAACAAAAAAGGAGCGCCAAUAAUGGUUAUAACCCAUAGGGGAUAAAAUAAGGACGCCGCUAGUUGGCAUGAAUUGAUACAGGUAGACAUCACUUACUCUGCGUCCCUGAAUAGAGGCCAUAAUUUGUGUUGCUCUAGGGACCCAUAAUUUAUGAAUUCUGCUCACAAGAGAUCCGACUGUUGUGGGGAUCAAACUUUAGCACGCUGCCCUUAGAGCAACUCCAACGCGUCAACCCAAAUGGACGGCGAUUUUGUUAUAUUUUCGUCUGUUUGUGUCGACCGUCCACUCGGUGUCCGCCUAAUUUUCUUUUUGGGUCAGCAGUGCGCCCAAUGCCAGCGACUCAUUUCAUGUCCGUGCACAAAUUUUAAAAAGGCCCGCGGCUGUAGAUCAUGGCAGCGGCCAAGCCGUCACCCAAAGUUCAUGCCGGCACCAUGCCAGCAGCCGACAUACAAUGCCAGCUCCAAAAAAGCACCACACAGUUUGUGUUGGCGCACUUGCCAGCGACUGGCAUAGAUGCCAGCAAACAAAAAAGGGGCGGGAGUUCGACCACGCCAUCGCGACCGUAGUCAUGCCAACACACUUUUCGGCAUGCAAAAAAGGAUGGCGCUUUCCGCCAUAAAUCACUCGUCGUCGAACUUGAGCAUGUCGGCUUGCAUCUUGUCGAACCACGACCUCUUCCUCGGCGACAUGGUGUUGAGGUCCACCUUCAUGAUCUCCACACCCGUCAUCAUGCUAGCGAGAACCACUUCUUUCGCCUUGGUCUUGACAUUUGCGGCAUCGAUAUCUAGCAUCUUGGCUUGCACUGGUGCAGAACCGGGCUUUAGCACCAGUUCGUAAGGCCCUUUAGUGGCGGUUCUUGAACCGGUACUAAGGGGGGGGGGGCUUUAGGGAUUUUGGUUUUAUUAUUUAUUUUUCCUUUAAUUUUGUAUUUCCAUUUAUUUUAUUUUUCAUUUGCUGGUAUUUUACGAACUACAUAUUGUACACGUUAUGCAUAUAUAUAAAUAUAAUUUCUCGUAGAACCGAUCAUAUANNNNNNNNNNNNNNNNNNNNNNNNNNNNNNNNNNNNNNNNNNNNNNNNNNNNNNNNNNNNNNNNNNNNNNNNNNNNNNNNNNNNNNNNNNNNNNNNNNNNNNNNNNNNNNNNNNNNNNNNNNNNNNNNNNNNNNNNNNNNNNNNNNNNNNNNNNNNNNNNNNNNNAGCUAAUCAUUGAUAUAUACUACAUACUAAACGUACAUACUCUCUAUUUUGACGGAUACUACAUACAACAUACAAAAUGCAAGUGGUGGUAAUUACCACCGCUUGGAGGAAGCAUUUGAGGCACCACCAUUUGAAGCACCGCCAUUCACACAUAGAGCAGAAAAGAGUACCGGUUGGAGCGACCAACCGGUUUAAAGGGGUGUGCUGGCCCAGGUGCGAUGCACAAAGUUUAGUCCCACCUUGCUGAGCGAAGGGCGGCCGCACUGGUAUAUAAACCCAGCCGCGGCUGCUCCUUUGAGCUCCUCCCUAACGCAGGCCUUCUGGGCCUACUUGUGUUGCGCUGCCCUGUUGGGCCUACUAGCCUUGCGGGCCUACCUCCUGGCCCGACUACAGGUUGGGUUUCUAGUCGCAUGCAGGCCGCUGUGGCCCAGUAGGCGGGCUUUUAAAAAAAUAUUGUUUGCUUUAUUUAUUUUCUUUUAUUUAUUUCUGAGUUGUUUUUCCUGUAUUUCGAAUUUCUUUGUGAAUAUUUUUGCUUUAGGUACAAAAAAUUACAAAAUUUCUGUUAGUGCCAGUAGUUUUCAAAUUUGAAUAGUUUAAAUUUGUCUCCUUUAUUUAUUUUUAAGUUGUUUUUUGCUGUAUUUAGAAUUUCUUUGUGAAUAUUUUGCUUUAGGUAAAAAAAAUUACAAACUUUAUGUUAGUGCCAAUAGUUUUCAAUUUUGAAUAGUUUAAAUUUGUCUGCUUUAUUUAUUUUCUUUUAUUUAUUUGUGAGUUGUUUUUUGCUGUAUUUAGAAUUUUUUGUGAAUAUUUUUCUUUAGGUACAAAAAAUUACAAAAUUUCUGUNNNNNNNNNNNNNNNNNNNNNNNNNNNNNNNNNNNNNNNNNNNNNNNNNNNNNNNNNNNNNNNNNNNNNNNNNNNNNNNNNNNNNNNNNNNNNNNNNNNNNNNNNNNNNNNNNNNNNNNNNNNNNNNNNNNNNNNNNNNNNNNNNNNNNNNNNNNNNNNNNNNNNNNNNNNNNNNNNNNNNNNNNNNNNNNNNNNNNNNNNNNNNNNNNNNNNNNNNNNNNNNNNNNNNNNNNNNNNNNNNNNNNNNNNNNNNNNNNNNNNNNNNNNNNNNNNNNNNNNNNNNNNUAAGUUGUUUUUUGCUGUAUUUAGAAUUUCUUUGUGAAUAUUUUUGCUUUAGGUACUAAAAAUUACAAACUUUCUGUUAGUGCUAGUAGUUUUCAAAUUUGAAUAGUUUAAAUUUUUCUGCUUUAUUUAUUUUCUUUUAUUUAUUCCUGAGUUGUUUUUUGCUGUAUUUAGAAUUUCUUUGUAACUAUUUUUGCUUUAGGUACAAAAAAUUACAAACUUUAUGUUACUGCCAGUAGUUUUAAAAUUUGAAUAGUUUAAAUUUGUCUGUUUUAUUUAUUUCUGAGUUGUUUUUUGCUGUGUUUAGAAUUUAUUUUUGAAUAUUUUUGCUUUAGGUACAAAAAAUUACAAACUUUCUAUUAGUGCCAGUAGUUGUCAAAUUUGAAUAGUUUAAAUUUGAAUUAUUUGAAAUUUUUGUGAAUAACUAGUUUCGGAAUAACUUUACUUUAAAAAUAGAUUUUUCAGUGAUUCGUUUUUCUUAUGUCUAACAUUAGUGUGUUUUAUCAUUAUAUUCAAUUUGGUAAUACUUAGGUUAUUUAAAAAAUGAAAUGCCAUUGUAACAGAUGAGUUUUCGUCUAAAAACUCUGAUACUUCGAAAGAGAUUGUCCAUUUUGUACACUAAGUGCUUCCAGUUUUUGCCAUAACCCUCUAUACUUUUUUGCACAUGCUAUGUGGGUGAAAUGAUGAUACCAUGCCAACUUUCAACCUUUUCAGAGUUCAUUUGUAGUGCUUUUUAAUUUCAGGGUCAUUUAGCUAAAAAAAUCAUUAAAUGCAUGAAAAAUAGCAAAUGAUGUCCGAAAGUGUUGAAAGUUGAUGACGUGGCUUUGAAUGGUGCAUACUGGACGCACAAAAAGUAUGGAGUUGUAAUGAGUUUCAAAAAUGAAAUUCCUUUGUAACAGAUGAGUUUUCGUCCGAAACCCUGAUACUCCGAAAGAGAUUGUCCAUUUUGUACACGAAGUGCAUCCAGUUUUUUCCAUAACCCUCACUACUUUUUUGCACAUGCUAUGUGGGUGAAAUGAUGAUGCCAUGCCAACUUCCAACCUUUAAGAGUUCAUUUGUAGUGUUUUUCAAUUUCAGGGUCAUUUAGCUAAAAAAUCAAUAAAUGCAUGAGAAAUAGCAAAUGAUGUCAGAAAGGUAUGAAAGUUGAUGACGUGGCUUUGAAUGGUGCAUACUGAAUGCACAAAAAGUUUAGAGUUGUAAUAAAUUUAAAAAAUGAAAUGCCUUUGUAACAGAUGAGUUUUCGUCCGAAGCCCUCAUACUUCAAAAGAGAUUAUCCAUUUUGUGCACGAAGUGCAUCCAGUUUUUGCCGUAACCCUCUCUACUUUUUUGCACAUUAUAUGUGGGUGAAAUGAUGAUACGAUGCCAACUUCCAACCUUUCAGAGUUCAUUUGUAGUGCUUUUCAAUUUCAGGGUCAUUUAGCUAAAAAAAAUCAGGAAAUGCACGAAAAAUAGCAAAUGAUGUCAGAAAAGUUUGAAAGUUGAUGACAUGGCUUUGAAUUGUGCAUACUGAACGCACAAAAAGUCUAGAGUUGUAAUAAGUUUAAAAAAUGAAAUGCCUUUGUAACAGAUGAGUUUUCGUCCGAAACCCUCAUACUUCGAAAGAAAUUGUACAUUUUGUACACGAAGUGCAUCCAGUUUUUGCCGUAACCCUCUCUACUUUUUUGCACAUGCUAUGUGGGUGAAAUGAUGAUGCCAUGCCAACUUUCAACCUUUGUAGAGUUCAUUUGUAGUGCUUUUCAAUUGCAGGGUCAUUUAGCUAAAAAAUCAGUAAAUGCAUGAAAAAUAGCAAAUGAUGUCAGAAAGUGUUGAAAGUUGAUGACGUGGCUUUGAAUGGUGCAUACUGAAUGCACAAAAAGUCUGGAAUUGUAAUAAGUUUAAAAAAAUGAAAUGCCUUUGUAACAGAUGAGUUUUCGUCCGAAACCCUGAUACUCCGAAAGAGAUUGUCCAUUUUGUACACGAAGUGCAUCCAGUUUUUGCCGUAACCCUCCCCUACUUUUUUCCACAUGCUAUGUGGGUGAAAUGAUGAUACGAUGCCAACUUCCAACCUUUUCAGAGUUCAUUUGUAGUGCUUUUCAAUUUCAAGGUCAUUUAGCUAAAAAAUUAGUAAAUGCAUGAAAAAUAGCAAAUGAUAUCAGAAAGGUUUGAAAGUUGAUGACGUGUCUUUGAAUGGUGCAUACCGAAAGUACAAAAAGUCAGGAGUUGUAAUAAGUUUAAAAAAAUGAAAUGCCUUUGUAACAGAUGAGUUUUCGUCUAAAACCCUCAUACUUCGAAAGAGAUUGUCCAUUUUUUUCUACACGAAGUGCAUCCAGUUUUUGCCGUAACCCUCUCAACUUUUUUGCACAUGCGAUGUGGGUGAAAUGCUGAUACCGCCAACUUUUAACCUUUUGAGAGUUCAAUUUUAGUGCUUUUUAAUUUCAGGGUCAUUUAGCUAAAACAAUCAGUAAAUGAGCUAAAAGUAGCAAAUGAAGUCAGAAAAGGGUUGAAAAUUGCUGAUGUGCCUUGGAAUGGUGCAUAUUGAACACACAAAAAGUCUGGAGUUGAAAUAAGUUAUUAAAAAUAAAAUCCUUUUGUAAUAGAUGAGUUUCGUCCGAAACCCUGAUACUUCGAAAGAGAUUGUCCAGUUUGUAGAAGAAGUGCAUCCAAUUUUUGCCGUAACCCUCUCAACUUUUUAGCACAUGCUAUGUGGAUGAAAUGAUGAUAUCAUGCUAAGUUUCAACCAUUUCAGAGUUGAUUUGUAGUGCUUUUCAUUUUCAGGGUCAUUUAGCUAAAAAAAUUCAUUAAAUGCAUAAAAAUAGCAAAUGAAGGCAGAAAAGAGUUGAACAUUGAUGAUGUGACUUUGAAUGGUGCACAAUGAACACACAAAAAGUCCGGAGUUAAAAUAAGUUAUAAAAAUGAAGGAGAGGCGCAAUCCUCACUGGCACAUUGCUUAGCUUCAGGCCUUGACAAACUACACAUAGCUCUGUGCAAUCUACACCAUUUCCUCCAGGCAUGAAGCUAAGCAACGUGCAGGUGAGCAUUGCGCCUCUCCUUCAUCGUUCCUCGUCUCUGCACUCAGGGCUUAUAAACCGCUGAUACGUCUCCAACGUAUCUAUAAUUUUUGAUUGUUCCAUGCUAUUAUAUUAUCAAUCUUGGAUGUUCUAUAAUCAUUUUAUAGUCAUUUUUUGGUACUAACCUAUUGACAUAGUGUCAAGUGCUAGUUGUUGUUUUCUGCAUGUUUUUUACAUUGCAGGAAAUCAAUACCAAACGGCGUCCAAAUUCAAUGAAACUUUACGGGGAUUUUUUAUGCACCAGAAGACACCUAAUGGGCCAAGGCUGCGCCUAGGGGGUGCUCCGAGGAGAGCACAACCCACCAUGGCGCGCCAGGAGGCCCGGGCACGCCCUGGAGGGUUGUGCCCACCUCGGGUGCCCCUCGGGCCGCCUCUUUGCUCUAUAAAUAUCCCAAUAUUCCAGAAACCCUAGGGGAGUCGACGAAAAUCAAUUCAAGCCUCCGCAGAGUCCAGAACCACCAGAUCCAAUCUAGACACCAUCACGGAGGGGUUCACCACUUCCAUUGGUGCCUCUCCGAUGAUGCGUGAUUAGUUCUUUGUAGACCUUCGGGUCCGUAGUUAGUAGCUAGAUGGCUUCCUCUCUCUCGCCAAACUCUCAAUACAAUGGUGUCUUGGAGAUCCAUAUGAUGUGACUCUGUUUGCGGUGUGUUUGUUGGGAUCAGAUGAACUUUCAGUUUAUGAUCAGAUCUAUCUUUUUAUAUCCAUGAAAGUUAUUUGAGUUUCUUUGAACUAUUAUAUGCAUGAUUUCUUAUAGCCUCGUAUUUCUUCUCCGAUAUUUGGGUUUUGUUUGGACAAAUUGAUCUAUUUAUCUUGCAAUGGAAAGAGGUGCUUUGUAGUGGGUUCGAUCUUACGGUGCUUGAUCCCAGUGACAGAAGGGGAACCGACACGUAUGUAUCGUUGCUACUAAGGAUAAAACGAUGGGGUCUAUCUCUACAUAGAUAGAUCUUGUCUACAUCAUGUCAUCAUUCUUAUUGCAUUACUCCAUUUCCCCAUGAACUUAAUACACUAGAUGCAUGCUGUAUAGCGGUCGAUGUGUCGAGUAAUAGUAGUAGAUGCAGGUAGGAGUCGGUCUACUAAUCUUGGACGUGAUGGCUAUAUAUUGAUCAUUGCCUGGAUAUCGUCAUGAUUAUUUGGAACUCUAUCAAUUGCCCAACAGUAAUUUGUUUACCCACCGUUUGCUAUUUUGCUCGAGAGAAGCCACUAGUGAAACCUACGGCCCCCGGGUCUCUUUCUCACAUUAUUUGCCUUCGCGAUCUAUUUUAUUUGCCUUUUGUUUGCAGAUCUAUUAAACCAAAAAUACAAAAAUACCUUGCUGCGUUUUACUCUUAUUUAUUUUAUUUGGUGUUCGAUCUAUCAAUCUACUACAAUUAUCUCACGUCUGUUUGCCAAUUUCUGGCGCCGCUACCCGAAAGGGAUUGACAACCCCUUUAACACGCCAGGUUGCGAGGAUUUGUUAUCUGUGUGCAGGGGCUAUUUACAUUCUAUUGCUAGGUUCUCCUACUAGUUCGAUAACCUUGGUUUCAUAUCUGAGGGAAAUACCUACCGCUGCUAUGCUGCAUCAUCCCUUUCUCUUUGGGGAAAUACCGACGUAGCUUCAAGCCGCAUCAAAAGGAAUUUCUGGCGCCGUUGCCGGGGAGGAUCUUCAACAUAUACGAGGUUCCGAAUCACAAAUCUCAUCUCCUUGCAAUUUACAUUAUUUGCCAUUUGCCUCUCAUUUUCCUCUCCCCCACUUCACAAAAAUUUGCCAUUUUAUUCGUCCUCUUUUUCGUUCGCCUUUUUCUCGUUUGAUCUUUUGUUUGCUUGUGUUGCCAUGUGCCUUCUAUAUGCUUGCGUCUUCGCUUGCUAAAAAUAUAUUGAUAUGGAUCCUCAUCCACUUGCUAAUCUUUUUAAAAGAUCCAAUCAUGUUGAACCAGUUGCUAGUGAGUUGAGUGCACUAGAUUAUCUUUAUGAAGUUUUUCUUGAGAUUCGUGAAUCUAAAAAUUGCGAUGAAGAAAUUUAUGAAGUGAUUCAUGAUAGCUCCUUGAAUGAAAAGCAUGAUUGCAAUGAUUUUACUAUAAAUCCUAUUAAUGUCAAUUGUGCUAAUAAUAUGCAAAACCCCAAACUUUGGGAUGCUAAUUUUGCUAUGUCCACUACUUGUUGCAAUGAUCAUGAUUGGGGUGAUUCUUCUUAUGAGCUUGAAAUUUUAUUUAAACCUCAUGAUGAAUAUGAUAUUGAUAAUAAUGUUUGCAAUAAUAUUGAAAGUGGGUAUGGAAGAGCGUCAACUUUAGGUAAAAAUAAUCCCACAUAUUUGGAGAGUGUUCAAUCUUAUGAUUUUUUUUAUGAAAGUGGGUUCGGAGGGGUCAUGACUUUAGUUGAUGUUAAUCCCACUAUCUUGGAAGAUUAUAAGACUUGUAUGCAUGUGGAUCAUGAAAAGAAAGUUUUAUAUGAUUGCUAUAUUGUUGAAUUUGAGUAUUAUCCUACAUGUAAUUAUUAUGAGAAAGGAAAAUAUGGUUGUAGAAAUUUUUAUGUUACUAAAUUACCUCUCGUUAUGUUGAGAUCGUCAAUGUUUUAUUCCUCUUCUUUGCAUAUGUUAGAUGUUUCUUGUCUUGAUAUUUUGUUUUCUUAUAAAAUUCCUAUGCAUAGGAAGUAUGUUAGACUUAAAUGUGGUUGUCAUAUGUUUCAUGAUGCUCUCUUUGUGUUUCAAUUAUUAUCUCUCAUGUGAGCAUCAUUGAAAUUUUAUGCCUAGCUAGGGGCAUGAAACUAUAGCGCUUGUUGGGAGGCAACCCAAUGAAUAAAAUUUGUUUUUACCUUUUGCUUUCUGUUCUUGAAUGUUUGCACAAUUAUGCUAAUGUUAUGAUUGUGUGUUUUGUGUUUUAAUUAGUGUUUGUACCAAGUAGAACCUAUAGGAUCUUCUUGGGUGAUAGUUGUUUGAUCUUGCUGAAAAAACAGAAACUUUUGCGCUCAUGAAAACAAUUCUUAUUUUUUACCAGAGCGUGAUAAAAUGCCAAUUAUUUUUGCAGAAGAUUAAUAUACAAAUUUCUUAGGUCUUCCUAUUGUUUUAGAAUUUUUGGAGUUUCAGAAGUAUUCGAACAAUUCAGAUUGCAACACAUUGUUCUGUUUUUGACAGAUUUUGUUUUCUUUGCGUUGUGUGCUUGUUUUGAUGGCUCCAUGGUUUUCUUUGUUGAGUUUUUGCCAUAGAAAAGUUGGAAUAUAUUAGAUAUAAUGCAAGAAUAAAAUAUGAAUAGGUUGCAACAGUACUUAUAGUAGUGAUUUAUUUUCUUAUACUAAUGGAUCUCACGAAGGUUUUGUUGAGUUUUGUGUGAUUGAAGUCUUCAAGUUUUGGGUUAUCUUACGAUGGAUGAAGGAAUAAGGAGUAAGCAAAGCCUAAGCUUGGAGAUGCCCCGGCAACCCAAGCUAUUAUCCAAAAGAUAGCAAGCAAGUAAGCUUGGGGAUGCCCCGAGUGGCAUCCCCUCUUUCUUCUAACGACCAUCGAUAUUUUACUCGAAGCUAUAUUUUUAUUCGUCACAUACUAUGUGUUUUGCUUGGAGCGUCUUGUAUGAUAUGAGUCUUUGCUUGUUUUAUUUUGUGUUUUAAGUCUUGAUUCCUUGCGGGACACACCUAUUUGAGAGAGCCAAAAUUAUGCAUGACUUAUUAGAAUUGCUCUCUAUGCUUCACUUAAAUUUUUUAUGAGCCAUGGACUUGCUCUAGUGCUUCACUUAUAUCUUUUUGAGCACGGUGUGCUUAGUUAUUUUUUAAGAAAUGCUCUCUUGCUUCACUUAGAUUUGUUUUAGAGGUAGUAAAUUUUUCAGGAAAUUCUCUCUUUCUUCACUUAAAUUAAUUUGAAAGAAAGAAAUAUUAUGCUCAUGAUCUUCACUUAUAUUUGUUUGAGCUUAUCAAAAGCAACAUAUGAAAAUUAGUUCCAAAGUGAUAGAUAUCCAAGAAGGAUAUAAUAAAAACUUUCAUGAAGAUCAUUGGACAAAAUAAACUUGAUUCUUAGUAAUAGUUUUAAGAUAUGAUGAUGUGAUAUGUGAGUCAUGUUGAUGAGUAAUUAUGCUUUACUAAGAAUAUUGGUGUUAAGGUUUGUGACUCCCUAUGCAAGCACGAAAGUCAAUAAUUAUGCAAUGAAAUUAUAUCCUACUUGUGGUGCAUUAUUCGGUGUUAAUUAUGCUUAAUGCUCGCUUAUGAGAUUAUUCGUUUCUUGGUUGGUUGCUUCUCAAUCUUUUGCUAGCCUUCAUUUUGCACUAAGUAUGAUCUCUACUUGUGCAUCCAAAAACCUUUAAACCAGUUUUGCCACAUGACUCCACUAUAUCUACCUAUAUGCGGUAUUCUUUUGCCGUUCUAAGCAAAUUUGUAUGUGCCAUCUCUAAUUUUGAAAAUAAACUUCUCUUUUGUGUGUUCGUACCGCUCGCAGAGCUGUGAGGGGUGGCUAAUAUUUUCCAUGCUAGAUGUGUUAUUCUCACGAUGAGUGUUUAUUCACUUGUCAUUGCACGAGAGUAAGGCAAAGGUAUUAGGGAUGCCCAGUCCCGAAAUGAAAAAUGAAUUUACUUUAUGUUGUCAAAUAAUAAAUUCCUUGGAAAGUGUUGGUACGGAGGGAAACCGUGGAUACGGCUAGCCAAGGAAAGUGAAAGUAUGGUUGAAAAAAGAAUAAACUUUAUUUUCUGUUUGGGAACCGCCUAUGAUAUAUCUAGCAUGGAAAGUGUUGGGAACUCUAAGUCGUUUUCGUUGGUGGGAAGGACACACCUCCUGAAAUGUUCUUAUCUCUAAGUUUUUUCGCUUUGAGCUUUGGCACGUCUACAAAUCCCUACUUCCCUCUGUGAAGGGCCUUUGUUUUACUUUAUGCAAUUUUUAUUAUUGAAUUUGAAUCUCCUUAUAAAAGCACCAACUCGGAGGCACUAUGAUCUUACUUGAGCAUUGGGUGUAGCUAAUAUGCAAGUGUGUUUCAUGAAUGGAUCAAUGAUUGAGCAUGAUGGGCUAGGGAUAACUUAUUUUAGCGUUGAUAUUUUGAAAGACAUGGUUGCUUGUUGGUAUGCUUGAGUAUUUAAGUUAUCAUAUCAAAACUAGACUAUUGCUUUGAACAAUAUAAAAGUCCAAAUGUCCAUGCUAUAAAGAAAACAAUAUGAUAUGACAUGUUACGCAGUAUUCCACAUCAAAAAUUCCGUUUUUAUCACUUACCUACUCGAGGACGAGUAGGAGUUAAGCUUGGGGAUGCUGAUACGUCUCCAACGUAUCUAUAAUUUUUUAUUGUUCCAUGCUGUUAUAUUAUCAAUCUUUGAUGUUUUAUAGUCAUUUUAAAUAAUUUUUUGGUACUAACCUAUUGACAUAGUGCCAAGUGCCAGUUGUUGUUUUCUGUAUUUUUUUACAUCGUAGGAAAUCAAUAUCAGACGGAGUCCAAAUGCAAUGAAACUUUACGGAGAUUUUUUUAUUGACCAGAAGACACCUAAUGGGCCAAGGUUGCGCCUGGGGGCGCUCCGAGGAGAGCACAACCCACCAGGGCGCGCCAGGAGGCCCAGGCGCGCCCUAGUGGCUUGUGCCCACCUCGGGUGCCACCCGGACCACCUCUUUGCUCUAUAAAUACCCCAAUAUUCCAGAAACCCUAGGGGAGUCGACGAAAAUCAAUUCCAGCCGCCGCAGAGUCCAGAACCACCAGAUCCAAUCUAGACACUAUCACGGAGGGGUUCACCACUUUCAUUGGUGCCUCUCCGAUAAUGCGUGAGUAGUCCUUUGUAGACCUUCGGGUCCGUAGUUAGUAGCUAGAUGGCUUCCUCCCUCUCGCUAAAUUCUCAAUACAAUGGUCUCUUGGAGAUCCAUAUGAUGUAACUCUUUUUGCGGUGUGUUUGUUGGGAUCAGAUGAACUUUAGUUUAUGAUCAGAUCUAUCUUUUUAUAUCCAUGAAAGUUACUUGAGUUUUUUUGAUCUCUUGUAUGCAUGAUUUGUUAUAGCCUCGUAUUUCUUCUCCGAUAUUUGGGUUUUGUUUGGCCAACUUGAUCUAUUUAUCUUGCAUUGGGAAGAGGUGCUUUGUAGUGGGUUCGAUCUUAUGGUGCUUGAUCCCAGUGAUAGAAGGGGAACCGACACGUAUGUAUCGUUGCUACUAAGGAUAAAAUGAUGGGGUCUAUCUCUACAUAGAUAGAUCUUGUCUACAUCAUGUCAUCGUUCUUAUUGCAUUACUCCCUUUCCCCAUGAACUUAAUACACUAGAUGCAUGCUGGAUAGCGGUCGAUGUGUGGAGUAAUAGUAGUACAUGCAGGCAGGAGUCGGUCUACUAAUCUUGGAUGUGAUGCCUAUAUAUUGAUCAUUGCCUGGAUAUCGUCAUGUUUAUUUGUAGUUCUAUCAAUUGCCCAACAGUAAUUUGCUUACCCAUCAUUUGCUAUUUUUCUCGAGAAAAGCCACUAGUGAAACCUAUGACCCCCGGGUCUCUUUCUCAUUUUAUUUGCCUUCGCAAUCUAUUUUAUUUGCCUUUCAUUUUCAGAUCUAUUAAACCAAAAAUACAAAAAUACCUUCUUGCGCUUUAUUCUUUUUUUUUUAUUUGGCGUUCGAUCUAUCAAUGUACUACAAUUAUCUCACGUAUGUUUGCCAAUUUCUGGCGCCGUUACCCGAAAGGGAUUGACAACCCCUUUAACAUGUCGGGUUGCGAGGAUUUGUUAUCUGUGUGCAGGGGUUGUUUACGUUGUGUUGCUAGGUUCUCCUACUAGUUCUAUAACCUUGGUUUCAUAUCUGAGGGAAAUACCUACCUCUGCUCUGCCGCAUCAUCCCUUCCUCUUUGGGGAAAUACUGACGUAGCUUCAAGCCGCAUCAACCGCUGCGAGUCCCUCUUGCUAGGCGAGGUGGGACUAAAUUUUAGCCAUUGCCAGGACAAGGCCUUUAGUCUCGGUUGAUGGCUCAAUUAAAAUAUUUUGUUAUGAUCCACUUAUAGAAAGUUAUAAUAUUCUUCAAUAGCAAAAAGAAUCAACUAAAAAUCUCUAGUACCGGUUCGUGGCAUGAACCGGUACUAAAGGUGCUGGUGGGGGGCCCAGCCUGACAACAGCCUGCCACCACCUCUUUAGUACCGGUUCGUGGAACGAACUGGUACUAAAGGUUCGCCACGAACUAGUACUAAUGAGCACCGCCCGCCUAGCUGUUGGAACCGACACUAAUGGUCACAUUAGUGCUGGUUCAGUUACAAACCGGGACUAAUGUGCUUCACAUUAGGCCCUUUUUCUACUAGUGUUGCUUCUCCGCCUCCAUCUCAAGCAUCCUCAUUUGCUUCUCUGCCUCCAUCUCAAGCCUCCUCCUUUAGAUCUUCAUGAAGGCGUUCAUUUGUUCUUCCUUGUCUUGUCGGCGCUUCUCCUCCCUUGAGUCCUUCUUAGUCAUCAUGCCCUCCAUGGUAGCGAUCAAGGCAUUGGACGCCGCAUCCCUCUUGUCCUACUUCUUGGAGUUGGUCUUCCCCCACGGCCGUGGCUUCUCGCCCUCCCCAACCUCCUCCACGACUUUCUCUCCCCCACGCAACAUGAGGGCGGCAUAUUGCACCUUGAACUUCUCCUCGUCUUUGAUGACCCUCCAACAAUGAGAGAGGUUGAAGGACUUACCAUCAUGUUGGACCUUGAAUGCCUCCAAAGCUUGGAAUGCCUACAAAUGAAAUGCAUGCAAGCAUAUUGGCAAAUGGAUAUGAAUAUGGACUUGCAAGAAUAAACGGAAGAGGGGCGCAUGCAUGCAUACCAUAUCUUGCAUGCCGAUGCCGCUCACCGGGCGUGACUUGAUGCUCUCAAAGGUGGCACAAAACUUGUCAUGCUCUUGUUGGAUCACCUUCCAUCGGUUCGAAAUGGACACCCACCCGCGCAUGCUUUAUAUCUGGUACGGCAGAAACUUCUUGCGUUCGUGGAACUCACGAUGGACACGAGUCCAAAAGGUUGAUUCCUUUUGUUCGGCACCGACCAUGGGGUCUUGCCCAAUGUCCCUCCAAAACUCACAAAGGAGCUUGUCCUCGACCGUGGUGUAUGCCUUCGUCCGCCUGCUCUUGUGCUUUGGCUUCAGCCCGGCGGCUUGGCUGGCGAGCCCGUCCUCUUCCUCAAGGCCGUAGUCCUCCGGAAACUCGUGGUCGAACAGGAAGUCGUCUAGGUCCAGGCCGAAGUGAUCUUGCAUGAAGGCGUCCUGCAUGCUAUCUUGAUCAUAGGUCGACGGCGUGAACGGCCCUCAGCCGUCCUGGCUUUGUGUCUCCUCUGAAUCGUAGGCAGCCGCGGCGGCACCACAGGCGGCCGACGUACCACCCUCGAAGAUGAUGCUCACCAUGAAACGGUCGGCCGUCUUGUCUUCGCCGGAUGACGAGGCACCGACUACCGGUGUGGCGUUGAGAUCGAUGGGCGCGGGCGCGGGCAUGGAAUGCGCCACCACGCUCACCUCCAGCGAGCAUUCCCUGAAGAAUUGGGAGGCUUGCAAGUAGACGUGGAAGCCGGGAAUCGAGUAAGACGCCGACGCGCGAGGCGACUCUGGGAGCACCAUCCGAGGAAACGCGGACGAGUCGGAGCUGGCCACGGCCACAGCGGCGUUGACGAGCCCGUGCUGGCCAGGGUUUAGCCCUAGGUAGAUUAGCGCCUCCCUCAUUGCCGCGGCGACGUGGGCGGCGGUGUCCUCCUGCUGCGCGGCGGCGGCCAUGGCGAUGGCAGCGGACGCUGCUUCGUCCCACGCGUCCGCCGCGUGCCUUCGGCCCUUUCGCUUCGGUGACUCCGCGGCCCGCUCCUCGGACGUCAGCUGCUUCUUCUUCUUGGGCACGGUGGCAGUCUUGCGGGAGGCGCGCGGCUUGCCUUUGCCGAAGGGGGCGGCUGUGAUGCUGGACGAGGCAAGGGCGACGAGGCCGCCGACAGUAUCGAGGUCCUCAUCCAUGGCGUGCGGCCGGGAGCGAGCACGGGCGGAAGGUUUUUGAGAAAGUGGACGAAAAUGUUGGAGGCUUUGCCACCAAUUGGCAGGUCAGGGGUAGUUGGCACGCAACGCGCUUCUCCGUCUCGUGUCGCGCGCCAACGCAAAUGAGGCUCAAAAUUGGGCUGAGAAUGGGUCGGCAGGCGAACGAAAAGCGGACACGCGUCCAUUUGGGUCGGCACAUUGUGCCGACUUUUCUGUCCGCACCGACCCAAAUGAACGCGCGCGAACGAAAUGGGUCGUCACGUUGGAGUUGCUCUUACGUGGCACUGUAACAAGAAAUGAGGACCAGUGGAAACCAGCAUAUGCACCUAGAAGAAUCGUAUGGAUCUGCAUAUGUAAUUGAUCUAUAUCAUACGGACCCAUAAAUGAUAGGAAGGUCCUAGCUACCAGGUACCAGCUAUCCUGGUUACUCCAUUUGCUGCCCCUCCAACCUGGGUUCCGGUCAUGUCCUCGGGGUCUGUCGGUGGUUCCGUGUUCUUGUUCUGGACGGACGCUUGUAAGAUCAGGUUUUCGAUCGGGAGCCUUCUGUUGACAUUAUAAAAGUGCGUGUAUUCAAAGGAGAUGUAUGCAUUUCUCCGUGACAAAGCAAAUUAAGUUCUGCUGCUAGCUAUUUUCAAAAAAGAGUCUUGCCCCACCACUUGCGUCGUUUGCAAAGCCCUUAAAUAUACUGAUAUGUUAUACACACACACAUAUACACAUGAGAUUUAAUUUUAAAGAGCACACGGACAUGUUCGUUCUCGUGUUAAUGAAAUCCUAGAAAAUCUCAUUAAUUAACCAUGGGAUCUAUAAUUCCGAGAUCUUUAGCUGUUGGAUGUAUGUAAUGCCUUAAGAUGCAUUAAAACAAAUAUACGUGAGAUUUAAUUUUAAAGGCCUUAAGGUGCAUAAAAAAUACGCAUGAGAUUUAAUUUUAAAUAGCACAAGGACAUGUUCAUUGUCGUGUUAAUGAAAUCCUAGAAAAUCUCAUUAAUUAACCUUCGGAUCUGUAACUCCGAGAUCUUUAGCCAUUGGAUUUACAUAAUGCCUCAACCUGCAUCAAAAAAAAUAUACGCAUGAGAUUUAAUUUUAAAGGCCUUAACCUGCAUAAAAAAAUAUACGCAUGAGAUUUAAUUUUAAAGAGCAGACAGACAUCUUCAUUGUCGUCCGCUGGCUGUAUGAAUUAGAAUAACAUAUAUUUACUUAGUUGGAUUAGAGAGAAGAGAAAAGAGAAGAGAAGUGGGCUCUGGAUUAAAGCAAGUACAAUAAAAUGACGUAGGCGGGCUAUAAAAGAUGUCAUCUUAAAUUUGUGCUUUUUUAGUUAACCUUAAAUUUGUGCUUAGUUGAAGGAGAGAGAAGCGGGCUACAAGUGUGACAAAAGCCUUUUUCAGUAGGCAGGCUACAAACUUACAAUCGACUGUAGCACGAGCUCAAACAACCUUUGUAAGAAGAUAUGGGCCAUAUAUUAAUUCACAGUGUGACUUAAUGUUGACAUGAAUUGAUACAGGUGGACAUAGUUAGAGCAACUCUAGCAGACCCCGCAUCCCGCCCCGACUGUUAAAAUAACCGCCAAAAUGCGGGUCGGGCAGGAAAACCAGCCCGAUCAGACCCCGCAUCCCGCCCCCGCCCGCAAAAAAAUUUAGGGGGCGCGGCAAAAUCCCAACCCCAACCCGGGAAAACGCGGGUUUCCCUCUCGCGGCUGCGGUGCCCUGCAUAUAGGAGGAAGCGGCUGGUGAGGGGACAUUUCAUGCCGCGCUUUCUCCCACCAACCACCUCUCCUCUCCCCCCUCGCGCCGCUGCCGGCCGCCGCCCAAGAUUCUGGCGAAAGCAGCCGGCAGGAGCACGCCGGAAGGCCGCCACGCACACGAGGCCUCCCCUUCCUCCCCCUGCGUCGGCGGGCCACCGGAUUUGCAGAUUUGCAGCACUUCAUCGCGGGUCGCCGGAUUUGGCUUUUUCCGGCCGCCGGUUGCUGUCCCAAGCUAUGGAGUGGUCGGGGAGCCUCUCCCACAGCCCAGGCAAGGGCGCAUUGCCGCAUGCAGGUACGGGUUCGUCCGCCCGCCGCCGCCGAAGGUUUGCGGGCUUGGACUCAUCCGGCCGUCCACCGGGCUCGGCGCUCACGCAGCGUCUUUGUGGCAUGCCGAUGCCGCUCAUAGAGUGUGACGACUGCACGCGGAAAGUGCUGCGGCUCACUUCGGGCACGCCGAAGCACCCUGGGUGGGUGUUCUUCAAAUGCGAAAAUGACGGGGUACGUGCACUUGCGGUAGCUCGUUUCAUAGUUCAUUCUUUAGUUCAACUGCGGUAGCUCACUUCGAGCUUGCUCACUCUUUUGUGUAGGACGAUGGAUGCUCAUUUUGGUUUUGGGAAGGCCAAUACAUUUAUUUGUUGAUAGAAAGAAACUUAAUAGAUGUUAGUGCACUCCUUAGUACAAUCGAAGGCAAUGAUGCGGCUGCAUGUGCAAAUAGAGGGGAAGCAACGUCUACUUCUUUCGAACCAAAGAUGAAGAAAGAAGAAUGCAAAAUCAAGAAUCCACAGAUCAACAACGAAUGCAUGGAGAAGAUAUUAGUCCAACUAGUGGGGGCAGUUAUGGAAGUUGGAAAUCUUCUAAAAUGCAUACUUGUGGUUCUUAUUUUCUUUGGUCUUGCUAUUCUAGCAAAGAUUUGGUGAUGUCUUUUGUAUCCAAUGUUGUUGAUAAAGCAAAGCAAUGCAAUAUGCUAGAUCAAAUUAAGGUGCAAAUUUAAGUUUUGCGGGCCGGGAGAAGUUGCACCAGAUCAGACGCGGCAACCCAACCCGUAAAAAAGCAUAUUCCAGGAAUAUCGUUUUUACGGAUCCAUUAUGCGGGGUCUGCAACUGCGGCCGUCCGCGCCGGCCCGCAAAGCCGUUUUCCCGCGAACUGCAAAAACGUUUAGCGGGUCGGGAGGAUGUGGGGUCUGCUAGAGUUGCUCUUACUCUGCGUCUGUAAAUAAAGGUCAUCAUUUUUAUUGCUCUAGGGACCCAUAAAUGAUAGGGACUGUCCGCUACCAGCUACCAGCUAGUAGCUACCCUGGUGACUACAUUUGCUGCCCCUCAAACAUGGGUUCCCGACAUGUUCUCAGGGUCUGUCGGUGGUUCCAUGUUCUGGCCUUUGGGGUUGGUUUAACUAGUGGUAUGGGGGUUCUUGCAUCGCCCUGUACUCUCGAUCGGGACCCUUUAAUUCUAGGUGACAUACAGUGCGUGUAUUUAAAGCCGAGGCAUGGAUCCUCCGUGCCAAAGAAAAUUAAUUCAGCGGCUACUCGGGGAGAGUUGUGGCAGCAUAUCCGGGAUGCCAGCUUUUUAUUUUGGGUUUUGAUUGUCAAAGUUUUAGAUCUUAAAAAAAACUAAAAUUAAGUGCUGUUUUCAUAUUCGUGUUUCUCGUGACCAGCGCCUUGAAAUAAUAUCCAUUUUGAAUAUAUUUUGACGACUUUGAAAAAUGUUAAGUUUCAAAUGUUGAAACUUAGUAUGAGCAACCAAUAAAAAUCAAUUAUUUUGUACCUACGCCUGACAGAAAAAUGCUUACAGUUAUAUCCCUGAAACUUGCUGAAACUUUGCAUUUUUCAUCAUUGAAACUUAAAACUGUUUAAGGGAUUUUCUUUUUUACUGUGCCCUCAUGUGGGAUUCAACUACUCUUUUCUCUCCGUGAGAUCCACAUAAAAAAAGCACAAAUUUAAGAUGAGUGCCCUGCACUUACAUGCCCCUGCGAAUUUCCGCAGCUACUAGCUAUUUUUGGAAGAAAAAAAUCUUGCCCCGCCACUCCCAUCAUUAGCAGAGCCCUUAAAUAUACUCACAUGUACCAAAUUACGAGUCAGAAUCAAACAUGCGUUGGCAUCAUUACCUACGAACUCUACUAAACAAUGUUCCAACUAUCCUGCGAGUCAAAUCUAAUAACUCUUGUCUUGCACGUUGCAUUGUCCAUUGGCAGAUCUUUUUAAGAAUUUUACGUCAGAUCUAAUUUUAUUUGAACGAAUGAAAGAUAAGCAAGUAGUAGUAAAAUCGACCCAAUUUGCACAGCCGAAAUGUGGACCAGACAAUUUACUCUUUGUUACGGGACUAAGAAAUUCGGACCGGCUAAUNNNNNNNNNNNNNNNNNNNNNNNNNNNNNNNNNNNNNNNNNNNNNNNNNNNNNNNNNNNNNNNNNNNNNNNNNNNNNNNNNNNNNNNNNNNNNNNNNNNNNNNNNNNNNNNNNNNNNNNNNNNNNNNNNNNNNNNNNNNNNNNNNNNNNNNNNNNNNNNNNNNNNNNNNNNNNNNNNNNNNNNNNNNNNNNNNNNNNNNNNNNNNNNNNNNNNNNNNNNNNNNNNNNNNNNNNNNNNNNNNNNNNNNNNNNNNNNNNNNNNNNNNNNNNNNNNNNNNNNNNNNNNNNNNNNNAUGUCUCCCAUUUCUCAAUCCCAUCCCGACGGUGUGUCUACCAUGUUUAGAGGGCGCAUGGGGGAGUUACUCCAUUGGUUCUCGCGGGAUUUGAUCGAUGAUGGUUUUCCGUGGAUUUCCUUGAAUCCAGUUUUUGUUCAUCCUCAUCCGUGCGUUUAAAUAUCCCAACAAGGCGAAGAUUUGGUUGUGCACAGGCAACUGAGGAGGUGACCUACUUCUUUACUGUCUCCUAUGUCCCUUGUUACCCACUGAUCCUAGAUCCACAGCUCGAGACCCCCUACCCUGAGGUCUACCAGUUUUACCACUGACAACCGGCCACAAGGGAGAAAUCCCUUUGAAUUUAGAGAUAAGAUCUUAUCUCUAGAUUUAACCCUUUAAAUUUAGAGAUAUGACCUUAUCUCUAGAUUUUAAAGACAUGGAACUUAGGGACGAUGCGGCCAGCCCAUGUGGGUUGUUGCCCCACCCCUCGGUCUAUGUGGGGACUUUUCGGGUCGUUGGGCCCCAUGGUGGAACCCCGGAACAUUUCCGGUACUCUACCAAAUAUUCCCAAACUUUUCUGGAACCCAUAAAACCACUUUCCUUACAUAACUCUUUACCUCCAGAGCUCCUCGUGAUGUCCCGGAUUCUAUCCAGGACUCUGAACUACCUUCAGACUUACCACUAUGAAUGUCCCAAAACUAUCCAAUAGUGGUAAGUCUGAACGUUAAGUGUGUGACCCUGCGGGUUCGAGAACAUGCAUAAAUGACCGAGACACCUCUCCAAUCAAUAAUCAAUGAACAUCUUUAUCGGUUUGAACCACGAUGUCAAUGAUUCAGUUAAUCCCGUAUACAAUUCCCUUUGUCCAAUGAUUUGUUAUUUGCCCGAGAUUCGAUCGUCAGUAUCGCCAUACCUAGUUCAAUCUCAUUACCGGCAAGCCCCUUUACUCAGUCCUUAAUACAAGAUCCACGUGACUAAACACAUUGGUCACAUGCUUCCAAUCUAUUCACGAUGUUGUAUUACCGAGAGGACCUAGAGAUAUCUCUCUGUCAUAUGGAGUGACAAAUCCUACACUCGAUCUAUGUAACCCAACAAACACUUUCUGAGAUACCUAUAGAGCACCUUUCUGAUCACCCAGUUACGAAGUGACGUUUGUUUACCCAUAAUGUAUUCUUCCAGUAUUAGGGAGUGGCACGAUCUCAUGGUCUAAGGAACAGAUUCUUGACAUGAAGAAAGUUGUAGAAAAUAAACUAAGUGAUACGAUCUGAUGCUAAGCUUAUGGUUGGGUCUGUCCAUCACAUCAUAAUCCUAAUGAUGUGAUCCCAUUAUUAAAUGAUAACUCGUGUCUAUGGUUAGGAAACCUUAACCAUCUUUAAUUAAUGAGCUAGCCUAGUAGAGGCUCACUAGGGACACGUUGUCUAUUUAUGUAUCCACACAUGUAUUUAAGUCUCUGGUCAAUACAAUUCUAGCAUGCAUAAUAAAUAUUUAUCAUGAACACGGAAAUACGACAAUAACAUCUUUCUUAUUGCCUCUAGGACAUAUUUCCUACAGAUUAGUAGGAUAAAAGAUCAAGGUGGCCUUGGCAUUCAUGGCAUGAAGGUCAAGAAGGAUGCCUUACAUAGGAAAUGGUUAUUCAAAAUACUUACUAGGGGUGGCGUUUGGCAAACCUGUUGCGAAAGAAGUAUCUAAUACUAUGCCAAAAACUUAUCUCUCACACAUAUUGGAAAGCUGGUGACUCACACUUUUCGGGUGGUGUCGUGGAAUUCUCACGGCAGAUGUCCUAGUGUGAGGACUUAGUCGUGAGGCCAACGCAUCUAUGUGGUAGCUUGAGAGGGGUUGAUUGGGACGAGAGACGCAACACACAAGACAAGAAUUUAGACAGCUUCGGGCCCCAGGAAACAUCAUCCAAUAAUAGCCCUACAUGCUGUUUGUGGCUAGGUCUCAUUAUGAUCAUGAGAGAGUCAUCGGUAAGCCGGCUCUUUGUGUCUAGCCCUAGAGAUUGUUUCUUGUUUCUUGUCCCUCUUGGGGUGCCCUGCCCCUCCUUAUAUAAGUUAGAGGGGCGGGUUACAUAUGGAGUCCUAGUAGGAUUAGGACUAGUCUAUCUUUCUUUACAAGUUGAAUACAAGUCCGGGUCUUGCUUCCUUGUGAAGGAAAUAAUCCUCACGCCUUUCAUCUUAAACCGGCCCACCAAAGUAUAAGCCAGCCUGCUGGGCCUUGGGCCUUGUCGUCCGUCUGAUCAGCCCGCCGGGUCUCCAGUGAAUUACAAUGUCCAGGCGGGUUACCCUGUGAACCGCCAUGUUCGGGCGGAUCGCCAGUGAGUCGCCAAGCUCCAGCCAGGUCUCUGGUGAGUCGCCAAGUCCGGCCGGGUCAUACCGCGGGGUAUAUCCCCGACAUUAGCCCCCAGUUUAAUUUGGAUUUAUCCAUGUUAAACUGAUCCUGCAACAUAAACACAAGAACAAAUUUGACAGGUUGUGCUCCGGGUUAAAUAUUCUUGUAAGCCGGCACCUGAUCAUCCUUAAGUCCUUGACAUUUUCUCCUGAAAUAUCCGGGUCAAUAUUGGUCUUGAAAUAUCCAGCUUCAUAAUCCAUUUGCUGACAUUGGCUCUUGUAAAGAAAUAUUAUAAGAAAUAAUCCAUUUGAUUCGGCCUUCAAUGCUCUGAUUUGACAAAAAUAUUGCUCUUGAAAUAUCCAACUGAUAUUCAGCCGGCUUAAAGAUGUAGAUUCUUGCCGACGAUUGCCACAAUUGUCGGGUUAGAAAUAAAUGAUGCCGGGUCAUGAUUGUUGCAGACACCGGGUUAAUCUGGUCUACUCCAAACUGAGAAUUUGAAGAUUUUUUUCUCCCUUAUAUGCAUAUUACCUGUAGCCCCUAAGUCUUAAGGGGAGAACAUAGUGAUAACUUAAGACUUGCUUCAAUAUAAGUGUUGCAACCUUGAAGAAAUCCGGUUUAUUCAUCUCAAUCAUUAGUCAUAAGCUGAAUAUUCCACAUUCCACAUAUGUAGCCCCCAAGUGCCGAGUUGUCAUGCUUGCAGCAACCUGGGACUUGUAAUUGCCUUAUGCUCAUAAAAACUUCAACUAGUGUAGCCCCCAAGGGCCGGGUCAUUAUGCAAUAAUGAGCAGGGACUUUGUAAAUAUGAUCAUGUAAACUUGACCAGCAACGUGUAGCCCCCAAGGGCCGGGUCAGUAAGAUAUUACCGAGCUGGGACUUUGUAUAUGAUUCAUCGAUAAUAACAGCAUAUGAUGUGAUCUCCACCAUGGGGUUUGAACCCACGUCCAUAAGGUUAAGAGCUUUGUACUCUACCAACUGAGUAGUGGAUCUUUCAAUAUAAUGGAUUAAGGCUUGUGUACCUUGAAUUUUCGACAAGAGCAAUUGGUAGCCCCCAAGGGCCGGCUCAUUUAGAAUGUGAUGAGUCGGGUCUUCAAUAAGUUGAACAAAAAAUGACUUUGCAUUAGCCCCCAAGUGCAAUGGUACAUGCUGGCAGUAACAUGGGACUUGCAUAUUCGAUGUAAUAUCAAUUUGAAUAAUGUAGUCCCCAAGUGCCAGGUCGUAAGCCUGCAGCGACUCGGGACUAUUCCUUACAUUAUAGAAUAAAUCAUAUCCAUCGAUAAAAUAAUAGCCAUUGCGCCAAAGCGACUUUGAAUACCUCAUCUGUUGAUAAGUAAAUCCGGAGUUUAAAUACCCGGCGGCUCUUGGCCGAUGGCGAUUUAAUACGCCUCCAUUGUAAGCCGGAAUUUUUAUAAUCCGGCGGCUUAUAGCCUUUCAGAACAUCAAGAAUUGAUAACCCUUCUGAGACUCCAAUUUCAAUCUAUGAUGAUGGGCUUGAACUUAAUCAUUUAUGUAAGUCAUAGCUCUGCAAAUCCUGCAUAGAGUUUAAACAACAUAUGCCCUGGCGACUUAACGUCAAGCCAGGGCGGGUAACCACCCAAAUGUAGUAUCCUGCACACAAGUAGAUCACAAGAUCCCUUGGCGGUUUACCGCAGGGCGGGUCAUAAUAUCUCACUGUUGGAAAUAUGCCCUAGAGGCAAUAAUAAAAUGGUUAUUAUUGUAUUUCCUUGUUCAUGAUAAUUGUCUGGUGUUCAUGCUAUAAUUGUAUUAACUGGAAACCGUAAUACAUGUGUGAAUACAUAGACCACAACAUGUCCCUAGUAAGCCUCUAGUUGACUAGCUCGUUGAUCAAUAGAUGGUUAUGGUUUCCUGACCAUGGACAUUGGAUGUCAUUGAUAACGGGAUCACAUCAUUAGGAGAAUGAUGUGAUGGACAAGACCCAAUCCUAAGCAUAGCACAAGAUCGUGUAGUUCGUUUGCUAGAGCUUUUCUAAUGUCAAGUAUCAUUUCCUUAGACCAUGAGAUUGUGCAACUCCCGGAUACCGUAGGAAUGCUUUGGGUGUACCAAACGUCACAACGUAACUCGGUGGCUGUAAAGGUGCACUACAGGUAUCUCCGAAAGUGUCUGUUGGGUUGGCACGAAUCGAGACUGGGAUUUGUCACUCCGUAUGACGGAGAGGUAUCUCUGGGCCCACUCGGUAAUGCAUCAUCAUAAUGAGCUCAAUGUGACUAAGGAGUUAGCCACGGGAUCAUGCGUUACAGUACGAGUAAAGUGACUUGCCGAUAACGAGAUUGAACAAGGUAUUGGGAUACCGACGAUCGAAUCUCGGGCAAGUAACGUACCGAUUGACAAAGGGAAUUGUAUAUGGGAUUGAUUGAAUCCUCGACAUCGUGGUUCAUCCGAUGAGAUCAUCGUGGAACAUGUGGGAGCCAACAUGGGUAUCCAGAUCCCGCUGUUGGUUAUUGACCGGAGAGUCGUCUCGGUCAUGUCUGCAUGUCUCCCGAACCCGUAGGGUCUACACACUUAAGGUUCGGUGACGCUAGGGUUGUAGAGAUAUUAGUAUGCGGAAAUCCGAAAGUCGUUCGGAGUCCCGGAUGAGAUCCCGGACGUCACGAGGAGUUCCGGAAUGGUCCGGAGGUAAAGAUUUAUAUAUGGGAAGUCCUAUUUUGGCCACCGGAAAAUGUUCGGGAAUUUUCGGUAUUGUACCGGGAAGGUUCUAGAAGGUUCCGAAGUGGGGCCCACCUGCAUGGGGGACCCACAUGAACGUGGGUAGUGGGGGCAAGGCCCCACACCCCUGGUCAAGGCGCACCAAGAUCCCACCUUAGAAGGAAUAAGAUCAUAUCCCGAAGGGAUAAGAUCAAGAUCCCUAAAAAAGGGGAUAACAAUCGGUGGGGAAGGGAAAUGAUGGGAUUUCUUUCCCCCACCUUUGCCAACGCCCCAAUGGACUUGGAGGGCAAGAAACCAGCCCCCUCCACCCCUAUAUAUAGUGGGGAGGCGCAUGGGAGCAGCAACCCAAGCCCUGGCGCCUCCCUCCCUCCCGUGACACCUCUUCCUCCCCGCUUGCGCUUGGCGAAGCCCUGCCGGGAUCCCGCUACUUCCACCACCACGCCGUCGUGCUGCUGGAUCUCCAUCAACUUCUCCUCCCCCCUUGCUGGAUCAAGAAGGAGGAGACGUCCCCGCUCCGUACAUGUGUUGAACGCGGAGGUGCCGUCCGUUCGGCGCUAGGUUCAUCGGUGAUUUGGAUCACGACGAGUAUGACUCCAUCAACCCCGUUCUCUUGAACGCUUCCGCUCGCGAUCUACAAGGGUAUGUAGAUGCACUCCUCCCCUCUCAUUGUUAGCAUCUCCUAGAUUGAUCUUGGUGACACAUAGGAAAAUUUUGAAUUUCUGCUACGUUCGCCAACAGUGGCAUCAUGAGCCAGGUUUAUGCGUAGAUUCUAUGCAUGAGUAGAACACAAAGUAGUUGUGGGCGACGAUUUGUUCAAUUUUCUUACCGUUACUAGUCUUAUCUUGAUUCGGCGGCAUUGUGGGAUGAAGCGGCCCGGACCGACCUUACACGUACUCUUACGUGAGACAGGUUCCACCGACUGACAUGCACUUGAUGCAUAAGGUGGCUAGCGGGUGUCUGUCUCUCCCACUUUAGUCGGAUCGGAUUCGAUGAAAAGGGUCCUUAUGAAGGGUAAAUAGCAAUUGGCAUAUCACCGUUGUGGCUUUUGCGUAGGUAAGAAACGUUCUUGCUAGAAACCCAUAGCAGCCACGUAAAACAUGCAACAACAAUUAGAGAACGUCUAACUUGUUUUUGCAGGGUAUGCUAUGUGAUGUGAUAUGGCCAAAAGGAUGUGAUGAAUUAUAUAUGUGAUGUAUGAGAUUGAUCAUGUUCUUGUAAUAGGAAUCACGACUUGCAUGUCGAUGAGUAUGACAACCGGCAGGAGCCAUAGGAGUUGUCUUAAUUUGUUGUAUGACCUGUGUGUCAAUGAAAAACGCCAUGUAAUUACUUUACUUUAUUGCUAACCGUUAGCCAUAGUAGUAGAAGUAAUAGUUGGUGAGACAACUUCAUGAAGACACGAUGAUGGAGAUCAUGGUGUCAUGCCGGUGACGAAGGUGAUCAUGCCGCGCCUCGAAGAUGGAGAUCAAAAGGCGCAAGAUGAUAUUGGCCAUAUCAUGUCACUUUAUGAUUUGCAUGUGAUGUUUGUCAUGUUUACAUCUUAUUUUCUUAGAACGACGGUAGCAUAAAUAAGAUGAUCCCUCACUAAAAUUUCAAGAGAUGUGUUCCCCCUAACUGUGCACCGUUGCGAAGGUUCGUUGUUUCGAAGCACCACGUGAUGAUCGGGUGUGAUAGAUUCUAACGUUCGCAUACACCGGGUGUUGACGAGCCUAGCAUGUACAGACAUGGCCUCGGAACACAAGCAAAACACUUAGGUUGACUUGACGAGCCUAGCAUGUACAGACAUGGCCUCGGAACACAAGAGACCGAAAGGUCGAACAUGAGUCGUAUAGUAGAUACGAUCAACAUGGAGAUGUUCACCGAUGAUGACUAGUCCGUCUCACGUGAUGAUCGGACACGGCCUAGUCGAUUCGGAUCAUGUAUCACUUAGAUGACUAGAGGGAUGUCUAUCUAAGUGGGAGUUCAUUAAAUAAUCAAAUGAACUUAAUUAUCAUGAACAUAGUCAAAAGGUCUUUGCAAAUAAUGUCGUAGCUUACGCUUUAGUUCUACUAAGAUAUUUUCCUAGAGAAAAUUUAGUUGAAAGUUGAUAGUAGCAAUUAUGCGGACUAGGUCCGUAAACUGAGGAUUGUCCUCAUUGCUGCACAGAAGGCUUAUGUCGUUAAUGCACCGCUCGGUGUGCUGAACCUCGAGCGUCGUCUGUAGAUGUUACGAAACAUCUGACAUACAUGUUUUGAUGACUACGUGAUAGUUCAGUGUGUGAUGCUAACGGUUUAAAAUUGUGGCACCAAAGACGGUUUUGAAAUGUCGCAGAACAUAUGAGAUGUUCCAAAGACUGAAAUUGGGAUUUCAGACUAAUGCCCACGUCAAGAGGUAUGAGACCUCUGACAAGUUUCUUAAGCCUGCAAACUAAGGGAGAAAAGCUCAAUCGUUGAGCAUGUGCUCAGAUUGUCUGAGUACUACAAUCACUUGAAUCGAGUGGGAGUUAAUCUUCCAGAUGAGAUAGUGAUGGUUCUCCAUAGUCACUGCCACCAAGCUAUUAGAGCUUCGUGAUGAACUAUAACAUAUCAGGGAUAGACAUGAUGAUCCUUGAGCAACUCGCGAUGUUUGACACCGCGAAAGUAGAAAUCAAGAAGGAGCAUCAAUUGUUGAUGGUUAGUAAAACCACUAGUUUCUAGAAGGGCAAGGGCAAGAAGGGAUACUUCAUGAAACGGCAAAUCAGUUGCUGCUCUAGUGAAGAAACCCAAGGUUGAACCCAAACCCGAGACUAAGUGCUUCUGAAAUGAGGGGAACGGUCACUGAAGCAGAACUACCCUAGAUACUUCGUAGAUGAGAAGGCUGGCAAGGUCGACCGAAGUAUAUUGGAUAUACAUUAUAUUAAUGUGUACUUUACUAGUACUCCUAGUAGCACCAGGGUAUUAGAUACCGGUUCGGUUGCUAAGUGUUAGUAACUCGAAAUAAAAUAUGCGGAAUAAACGAAGACUAGCUAAAGGUGAGAUGACGAUAUGUGUUGGAAGUGUUUCCAAGGUUGAUGUGAUCAAGCAUCGCAUGCUCCCUCUACCAUCGAGAUUGGGGUUAAACCUGAAUAAUUAUUAUUUGGUGUUUGCAUUGAGCAUAGACAUGAUUGGAUUAUGUUAUCGCAAUACGGUUAUUCAUUAAAGGAGAAUAAUGGUUACUCUGUCUAUUUGAAUAAUACCUUCAAUGGUCUUGCACCUAAAAUGAAUGGUUUAUUGAAUCUCGAUCGUAGUGAUACACAUGUUCAUGCCAAAAGAUAUAAGAUAGUAAUGAUAGUACCACAUACUUGUGGCACUGCCAUUUGAGUCAUAUUGGUAUAAAACGCAUGAACAAGCUCCAUGUUGAUGGAUCUUUGGACUCACUCGUUUUUGAAAAGAUUGAGACAUGCGAACCAUGUCUAUUAGUAUAUAUGCAUGAAGAAAGUCCAUACAGAUGGAUCAUUUGGACUCACUUGAUUUUGAAUCACUUGAGACAUGCAAAUCAUACCACAUGGGCAAGAUGACUGAAAGGCCUCGUUUUCAGUAAGAUGGAACAAGAGAGCAACUUGUUGGAAGUAAUACAUUUGAUGUGUGCAGUCCAAUGAGUGCUGAGGCACGCAGUGGAUAUCGUUAUGUUCUUACUUCACAGAUGAUUUGAGUAGAUGCUGAGAAUAUUUACUUGAUGAAACACAAGUUUGAAUUAUUGAAAGGUUCAAGUAAUUUCAGAGUGAAGUUGAAGAUCGUCGUGACAAGAGGAUAAAAUGUCUGUGAUAUGAUCAUAGAGGUGAAUAUCUGAGUUACGAGUUUGGCACACAAUUAAUAAAUUGUGGAAAUUGUUUCACGACUAAUACCGCCUGGAACACCAUAUUGUGAUGGUGUGUCCGAACAUCAUAACUGCACCCUAUUGGAUAUGGUGCAUACCAUGAUGUCUCUUAUCGAAUUACAACUAUCGUUUAUGGGUUAGGCAUUAGAGACAACCGCAUUCACUUUAAAUAGGGAACCACGCAAUUCCGUUGAGACGACACCGUAUGAACUAUGGUUUAGAGAAACCUAAGCUGUCGUUUCUUAAAAGUUUGGGGCUGCGACGCUUAUGUGAAAAAGUUUCAGGCUGAUAAGCUCGAACCCAAAGCGGAUAAAUGCAUCUUCAUAGAAUACCCAAAACAGUUGGGUAUACCUCCUAUUUCAGAUCUGGAAGCAAAAGUGAUUGUUUCUAGAAAUGGGUCCUUUCUCGAGGAAAAGUUUCUCUCGAAAGAAUUGAGUGGGAGGAUGGUGGAGACUUGAUGAGGUCAUUGAACCGUCACUUCAACUAAUGUGUAGCAGGGCACAGGAAGUUGUUCCUGUGGCACCUACACCAAUUGAAGUGGAAGCUUAUGAUAGUGAUCAUGAAACUUCAGAUCAACUCACUACCAAACCUCAUAGGACGACAAGGAUGCGUACUACUUCAGAGUGGUACGUAAUCCUGUCUUGGAAGUCAUGUUGCUAGACAACAAUGAACCUACGAGCUAUGGAGAAGCGAUGGUGGGCCCGGAUUCCGACGAAUGGCUCGAGGCCAUAAAAUCCGAGAGGAUCCAUGUAUGAAAACAAAGUAUAGACUUUGGAAGAACUACUUGAUGGUCGUAAGGCUGUUGGGUACAGAUGGAUUUUAAAGGGAAGACAAACAAUGAUGGUAAGUGUCACCAUUAAGAAAGCUCGACUUGUCGUUAAGAUGUUUUCCGGCAAGUUCAAGGAGUUGACUGCGAUGAGACUUUCUCACUCGUAGCGAUGCUAAGAGUCUGUUAGAAUUAUAUUAGCAGUUACUGCAUUAUUUAUGAAAUCUUGCAGAUAGGAUGUCAAAACAUUGUUUCCUCGACGAUUUUCUUGAGGAAAGGUUGUAUGUGAUACAACCAGAAGGUUUUGUCAAUCCUGAAAGAUGCUAACAAGUAUGCAAAGCUCCAGCAAUCCUUCUAAGGAUUGGAGUAAGCAUCUCGGAGUUGGAAUGAACGCUUUGAUGAGAUGAUCAAAGAUUUUGGGUUUAUACAAAGUUCAUGAGAAACUUGUAUUUCCAAAGAAGUCAGUGGGAGCACUAUAGAAUUUUUGAUGAGUAUAUGUUGUUAACAUAUUGUUGAUCAGAAAUGAUGUAGAAUUUCUGGAAAGCAUCCAGGGUUGUUUGAAAAGUGUUUUUAAUGGAAAACCUAGAUUAACCUACUUGAACAUUGAGCAUCAAGAUCUAUAAGGAUAGAUCAAAAAUGCUUAAUAGUACUUUCAAAUGAAUACAUACCGUGACAAGAUUUUGAAGGAGUUCAAAAUAGAUCAGCAAAGAAGGAGUUCUUGGCUGUGUUACAAGGUGUGAGUAUUGAGUAAGACUCAAGACCUGACCACGGCAGAAGAAAGAGAAAGGACGAAGGUCGUCCCCUAUGCUUUAGACGUAGGCUUUGCAAUAUGCUAUGCUGUGUACCGCACCUGAAGUGUGCCUUGCCAUGAGUUAGUCAAGGGGUACAAUAGUGAUCCAGCAACGAAUCACAUGACAGCGGUCGAACUUAUCCUUAGUAUCUAGUGGACUAAGGAAUUUUCUUGAUUAUGGAGGUGGAAAGGGGGUUCGUCGUAAAGGGUUAUGUCGAUACAAACUUUGACACUAAUCCGGAUGACUCUGAGUAGUGAACCAGAUUCGUAUAGUAGAGCAGUUAUUUGGAAUAGCUCCAAGUAGCGCGUGGUAGCUGCAUCUACAAGAUGACAUAGAGAUUUGUAAAGCACACACGGAUCUGAAUGUGGCAGACCCGUUGACUAAAACCUCUCUCGUAAGCAUAACAUGAUCAAACCCUAGAACUCAUUGACUGUUAAUCACAUGGUGAUGUGAACUAGAUUAUUGACUCUAGUAAACUCUUGGGUAUUAGUCACAUGGCGAUGUGAACUUUGAGUGUUAAUCACAUGGUGAUGUGAACUAGAUUAUUGACUCUAGUGCAAGUGGAAGACUGUUGGAAAUAUGCCCUAGAGGCAAUAAUAAAAUGGUUAUUAUUGUAUUCCCUUGUUCAUGCUAUAAUUGUAUUAACUGGAAACCGUAAUACAUGUGUGAAUACAUAGACCAGAACAUGUCCCUAGUAAGCCUCUAGUUGACUAGCUCGUUGAUCAAUAGAUGGUUAUGGUUUCCUGACCAUGGACAUUGGAUGUCAUUGAUAACGGGAUCACAUCAUUAGGAGAAUGAUGUGAUGGACAAGACCCAAUCCUAAGCAUAGCACAAGAUCGUGUAGUUCGUUUGCUAGAGCUUUUCUAAUGUCAAGUAUCAUUUCCUUAGACCAUGAGAUUGUGCAACUCCCGGAUACCGUAGGAAUGCUUUGGGUGUACCAAACGUCACAACGUAACUCGGUGGCUGUAAAGGUGCACUACAGGUAUCUCCGAAAGUGUCUGUUGGGUUGGCACGAAUCGAGACUGGGAUUUGUCACUCCGUAUGACGGAGAGGUAUCUCUGGGCCCACUCGAUAAUGCAUCAUCAUAAUGAGCUCAAUGUGACUAAGGAGUUAGCCACGGGAUCAUGCGUUACGGUACGAGUAAAGUGACUUGCCGGUAACGAGAUUGAACAAGGUAUUGGGAUACCGACGAUUGAAUCUCGGGCAAGUAACGUACCGAUUGACAAAGGGAAUUGUAUACGGGAUUGAUUGAAUCCUCGACAUCGUGGUUCAUCUGAUGAUAUCAUCGUGGAACAUGUGGGAGCCAACAUGGGUAUCCAGAUCCCGCUGUUGGUUAUUGACCGGAGAGUCGUCUCGGUCAUGUCUGCAUGUCUCCCGAACCCGUAGGGUCUACACACUUAAGGUUCGGUGACGCUAGGGUUGUAGAGAUAUUAGUAUGCCGAAAUCCGAAAGUCGUUCGAAGUCCCGGAUGAGAUCCCGGACGUCACGAGGAGUUCCGGAAUGGUCCGGAGGUAAAGAUUUAUAUAUGGGAAGUCCUAUUUUGGCCACCGGAAAAUGUUCGGGAAUUUUCGGUAUUGUACCGGGAAGGUUCUAGAAGGUUCCGAAGUGGGGCCCACCUGCAUGGGGGGACCCACAUGAACGUGGGUAGUGGGGGCAAGGCCCCACACCCCUGGUCAAGGCGCACCAAGAUCCCACCUUAGAAGGAAUAAGAUCAUAUCCCGAAGGGAUAAGAUCAAGAUCCCUUAAAAAGGGGGAUAACAAUCGGUGGGGAAGGGAAAUGAUGGGAUUUCUUUCCGCCACCUUUUCCAACGCCCCAAUGGACUUGGAGGGCAAGAAACCAGCCCCCUCCACCCCUAUAUAUAGUGGGGAGGCGCAUGGGAGCAGCACCCCAAGCCCUGGCGCCUCCCUCCCUCCCGUGACACCUCUUCCUCCCCGCUUGCGCUUGGCGAAGCCCUGCCGGGAUCCCGCUACUUCCACCACCACGCCGUCGUGCUGCUGGAUCUCCAUCAACUUCUCCUCCCCCCUUGCUGGAUCAAGAAGGAGGAGACGUCCCGCUCCGUACGUGUGUUGAACGCGGAGGUGCCGUCCGUUCGGCGCUAGGUUCAUCGGUGAUUUGGAUCACGACGAGUACGACUCCAUCAACCCCGUUCUCUUGAACGCUUCCGCUCGCGAUCUACAAGGGUAUGUAGAUGCACUCCUCCCCUCUCGUUGCUAGCAUCUCCUACAUUGAUCUUGGUGACACGUAGGAAGAUUUUGAAUUUCUGCUACGUUCCCCAACACUCACAUAUAACCACUAUGAUAUUGAAUUUGUACUGCCGGUUUACAUGACCUGUGCAAUAAGGGUGAUAACCCAAUCUUUAGAAAUCAAGACUUCCAAAUGUUUAUGAUUGUCAUAUGAUGGCGACUUAUCAACCAAAGUCAAGCCGGGUUAAUCGAAGCCACAUAUAUACUUCAGAUAUGAUCAAAAGAACUUCAAAUAAAAUACAAAAUUUUGUUUGCAAAAAGAGACUUCAAAAAUUUUGAGGCUUCUGAUUCGAAUACUAUCAGAAAACCGUCCCAAAGGGGUUAAGCUAAGAUUCGAAUACGAUCAUAUAGCCCCCAGUGGCUUUGGCGUUGCCGAUCAAGAGGGUACCGACAGCUAUGUUCUCUUUGGUUCGAAUACGACCUAUGUUUGAACAGGAAGCCCCCAAAUGACCUGGAGAGUUGUUUAACGACGCUGAUUCGAAUACGAUCCAUGUCGGUUCCCAAAAGGGGUUGAGCUAUGAUUCGAAUACGAUCAAGAAGCCCCCUAGUGAGCUCAGCAGUGUGCCGAUCAAGAGGGUACCGACAGCUAUGUUCUCUUUGGUUCGGAUACGACCUAUGUUUGAACAGGAAGCCCCCAAGUGAUCUUGAGAAUAUUUAACGACUCUCAUUCCAAUACGAUCAGGGUCACACCAAAAGGGUUAAGCUAAAUUUGAAUACGAUCAGCUCCCAACGGUCAUUAAAGCAGGUAGUUAUGUUUGAGUUGUGCUUUGUAACAGACUCUCCUUGGUCCCUUUAAUUUUUCUUGAAAACUUGAACUUUGCGAGAGAUAAAAUCUUUUUAAAACCGGAAGUUCUUAAACCGGAUAUUAAGAGUUUCAAAGCAUGGUGAUAGACAAAUUUACCUUGAACCGGGUUUUGAACCGGAUUUGAGAUCUUCAAAGCAUUGUGGCAGAUAAAUUUCAUUUGAACCGGAUUUUAAACCGGACAUUAAGAGCUUCAAUGCUUUGUGGGAGAUGUCAAGUCUCUUGAUAAGGAUCUAAACCGGAAUCCUUCUUUUUAAGCCAGAUAUUUUUCUGACGGUCUUUAAAUUUUUACCAAUAUGGCGGUAGCCUCCGGGACCGGGUUAUUUUUUUCCUCCAAUGACCCAGAGUUCUUGAAUGCAUUGAAACCGACCAAUGUUGCCGAGUCAUAUCAUUGUAACCCCUGAGUCUCAAAACGACUCAAGGAGUUGGCUUUGAGAUUCUCCAUAUUGACCAUAGCAUAAGGUGUAUAUCAUUGGUGUUGAUAGUGCGAUGUGAAUCCACAGAAGGUUGAGGUGACUGCGGCGGAUUAUAAAUGAUCAUGUAUGAGCCGUGUCAGCAACUCGGCCAAUGGUCCCUUCCAACUGGCUGUUUGAAGUUAACCAAACUAUAGUGGCGGCGACUUGUGCGCCUGCCCAUUUAAACCAUCCAGUGUAGACGGCGGCUGAUAAUACAUGAUAAUUUGCCUCCAAUUUUGUUGGAAGAAAAACCAGGCUUCCCAAGCAGUGACUUGCUCAUACUCGAUGAUCAGCUCACGCAGACAGGUGCGGCCCGGUAUGUUGAUAUAGACCAGGCCGCAAGAGACAGAUGGUAAAAACAACCGUGGCAUCAAAGGUGGUACAGACAGAUGAGUUGGUCACGACGUUGUAAACCGGUGUGGUCGGGCGAGUCAAUCGCCGGCGCGGUAAGCCGCGCGGAUGGGCGAGUCAACCACGUCGUGUUGAUGUAGUGAACAAUUGUCCUACAUCAAAAACAUCGCAAGCAAGAGUAAUUGCUCUUUUUUAAAGAAAACAAUAUAUAAUAUAUAAAAAUUUACUGGAUUGAUUUCACCUGAUAUGUUAGGCCAGAAAAUAUCCACCGCGGAGUUGAUCAUCACGACGGUGAAGCUGAAAUCAAUCACGGCCGAGUCGGCCGCGGGAACAGACAGACGGGUCGGCCGCGGCGUUGUAAGCCGGUGCGGUCGGGCGAGUCAAUCGCAUGAGCGAUAAGCCACGCGGACGCUGAGUCGGCCGCGGGGGCGGACAGGUAAGUUGUCCGUCACAUUGUAAGGCGGCGCGUUGAUGUAGACCGGACCACAGGGGCGGUGGCUUGCGCCCACCUGUUGACCAGUAAGCGGUCGCAGAUGCCGUUGCAUGAUGAUGCUACCGCACACUCCAUGGAUACGGCAUUACACCAUCUUUAUGAUGAAUCCUUGUCCUGCACAUAAAAGUGUACAUAGCAAAGCGAUUGUUUUUUGACAAAAAACAAUAUGCGCUUAAUAAAAUAAUCUUAGAUGGAUAUCACCUGAUUUGUUCGGAUGACCGAUGAUCCAUUCAAUGCAACAAAAAACGGCUCUGGUAGACCGGUAACCCAUGGCGAGUCAACACAGCAGAAGCGACUCAACGCAGCCCCGGCAGCUCGAGGCACGGCGGGUCUCAGCUCACGGCGGGUUGAGGUGUGGCGGUUCAAGGUCACAGCGGGGGGACUCGCAGGCUCAGGCGAGGCCGUUUUGAAGAUGGUUGGCAGCGGCGCGGUGACUCGCCACGGUGCGCCGAAAUAGCAGCAGCGUAGUGGGAGAAACAGCCGGUCUGUUGAUUUUGACCGUGAUGUGAAGCUCGCGGGGCAGCCACGAAGGCGCUGGGACGGAGUGGCUCCGAUGUGCGAGACGUGCCACCACAAGGACGCACGUAGGAGAAGACCAGAGGGGCAUCGAAGUCGGGUCCGCGGCGGCUCUGGAGAUGACAAGUGUGCGGGAGGCAAGGCCGUGCUGGCCAGCAGAAAACGGCGAGGUGCCGGCGACUUAGCGUAAAACCGCGGGUCAGAGGCGGCUCGGAGUUGAGUCCAUGUCCUGCUCUGGUCGUUGUUGGUUUGACAAUUCCCUUUAAGUGCUCCUUUAAAAUUUCCUUCAUCACACGUGGUGUCGUGCCAGGCAACAGCAUGGCCGGACUAAAAAUCCACUAGACCUUGAUUUUUAAUGCUCCUGUAGAUCUUGGGGACUGCGUGUGAGCUGACUAUUAAAACCUUCAAAUUCAUGCACGUACAGUGGCUGUACUAGUUGAUGCUACGUGCAGAAGGUAAGGUAAUCUAUCAGGCUUUGUUUUUCGCGUUGAUCAGCACUUGGACCCUUGAUCAACAGUUGGCUUGAUCCGGAGACUUCACAGGGCUGAAGCAAACUGUCUUGAUCGCCGCUGUACCAACAGAUGGCGCUCGUGACGCGUGUUUGGCUGUCUUUGAUCACCUCGGACUUGGACAGCUAUAUAUGGACCAGCAGAAGCGACCUGGCGAAUCGGACACGGCGGCUAGAUUUGACAGCGGCACAGUAGAAAUUCGAGUCGGCCUCGGUGUACUGCUGCAGCAGAAACUAACCCGGACUCGACGGAUCAUCUAAUUGUGGCGGCGCUCACCAUGCAACUCUAAUCUUUCUUGAAUUCAGACCUCGUACGAGUAUUAGAUCUGACUGCUCGCUUUGGAGACAAUGUAAAUCCUUCCGCGACGAUUCUUCUUUCAUCCGAAGAAAUUGUCAACUUCUCGACCCUUGAAAGAGAUCCCUCCAAGAACUCAUCACCACCGUGCGCAGCCCCACGGUGGGCGCCAACUGUCGUGGAAUUGUCACGGCAGAUGUCCUAGUGUGAGGACUUAGUCGUGAGGCCAACGCAUCUAUGCGGUAGCUUGAGAGGGGUUGAUUGGGAUGAGAGACGCAACACACAAGACAAGAAUUUAGACAGCUUCGGGCCCCGGGAAACAUCAUCCGGUAAUAGCCCUACAUGCUGUUUGUGGCUAGGUCUCAUUAUGAUCAUGAGAGAGUCGCCGGUAAGCCGGCUCUUUGUGUCUAGCCCUAGAGAUUGUUUCUUGUUUCUUGUCCCUCUUGGGGUGCCCUGCCCCUCCUUAUAUAAGUUAGAGGGGCGGGUUACAUACGGAGUCCUAGUAGGAUUAGGACUAGUCUAUCUUUCUUUACAAGUUGAAUACAAGUCCAGGUCUUGCUUCCUUAUGAAGGAAAUAAUCCUCACGCCUUUCAUCUUAAACCGGCCCACCAGAGUAUAAGCCAGCCUGCUGGGCCUUGGGCCUUGUCAUCCGUCUGAUCCGCCCGCCGGGUCUCCAGUGAAUUACAAUGUCUAGGCGGGUUACCCUGUGAACCGCCAUGUUCGGGCGGAUCGCCAGUGAGUCGCCAAGCUUGUCCGGCCGGGUCAUACCGCGGGGUAUAUCCCCGACAGGUGGUCUAAUACGGGUAAAGAAACGCAUUUUUCGCUUUGGAUCCUUUACAAUAAAAGAUGGGUCAAAAAUUCGAUUCUGGGAAGACAAGUGGCUAGAAAAUGCUUGGAUCCAAUAAAAAUAUCUAUCUUUGUACUGCAUCAUUCAUCACAAUAAUGAUACUCUUGUGCUAGUGCUUAUUUCUUUCAUGCCAGAUAUUUCUUUCAGGCGAGAUUUGAUUGGCCUAUGUCUUAUGUGAUGGUAAAAUCAUUAUCCUGAUUGGAUUUAAUUAACCUGACACAAGGGCGGGGAUGUGUUUCAUUGGAAUCUCUCUACAUAUGGGUCCUUCAAGUCAACUUUAUGUACCAUGCACUAACGCAUUCAGAGGUCCUAGUGGAUAAUAAAAUAAUAGAAGAAGAUAUGGGCCAUACUCCCUCCGUCCAGUGAAGAGUGAAAUCUAGAGAUUUUAGGACAAAUUAUGGAGUAAAAUAGAAAAUGCAUUGGAAAGGUGCAAGCCACCAUCUUUCUUCUCUUUAAUUAUCCAAUCCCUAAUGUGUUUAGUGCAUGUAAAAAUUAAGAAGACCAUGUGUAGAUUGUUAUUGGUCUUGGUUACCAUGUGAUGAGAGAGAAAUAUAUUUUUUUCUACUUUAAAGUGCAUUGAGAAGAUAGAAGUACACUCUUUUGUGGACAAAUUUUAAAGCCAAACGUACACUCUUCACCGGACGGAGGGAGUAUAUUAAUUCCUAGUGUGACUUAAUGUUGACAUGAAUUGAUACAGGUGGAUAUAGUUACUCUGCGUCCGUAAAUAAAGGUCAUCAUUUUUGUUGCUCUAGGGACCCAUAAAUGAUAGGGACUGUCCGCUACCAGCUACCCUGAUGACUCCAUUCGCUGCCCCUCAAACAUGGGUUCCCGACAUGUUCUCAGGGUCUGCCCGUGGUUCCAUGUUCUGGCCUUCGGGGUUGGUUUAACUAGUGGUAUGGGGGUUCUUGCAUCGCCCUGUACUCUCGAUCGGGACCCUUUAAUGCUAGCACUUCUGGUGACAUACAGUGCGUGUAUUUAAAGGCCAGGCAUGCAUCCUCCGUGCCAAAGAAAAUUCAUUCGGCGGCUACACGGGGAGAGUUGUGGCAGCAAAUCCGGGAUGCCAGCUUUUUGUUUUGGGUUUCGAUUGUCAAAGUUUUAGAUCUUAAAAAAACUAAAAUUAAGUGUUGUUUUCAUAUUCGUGUUUCUCGUGACCACUGUUUUGAAAUAAUAUCCGUUUUGAAUAUAUAUUUUGACGACUUUAAAAAAUAUUAAGUUUCAUAUGUUGAAACUUAGUACGGGCAACCAGUAAAAAUCAAUUAUUUUGUACCUACGCCUGACAGAAAAAUGCUUACAUUUAUAUCUCUGAAACUUGCUGAAACUUUGCAUUUUUCAUCAUUGAAACUUAAAACUUUUUGAGGGAUUUUCUUUUUUACUGUGCCCUCAUGUGGGAUUCAACUACUCUUUUCUCUUCCGCGAGAUCCACAUGAAAAAAAGCACAAAUUUAAGAUGAGUGCAGGGCUUGGCAGAUGAGUGCCCUGCACUUACAUGCCCCUGCGAAUUUCCGCAGCUACUAGAUAUUUUUGGCAAAUUUAUUGUUUGCUCUUUUACAGGUGUGCCACUUAAGUAUUUAAACCUAUAAGGAUUUCUGCACUGGUGCUAAACUCACUUAUGAGAGCAUACCGGAUUUUCUCAUAUGAGCUAACAAAGAAUCAAACAUAGUUAUAUCUUGUAUUAUUUUCUCAUUAAUUACUUACCCACUGGGCUGAAGCAGUUAUUGUAGCAUAUCAUGCAACACUCAUGGUUUUCCAACAUGUUUCCUUAAGGGGUCUUAAUCAAGAUGAUUUACAUUCAAAAACAAUCAUUGAGUAUGGAUCAUUAAGAAUAAUUUGAUCCUACUUAAUCCAUGCUUAGGAAAUAAGAAAAUGGUUACUCAAUGAGCAAACGCUGCCUGUUGCUGCCUCCUCACCAACAAACUUUGGUUCUUCACAUCCCUUACCGAAGAGGCACCUUUACAUUGCAUCCCUUGUAUACUACUAUAUAUAUGUGAUCUUCAUAAAGAGUUCAGCGAUUUCUCCAUUGUUGAGUUCCUUACACUCAAUAUUCAAUAAUAGUUAUUUCCAAAUUCACAUAAUCAGUUGGCAGGAUGGUCACCAAAGUACAUUCAUCCAUCGAAAGAAACACACAAAAGAAAACAGUAACAGCACCAAAAAAACUACACGUUGUCCAAUUAUGAAUAAUGUUUCGUCCGUGUAACAAGAGCUUCGACGGUCAUUUUCUUAAGCAUAAUUAAAUAAAAAACUAAUCAUAGACUCUGAUUGUAAAGCAUUCCAAAAGAAAUUCAUAUGUCAGUUCUUCAACGCUUAUUGUGUUGGAAGCCUGUCCUCAAAUAUUCUCUCCUUCGCCUUGUCGGCCUGCAAAUAAAUAUCAGUUAUUUUUUCUUACUAUCCUUGGUACCAGUGCUUAGGGUUUUGAUAGACAGGUCGCUAGUUAUUGAAAUGAAACAUUUAAGACAAGGAGAAGCAUGCAUUAGGGCAACUCCAACUAUGUGCAUCAAAUCGGACACAUCUAACAUUCAUGGGCACGUCCGGACGUGUCCACAAAGAGCAUAUAGGGGGCGGCCAUCCAAGCCUAUGCACCAAAUGUCCGCACCUUUUCAAAGAAAAUAAAAUAAAGCUAGACCAAAUGUUGGCUCACUUUAAAUCAUCGAUCGAUAGCAAUUCAAAAGUGUUGGAUGAAAGUACUUCUCGAAAGCAGCCUUCAUUACAUACUUUCUCUCCUCGAGUUUGCACUUCUUCAUUACAAAUGUUGUUCAUCCAGAUGUUGUGCCCUUUGAGCUUCAUCCAACAGUGCAUAAAUGCGAAGAACUUGCCCUCCGUCCUUUGGUAUAGCAUGGGCUGCGCGUCUGGGCUAUACAAUGACGUGAUCAUCAAGUGUAACAUUGAGCAAUUUGCCAUUUGUGCUUGCUUCAUGUUAAACAAGGAGAAAGUCAAAGAAAUUCUCAAUGGUAUUUGGCCGAACACUUGCCGGGGUUGGCCUCCAUUAUGGAGGGCAUCGGCAAGGGGGCGGCCAAUGCAUGGGCUGCCGCCGGAUACUGGGUGCAACCGCGGCGAAGUACAAUGCGCCUGGUGGAGCAAUGGAGGUCUAGCAAGGCCUAGGCGCGGGACGGAGUGGUAUAGCAGCGGCGGUCUUGGUGGGUGCGGAUACAGAUUAAGAGUGGGACNNNNNNNNNNNNNNNNNNNNNNNNNNNNNNNNNNNNNNNNNNNNNNNNNNNNNNNNNNNNNNNNNNNNNNNNNNNNNNNNNNNNNNNNNNNNNNNNNNNNNNNNNNNNNNNNNNNNNNNNNNNNNNNNNNNNNNNNNNNNNNNNNNNNNNNNNNNNNNNNNNNNNNNNNNNNNNNNNNNNNNNNNNNNNNNNNNNNNNNNNNNNNNNNNNNNNNNNNNNNNNNNNNNNNNNNNNNNNNNNNNNNNNNNNNNNNNNNNNNNNNNNNNNNNNNNNNNNNNNNNNNNNNNNNNNNNNNNNAUAGUCCGACCAGGCGGGCGUCCGGACUCCCAAACCUCCAAUGAGUUUGCUUCCGGUUUGGCUGAUGUUGGACGUCCGGAUUAGGCCGCGGGCAUUUGAUGCAUGGCAGUGGAUGGCAAAAAAUGUACAGGCAGCGCAGUCCGGACCUUGCGGGCAAUUUGAUGCAUGGCAUUGGAGUUGCCCUUAGCAAUACCUAAGGCAUGUUCUGAUCACGAAUCAUCAGGCAUAAAAACUGAGAAAGGACUUACCAUCUUGUUCCAGUUUGUGGUAGCCGUAAUAACAGACAGGAGAGUGACCUGUGUGGCUCCACCAGCCAGUAUGCCAAUCCAAAACCCCUUUGCUCUUAGUUGCAUUGCAAAACCAAAGUAGAGUGCAACGGGGAUACCAACAAGAUAGAAGGCACCCAGGUUAACAUAAGCCCCUAGAUGCUGCCAUCCACAGCCCCGAGACACACCUGAGUGGUGCAAUGGAAGCAUUCAGUCUAUUAGUUUAAUUUAGUUUAUGAUGCUAUAUGCCAAAAGAAAGACAUGUGGAUACCUUGAAGGACUGCCAUGAGGCUGUCUGUAAUUGCUGAAAUGGAAAGUAGGGGUACCAUUCUUGUGACAUAACGCCUGACCUCUUCCUCAUUGCUGAACGCAAUUCCAAUAAAGUGGCGCAGUAAUAGAAGAGUUGUGCUCACUAAGAAUGCUGAGCAGACCACAAUAGACAAGGCAACACACACCACCAAGCGGGGACCUUGUGUGUUGCCGGCGCCUAAUUCAUUUGAGACGCGCACACUGGCACACGGACAACAUAUAUACGUAGCAUGUUAAAUUCUGUAGAAACAGGUGAUACUGACGAUAUAUAGCAACAAAUGCACUAGCUAGUAGCUACCCACCUGGUAGCUAUUCCAAUGCCGUAAGGAAGGUUGGCCAACAGUAUCAUUGUAGAUACGCUGUUCCAAAAGGACAUCAGUAUGGUAAACUUCAUAGAAUAUGAUGGAUUCAAGUAUAAUCUUAUUUAGGGUUCUACUAAUGCAUACCAUAUAGAAAGCACAGAGGUUUCCAGUGCAGGAUUUGGUAACAUCCCGGAAAGCAGAACAAGCAGCUCGUAAGACCACCACUCCAGACUGUGGUCAAGGAAAGCUAGGUUAAUAUUCAGAGGUUUCCGGGAUGUUUUGAUGCUAGAGAAUACAUAAUUAGAAGCUAAACUUAAAGUAAUAUAUGUGCAGAAAUUAUCCAGUUCAUUUCAAGAGGAGAGGGAAGAAUAUAUCCAGUGGUAUUGCGAGCGGGUGGCAAAAAAACAAAAGGUAUCUGAUCAGGAUCUGCUCACAACAAAGGCGAAGACGAAGACGGACUUUCUUUUGUUGAAAGAUGUCUUCACAACAAAGACGAAGAGGAAAACAAACUUGAUUUGGACAAUCAAUCCGAGACGAGCCGACAUUUCAAAUUUUCAAAUGGUUUGUAAAAGACCAUCAUCCUUUUCUGACAGUAUUCUAACAGACCAAUCAAGUGUGCAAGGGUGCUGUGGCAAGAACAACAGAAAAAUAGUAUUUCCUCCAUCCGAAAAUAAGUGUCGCUCAAAUAGAUGUAUCUGGACGUAUUUUAGUGCUAGAUACAUCCGUUUGAGCGGUACUUAUUUCCAGACGGAGGGAGUAGGUAUGAACGAACAUAAGUAGAAAGAGAUAUAAAAAAUAGCAACAAUGCUUGGAUCUUAUGGGCUGCAAGUGCACCACUAUUAAAAAGGUUUUGCCACGUACUUGUUAUUAUUAAUAUAUUUUUUGAGAGGAACGUACUUGUUAUUUUCCAUGCUGACACCUUUAGAAACGUUGGCUACUGAUACACAAACUAUAUAGAUUUGUCACAUGAAGAUACCAUUAGUGUUAUGAAUGAUCACAUCAUUAUAAUUAUAAUCUUAAUUAUUUGCCAAAAGGUGCACGUUGGAAACUAUAUUAAUGUCCACAAGAACAAGUAAAAGUGAAUGAAGAGUGCAUAAGAGUUUGCUGUAUUGGACAAUAUUUUGCUUGCCAAAAUAUGAAAUACUAGAUAAAAUAGCAUAUGUUAUUUUUUGUGCUAGAGGUUAAAACAACAUCAUUAUAGAAACAUGGCAAAUAACAUUUACUUACCAAAUCAUAAGAGCCGAUGGUACAGCCAAACGCAUGAAACUGCCAAUCCCUCUAAAAGCUUCCCACGAUGGUGGAGCGCGUGUUUUCUCACAAGAGGGUGAGAACUUAAUGUAAAGGCCAAGAAAAGUCACUUCAACCCAAUCACAAAUGCUAACGGAUAAAGCAGCUCCAGCAUUACCCAUCCCAACUUUGUAAACCAUGAACCAGCAAAGAGGAAGAAAUACCGCAAUUGUAAUCAAGGAGCUAAGAACCAUUGGAAAUAUUAGGCUUUGACAUUGCAGAAACUUUGAAAAGCAUUGAGUAACACCGAAGGCAAAUAAACCAGGGAUAAGCCAUAAUGCAUAUUUGCCAGCCUCAUUUGCAAUUUGUGGUUCCUGGCCCAUGAGAGGAAGUACUUCCGGGAUGAAACACCAAACAAUGGAGAUGGGCACACUCACAACAAGAAGUGCAAUGAUGGACCUGUAGGUACAUAAAGAUAAUGUAUGAUAUUGUUCUGCUCCAUAGGCCUGCCCACAAAGAGUUUCCAAUCCGCCUGCCAGUCCAAUCUAAAAGGGAAACUGCAUCAGUAACAAAUUAUACAUAUUGUUGCUGAAUAAAUGGAAGUUAAACUAGGAUAAAGUGCAUCGACAUUACUGAAAGAAGAGUUUUGCUACACCUACACAUUAAUCUUAUGGAAUUAAAUUUACAGGAUGAGGUGGCAACAUCUGAUUGGAAGGGAGGAGACUCAUAGUAAAUUCGGGGAAGACGGGUUACUUGGAGGUUAGGGGGGAGGGGUGGCAGUCCAUACGGGUCGCUCAUAAGUUUGGAUUUUCGCUGAAAGAAUAUCAAGAAUAACAAACGUGGCUUGUGCAAGGUGGGCAACAGUUGCUAUGAAGAUUUUGUUUCAAUCAUCACUGCAAAGAAUGCGAACAUCACCCUGGCCGAAUUUUCUCAACACCCAACUCAGUCGGAUCAAGUGACUGAUUAUAUUUUUCGCGGGAAUAUAAUAGAUCGAUAUUGCCCACCGAAACUAGCUAUAUGUACAGCGGGGUGGGGUGAAUCAAGCACCACAGGUCCAUUGUAAAAAAGAUUAAUCGAACGACCUAGCUAGCCGCGUGCGGUCGGCGCUAAUCAGAAAGGUUGAGAAAUGGAACCAUCUGAUUUGAUUCAUUCCCAGUAGUCAUGAGAUGAUCAUUUUUUUUUAGAAAAGAGGGGAGAUCCUGAAUGAUCCACACAACCUUUUGUUUAUCAUAUCAAAGUACAUCAUCUGACCAUAACAAAGUUCAUCUUGCCAACGGAUGCUUCUAUUACACUCGUGGUCUCUAAAAGAUGAGAACCCACUAUGUAGCAUCCACAUCAAUAAUUCAAGCAUUUAUGUCCUUAGUACGAUUCUUUGUAGGAACUAUCCGUAAUAACAAAGAACAUCAGAAGUAGCAGAGAUCUCCGCACGAUGCAACUGGAUAAAUGGCGGUCGCAUGGAGGGAGAAGACACUGAGACAUCUGGACCGGUCGCCGAUCUUGUACACAUCCGGAUGGGAUUCAGGGGCUGCUCUAACGGAAUUGAAAGUACCAAUAGCUAAACAUAAACGAAAUAAAUUAAUGUGCGCUGCAUGCUUGCUCACAAGGACGCUGAAGCCGGAGACGUUGGUGAGGGAGUUGGCGAUGGCCGCACCGGCGAGCGCGACGUCGCCGAGGUGCCCCACCAUGACGGUGGAGAUGAACUGCAUCGUGACCUGCAGCAGCAUCACCACCACCAUCGGCGCCGCAAGCCCCGCCAGCUGCGCGGCUUCCCUACACCAGCGCCGGCUGGUACUGCCGGGCUCUUCCCACCUCGCGGCCAGCAGCGGCGCAUCGGAAGAAGAGUCCAUGGAUCCCCCCGACCAAAGCUCUGCCCAAGCAACGUGGGUGUGGUUAAUGAAAAUGGUAAAUGCGGGAGCUACCAUCCGUCUAGCUGUCUCCCUUUGCACAAUGCAUGGAGCUCGAACUAUAUAUAGAGUAUUACUCCAGUCGUAGUAGCUACGGAAACUAUUUCCUCUGUCCAGAUUUAUUAGUUUUGUCAGAGCAUCGGUAAUUGAGGAGCUAAUUUGAUUUCAUAUACAUCCACUGACCCGUCUUGGCGCUGUUCAGGCAUAUUCACUUAAGCCCACAUUUAUCUGUGCACGCAGUGGUAACCCCACUUUUCUCCCUAUUAUAUGCCCGAUUACAUGCAUAUGAAUGGUAGGGACAGAACCUCAAAAAAAAAAGAAUGGUAAGGACAAAAAAAGAAAAUAAAAGAAAAUAGUGAAGGUGAAAAAGUGGUCCGGACUCUGGAGUGUGCCAAAUUCGACGUGGCAGACUGCUCAGACAUACCACAACAUCUCAUACCCUUUCCACGUAUGGGCUCGGUAUAAGGGGUGCCAGAAAGCCCGCGCCCAUGUAUAUAGUUUUGAGUUAAUGAUACUCCCUUUCAUCCAUAUUACUUGUCACACGGACGUAUUUAGACGUUUUUCAGUGCUAGAUAAAUUCGUUUGAGCGACAAGUACACUAGUAGAAAAAGGACCUUACGUGAGACACAUUAGUCCCGGUUCAAUUUUGGCUCGGUACUAAUGGUAUUAGUCCCGGUUCAAACGGCUAUGCAUUAGUCCCGGUUCAUGUUGAACCUUUAGUACCGGUUCGUGCCACUAACCGCUACUAAAGGGGUGGUGGCAGGCUGGCGUCAGGCCGGGGCCCCACGAGCCCCUUUGACUAAAGGGGUUUAACCUUUAGUCCCGGUUGGAGACACAAACCGGGACUAAAGGGCAAUUAUCAAACUCUACCCCCCUCCCCUCUCCCUGUCUAUCGCCAUUUCAGUUUUGAAAAAAACAAAACAAAAUGAUAAAAACUUCAAAAAUUAAGAUCCUUCGAGAUGUAGUUAUGUUACUACAUCUACUAGUUAGGAAAAUUUAAAAACUUAAAUUUGGACAUGUUUUGCAAAAAAAUAUGAUGAAAAGGUAAAACAACUAUAUCUUUUGCAUCCGAUAUCGGAAAACAACGUAUAAUAUAUCAAAAUGUUCAGCACGAAAAUACGCAUCCGAUUUUGACGGCUGUAGGCCGUUUUGCAAAUUUUUAGAAUCCUCAAACUCUAAAAGGAAAAAAGUUAUGCUCACAUUUCAGUUUUUUUUUUGAAUUUUGGUCAAACUGUGGUCAAACUACUUAUUCAAGAAAUAUUAGUGUUACUAAAUAAUUAUUUCAGUUUUUUGAAUUUUGGUCAAAUCUGGUCAAACUAUGGUCAAACUACUUACUCAAGAAAUAUUAAUGUUACUAAAUAAUUAGUGUUUUUUAGAAUAAUAGUUUCAAACUCAAACGAUGAACGUGUGACUUCAUGCUCAAGCUAAACUCCUGAGGGUUAAUAGGAUUGACAGCUUAAUAUUGUUAGGAAACAACAAGUGCGGACUUGGAAACUAGGGGGAAUAGAACUCAGAAGUUAAGCGUGCUCAGGCUGGAGUAGUAAGACGAUGGGUGACCGGCCGGAAACUUAGGUGAUUUGGGAUGAGUGAUCCACACUUGAGCAGUUAUGAGUGGUGAUUAGAGACUAAAUCGUCAAAUAAUUAAGAAAAUUGAAAAUCGGGAAAAAAAUCAAAGUUUUUUCCAAAAAAUUCAAAAAAAAAACCUUUAGUCCAGGUUGGUGUUACCAGCCGGGACUAAAGGUCCCGCAUACCACGGCGCGGGCUCGUGCCACGUGGUGGGCCUUUACUGGCGGUUCGUGUUGAACCGGGACUAAAGGGGGGGCCUUUGGUCUCCAACCUUUAGUGCGGGUUCCGAACCGGCACUAAAGGCCCUUAAGAACCGGCAUGAAAGCUCCGUUUUCUACUAGUGGUAAUACAUAUCAGAUGGAGUAGUGGAUUUAACUAGACGGGGAAGCAACGGAUGGGCGGCGGCUUUCAGAUAUGACGAUGGUGGUCCUACCGGGGUGGCUUGUUCGGCGGAGCGGGUUGGGAUGGCACGGGCCAGAGGCUGCUUCGCUGCCUCCCAAAGGUGGUGGUGGGCUGCGGGUGUAUGCGACAACUCAGAUCCGUCGUGGAUCAUCUGGUUGAUGCGGGAUCGACUCUGGCCUACCUUGGCUUCUCUGACGCGGCUCUGGUGGGCGGAGGGCUAGGUCAUGGCAGGGAGCUCCCCCUGCCUUGGUCUUGUUCGGCCGUCAUGGCAGCGAGCUCCCCCUGCCUUGGUCUUGUUCGGCCGUCAUGGCAGGGAGCUCACCCUACGCGUUUUGGCUCACGGGCUCAGAUGAGUCCGGGAAUGAACAAAAAAUCAUUAAAAAUUACUAAAUAAAUUCAAAAAAAAUCUGAAUUUUUUUUGUGCAGAAAUAUAACUGAGUGUCUGAUGUUCGUACCGAAUUUCAGAACACUUGAAUGUUUGAGUAGCUCUCAGCAAAAAAGGACGAAUUUAAUGUAUGUGAAAAAGGUUACUAUUUGUGCAUUGUCUGGACCCUUUUUUUACUGAGAGCUAAUCCGAUGUCCAAAUGUUUUGAAAUUUGGCACGCACUUCACACACUAAAAUAUCUUCCAUUCAAAAAAAUAGAUUUUAAAAAAAAAAUCUAUUUUUGCUGAAUUUACUGUUCACCAGGUGGAGCAGCGUCGAAGACCACAGACAUGGUGUCGGGCGAGCGCGCUCGGAGACAGAUGUCUGUAGUUGUGUCUCCCCCGGUCCACCGGGACUGGCUGGAGAUGCAGGCGUGGGUGCCUCCUACCAUGGAGGCAUCGAUCCAGACUAUGUGGCUGAUGUAUGGCUAUGAUUGUAAGGGGACGCCAUUUGCUUCUCCUACCGUGGUGGGUGCACCGUGAUGUGGGCGGUUGGUGGUGUCUCUGAUAUGGAUGUCGAGGUGGCAACCCUGGAUGGCGGUCUGAUGGUUCGCUCUCUAGCGGGCCCCAUGGCAGCAGUGAUAGGUGGAGCGACGGGUGGCUCGGGUGUGCUCUUUGUCUCCGGCAGUGGUGACACCUAGAUCCAGAUCUGGAGGUCUGAACUCGUCGUGCUUACCCUGGAGACCUCGUGGUGUCAUGGGGGAGCUGUCGAGUAAAGCCCCAUGCUUUGCCGUCAACGAGGGUGAUGCUCGCGGGUGCCGCUUUGCUCUUAAAGAUAUCACCGUGGUGCUCUUCUUCUUGUCUGGGCUCGGAGUAAAAACCUUUGUUCGGUGUGGACUCAACAACGCUGACACUUAGGGCUAUUCGCUCUCCUAAGAGUGUUGUCGUUGAGCUUAGAUGUUAUAGGGCAUAGUGUGACGUUGCUAUCGGUUCUUCCUAUGCUCACUUUGGUAGUAUAGCUGCAUGCGUUCUGUGUGAUCCGGUUAUCCUGGGAUCUAUUAGAAUAAUCCGAGGCAUACCGUUGAUCAUCCGAGGACCAAGGAACCACACGAGCACGACACCGAGAUUUGUUAACGAGGUUCACCUUGGCUACAUCCCCGGGGCUUGACUAUGGGCGCUCCUCCCCAUGACAUCGCUACAAUACCGCACCCCGUCGCCCUGCACGCCGGCACAUGCCGCCGGCUUCCCUUGCGUUCCUAUGCUAUUAUGUUGGCAUGGGUUACAUCGUGUGUCUACCCCCAUUAUAUAUGAGAGGCCUAGGAUACAAGUGUCCUAUUAGGACACGACUCUAUAUCCUAUCUAAACACAAUACUACUCAAAGUCCAACUCUAACCUAUCUUAUACGCAAUAUUCGACACAACUCUAACAGGAUCUGCAUUGUAUGAGGACUACCUCAUCACCUUGUAUUGGUCAGCCAUGCACUUUGUUCGGUUGUUGCAUUAUACUCUCUCUGUUCAGAAUUAUUGGUCGCAGAAAUGGAUGUAUCUAGUUAUAUUUAUAUAGUUCUAUAUACAUCAAUUUCUAUUCAUUUUUGAGACAGGUAGUCCCGGACGGAAGGAAUAUAUAAAGCGGGGCGCCUGGUUCAAACUUUAAAGAGAGACAUAACCACAAAGGAGACGUAAGAAGGCAAAUAACUACAGCGCAAUUGAUGUCAUGUCAGCAAGAAAUGUUCUUAAGGGCCACUCCACAGCUUCCCACUACGAACCUAAAUCUUCAUGAAACUUGAGAAAAUCAUACUCGACGAAAAUCAUACGCUUGUUUUAGAUGCCUGUCGUCGUUGGUUGCUACAGAAGAUGGAUUUAAAUAAUUGAAAUUAAGUUUUUUUUUAGCACUCUCUCUGAGCCAAAUUAAUUAACAUAGCUCUAGUACAACUUUUUCUUUUUGAGUUUGGACUUGGUUUGGCUGUGUGCAUCUUUUUUUUUGAAAUGUUGGCUGUGUGCAUUUUAGUUAUGCAGAAGCCAGAUAAUACUUAAAAACUUUGUAAGCAAUAAAGCGCCCCUUAUCGAACAAUAGAAUUAUGCAGAGGACUAACACUUAACUCUCGAGUAGUAACUGGUUGAAACUUACCAGCUCUACGUGGUUGAUGUUGACAUCCAAUUUCGAAUACAGAACAUAUUUCCCAAACCAUUCAAAAACAUCACAUUGCCAUCUUGGUUAUUACCCUUUAACCUCCUCACAGCAGAUUCCAUCUGCAUACACUCAGUGUAAGAACGCAGCAGAUCCAUUAAAACAUGUAGUACGAAUUAUCACGUUAUACUAAAAUUUUAGAAUCAACAAGACAUUAGCUACAUAUUGACUUCUUUAAUUAUUUAUGAAGACUGCCUCUAGAGAAUUGUUGGCAUGUCUAUGACGGUAAAUUUGCAGCUCAGUUAAAGUGUGCUUGGUUGGUUAAACAAGGUAUACUAGAUGAUUUUCCCGCGCGUUGCUGCGGGAUUUUAAAGAUUAAUUUUGGAUAUAUUAUAUAAGAAUGAAAUGAUCUAAAUCAAAAGCUAUUAUUUUCAAAAGUAAUUAUAUGUGAACAAAGAGUAUGCAUGUACGUUGGACCAUUGGAGAUGGAACAAUUAAAUUGGAGUAUGCAUGUGCUACAAAAUAAUUCUAGUGGGUGAUGAUAUGUGGAGGGCUGCAUGUUGAGAUAAUUAGACUUAAUGGGAUCAACUAUAUAUUUAUUAUAGAUGGGAUAGGUUGUUUGCUUGGUUGGGUGGAUGGGAGUAUCAAAAAAGAUUAAUUAGCUAAAUGAUACCUCCUAACUUCUACAUUAACACCAUCAAGACCUAGUGAACCUACUUAAGUCAAACCAGAAAAACAUGUACCUGUUUCAGAUAAUCAUCCAUGAACAUGAUUGCAUGGUCAUCAUGCCCAGUACUGAGUUUGAAAACAUGAAGUACAUUGUCUUUCUUCAAUGACUGCAAAAAUGAUUUCUAUAUAUGUUCAGAUUUUCAUCAAAGCAAGGAAAAUUUUCUCUGGUGCAGUUGAAGAUUACUACACAUUGGUAAACAAUAAUCACCAACAGUUUAACACAAGAAUAGCUAGAAAAGAAUCCAAAGGUAAAACACAAACUCAUCAUUGCAUUACAACAGUUGUGUAUACAUAAAGAAUUAUUGCAUAAGUUCAAAACAAUACCUUGAAAUCUCUGGCAGCUUGUGUCCUGUCCUUCACGCUAUUAUAGUUUGGGACUGCAAAAUGAAUGGUUGUGUCACAGCCUACAAGUGAACACAAGAAAAAGGUGAAUUUCGGAUCUGAAUCACCAUUAAAAAAGGAAACAGUUAGAGAAGAAGCACACACUGAGUUUAUAUAACCAUCUUUAUUAUAUAACAACAUGUUACAUGGGAGUAUUGUUACAUCCCUCCAUUAAGAGGAGGAGCAAACAUAAGUACAAGAGUUUAAUAGUGGCCGUGUCCCCCAACCCACAAAUAACUUUGGCACAUGCACGCACAGACCAGAAUUUUGCAACAGAAAACAUCACUAACCUAUGCACACGGUGGCUCUCGCAGCCAGUGAUGGUAGGCCUGAAUCGUCGCUCCACCUCUGCCUUGAUGUUGUUGGCCAUUGUCUGAAGGUCCUGGUUCUCUCCCUCGAACACCAGGUAGCUAUGUUCUCUCCAAAAUCCCUACGGGCCAAAUUUGUACAAUCACUAUCGAGUCCAGGUCUUUUUGCCGAUCUUUUGGCAGUGCUUUUCACCUAGACAGCCACCAAAUUCACCUGAAGUGGCGAGCUGUUCAUUUUAAAAUGACUUGCCACAGUUAUGUCAACCAGGAUCAUUGCUCUCUUUCUCGGCCUCCCGCAGAACUUCACAAGUUAUGAGUUUGCUGUAUGAGUAUAUAACUGAAUGAAGUAGUCUUUGAACCUGCAAACAGAGCACUUAAUCUACUUCUCAACGCACUGGAAUUUUUUGCAAUGUCUCUCUGUACUAAUUGUCCACUGCUACCCUACCACGAAGAAGUAGCGAUUUCUCCACCAAUCCAGCUCGCAAUCGGAUUAAACACUAGGCAAAGAAAUUCCUCUCUGCAACUAUAUAUCCAUACAAAAGUACCAUUUACUCCUGGAUCGAGCACUAAGCCACUAACUGACGGACGGAGAAUGGAUGACUAACCUUCUAGUUGCAACCGCAUGACCUCUGACCUGCCCUGCCGGCGGCUCACAGCGAUGGAUAGCGGACUAGCCUGCCAUCUAGGGUAAUUGCAGACGGCCAGAGUUGCAACGGAGGCCUCAUCGUGAUACACGACGACCUCCGUAGCUGGGAUCAGAUGUAUUUUCUAAUUUGAAUUGAAUAUGUAGUGUCACCAUUCCAGAUUUUUGGUACAUAUGAACAAAAAUAAAUUUAUUCAUGGGCCAUUCAACACUUUUCAACUCAUCGGAUACUGGCUCAGAUCGAGUUCACAUAUCAUUAACAUAUUUCGAACCAAAUCCAUAAUCAUAAAAUCCUCUGGUUUUAUUCAAACAAGCGGUGGAGAUGCCCCAUCCCUCCUAGCAUUGUUUUUCCUUAUCAUUUAGGAUCUCUUCAUUCAGCCUUUAAUAGAUUAAUAACAAAAAAACAUAAGUAUGGCCUAGAUAUAUAAGAUGCUUCAGAAUAGCUGGGCACAAACAAGUUGGCAUGAAACGGUCUAGAACUUCUUUUGCGGGAAAAAAUCUAGACCUUCUCAAAAUCCAACAAAUAAAAUAUGCUCGUUGUCCAUGAUCUAGGAGGGUAUCUACGAAUAGGUACUUAAGGUUUGUUCAUGAAAAGUAUUAAAAUAUUUGGCAAUUUUCCUUUUGGGUAGACAAAGUACCUAGAAAUAUGUAAAUUCAUGCUUAUACACCUGAACAUGCACCAUAGUAGACCAAAUUAUGUUGCCAAAGUAUAACGAACAUAUUAUAUUUUUGAAUAGGUUAUCUGUGUAAAUGGUCUACACAAUUCAAAUAAGUAUCAACUUCAUGCCCAAAAGAUUUAGUAAAAGGUACCGGGUGGUCCCAAUGAAAUAUUUACAUAACAUUACAAACUUAGUCCACCAAAAGAAUGAUUUGAUCCAGAAAAAUCCUUCUUCACACAUAGAUCGAACUGAUGAUGACGUAUCUAGAGUUAGGACCGGAUAUAUGCUAGUAACUUGUAAGCAAUUACCAUCCUUUACAUGUAAGGGAAUUCUAUGAGUCAUGUCAUGAUCUAUACCUCUCAGUUCAUCUUAUCAUCUUAGAGAACAAUACAAAGUUAGUUUUAUAAAAAAGCAACCGAGUCUAGACGAACCCUCCACAUACAAGGCUUUAAUAAUCGAGCAUAUCUUAACAGUCCACACACGAUUGCAACUUAGUCCUACACAGGUUUUGCCUUUCUUGUUUAUGGUUGACAGCCUAUACAAGGUUCCAAACUCGGUUGCAAAAGUGAUACUAUCCUGAUAAAUGUGUGACAUGUAAAGUGAAUAAGGCGAGUCAUAUAUACCACACAUCAGGGUUUCUAUAAUUUGUGUGUGAUCAUAUGCACAACUAAAAAGCAACUUUGAUGAUCAAUCCAAAAGUACGCUUGUAGCUAGUGCAACCUAACACAAUGUACCAAAAAAUCAUUUCUGAUGCAUCCAAAUAGAAUUAUUUAAGUUGAUGCAAAGAAGGAAAGAGGUGGUGCCCGGACUACUAUAAAUAGGCAUGAAGUAUAAUGAUCAUCACAAGCACAAGCAUCAAAACCAAGCAAAAGUAGUUAGCACCAAUCCAUCAUGAAGACCUUCCUCGUCUUUGCCCUCAUCGCCGUUGUGGCGACAAGUGCCAUUGCACAGAUGGAGACUAGCUGCAUCUCUGGUUUGGAGAGACCAUGGCAGCAGCAACCAUUACCACCACAACAGUCAUUUUCACAACAACCACCAUUUUCACAACAACAACAACAACCAUUACCUCAACAACCAUCAUUUUCGCAGCAACAACCACCAUUUUCGCAGCAACAACCAAUUCUAUCGCAGCAACCACCAUUUUCACAGCAACAACAACCAGUUCUACCGCAACAAUCACCAUUUUCGCAGCAACAACAACUAGUUUUAC